rnacentral:lncRNA from 1 species
CUGAGAUGGCUCAGUCCAAGCCCUUAUCUGUAAUACCAUCUUUCCGGCGUUCUCUCCUCAACCCUCGACAUCCAGGCUCCUAUGCUCCGUCCCUUGACCACAUGUACGUUCCCAUCUCAGCCUUACCUCCGCCCAAAGUUCCACAACCUGGUGCUGAUCCUCUCAUAAGCCGUCUGUACUAUGUCACUGCCGAGAAGCUCAGUCUACUCCAAACACUAGCCACCAGCAAGAGUAGCUCCUACAAGAGGACCAAACUAGAGUCUCUUAGUGCCUUUUUGUGGAAGAUGGUGGCCAAAAGUGCUCACAUGGAAAAUGCAAACCAAAAAAUAUGCAAGAUGAGUGUCGUGGUGGAUGGAAGAAAGAGGUUAAGCAGUGGAGAUGAGGAUAGGACAACAGCGAUGGCCUCAUACUUUGGAAAUGUGCUGUCCUUCCCCUUUGGUGAGAAGACAGUAAAUGACCUCAAAGAAAAACCACUGAGUUGGGUGGGAGAUGAAGUUCAUGAUUUCCUGGAAGCGGCUAUGACAAAGGAACAUUUCUUGGGGCUGAUAGACUGGGUGGAGGCUCAUCGCCCAGAGCCGGCUGCACUGAAUAUGUGCUGCAGUGGCAAUAGCGACGGGCCAGGAUUUAUGGUGUCAUCAGGGCAGAGGUUCCCGGUGACAAAGGUGGAUUUCGGGUGGGGUAAGCCGGCCCUAGGGUCAUAUCAUUUUCCAUGGGGUGCGGAAGUUGGGUACGUGAUGCCAAUGCCAAGCCCCACUGUAGAUGAUGACUGGGUGGUGUACAUGCACCUCUUGAAAGCCCAGAUUGAGUUGAUUGAGACUGAGGCUGCUCAUAUCUUUAGACCCUUAACAGCCGACCAUCUCAAUUUAUUUGAUUAGCUAGCUUUCGUCCACCAUCUCAUAUUCAGAAAUUUAGAAGUAACUCCCUCGCAUGUUGUUUCAAAUGUUAGAAUUCCUUUUCCUUUUCUUUAUAUCAGAAAUUAAUUACUUUGUAGUAAAAAGAAGUGAAAAACGAAAAUUUUGGAAUGACUUGUACAAGCAUAAAUGCCUCCUAGCUCUAUCUUAAUUACUAUCAUAAGACUAGUAUAAGGAUUAGUAAGGACUUCAAAAUUAAAUCCUAGCUAGGGUUCACUUUUGUAACUUGAAAAAUGAUCAUGUAUACGAAAAUCUUUUCUAUGUUUAGAUCUAGUUUAGAAGGGGGAAUAAAAAAAAAAAAAAAAAAAAAAAGAGAGGCUGGGGGUGGAAAUUAAAGAUGUUGGAUGUGUAACUACAAUAAAUUGAAAAAUAAUAUUUAAUUAUUUUUAGAUUGUCAUUUGGCCAUUAAAAAAUAAUUAAUAUUAUAAUAUGAUUUAUAUAUUUAAAUUACAAAAUAAAAUAUUUUUUUUUGAUAAGAAAUAAUAAAAACCUUUUUUCCUUACAAGUUUUUUUUAUUAGUACUACUUUUUAUAAAUAUUUAUUUUAAAUUUAUUGUAAAAUAACAAAUAAUAAUAAGAAAAAAAUGAUUGGCUUUCAUUUGCUUUGUUCAAGUAUCAAUAGAGAUGAAUAUCAAGAUGUUUCCACUUUCUAGAGCCUCACACACUCGUUACAUUUUGACCCACUUCUCAUAUUCUCUCUCCUUUGUAUUAUCUCCACUUCAAAUACAAUAGAAAGGGGAUUUCUAAUUUCUCCUCUCUCUCUCUAGAAACUAAUAUGCUUUUCAUUGUUUCUCUCUCUUCCUAGGAAUUUUUGUGGAUCCAUGGAAGAGCAAAGCUCAGUCUCUGCAGCUUCAACUCCGAGAUUGCUUCCGAAUUGCUAUGAGUUUCAUCUUCUAAAAUAAUUAUUUAUUUGGUCUAAUGAUUUGAAUUAUAUGAUUUAGUAGUUCGUGAAGAACAUUAAAGACUUGGACUAGAGUUUCUCAUUCGGUAGUGACAAACCUAAGGCUCCUCAUCAUCGCCACCAAAGUUGUGUUCCUUUGAAGUUGAAAACGACCUGGUAAAAAUUCGAGGGAUUUUGCGUUGGGAUAAAAAGGAAUUGUAAAGUAUUCACCUACACAAGUUAAAAGAUUUCCUACAAUGUUAACAACCUCUCAACAGCCGCAACCUAACAAGAAAAGGCAAUUAUAUUAUCUAAAAACAUCCAACCAAAAUUACACCAAAUAUAGCACGGAAAAACCCUCCUAACCGAGGUAAAAAACCAUGGGAAAAAUUUCCUUCACUUUAAUAAAAAUAUGAAUGCAAAUAAAUCCUCACUACUUUCUUCACCUUGAUAAAUAAUGGAAACAUAUAUCAAUGUCUAAGGAGGGAAUCUAUCAUCCUAGAAAACAAAAAAUAGAAGGAGAUUAGGUAGAGAUCAUACCACAAGAACUCCCCUAAAAGGUUGAUGAAAGAACAUAUACCCUUCACCCUUGAACCCUAGAACAAUGCCAAAAAAACAACCUUAUUUUCCUCUUCCUCUUUCUCUACCAUUUUUCACCAACAUACUAAAGCCUUAACGUUAUUUACAUUUGGGCUUAAAGAAUUCCCAUAAAAAAAAAAGCCCAAUACAUGGUGAAGACUUUGUAAACUUUACUAGCCUCACUGGUAGAAGCGACACCCCCUCGUGUUGACAUACUAAAGUGGUAGGCCGAGUAAGACCUGCACGACACAACGACCAGAUGUUAGAAAGUAGUCACCUGACCCCUGCUGCUUGUAAGCAACACUUCAGCUAAGCAAGGGCUAGCCUACACUGGCUCAAAGCCCAUAUUCGGACAGAGCCCUAGCUCAACCUGUAAGGCAGACCCCAUCCAAGGGUCUCCCCUAUUAACCAUACCCCACAAAGGUCUUGACCCAUCUAGAAACCAAACUACAAAAUUCUUGGUCUUAUUAAGACCUCACCAAACCUAUCACCGGCAACGGCUGCCCUACCCACAAAACAACCAAAAGCGUUCUACAUUCUAUACACCACAGCUAAGCAACAAGUCCAAACUCUAAACAGUGAAAAUACAUAAUCGGUAUGGGGAAUGAAGGCUUACCAAAGUUCAGAAGGAACACUGCUAAUUGAAGCUUAGCCCUCCUAAGCCCAAAAAUGGGGAAACUAGUAGGGUCACCAGAAAGAUGAACAGCCACCGAAGUUGCAGUGGUGUAGAAUGCAAGAGUCGUCAAAGAAAAUGAAUAGUAGAGCAGCGCAACGAUGGUAGCUGUAGAUUGCAGAAUGUAGAGAGAUAAUGACGAGAGAAAAAAAAAAGCCUUGGAGACAAGAAACAUCCAAAUGAAUCCUAAAAGGUCUGGGAUCCCAUAUUUAUAAGGGACCAAAACCCUAGAGAUCCUAAAAGCCAGCCGUCAUGGGACACAUCCUAAAGCGACACGCCGCCUGACAGAAUGCCUUGAUGGAAGUAGCCCUCCUGUAAGUGUCUAACACAUGUCUCACCAGCAUUAGGGGACUCUAGGGGAUUUCAGCUCAUCCACCCCUACCCAGACAUAUACGCACAUGCUGAAGGGAACAUUAUGGGGACCUUAUCCCAUUUGUACACCCACAAGCACUUCCAUGUGUUUAUCCACGUGGCAUCACCCUAAUCGGGCCACGUGUCAGAUCUUCAUCACUACCCGGACAACCUCCAAGGUAUUCGAAGACAUCUUGCCUGGACCAUUUGCCCUGCUGAAAUGGCCCACAUCCCCUUGAUAGCCUCAAAUCCUCUUUGAUAAGCGAGGCCCUCGUUAGCUGACACCUGAUCAAACUCAUGGGAUAUUUUCUAUCCCCACAUCCAAUUUAGUAGACAAGCAUGUCAAAACUCAGGUCAACAGCAAGGUUGAAAGAAUGGCAAGCUAUGACGCGCCAUCUGACACAACCCCUAACUAUCCUGCAGGUAUGAUGAUUGCCCUGCCACUACUGCACAAUCAUCACUACCCGGCCAACUCAGCACUACGAAGCCCCACUCAUCUUUGAACACUAUAAAAACCCUACGAUAAUAUAACAAAAGGGGAUAGUGAGUUCUCAAAUCCACUCUCUAUCUUUCUCUCUCUCUCUAAAGGUUUCCAUUCUUCCUAAUGUCUGACUUGGGCUUUGGAGGGUGUGUCCGGACAACCCAUCCGGACACCUUUGUGUAGGGAAGCAUAAAUCCAAGAUUUCGGUACCAGAGCGGGAGCUUUCUCCACCACGUCUAAGGAAUGAAUCUAUCCUCAGUUGACCAGGUAUCAACACUACCUAGCUCAAUGGUUUCUCUUUCAGUUCAUUUAUUGUCUUCUUACCAAAUGGGAUGGACAACACAUUUUCGAAGUAAGAGGCUAUCAUUGUUUCUUUAACCUUGUCUUCAUUGCUCAAUCACUUUCUUUCAUCCACCACGGUGCCCAUCUUGCAUAUAUUUUGGUUUUCGUCUUCCAUGACUGCAAUUUUGGCCACCAUCUUCCACAGAAAAGCAUUGAGAGACUCUAGUUUGGUCCUCUUGCAGGAGCUACCCUUGCUGGUGGCUAGUGAUUGGAGUAUACUGAGAGUUGUUCGGUUGUGACAUAGUAAAAGCGGUUUAUGAGAAGAUCAUCACCAGGCUGUGGAGCUUUGGGAGGAGGUAAGGCUGACAUGGGGAUGUACAUGUCAUCAAGGGAUAGAUCAUAGGAUCCCGGACAUCGAGGGUUGAGGAGAGAGCGCCGGAAAGAUGGUAGUACGGAUAAUGGCUUGGACUGUGCCAUUUCAGCCCAUGAAACUAGAAACAUAUUGGCAGAAUAUGUGUCUACUUUCCUAUGAUCGAAUGUACAUGCCACCAAAACUCCGCCACAUUUGAGUUGAGUCACUUGUCAUUAGUUCAUUUACAUAACAAUAAGCAUGUCACGAUUACAACUAAUUAGGAUUAGCAUAUCACAGAGAAAGAGAGAGAGUUACCUGGACUGACAGAACGUCAUGUUUCUUCUUAGGGACAAGCUUGCUUUCAAUGCUUUCAUCAGGUUUAUAUAAGUUGAGGUUUUGUAGUUGUCCAUCCGCAUAAGCUUCCAUGAAAUCAACCCCACGGUUGUUGCAAAUGAGCUCGAGAUCACCCGCUGAGUUACUCAAAACUUCCCCUGCAAAUGGAUAAUAGGACACCAGUGCUUGGGCCAAGGCCUCACUCAGAACGCCAAUCAUGGACCCAAAUGAUAAAUCAUGGGGCUUUCUGUAAUAGAAAAACACGCCCACAUCUACUGGAGGCAAAAGCAAGUCCAGGUCAGACGGUGGCAGCCAGUACUCCUGCACAGGCAGUACAACUACCACUACUUCCUUCCUGCUCACUGUUACUGUGAAAUCUCCACCACCCAUGAAUCCUAAUUAAUUCUAAGUGUCUUUGUAUGCCAGAGUGAGUAAUGGAAGAGAAGCAAACUUGUAAGCGUGCGUCUGAGUAAAAAAAUAGCAGCAAGAAACAUGGAUUUUAUAGCACAGGACAGUACUUGUCUCAAGUCCCCACUGACAUUUCAUCAAAUUUUGAUGAGAAAAUUUGAAUGAUGGAUAUGAGAAUGACUACAAAGACCAAGAGUGGUACGAAGGAAUGAAAAUAUUUGUCUUAAUUUUGUUGUAGAUGAGAAAUAAUGAAUUGAUACAGGUUGUAUAUAUUGUUACAUAAACCCCAAGGGGGACUCCUUGAAAUGGAAAAAUAAAUAAAUAGAAGGCUGUAGAAAAUAUCUGAGAUACAUUAAUUUUCAAGCCAAACCCUAGGUUUCCUCCAAGAUCACCAAAUGAGAUGAGUUCAAUGAUCCUUGGAAAAGAAGCUAAUAAAUUUGUGGCUUCUCUUUGGUCAUGAGAGGUUAGAUGUCUUCUAAUUGUGGUACAUAUUUUGGUUGGAUAGCUCAUCAAUUCAGUGACAAUAAACUGAAUGAAAGUGAAAUUUCAAAGCCAUGUCAUUUUUCAGUUGUCUUAAUUUCCUGAAAAUGAUUGAUGGGUUAUUUUAGAAGUUGGGAAUUUCCUUGGAAAUAUCUAUAGAAAAUUAUUUGAUCAAUCAAAUGGUACAUAAUUGAUAACUUCAACACCAUUGCAUACUCCAUGACGGGUUUUACUUCCUAUUUGAGUUUGAAAGAGAAGAGUUCAAAAACAAAAUCUUUGGAAAGCUACACAGCAUAAUAUAUAUAUACACAUAUACAUAUACUAGGCCCGAAGGUAUAUAUAUUUAAUUGAUGACUAGAAAUCUCUGGAAAGAACGAGUUCAAAGACAAUCUCUGGAAAACACCCCUGCAUGACAUGAGAAAGAGACACUUCACUAUUUUACUUAUUUAUGAAAUUUCAAAUUAAUUCUAUCCUUCAAAAAGGAUACAGACCUAAAUACAACCUAAAACCGUGAUCACUUUUCCUCUCAAAUUAAGACUGCCAUCUGGUGGCCUUUUAAUUGCAGUGAUCCUACCAAAGAACGCAUGCAUAGGCCCUGUGAGACUGAUAAUUACAAAGGUGGUGUGGUGGUGUACAACUCUAGUCCAUGCAUGGGAUUAGGUCACUCUUUCUUUCUUCACGACAAUGGAAUUGAUUUUAUGGAACUUACCAAGGUUUGGUAAUUGAGAUUUUCGUAUUAAUGGAUGACAAUGACUUAUAGCCUAGAUAUUUCUAUGCAUCUCUCUUGUAUAAGAAAGACAUUUAUGUCUUUCUUGAAAAUGUUUGAUUGUUUAUUUUUGCAAGUAAUUUGGAAAAUCGUUGUUUUAGCUCGUCACAUCUUUGAAAUGAUGUGCAACCAAUAGUUAGGAGCUUCACAAAAGAAAAUUCUUGGCAUAUAUUAAGUCCUUAACUAAAACAACAAACACUAUAAUGUUCUCUAAAUACAUCUUAAUUAAUUUGGAGGGUUUUGGCCUUUCAAAUAUUUUUAAAUUUCUCCUCCAUCAACAAUUUAUCCACAUUAAAUUUACAUUGAAACAGGACUGGCUUGGUGGGAAACAUGUUUUGACACAUGGACGCCCAAUAAAUUGUUGGGUUUGUUGAAAGAAUUAGCAUUUUUCAUGGUUUAACUGUUUGAAUGAUUGGGCACCAUUCCAUAUGUUGUUGUGAUUCGAUUAUUCCUAUGUUAGUACUAUCUUAUUUCUCAAUGGUGGGAAUGUGGUAAACUAGCUAGUUAUUCUCUUAUGAAAAACCAUGACAAAGAAUGAUAAUAGGGAUUUAAAAAUAAGAUAAUGAAAACAUAAAAUAUCUAAGGUAUAUAAUGAUUUACGUGAAUUAGCCUAAAACUUAUUUUCAUAGGUGAAAGUAAAGAAGAAAUUCCAUUAUUAUUAAAAGAUAUUACAACUCUAGAGUUCCUUUAAUCCCAAAGUCUCAAUUAUAUCCAAAAAAGAGACUUUCUCUUGGCCAAAAUUUCUUUCUAUAUAUAUUCCUAAUUUCAUAGCAAUAUUUCAUAUAGAAAACUAAUUAUAUAACUAUCAAAAGUAUUUAUUCCUAAAAGAAUAUAUAACUAUAGGAUAUUUCCUUUAUGACAUAGGAAACUCCCUUACAUGAAUAUAUCCUACAAAGAAAACAUCAAUGACUUACCAAUUGACACAAAUUAGAAUUUGAAACAUUUUUCAACAAUGUUCACAUUGGCUUAUAUUCAUAAGCUUUGAAUAAACUCGGAAGUCUUUUAUGUUACUUCGCUUUCAUGGUACCUCUAAGGGACCUUGAAAUACUACCAACACCAAUUGAGUUUAAGUAAUGCCUGAACUUAAUUAAAUGUAAAAACGAGCAUAUUCAUAUCAUAUUUGAUGGAUUAUCUAUUCACUACAAUAACACCCUUUGCAAUCACAUCUUUGAUAAAAUGCAUUCAAACAUCAAUAUAUUUUGUCUUCUUAUGAAACAUCUAAUUUUUAUUUAAAUGUAUGGCACUUUGGGUAUCACAAUACCCAAUAAAAAACUCUUGUUGUAAGCUUAAAUUGUCAACCAAACCCUUAAGCCAAACAUGAAAAUCAUCACUUCCAAGAAAGAAAAUAUCCUCAUUAUAGAAGGAGAGUCAUUAAAGACUUUCAAAAUAUAAGUUGUGUUAAACAAAAACCUGACUUAUAUAAAUAGAUUUAAAUUGAAUCUUGUCAUACUAAAGGCCCUAAAUUGAUUUGAUGAAAUAAUAAGGUUGAUGAAUUAAGGAUGUCGGGUAGCUAGAGUGUGUUUGUUUUUAACUAUGGAAUGAUCUAUCAAUUGUUAUACAUGUCAUAUUCCUUGCUAACUUAACUGAAUUAAUUUGAUUCACUAUAUAAUAUUGUGAAAACUUUUGACUUUUAUAUGGAACUGGUAUUUUCCUCUCUUAUUUUUUAUAGUAAGCUAGUCGGUAGCCUUAUCAGGCCUACCUUUUUAUAUCGAUUUACAACAUCUCACCGUUAUCCCUUUGGCAACUACAACUUGAUGCAUACACGGAUGUUUCACAUGACGAUGAUUAAAUUUUAAUCAUUACAAAUUACUUAACUCAUGUUAGAUUCUCAUUAAGGAUGAUCACCUUGCACCUGCGUUAAGUUUGGCAAAAAUUUUAAGAAAUGAUAGAAGAAGUAAUAAUAAAUAUUUUAAAAUUAUUUUGUUGUAGAAAUUGAUAUAUGUACAAUAUAAUUUAUCCCAUUUAAUAAUGAUUUAUCUAUAGCAAGGCUUGUGAGUUAUGAUAACAUCAAAGUAAGAAACACGUCUAGCAAUGGGCAAUGACUGAUGCCAAGGACACAAAAGACUUCGCUCCCACAUCACCAAAGUGGUUCCGUCACAAGCCAAAGUGGGAUCUACGCAUAGAGAUCUCUUUAGUAGCAGUCUAUAAAUCCACCACUUCUCCUCAUCCCCUCCACAAACCAUUCCCAUUUUUCCGUUUCUCUCUAUCUCUCUUAGCUGAAAACCAUGCGUGAUGGAGGAGACUUCACUAUAAUUGUGACCAGGAAAGAGGGUUAAUGGAGGUGAUGACUUACCUUUGGGUCCAUGGUUGGGGUUCUGAAGAAAGCCAUGGUCCAAGCACUGGUCCCCUACAAUGCUUUUGCAGGGAAAGUUGUGGGUCUAUGCAAUAACCGAGGGGUAGAUUUCAUGGAGACUUUAGGUUGUAUAACCUUGACAACAAAAUUGAAGGCAAGCUUGUCCCUAAGAAGUAGCAUGGUGUCCUCUAUGUGCAGGUAACACUUCUCUCUCUCUGACACAUCAUGAUAUUGUCGUGCCAUUAUUACUCUAUGUAAUAAAACAAAUGAAGGAAAAUGAUAGGUGUGUUGAUUUUACAAUGAUUCCUAAUAAAGAAAUUAGAGAAAAACAAAACAAAACACACAGAUUUAACAUAAUUCGACAUAUUGCCUGGGAACAUGGAGAAAGACUUUCACUAUAUCCCAAAAUUAAGGUUAUAUAAAAGGGUAUUUAUGUUAACCCUAGGUAUUGAAAUUUCAAAAAUACCUCUGAAUCGUACCACGUACGGGAGCGUUGCCCCCCGCAUGCCCCCAACCUAUCGUUCGCCCUUUUUCUCUAUAUGUCUUUAAUUCAAUAGGAGCCACAUACUAUAACAUGGUGGGUUGUACAUUCAAUCAUGGGAUGGUUAACACAUAUUCUACUAAUAUGUUCCUAGGUCAUGGGCUGAGAUGGCCCAAUGCAAGUCAUUAUCUGUGGUUCCAUCUUUCCAGCGCUCUCUCCUCAACAUCAGAUGUCUAGGCUCCUAUGAUCCCUCCCUGGAUGACAUGUACGUCCCUUUAUCAACCUUACCUCCUCCUAGAGCUCCGCAGCCGGGCGGUGCCCAUACUUCCAUAAGUCGCAUAUACUAUGUCAUGACAAACAGCUCAGUCUACUCCAAACACUAGCUAGCCAGUACCAGAAAUGGCAGCUCCUACAAGAGGACUAAACUAGAGUCUUUCAGUGCAUUUUUGUGGAAGAUGGUGGCGGAAAGUGUUGUCAUGGAAAAUGAUAACAAAAAGAUAUGCAAGAUGGGCAUCGUGGUGGACGAAAAAAGGCAGUUAAGUAGUGGAGAUGAGGAUAAAUAAACAAUGAUGGCCUCUUACAUUGGAAAUGUGCUGUCAAUCCCCUUUGGUGAGAAAAUGAUAACUAAACUGAAAGAGAAACCCUUAAGUUGGGUGGCAGAUGCAGUUCAUGACAACCUGGAAGGGGCAGCGACAAAUGAGCCUUUCUUGGGGCUCAUAGAUUGGGUAGAGGCUCACCGUCCAGAGCUUGCUUUGGAAAAGAUAUACUGCAGUGGCAGCAGCAAAGGAUCACCGUUUGUUGUAUCAUCAAGGCAGAGAUUCCCAAUGUCAAAGGUAGAUUUCGGGUGGGGUAAGCCUUCUAUGGGAUCAUACCAUUGUCCAUGAGGUGGGGGAGUUGAGUAUGUGAUGCCAAUGCCAAGUCCGACCAGAGAUGGUGACUGGGUGGUGUACAUGCACCUCUUGAAAGGGCAGAUGGAGUUGAUUGAGAUUGAGGCCGCCUAUGUCUUUAGACCUUUAACGUCUGAGUAUCUCAACCUGAUCAUCUGAAGUUUGCUUACAUCCAGAUGACUUCUUAUGUAUUCAUCAAUGUCUCUUAGUUUCUUCAUCCCUCUGCCUUAUAGUUUAUUAGGUCCUUUUAAUUUUUCUCUUUAAUAUGGUGAAUCUCUUGGCUAUGAAGAAUGAGUUUUUGGACUUACAUGAUGUACGAAUCCUAAUUAAACUAAGAUUAUGUUUCCUAAGUAUGUUAUACUUAUUAACUUGAGUUUGAUUCUUUUCAGGAUUUGGAAUCCUAACUUUAUUAAGAGUUUUUUUUUUUUAAUUAGAAUUAGGUUUCUAUAAUUGCUCCUAUAUAUAUUCCAUAGUAAUAGAAAGUUAUGUGUGGUAAAUUUUACAUAAAUAUUUAUCACCUCCUUCAUUGUUUUUUUAUCCUUUUUUUGUGUGAAGAAAUUGUUCUUGUGCUGGAAAGAUUAUUUUUUAUUGCUCACAUUUGGUAUCAGAGCAUGGAGUUUAAAGAUGCAAGCAACCAAUAAUAAUACAAUCCAACCCCAGUUUCCAAAGUUUGAUGGGAGAAAUAAUUUUGAAUUUUGGAGAUCAAGAUGUAACUAUUAUUUAAGUAUCAAGAUAUUUGAGGAGUAGUAGAUUAAGGAUUUGUGGUACCGAAAGAUCAAAUUCAACUCACACAAGUGCAAAAGGAUAAUUUGGUGAAUUUGAAGAAGAAAGGUUUGAAGGCUUGCCUUUACAUCUAUCAGUAAGCAAAACUGCCUAUUUUUUAGAAGAUUGUGAAUACAAGUACGACAACAGAUGUAUGGGACAUCCUUAUGAACACCUACAAAAGGGUAAAGAAGGUGAAGAAGGUACGAUUAUAGGCUUUGAGGAGAUAAUUCGAACUUCUUCAAAUGGAGAAAACAAAAAGAGUCUUCGACUACUUUUCAUGAACAUUAGCUCUUGUCAAUUAGAUGAAAUCUAAUGAUGAAAACAUUUUAGAUCUCCAAGUUAUGGAGAAAAUUCUUCAAACCUUAACCAUGCGAUUCGAAUACAAGGUAACAACAAUUGAAGAAUCAAAAGAUCUUAGUACCAUGACGUUGGAUGAAUUGAUGGGUUCCUUGCAAGCCCAUGAACAAUCCUUAGAUGAAAGGUCCCAAAUUGAGGCAAAAGAAGCAUUAGAAAACCAAGUAAGAAAGGUUAGAAUCACUAUAAGAAAGAUGAUUAUUAGCAACACAAUUUUUUGUCACAAAAAGGUUAAUAUCGUUGCAAAAAAGUUUUCACAAUGAAAAUUAUUUUGUUUCAUGAACGUCACCUUAUCCUCAUCACAAAAAGUUUUUGCAACAAAUAAAAUGUUUCAUCUCUAAUAGUUUAUAGAGACAUAAUUUGUUUGUUGUUUCCAAUAAUAUUUUGAUAAAAAUAUUUAUUGUUAAAUGUUUAAAAUUUUGAUGCUAAAAAUGCUCAAUAAUGAAUUAAAUUGUCACCAAAUUAGACACAUACAACAACAACAAAAAUUAUUAUGUCGUUGCCAAAUAGAUUUUGAAACAAAACUUUAUUUUGUUGCUAAAAGUUAAGGUCAAAUUUUAACAAAAAAAAAAUAAUAAAAAAUAGAUGUCUCUAAAUGUAUGAACUUUUGUUACUAUAUAUCUAUAUGUGUAUAGUAAUUUUAUCAUCAUAUCUUAAAAUAUUCAAUUAAUAUAUUUUAGUUUUUAUAUUUAAUUUUAAAUUAUAAAACCUUGUUAAAAAAUUAAAUUUUGUGAUAACUUAACUUUAUUAUGUAAUUAAUAAUUAUAACAUCUAAAUGAAUAAAUAAAUUAUAUGAUAACAUAGUUUUAAUACAUGAUUGAUAAUAUUCCAUCAAAUAUAAAAGAACUUUGUUAUGUCCACAUAUACGAAAAAGAAAAAAAAAAGAAAGUAAACAUUGAUAUCCACAUUUGUAAAAUGUGAUACGUUUUAGAAAUAAAAGAAAAGUAGCAAACUAACAAAUACACAAAAUAUGAUAACAUCUAAAAAAUUGCAAUGAACUAAAUAAAGUACCAUAUAUACAUGCCAAAAGGAGAGUGUCCCCAAAAAAGCCAAAACCAAAUGCUUAGAAAAUAUCGAUCAUCAUCCAUGAGUGACUAGGAAUCUAUGAAUGGUGUAUCAUGUGAGGAAGAUGAACUUUCUGAGCCUGAACCUAGAAUGCACAUGUAUUAACAUUUCACUAACAAAACUAGCUAAUUGAUCCAUCUGGGAUUGUUGGUGCUAGAUUCGAGCCUCUUGACUUUGGAUGAGCUCUUGUGUUGAUCUAAGCUCAGUCUCUAAUUCCAUCUCUCGAUGUGACUUAGCACAUAUAGAUCUCGAUGAGGAUGGGGGUGGUCGAGGGCCAUGACUUAACCCCUUGAUAGAUCUCGAGCCUAGCUAGCACGUGAACACAUAUAUCAACCUUUGCCAAGAUUUUACCAUCUUCCAACACUAGUUACCUUUGCAAUUCCAACAUUCUUUCCUACAAAUAUAAAGAAAAGAUAAAUAAUAUUAAACACAAACCAACCGAAUAAAUAAAAGUUUGAAAAAUAAAGUACAUUAGAAUAAAAUCUUUUUAGCAUAUUGAUUCAUGCCCAAUCGGGUGUUUAUCAAAACAUUUAUAAAACCUACAACACCUUAUACUAGGGUAGCAAAGACAAAGCUACUAUAGCAUAGUGGCUCUAGGAUCGUCCACAUGGAUGGGUUUUCUUUGUACACAUGACAUUAAUGAAAUGAGAAAUGGUGAUUUCCUUUUUUGAAAGUUAGUUUUUUUAAUUGAAAAUAAGAUGGAUUGGAAGGGUUGAUUUUAAGUUAAGCAAACAUAAACAACUAAAAUUACUAUAAAGAGAAAGUCUCUUGGAGCUAUAGGUUACUAGGAUCAGGUUCCUGUUGCAAAGUGGGAAAUUUUGGAUCUUCUCCUCACAUUGAGGAUAAUAACAUAAAGGAUGGUUAUCUCCCGAACCGGAUUUGUAUUUAGAAAAUAAGUUUUGAUCGAAAGGAUUCUUGAAAAAUGGUAGUUGCUUCCCAUUAAUGGCUUCAAACACUAAAGACCCUCACCUUGAACCACCUUCUAAUGGCUCGUACUUGAUAACUAAUGGACAUCCAUGAAUCUAGCAAUAAGCAUCCAUAAAAUCUUAAAAGCUUACCAAGUAUUGGUCAUUCAAGGUGAUUCUAAGGGAUUAAAGCUGAAACUUGAAAUACAAACCAUUAACGAUACACAACUACCUUCAUUUUUAGCAAGGAAAACUCUCACAUUUGCAUCUAGGUCCUUUACCUAGCUUCCAUCACUCCAAGAAAUGUGAAACUUAGCCACUCAUCCUGAGAAAUCAUCCUCAGAGGGUGUUUGGCUAGAGAGAAAGUGAAGAGAAAAUGAGAAGGAAAGGCAGAGAAAAACUCGUCUUUACAAAAUAUCUAAAACAUAAUAUCAAACAUAACAUAAUAUCUGAGAGGUUUUCCAACCCCUAUUUAUAGUUCCUAAACAAACCCUAAUGUCAUUUAUCUAUUACAAAAAGAGUAAAAAGGAAAAAAAUUACAAUUUUGGGGAUUUUUCCCGAAGGUCGGUGCGCACAUAGUGAUUUUCGUACACCCUGCGAAAAUUUGGCACACCCUGCCAAAGUUUGGCAUACCCUGCGAAAUUUGGCACACCUUGCCAAAGUUUGGCACACCCUACGAAAUUUUGGCACACCUUGCCAAAAUUUGGCACACCUUGCGCAUUUUGACACACCUUGCGAAUUUGAUGAUUUUGCCUUUCAAAAUGCUCUGUUUUCCUCCAUCUUACUACUGAUAGUUUUGUCAACCCCUUGCCAAGUUUGGCAAAGGGUUUUGAAGUGCUCCAAAGCUCGGGUUCUUCAUGUGCUCCAAACUCUCCCUCAAUCUUGGCCUGUUUCAGUGAUCAAAAAGCUACCAAAAACACUAAAAUUUACCAAAAAUUGGUUAGUAACAUUUGCUAGGUUCUUAACAUGCCAAAUGGGAUAUAAAGGUCUAACUACUACUCAAAAGUGCUAAGUACAAUUAAGUUUAAGCUUAUAAAAAUGCACUUUUUGAGUAAUAAUCACUCCCCCCAACCGACACAUUGCUAAUCCCUUAGCAAUGAAAGAGAGAAAAAGAAAAACAUCUCUCAUGGAAAAUCAAAGAUAUAAAACCCAACCUUCAACAAGAGUCAUUAAAUCACUUACCUAAUCACAAAAAUACAAAGAGUAGGCAUUACACAAAUUUAAGCAUCAAAAAAAUUUCUACUCCCAGAGAUCCAACUCUUAAUCUUCCACAAGAAUCUAAGUGUUAAGGUGAUUAGUUUCCAAUUAUAGUAUGCUAAACUAUGCUCUCCCCCCAACCUAGUUCUUUCUCAAACCUAGCACUCUGACCAACACCCAAUAGGCUAAGAACGCACCUCUUUUAUUUCACAAUUUUUUUAUUUGCUUAACUUCACCCAUUCACCCUUAUAACGAGCAUUAAGGCCUGUGACUCCUAACCAAUUAAGGUUUAAGGUAGCAGGCUUCAAAGACUUUCUCCAUAUACCCCUAAGACUUUGCUCGGGUUUCAAGGCAAGUGUAACACUUUUUUUUUUUUCUUUUUUUUUUCUGAAGGCUCAUUGGCCUUCUAUAAGGUGUCCCAACACUAUUAAAAUGAGGUCAAAGGUACCAAGUCAAAAUUUUCCUAAGUUCAAGGGGUGAGAUAGUUUUUCAUCUUAUAAUUGGAACCUAAUGUGCACAGUGUGUGGUAAGAUUAAAGUGGAAGAGACAAGAUUGAAUUCAAUAGGAACUUCAAUAAUUCAUCUACCUCAAUAAACAUAAUACAAACUCUAAGACUUAAGCAAAAAAACAAGAACUCAACUUCUCUCAUUUCAUUUUGAGAAUUUUUUCUUGACAACCAUGGAGAGUAGAGUAAAUUUUUAUAAAAAAUUAAACAAAAGGUAACUACGUUAACAAAAUAUCCUAGCAAUAUUUACAAUACUUACUUCCUCAACUCUCCCCCCAACCAAGAUGAACAUUGUCCUCAAUGAUUCAAUCGCAAGUGAAAAUAAAGGAAGGAAGUGAUACCUCCUUAGGGAAAUGCACUCGGAAGUGUAGAGGAGAAACCACAUGGUUCAACAAACAAUUUUUUCACAGUCAUGCAAAAGUUUCGCAAAAGGGAGCGAAAUAGAGUAGAGAAGUGAGAAAUGAAGUUGGGAUGUAUGUUGUAAAAAAAAAAAAAAUUACUUUUUUUUUUUUUUUUUUUUUUUUGAGAAGGAAAGAUGGAGGGGUGGAGAUGGUUCGCAAAGUGGGAAUUUCACAAAAGCACUUUCACUAAGGCACUUUCGCAAAGUGGGAUUUCGCAAAGUGGGUAUGUGAAAAAAUGGUAUGCGAACUUGAUUCGCAGGGUGAACUUUGAGUUCACAAACCCUGUGGAAAUUCAUAAAGGAUGCGAAGUUAAAGACUGAGAGCUAUCGUUUUCAAAAAUGAUCACAAGGGGGUUUCGCAGAGGAUUCGCAUACCCUGUGUUUUUUCGCAUAGGGUGAGAAGUUAAAGACCGAGAGCUUUAAUUUUUCAAAAAUCAUCAGGAAAAUUUCGCAGAGGGUGCGAAAUUUUCGCAUGCUCUGUGAAAUGGUAGUAGCUCACCUAAUGCAAAGAGCACUUUUCGUACACCACGCGAAAAAUUCAUAGGGAGGUAUGCGAAAUGCUCUGCUUCAAUUUUUCCUCAGUUUUUCCUCUGCCAACGAAUCCUUAAGUGCUCUCCCCUGCAAGUGAACAUCAAAAACCUAAAUUACAUCAAACCAAAAGGUAAUUGAAGCAAGAAAUCAAAAUCAAAACAAAUACAAAUGUAAGAAAAACAUGAAAUAAAAAACAAAACCAAAAAAAUGAUGGACUUAAUAGUUUUCAGAAAGACUAAGUCCAUCCAGGAUCUGAUUUUUCAAGCCUAAGGAGGAUCAAUGAGGAUGAAUUCCUCCUUGUCUCGAGAAAAAUGCUCCACAAAUGGCUUGAGAUGAUGGUCAUUUACUUUGAAAUUUCGGUUGUUGUUGGCGUUGAGUAGCUCCACUACUUCAUUCGAAUACACUUGGUGGAUUGUGAAAGGACCUAACCACCUUGAUUUCAACUUGCCCGGAAAGAUAUGGAGCUUAGAGUCAUAGAGCAAGACUCUUUGUCCCUUUGAAAAGUCAUUUCGGGUCACCAACUGAUCAUGCCAUUUCUUCAACCUCUCUUUUACAAAUUUUGAAUUGAGGUAAGCAUCAUUUCGUAGUUCCUCUAACUCAUUGAGGUCUAAGAAUCUCUUCAACCCGACUUUGCUCAAAUCCAUGUUGAGUUUCUUGAUUGCCCACCAAGCCUUGUAUUCCAAUUCCACAUGGAGAUGACACGCUUUGCCAUAGACUAAGCGAUAAGGGGACAUCCCAAGAAUGGUCUUGUAAGCUGUUCUAUAAGCCCAUAGUGAAUCAAGGAGUUUGAUAGACCAAUCUUUUCUGUUCACAUUCACCACCUUCAUCAAUAUGUUCUUGAUCUCCCGGUUUGCCAACUCAACUUGCCCGCUAGUUUGAGGAUGGUAAGGCGUAGCUACCUUAUGCUUCACCCCAUACUUGGCUAAAAGAGUUUCAAAAGGCUUGUUACAAAAAUGAGUACCCCCAUCACUGAUUAUGGCUUUAGGCACUCCAAAUAUUGAGAAAAUGUUCUUCUUCAAGAACUUGAUAACCACCCUAUGGUCAUUAUGUUUACAUGGAACUGCUUCAACCCACUUAGAAACAUAAUCGACUCCCACCAAGAUGUAGGAGUAGCCAAAUGACAUAGGAAAAGGUCCCAUGAAGUCAAUGCCCCAAAUAUAAAAAAGAUCAACUAUCAGAAUGGGGUUCAAAGGCAUCAUAUUCCUUCGGGUCAACUUCCCAAGCCUUUGACAUCGAUCACAACCCUUGCACAUGGCAUGUGCAUCUUUGAAAAGUGAGGGCCAACAGAAAACCGAUUGCAAGACCCUCAUAGUUGUCUUCUGAGAAGCAAAGUGGCUUCCACAAGCAUUCUCAUGGCAAUGAGAGAGAAUCCCCUGUUGCUUUUGUUCAGGAACACACUUUCUUAUUAUUUGAUCUGCACAAUACUUGAAUAGAAACGGUUUUUCCCAAUAGUAGGCAUGGAUCUCUGCAAAGAAAUGCUUCCUAUCUUGUGCUUUCCACUCACUUGGAACUUCUCCUGUAACUAGGUAGUUCGCAAUAUGAGCAUACCACGGAGUUACUUCCACCAACAUGAGAGAUUCCUCUGGGAAGUCAUCAUUAAUGGGCAAACUAUGGGAAUUAUGUGCAAUUGCAAGCCUUGAAAGGUGGUCAGCUACCACAUUUUCUACUCCCUUCUUGUCUUUGAUUUGAAGAUUGAACUCUUGAAGCAAGAGGAUCUACCUAAUCAGUCUUGCCUUGACAUCUUACUUAGUCAACAAGUACUUCAAAGCAGAGUGAUCGGUGAAUACCACUAUGAAAGACCCCACCAAGUAAGCACAAAAUUUGUCUAAGGCAAAAACUACCGCUAACAAUUCCUUCUCGGUGGUUGUGUAGUUUCUUUGUGCCUCAUUGAGUGUCUUACUGGCAUAACAGAUCACAUAGGGUUUUCCAUCUUCUCUUUGGCCCAACACAGCUCCAAUAGAAAAAUCACUAGCAUCGCACAUUACCUCAAAGGGUAAUUGCCAGUUAGGAGCUCACACAAUGGGUGUUGUUGUCAGAAAUGACUUUAAUUGCUCAAAACUUCUUUGGCAUCUUUCAUCCCAAACGAAUUUGGCAUCCUUGACCAAUAGUUCACAAAGAGGCCUUGCAAGCUUUGAAAACUCCUUGAUAAACCUCCUAUAGAACCCAGCAUGUCCAAGGAAUUGUCUUACUCCCUUGACAUUGGUAGGGGAUGGCAACUUGACAAUGAGUUCAACUUUUGCUUUAUCAACUUCAAUUCUCUCCUUAGAGAUGAUAUGCCUGAGAAUAAUCCAUUAUUGUACCAUGAAAUGACACUUCUCCCUAUUAAGCACCAAGUCUUUUUCAAUGCACCGGUUUAGAACAGAUUCUAAGUUUAUCAAGCAAUCCUCAAUUGCACUUCCAUAAACGGUGAUAUCGUCCAUAAAGACUUCCAAAAUUCACUCCACCAUAUCAUUAAAGAUGCUUAGCAUGCAUCUUUGGAAAGUUGCGAGUGCAUUGCAUAAACCGAAGGGCAUUCUCCUAUAUGCAAAUAUACCAAAGGGGUAUGUGAAAGUGGUAUUCUCUUGAUCUUCCAAAUCAAUCUCUAUUUGAAAGUAGCCAGAGUAGUCAUCCAAAAAAUAGUAGAAAUGAUGCCUAGAAACCCUUCCUUGUCACCGCAUUCAAUUUCCUGUAAUCGAUACACACCCUCCAACCGGUAGUAAGGCAUAUGGAGACAUCUUCUCCCUUAUCAUUCUGCACCACCAUGAUCCCAGACUUCUUUGGGACAACCUGGGUUGGACUCACCCAUAAGCUAUCUGAUAUGGGAUAAAUAAUACCGGCUUGAAGUAGCUUCAAAACUUCAGCUCGCACCACCUCUUGCAUGUGAGGGUUCAACCUUCUCUACGGUUGGCAAACUAGCUUUGCUUCCUCCUCCAUAUAGAUAUGAUGGGUGCACACCAAAGGGCUGAUCCUUUUCAUGUCCGAAAUUUUCCACCCAAUGGCCUUCUUACAUUUUCUAAGGACUCCGAUUAGAUAAUCCUCUUGAUGAAUGGAGAGAGCUGAAGAGAUCACCACAGGGCACUGCUUGUCUUCCUCCAAGUAUGCGUAUUUCAACCCAGUAGGAAGAAGCUUAAGAGUAAGCUUUGGGGACUCCUCCUUAGUAGCUCUGUGCGACUUCUCCUCAUUGAACAAAGGUAGAAUAUCUUCCUUCCUUUUCCAAUGAGACAUGGUAGUUAGCAAAUCUGAGGGUUCAGGUAACCCUUCAUCAAGAUCCCCAAGACUCUCAAUCAAAUCUUCCUCCAUGCUCUGUUCAUAGUGCUCCUCCACCAAAGUGUCAAUCAUGCACACUUCCUCUAGCCCUUCCUCUUCUUUCGGAUGGAGAUACUUCUUGCACAAAUGGAAGAUAUUUAGCUCCAAGGUCAUGUUGCCAAACGUGAGUUGCAUAACUUCAUUCCUACAAUUGAUGAUUGCAUUAGAAGUAGCGAGGAAUGGUCUUCCAAGUAUGAUUGGCACAUAGUUUGUCCCCGUGACAACUGGAUCACUAUCAAGAACAACAAAAUCUACUGGAUAGUAGAAUUUGUCAACCUGUACCAAGACAUCUUCAAUUAUCCCCCUUGGGAUCUUCACUAAUCUAUUAACUAGGGAGAGAGUAAUGGAUGUGGCCUUCAACCCCCCAAGUCCUAACUGCUUGUAAACCGAAUAGGGUAGCAAAUUCACACUUGUUCCCAAGUCUAGAAGAGCUUUCUCCACACAUGUCCCUCCAAUAUUUACUGAAAUGGUGGGGCAUCCUGGAUCUUUAUACUUCACUGGAGAUUGGCACUGGAUGAUAGCACUUACUUGUUCAGUCAAGAAGGCUUUCUUGGUCACAUUUAACCCUCUCUUUAUAGUGCACAAGUCCUUCAAGAAUUUAGCAUAAGUUGGAACUUGCUUGAUCAUGUCAAGUAAAGGAAUGUUGACCUUUACUUGCCUCAACACUUCAAAAUUUUUUGAUGUAUUCUUGGUUCCCUUCUUACCAUGUAAAGCUUGAGGGAAAGGUGGAGGCAUGUGCUUCUUCAUCAUAUCUUCCUUGAUGACUAUCCUUGGUUCUUCAUCCACACUUGAAUCAUGGUCACCUUCAUCUGACUUCUUCUCACCCAUGUCUUUCUUUGAUUCACUUCGUUCACCAUGCUUCAGCUUAGGUGCGGGUUGAACAACCUCCUUACCACUCCUAAGAGUGAUAACUAAUUUGACUUCCCUAACCUUUGAAGAUUCUCCCUCUUGAGCUUCUACUUCAUGAAUACCCUUGGGAUUUUGAUGAGGUUGAGAAGGAAACUUUCCUUUUUCUUGCACAGUAUUGAGGUUAGUGAGCCUUGAGAUGAAGUAUUGAACAUUAUCUAUCUUCUGAGAUAGAUCAUUUUGCAUCCCAUCCAUUCUCUUAUUCAAUGUACUCUCCACUUUAUCAAUUUUCUUAUUCAAUUGAGAGUUGAUUGACUUUUGCUCUCCCACAAAGUCUUCCAUAACCUUGCUAAGAUUCACAAUGGCUUAUUCAAGGUUUGAAGCUUGUUAAGGUGCUUGAGCUGGUGGUGUGUACUGAGGUGGCCUUGGCUUCCAUGAGAAAUUUGGAUGGUUCCUCCAAUUAGAAUUGUAGGUGCUUCCAUAAGGAGCAUAGUUGUUGGGCUUGAAUUGGUCAACCACAUUUGCUUGAUCACCAAACAUUUCUCGCACUGUUGGAAUGGUUGGACACUCCUCCACCAAAUGCUCAUAAGACUGACAUAUGGAACAAGACGUAGCUUGCACUCGUGUCUCGAAAAUGGCCUGUACUUCUUGUACUUUCUUCAGUUAUAGCUCUUCCAAUCUCCUUGCCAUAGUUGCAAAUUUUGCUUUCAUGUCCAUGUCUUCACUCAACACAUACAUUCCACCCUUAGCAUUGGGCUGAGACUUCAUCCUCCCCACAUCUCUGGUAUUCAGUUCAUCCCAUCCUCUUGAAACUUCAAAAACAUAGCUCAAGAAGUCCAUAGCUUCCUCUAGAUUCUUACUCAUGAAGUCUCCUCCACACAUGGUCUCUAGGAGUUGCUUCAUAGAGGAAGACAUACCAUCAUAGAAAUAACUCACUAAGAGCCAUGUAUCAAAGCCAUGGUGAGGACAAGCGUUGAAAGCUUCCAUGUACCUCUCCCAACACUCAUAGAAUUUCUCAUUCUCCUUAGCUGAGAAGUUCGAAAUUUGCCUUUUCAAGCCAUUGGUCCUAUGAGUAUGGAAGAACUUCUUGAGAAACUCAGCUUGUAAAUCAGUCCACGUUCUGAUACUCCUCGGCCUUAGAGAAUUAAGCCAAACCUUGGCCUUAUCCUUUAAGGUGAAAGGGAAUAGCUUGAGUCUCAUCAAGUCAAUUGUAGCUCCUCCUUCUUGGAAUGUAUUGCACACGUCUUCAAACUCCUUGAUGUGAGAAUAGGGGUUCUCACUUUCCAUCCCAUGGAAAGUAGGUAGAAGUGGCACUAUAUGAGGUCGGAUUACUAGCUGCUCAGUGGGAGGCACUAUGCAUGAAGGUGCACUCAUUCUAGGUGGAUGCAUGCGAUCCUUCAUGGAUCGGUAUGCAUUGAGAUUCUCCUCUUGCCUAUGUUGGCUAUGUUGAUCUUUGGGUGGACAAUCCAUGAUGUUCAAGCAGACUUCCAACUCAAUUUCUUAAGGAGUUUCAGUUUUCACAAGUCUUCCCUCAAUAUCUCUUAUCCAAUAAGGCAUUGAUUACUACUCAAAAAGUGCAUUUUUAUAAGCUUAAACUUAAUUGUAUUAAGCACUUUUGAGUAGUAGUUAGACCUUUUAUCCCAAUUGGCAUGUUAAGGACCUAGCAAAUGUUACUAACCAAUUUCUAGUAUGUUUUAGUGUUUUUGGUAGCUUUUUUAUCACUGAAACAGGCCAAGAUUGAGGGAGAGUUUGGAGCACAUGAAGAAUCCGAGCUUUGGAGCACUUCAAAACCCUUGCCAAACUUGGAAAGGGGUUGGAAAAGCUAUCAGUAGUAAGAUGGAGGAAAACAGAGCAUUUCGCAAGGCAAGAUCAUCAAUUUUGCAAGGUAUGCCAAAAUUUGGCAAGGUGUGCCAAAAUUUCACAAGGUGUGCCAAAGUUUCGCAGGGUGUGCGAAAAUCACUUUGUGCGCACCGACCUUUGAGAUUUUUCUCCAAAACUGUAAUUUUUCCUUUUUACUCCUUUUGUAAUAGACAAAUGACAUUAGGGUUUGUUUAAGAACUAUAAAUAGGGGUUGGAAAACCUCUCAAAUGAUGUUAUGGUAGAUAUUAUGUUUUAGAUAUUUUGGAAAGACGAGUUUUUCUCUGCCUUUCCUUCUCAUUUUCUUUUCACUUUCUCUCUAGCCAAACACCCUUUGAAGAUGAUUUCUUAGAGGAUGAGUGGCUAAGUUUCACGUUUCUUGGAGUGAUGGAAGCUAAGUAAAGGACCUAGAUGCAAAGGUGAAAGUUUUCCUUGCUUUAAAUGAAUGUAGUUGUGUAUCAUUAAUGGUUUAUAUUUCAAGUUUCAGCUUUAAUCCCUUAUAAUCACCUUGAAUGGCCAAUACUUGGUAAGCUUUUAGGAUUCUAUGGAUGCUUAUUGCUAGAUCCAUGGAUGUCCAUUAGUUAUCAAGUACGAGCCAUUGAAAGGUGGUUCAAGGUGAGGGUCUUUAGUGUUUAAAGCCAUUAAUGGGAAGCAACUACCAUUUUUCAAGAAUCCUUUGGAUCAAAACUUAUUUGCUAAAUACAAAUCCGGUUCGGGAGAUAACCAUCCUUUAUGUUAUUAUCCCCAAUGUAAGGAGAAGAUCCGGAAUUUCCCACUUUGCAACAGGAACCUGAUCCUAGUAACCUAUAGCUCCAAGAGACUUUCUCUUUAUAGUAAUUUCAGUUGUUUAUGUUUACUUAACUUAAAAUCAACCCUUCCACUCAAUCUUAUUUUCAUUAAAAACUAACUUUCAAAAAGGAAAUCACCAUUUCUCAUUUUAUUAAUGUCAUGUGUACAAAGAAAAUCCAUCCCUGUGGACGAUCCUAGAGCCACUAUACUAUAGUAGCUGUCUUUGCUACCCUAGUAUAAGGUGUUGUAGGUUUUAUAAAUGUUUUGAUAAACACCCAAAUGGGCAUGAAUCAGGCAUACACAACUCGAGAUUACUGAAACAAAAACAAAGAAAGCAAAAAAGACUACAAUUCUAGGAAAAGAUUUAAGGUUAGCUAAAAACUAAAUGAAAGAUAAGAUAAAAUAAAAACAAAGAAAAUGAGUUAGUGAAAGAAAAAUCACCAACUUGUGAUGAAGAUCAUGAGUACUCAUAAAAAGUAAUAUUUAUGUACUUAGGAACCAUCCCCGGCAGCGGCGCCAUUUGAUUCAUGCCCAGUCGGGUGUUUAUCAAAACAUUUAUAAAACCUACAACACCUUAUAUUAGGGUAGCAAAGACAAAGCUAUUAUAGCAUAAUGGCUCUAGGAUUGUCCACAAGGAUGAGUUUUCUUUGUACACAUGAUAUUAAUGAAAUGAGAAAUGGUGAUUUCCUUUUUUGAAAGUUAGUUUUUUUAAUUGAAAAUAAGAUUGAUUGGAAGGGUUGAUUUUAAGUUAAGCAAACAUAAACAACUAAAAUUACUAUAAAGAGAAAGUCUCUUGGAGCUAUAGGUUACUAGGAUCAGGUUCUUGUUGCAAAGUGGGAAAUUCUGGAUCUUCUCCUUGCAUUGGGGAUAAUAACAUAAAGGAUGGUUAUCUCCCAAACCGGAUUUGUAUUUAGCAAAUAAGUUUUGAUCGAAAGAAUUCUUGAAAAAUGGUAGUUGCUUCCCAUUAAUGGCUUCAGACGCUAAAGACCCUCACCUUGAACCACCUUCCAAUGGCUCGUACUUGAUAACUAAUGGACAUCCAUGAAUCUAGCAAUAAGCAUCCAUAGAAUCCUAAAAGCUUACCAAGUAUUGGCCAUUCAAGGUGAUUCUAAGAGAUUAAAGCUGAAACUUGAAAUACAAAUCAUUAACAAUACACAACUACCUUCAUUUUUAGCAAGGAAAACUCCCAUCUUUGCAUCUGGGUCCUUUACCUAGCUUCCAUCACUCCAAGAAACGUGAAACUUAGCCACUCAUCCUUUGAAAAAUCAUCCUCAAAGAGUGUUUGGCUAGAGAGAAAGUGAAGAGAAAAUGAGAAGGAAAUGCAGAGAAAAACUCGUCUUUACAAAAUAUCUAAAACAUAAUAUCUAACAUAACAUAAUAUCUGAGAGGUUUUCCAACCCCUAUUUAUAGUUCCUAAAUAAACCCUAAUGUCAUUUAUCUAUUACAAAAGGAGUAAAAAGAAAAAAAAAAUUACAAUUCUGGAGAUUUUUCCCAAAGGUCGGUGCGCACAUAGUGAUUUUCGCACACCCUACGAAAAUUUGGCACACCCUGCGAAAUUUUGGCACACCUUGCCAAAAUUUGGCACACCUUGCGAAUUUUGGCACACCUUGCGAAUUUGAUGAUUUUGCCUUGCGAAAUGCUCUGUUUCCCUCCAUCUUACUACUGAUAGUUUUGGCAACCCCUUGCCAAGUUUGGCAAAGGGUUUUGAUGUGCUCCAAAGCUCGGGUUCUUCAUGUGCUCCAAACUCUCCCUCAAUCUUGGCCUGUUUCAGUGAUCAAAAAGCUACCAAAAACAUUAAAACUUACCAGAAAUUGGUUAGUAACAUUUGCUAGGUUCUUAACAUGCCAAAUGGGAUAUAAAAGUCUAACUACUACUCAAAAGUGCUUAGUACAAUUAAGUUUAAGCUUAUAAAAAUGCACUUUUUGAGUAGUAAUCACAUAUUCAACUAUUAUUAUUUAUGUAUGGAUCUAACUUAGCUAAUUCAACUAUAAUUUAUUGAAAAGAGACAUUAUGUGUAGAUCUAACAAUUUGCUUAUGUUUCAUAGCAUGUUCUUCAUGACUAUGAGAAAAUUUUAAAAGGUUCAUAUUUAUUUUUAUAGAAUUUUCAUAAAUUUUACAAAGAAAAUUCAUUGAUCCAUCCUUCUUCUUCACAAAUAAAAAAGGAGCUCCCCAAGGUGAAACACUAGGUCAAUAAAACCCUUAUCUAACAACUCUUGAAGCUAAGCCUUCAACUCCUUAAGCUUCAUAGGUGCCAUCUUGUAUGGAGUCUUAGAUAUAGGAAUUGUUCUUGGUACCAAAUCAAUGGUAAAUUCCACUACCUUUUCUGGUGGCAAGCCAAGCAAAUUAUCUAGAAAAACAUCAGGAAAUCCCUUACAACGGGUAUGUCCUCCAACUUUAAAUCAUUUUCAUCACUCACCACAUAAGCCAAAAAGCCUUGACAACCCUUCCUAAGCAAAGAACUAGCUUGUAAGGCUAAGAUCAUACGGAGUGGUCUAUCUGCAUGCUUCUCCUCAAAAUUGAACUCAAAUUGACCAAGGAUGCUAAAUAUCACCCUUUUCCCAAAACAAUCAACAAAAACAUGAUAGGAAGCUAACCAAUCCAUUCCCAAAAUUACAUCAAAAUUCUUAAGGUCAAGAAGUACUAAGUCAACUGGCAUUUCCGUAUAACCAAUCAUCACAAGACAAUCUCUAAGCAUUUUACUGGUCACAACAGAAACUCCCAUAGGAGUAGCAAUCAAAUCAAAGUCCAUGUUAGCAAAAGGCAUACCCAACAAACCAACAAAACAUAUUGAAACAAAAGAGUGUGUUGAGCUUGGAUCAAUUAAGGCUCUAGCAAAUAAAGUGUUAAUUCGGAUAGUACCUGUCUCCAUAUCAGAAGUAGCCUGAGCAUCUCGAUGAGUCAUAGCAAACACCUGCCCUUGGGCCCUAGGCUUCUCUUUAUCCUCUUUAUUCUCCUCCUUAGGCUUCCCAAUGAUAAACUUUUUAUUCUCUGGACAAUCUCGAACCAUGUGUCCUUGCUUCCCACAACCAAAGUAAGCUCCAAUCUCCCUAUAGCAUAACUGAUUACUACUCAAAAAGUGCUAUUUGAUAGCCUAUAAUUAAUCCUUUUAAACACUGUUGAGUAGUAGUUUUGGCCUUUUAACUCAAUUGGCAUGUUAAGGACCCUUGAAAGCAAUUUUAAUCACUUUGUGUAAGUUUUGGUGUUUUUGUUAGUAUUUUGAUCACCAAAGCAAGUCAAGACUGAGGAGAGCUAUGAGGAAUCUUGGGCAAAGCUUAGAAGUCAUUUGCCAAGAGUAAAUCCGGAUUGCAAGGAGAAAAAGCAAAGAGAAUCUGCCAUAAAGCAUAUUCUUGAUGACAGUCAUAGCAGCCACUUUUGGAGCACUUUCUGAAGUCCAAAUGAUGCAUGCUAUAUACCAUUUCAAAGAUCAGGAAGUCAACAAUCCAAUGCUUCAAACGGUGUGUAAUUCGGAGUUGAAACGAAGAAGUUGCAGCCAUUACAAACCAAUCACUCCGAGCUGAAGGAAGCAUUUUGCAAAGUGUUGCGAAAUCACCCUUUUGUUGCGAAGUGAUUUCGCAGUCUUUUUGAACAGUGUGAUGUUUCUCCUUCUGAUGAUACCCGAUUUAUGCCGCGAGAAGGAAGCUGGGAACCUCAAGGUGGAAGCCAACUUCGCAGCCCUGUGAAGAUAGCUUGGUGUUGUGAAAUUAUUUCGCAGCCCUCUUGAGUGUCUGCGAAAUCUCGCAGACACCAUUUUUCUCCUGCGAAAUGGUUCCUGAAGCCUCCCGAUAUUUGCUACCGACAUUGGGAGAUAUUUUCCAUUAGAUUUUUGUUGUCUAAAUCCCAAAAUACUCCUUGUAAACCACCAAUUACAAGAUUCCUUAGCUUUUAAGUUAGUAAAAAGACUAAAUAUCUAUGUAAUAAUUAGUUUUAUAUUAUGUUCAUAUAUAUACCUCUCGGGAGCCUGUUCUCAGAGAGAGUUCCUUCUGUAAAAGUUUGGGUAAGCAAGUAAAGUUCAGUUCUUUCUACUGCCUUACCUUCUCACUUUGUAUUUUUAUUUUAUUUCUAAGUUAUGAACUCUCUGAGGAGUUUUCCCCAGAGAAUGAGUAACUAAACUUCUAAUUCCUUGGAGCUAAGGUUGCCGGGGAAGGUUCCAAGUGCAAGAAUGCAAAACUUUGUGGUUUUAGUUAGUAAUGAAGAGGAAGUGAAAUCCUUUAGUGAUUUCUAUGUUUUUAGUUAACUUAAAACACCUUAGAGUCACCUGGGCCAACACUUGGUAAGGCAAGUGAUUUCCAACCAUGGAAAUGCACUAGUUUACCCCUUGCGAGCCUCUGGGAGGUGACUUCAAGGUAGGAUUUUCUAGAAUAGCCAACACUUGGUAAGCUUUUGGACUCCUAGGAGACAUCCAUUAGUUAUCUCUUGUGAGCUUUUGACGGGUAAUCCAAGGUUAAAGAUCACCUUGAAUGGUUAAGGCUUAGUGAGAGGCUUAAACCAUUGCAAGUUGCAUCAGUGAGGGAAUUAAAGUGAAAUCUAAUUGAAGGAGUCUCUGUACAACACCGGUUAGAGAAUUGACUAUAUGUUGAAUCUCUAACACGAGGAAAUGAACCAUCUGACCAGAGCCGUGUCUUUUGCAUGAGGAACCACCCCAGUGAACCUAACUCUCCAAGGAAUGUUUUCUUCCUAAAUUAUUCCAAACUUCUGUUAUGUUAGUUAGUUUAAGUCUAAACCUUUACCAAUCAAAGUUUGUGUUUUACUUCUUAAGCUAACCAUGAAAUGAAACAAGACCAAUUCACUUGGAAUUGGUAUCAUUGAUUGCUUGUUAAUCAUUCCCAGUGAACGAUCCUAGAGCCACUAUACUAUAGUAGCUUUUUCUUUGCUACCCUAGUGUAUGGUGUUAUAGGUAAUAAAUUUUGUUGAUUACUCCCUCAAUCAAGGAGCACCAGCUGGACACAAAUCAGCUGAGACACCAAUUGGGCACGAAUCAAUAGCCUACCCAUGUGCUUCUUACCACAAGUAGGACAAAUCACAUCUGAAUUUUGUGUUAUCUUCCCUUUAUUCUGAUUUCUAGUAGAGGCAGACCUUUUCCAUGCUUAGUUACCAUGAGCACCAUCACUCCUAUUCUUCUUCCUCUGUUGUUCCCUAUACCAAUGAAGCUCUUUAUUAUCCUUUUCUGCAAUAAGGGCUCUGUUCAUAAUCUCUGAAUAGAUGCCAAGUUUUAGAAUAGAUAUCUUGUUCUUCAUGUAGGGCUUUAAUCCACCUUGAAAUUUUAAUGUUUUUUCUUCCUCUGUAGCAAUCAAUUGUGGGGCAAAUCGUGACAACUCUGUAAAUUUGGCCUCAUACUAGGCUACAGUCAUCUCCCCUUGUUCCAAAUGAACAAACUCACCCACCUUUUGUCGCCUAACACUGUCGGGGAAGUACUUCUUGUAGAAAGCCUCCAUAAAAUGUCUCCAAGUUAUAGGUCUCUGAUCGUCCAAAAGCCUUUUGAUCAUAUUCCACCAAUGAUCUGCUUAUUUGUCUAAUAUAAAUGUUGCAUAAGAGGCCUUUUACUCCUUAGAUCAAUCUAUGACAUCAAAGAAUUUCUCCAUCUUAAGAAUCCAAGCCUCUACUUCUAUUGGAUCUAAAGUGCCAGAAAAAUAAGGAGGACCUAGUUUCUUAAAGUCAUCAAAAGAGCUACCCCUAGAAAAUGAGGGUUGUCACUGACCAUUAGUCUCAACGGCUCUAGCUUGAUGCUCAACCAAAUCAGCUAAAGUUCCGGGAUACCUAUAAAGCCCUUCUUCAUUCAAGGGAGGCCAACCCUAAAGUGGAGGAGGUACAUCAUUAUUAGCCUGACUGUUUUGGGAAGAUGUUGUUAUUCUUGGUGCCAUGAUCUCCUAUAAAGCAUAAGGUAUAGCUAAAUUAGUUGCUAAGAAACCAAUUAGAUAAUUUGGAUUUAUAAGGGAAGAAAAAAGAGUUUAUACAAGAUGAAGUCAAAACUUAAACUAAUGUGUUACUCAUCUAUCCCCAAAGUAAACUAAAACAAGUUCUCAACAAGAUCAUAACCUAGUGCUCUGAUACCACUCUGUCACGCCCUAAAACCCAUUCCAAGGGCAUGAUGGUCAUUUCACACCUUAACCCUAAAGGCUCAAAGUGGUAAUGACAUAAACAUUCGUAUUGUAAUUAGAAAUUUACCAAUUACUGAAUUCCUAUUUAGAGUAGUAGAACAAAAGUUCUAAAAUCUCCAGAUAAUAACUUUUGAAACUAAUACAUCAAACCAAGUGUUAUUGUCCAAAUAACUUCAAACUCAAAUAAUUCUAAUGGAAAAUAAAUUUUAACAUCUAAACAAUGCUCAAAAUAAAGAGAGUUUUUGACAAAUGUCUUAACAAGCCAAUUUUCCUUCCUAAACAUCACUCCUUUCCCAAACUAAGGGUACUUGGAAAAUUAUCAACAAAGGGGGAUGAGCUCAAAGCCCAAUAAAGAAUAUUAACACGGUUUCAUAGAUCAAAUAUUUUCAAUUACACUUACAAAUAGGAGAUAUAACAUAUAAUCUAUUUAUAAAACUUUUGUAAUAAACAUGUAAAACAUUUAAACUGUUCAACAAACAUUUUCAUAUAUAUAAAAAUCAUUUCAUAUUCAUUUCAAAUCAAAUACAUUUCAAUUGUUUUCACUUUAAUUAUCAAAUAACAAAUAGUGCUCAUUUAAGUGGGACUUUACAAAUAGGUGGCCAACCUCAAAUGUUCCUUUCUAAGGUGGAUGAAACAAAACACUACUAGUACUAGUAACCUUAACCAAAGCCCUAGAGGCUAGAGUCCAAAUCAAUUACAUUCCCCAUCACAAAAAUGUAAAGGUAAAUUAUUAUAUCUCGUUGACAAGAGUCAAACAAAUCAGAGUCAAAUUCUUUAUUUUAUUUAUUCCAAUUUACUAAAGCAGAAAAUCUCUAAGUGUUUCAAUGUAAACAAAAUAAAUGUUAUAACACAUUUUUCCAUACAAAAAUAUAUUUGAUCCAUACUUAAAAGCAAAAAUAACAAUUACACAUUUCAAACAACAUAUAUAAUUUUUUUUUUUUUUUUUGCAAGAUCUGUAUUAAUUCCCCUUACCUCAAAAUAAGUCUUAAAAAACUUUGGAGAAAAAUAAUUUUGGAAAAUCUACUAUUUACCUAACAAAGCAUAACAAAAAUAACUAUUACUAUUUAUCUAAAAUUAUAAGUUUGACAAUCCUAAAAUUUUUGGUAUUCAAAUUAAUGUUUUUAAUUAUGAAAGAUAAUUUAAUCUAUUCCUAUUUUAGAAAAAUUAAUAAAUUUCUAAUUCAUAUAAAACUUAAAUUUUACUUUCAAUUUAUUUCUUGGGACACAACAUAAUUUAAUUAAAAUACAAAUUUAUUUCACUAAUUAAAUUUUAUGAUACUUAUUAACUUAACAUUUAUCGUUAAUCUAAUUAUAAUACUAUAAAUUUAACUAAUUUGUACUUGACCCCGUUUAUUUAUACAUAGUUUAUUCUACCACUUUCAUCAUUCUUCUAUCUUCCCAUACACAUGCAUUUUUUUUUUUUUUUGGCCACUGUUUAUUAUUAUUAUUAUACACUUUUAGAAAUCAACCAAUACAUUGAAAUCUCAAAUUUUUUCUUCAAAUAUUUUCCAAUUCCUUAAGUCACAUAUAAUCAUAUAUUUAUUUAACCAUUUAAUUUUUGAAAUUUCAUUGCUUAGAUCUAUUCAUCUAAGAAAAUUUGAAUUUCCUAUUUUCAUAAAUGGAACAACCUAUAUUCAUAAUUUAAAUAUUUUGAUCUAAAAUUUUUAAAUUGAUUAACCCUAGCCUAAAUCAAAAUCUUCCAAAUAAUCUGUUUUUUUUUUCAUCUAAAAACUUAAGGUUUCCCAUUUUUCAACAAUAAAUCAUCCCAUAAUUUUAAUAUUAAAACAAAUUAAAAAAUAUAUACUAACCCUAAUCUAAAUUAAAAAUUUUCAAACAAUAUCUAACAUGUUCAGAACUAACUAACAAAUAUAAUAUAUUGAUUUAGAGUUAGAAUCUUACCUGGAAAAAUCUAAACAUCAAACUCUAAACUUUAAACCUUUAACUCUACGAUCUCAAAUUCUCUAAUUUUGGUUAAUAGGGUUUUCUGAAUAAAGAAGACAAGAGGAAAAUCUAAUUUAUAUCUAACAUUAUCAAUUGUAAAAGGACUCUUUCACCUUUAAUGAGUUUAAUUAAUUACAUUUAAAUUUACUAUUUUGCCCCUAGAGUUAAUUUUGGGGUGUUACAAUUUUUUUUGUUUUCCCAAUUUUUUUUUCAAAAAUGUGUACUGAGCAUGUAAGUGACUUAAUUUGAUAUGGUGUUUACAUUUGCCACAAAAUAAAAGUGAAUAGAAGUAAUAAAAUGAUGAUAGAGUGAAUAAAGCCCUAUGGAGCGGGUAAGUGACUUAAACUCACAUAUGAGGUUUAAAUUUGGAACAAAACAAAAGUAAAUAGAUGUAACAAAAUAACGAUAGAGUGAGUAAUGCUCUAACACUAGAGAGUUACAAAUAUUAUAUAUAUUAUUUUUUCACAACUUGAAAGAGUAGACUUAAUUUUCCCAUCAAUUGAAUCUUCUUUAAGGUUACAUUAAUCAAUUAUUAAUUAUUCUAUACUACAUGGAGAUUCAAAGAUAAAUCCUUAUUUUUUGUGUUUUUUGUUAAAAGCAUAUAUUAUGUAAACUUUCCAUAUAAACUUUAUUUCAAUUUAUGAAAAAAGUUAUUUCAUAUCUAAUGUUAUUUCUAUAAUAUUAAUAUUAUUUAAAAUUUUAAUUUUGACUUUAAUUUAAGCUUCUAUUUUAAUAUAACUUUCAAAGAUUAAUCUUGAAUUAUCAUUAUUAUUGUUUUUAAUUUAGUUUGGAUUGAUGUAUUACACUAUUUAUAGAAUGUUAUUAUAUUGGGAUGAAGCCCAUAUCUAAGAAUAUAUAUUUUUGAGUAUUCUAUCUUUUUGUUUAUAUAAAGUAUUCUUAUUAAAAACAAAAAUGGGGCUUACUUUCUAUAAUAAUGAUCAAUUUUUAUUCUUAAACAUACAAAUCCUAAUAGAUGACCAAGAUAAUGAGUUUCUGAUUUUUAUUCUCUUUGUCAAUGUUCCCAACAUCCUCUUAUUGCAAAUAUUUUUCUUAGCAUAAUUCUUAUUCCCCCUAUCAAUGUUCCCAAUAUCCACUUGUUGAAAAUAUUUUUAUAGAAUAAUUAUAUAUUUGCUAAACCAACUUUUUCUUUAGACCAUAUCAUGGACAUAAGAAUAGGAUAGUGAUAAAAAUGAGAAUGAAUUAGCAUGUGAUGUUGACAUAAAUAGAUUUUGACCUUUUUUGAGGAUGAAUUUUUAUCCUUAUUUGAUUUUUUUAAUAAGUUAAUUAUAUAGAGAAAAAUAAAAUAGAUUUUUUUUUUCUUACUCAAAAUGUUAGAUCUUAAUGAAAUUUAGAUAGAAGUUCCUAAAUUAAUAAUUCCUUAGACACAAUUAAAAAAUAAUUAGUCUUUUUUUACGCAUUCACAAAACGUUUGAAUUGAUGUUAUUAGCUAUAACAUCUCAUUUUAUAAUGGAUUAAUAUUUUAUUAAAAAUUACCUAUUAAAAAAUAAUUGAUAUAUUUUAAAAUUUGGAAUAUAACAUUAAUGGGAUAUUCUUUUUUUAUGGAAUAUUAUAUUUUAAAAUCAUUGAUGGAGUAGAACGAUUAACCUACUAUCAUUAUUUUAUAUUUAUAUUAUCAUACAAAAAAUCCAUGGAAAAAACUGGUAUAAAUAUUAAAUAUAAAUAUCAAUAUUUAAUUAAGAGAAAGUUUAAGAAACAAGAAAGGGCCUUUCCACUGAAAGUCCUCGCACCCGGCCAACAACCCUCACAACACCCCCUCAUGCCUUGACAAAUCCAUGGGUUUGACACCCUGCAAACUAAUGCUCUGGACAAACUACUGCCCAUUGGUUUCAAUGUCAGUCAAAGCUCUGGCGCCCUACAAACUACCACCCUAGACAAAAAUUGAAAUCCUUGUUGAUAAGCCAAGAACAGAGGAGAACAAAGGAGUUGGUUACUGAUGUCACGAGAUGAAGCCCACUUGUUGUUAGCUUUAUUGUUAUUGAGUUGUUAUUUUUUUACCAGCUGUUAUUACAACCUGUCUCCAUCUAUUUUGAACACUAUAUAUAUAUAUUAAAUCUCUCUCUCUCUUGUUACUUUAACAAAGAGAGCAGAGUUUUCAGCUUCAGCUUUUCUAUCUUGGUAUCAGAGCUCUCAUUCAAGGUUUGAAUUUUUUCUUCUCUUUCUCACUUUCUCUCUGUUUCUCUCGAUCCAAACAUGGCCUCUACUCCGACACAGUCUUCUUCUUCCUCUGGUUCGAUUGGAUCUGGACAAAGCUCAACAAUGGCGUCCAUUCCUUCCUAUCAGAUGCUUAAUCACACUCUGCCUGUGAAACUUGAUCGGACGAAUUACAUCCUAUGGAGAUCUCAGAUUGAUAAUGUCGUUUUUGCUAAUGGCUUUGAGGAUUUCAUUGAUGGAACCUCUAUCUGUCCGGAGAAAGAUUUGAGUCCAGGAGUGAUGAAUCCAGCUUUUGUUGCUUGGAGGAGACAAGAUCGAACAAUCCUCAGUUGGAUCUACUUGUCGCUCACACCAGGUAUCAUGGCACAGAUCAUAGGCCAUAAUACUUCUCACUCUGCUUGGAAUGCCUUGGAAAGAAUUUUUUCAUCUUCUUCAAGAGCUAGGAUAAUGAAACUCAGACUCGAAUUACAAUCCACAAAGAAAGGAUCAAUGUCGAUGAUAGACUACAUAAUGAAGAUCAAAGGAGUUGCUGAUAAUCUAGGUGCUAUUGGAGAACCUGUCUCAGAACAAGAUCAGGUUAUGAAUCUUCUUGGAGGUCUUGGAUCCGAUUAUAAUGCUGUUGUUACUGCUAUCAACAUUAGAGAUGAUAAGAUCUCUCUUGAAGCUAUACAUAGUAUGCUAUUAGCCUUUGAGCAUCGUCUUGAGCAACAAAGCUCGAUUGAACAAAUGUCUGCCAAUUAUGUCUCUUCCUCUAAUAACAGAGGUGGUGGAAGGAAGUUUAAUGGAGGUCGUGGACAAGGCUACUCUCCAAAUAACAAUAAUUGCACCUAUAGAGGUCGUGGACGUGGAGGUAGAAAUGGACAAGGUGGAAGGCAAAAUUCCAGUCCAAGUGAGAAACCUCAGUGUCAGUUAUGUGGUAAGUUUGGCCACACUGCUCAGAUCUGUUAUCACAGGUUUGAUAUCUCUUUUCAAGGUGGUCAGACUACUAUUUCUCAUUCUUUGAAUAAUGGGAAUCAAAACAAUAUACCUGCUAUGGUUGCUUCUGCUUCUAAUAAUCCUGCAGAUGAGAGUUGGUAUUUGGAUUCUGGAGCAAGUCACCAUCUGACUCAGAAUUUGGGGAAUCUCACCAGUACUUCACCAUACACGGGAACAGAUAGAGUCACUAUUGGUAAUGGUAAGCAUCUCUCCAUCUCCAAUAUUGGCUCUAAACAACUUCAUUCUCAUACACAUUCUUUUCGACUCAAGAAGGUGUUUCAUGUUCCCUUUAUCUCAGCUAAUUUGAUUAGUGUGGCUAAGUUCUGCUCAGAUAAUAAUGCCUUGAUUGAGUUUCAUUCUAAUGCUUUCUUUGUGAAGGAUCUACACACGAAGAUGGUUCUUGCUCAAGGCAAGCUUGAAAAUGGGCUUUACAAGUUUCCUGUGUUCAGCAAUCUAAAACCUUAUAGUAGUAUUAAUAAUGCUUUUGCUUUUCAUAGUACUGUUGAAAAUAAAGCAGAGUUAUGGCAUAAUAGACUAGGCCAUGCUGGAUUUGACAUUGUUUCAAAAGUCAUGAAUACUUGUAAUGUUGCUUCUAGGAAAUAUAAAUCUACUGUUUGUUCUGAUUGUCAGUUAGCUAAAAGUCAUAGACUACCUACUCAGCUCUCAAAUUUUCGUGCAUCUAAACCUUUAGAACUUGUUUAUACUGAUAUUUGGGGACCUGCCUCAAUUAAAUCUACAUCUGGAGCGAAAUAUUUCAUUCUUUUUGUAGAUGAUUAUUCCAGGUAUACUUGGUUUUAUUCAUUACAAACAAAGGAUUAGGCCCUUCCCAUCUUUAAGCGAUUCAAGCUUCAAAUGGAGAAUCAGUUUGACACCAAAAUUAAGUGCUUACAGUCUGAUAAUGGUGGAGAAUUUUGAUCUUUUAUGUCUUUUCUUCAAGCAGUUGGUAUUGCCCAUCGAUUUUCCUGUCCAUAUAACUCAGCUCAAAAUGGUAGAGUUGAGCGGAAGCACAGACACGUAGUUGAAACUGGGUUGGCUUUGUUAUCUCAUGCUUCCUUGCCAAUGAAGUAUUGGCACUACGCUUUUCAGACAGCAACUUUUCUUAUCAAUCGAAUGCCAAGCAAAGUUCUCAAGUAUGACUCCUUACUUCACUCUUUUUAGAAGGCAUCCUGAUUAUAAAUCUCUUUGUGUAUUUGGCUGCCUUUGUUAUCCUUUCAUUCGGCCAUACAACACUCAUAAAUUGCAGUACAGAUCUAUCCAAUGUCUUUUUCUUGGCUAUAGUUUGAAUCACAAGGGGUUUUUAUGUCUUGAUUAUGCAACUGGAAGAGUCUAUAUUACUCCCCACGUGGUCUUUGAUGAAUCAACUUUCCCACUUGCUCAGUCCAAGUCUUCCAGUUCGUCUAAUGACACUUCAGCAGAAAGCUCUACCCCUGCCCUUAUAACUCCUCCUUCUUUUCCAUGUCUUCUCCCAGAUUCAAAAAUCAGUCAUGCUUCCAUAGAUUCUCAUUCUCUAUCCACAAGUGAAAGUCCUAUUCCUACAACCUCUUCUUCACCUCUGGACACAUCUAGUUCUUCUCCUGCUAUAGAUUUGUCACCUAAAUCUGUUCCAGAACCUCAAGUCACUGCUCUUGCUCCACGAAUGACAACAAGGUCCAUGUGUGGUAUAACCAAGAAAAAGACCAUUCUUGAUCUCUCUGCCAUAAAGGUUUCAGAACCAUCUACUCUCAAAUAAGCCUUCAAAGAUCCAAAUUGGACUAAAGCUAUGGAAAUGGAGAUUGCUGCUCUUCAUAGAAACCAUACUUGGGAUCUUGUUGAACAACCACCCAAUGUCAAUGUGAUUGGCUGUAAGUGGGUGUAUAAACUAAAACAUAAGCCAGAUGGGAGUAUAGAGAGGUAUAAAGCUAGGCUUGUGGCAAAAGGAUAUAAUCAGACUCAUGGUCUGGACUAUUUUGAGACUUUUAGUCCAGUAGUUAAGGCUGCCAUUAUUCGCAUCAUACUUACUGUUGCUCUCAGUUUUAAGUGGGAAAUUCGACAGCUUGAUGUUCACAAUGCCUUCCUCAAUGGUGAGCUAGAAGAACAAGUCUAUAUGUCUCAACCUCCUGGAUACUUUGACACUCAAUUCCCGAAUAGAGUGUGUAGAUUGAAGAAGGCUUUAUAUGGCUUAAAACAAGCCCCACGUGCUUGGUUUCAAAGACUCAGCUCUGCUCUUCUUCAGUGGGGAUUCAGCAUGUCUCGGACUAAUAGUUCUAUGUUUCUGCACUUUGGAAAGGCCACUACUUUGAUAGUUCUUGUCUAUGUUGAUGAUAUACUCGUAAUGGGCAGCUCCUCCACACAGAUUUCGUCUCUCAUAGCUAAACUUGAUUCAGUUUUUGCUUUACGAGAUUUGGGUCAACUCUCAUUCUUUCUCGGUAUAGAGGUUUCCUACAAUGAAGGCUCUAUGACUUUGAGCCAAACCAAAUACAUUUCAGAUCUGCUUCAUAGAACUGAAAUGUUUGAUACCAAACCGGCAAAAACACCUGGUGCUGUUGGGAAGAACUUGUCUAAAUUUGAUGGAGAUCCUAUGGCAGAUGUUACUCAUUAUCGAAGUGUAGUAGGGGCACUUCAGUAUGUUACCUUGACAAGACCUGAUAUAGCCUUUGCUGUCAAUAAGGCAUGCCAAUUUAUGCAACAACCAACCACAACUCACUGGCUCUCAGUCAAACGAAUACUUCGGUAUCUAAGAGGAACAAUGCAAGAUGGGCGAGAUGAAGCCCACUUGUUGUUAGCUUUAUUGUUAUUGAGUUGUUAUUUUUUUACCAGCUGUUAUUACAGCCUGUCUCCAUCUAUUUUGAACACUAUAUAUAUAUUAAAUCUCUCUCUCUUGUUACUUUAACAAAGAGAGCAGAGUUUUCGGCUUCAGCUUUUCUAUCUCUUGCAUCCCUAUACAUCACAUAAAUGAUAUCGAGAACAACACCAGAUAGCUGUAAUCACUGCAUUUACUGGUCACCAUCAGAGAGCUCUGAACUCUACCACCGAAAUUGUUUCCUGUUUCCUCACCCUGAAAUCUACCACUAAGAAGCCCUAACCCAACACUUACAGAUGAACUCCACAUGGGCAAACUCUAACAUGUAGGAUGUAAGUCAUUGUUGGAGGCUUCAAGGUCAUUCGGGUGACAUUUUCUCUAUAGACACUUCAUGUUAGCAAGGCUUCAAGGCUUCUGAUCACUAUGAAGUUUGAUUCUACCCUCAUUCUCUUACUAUGAAGUGACAAGAAGUAGAUUUUUUGUACCCUCGUUCAACAAUAUCUUCACACUAUGUUAAAGAAAAAAUAAAAAUCCAUCCUUACUUUUCAGUUCCCUUUGUACUAAAAACAAAGGUGGAUUUUAAGGUUGAUGCAUUAGCAUCUCAAAUGCAGAAAAUUUUAGUGCUUUUUUUCCGUGUUUGGUCACUGGCAAAAUAUAGGAAAUGAAAAUAAAAGGUGGAAAGGAAAUAAUAUUGAAUAAAGAGAAAUGGUUUAGGUUUAAGAUUCUUUUAUCAACCUCUAUUUGGUUUCUCAGAGAACGUGGGAAAGAGAAGUGAAUAUAACUUAAGUUUUCUUUUGUUUUUGUUUUCUUUCUUUCUUUAUUUUUUAUUUUGAUUAGUUAGAAAAAAUGGUGUUAACAGUUGACUUUAUUAAAGAAAAUGUAAGGUCUCAACAAGGCUAUAAAGCAAGCUUUUGGGAAAAAAGAACUUUGAAGUUUAUUGUUUUUUUCUUUAUUAUAUUUGUUUUUAGAAACUAACAUCAAAUGAAAAUGCAAGGUGUACUAUGUUGAUUCUAAGAUUAAAUUUUUUUUAUUAGCCUUUGUUUGGUUGCUAAGAAAAUGUAGGAAAAAAGGAAUGGACACUAGCUGAUUAGGUCUAAAAGUUCUUAAUCAAAUUGUAUCAUUAGCUCUAAAAAAGAAUUUUAAGUCAUAUAUACAUCUAACAAUCCAAGGUAAAAGAAAGGGUUAUAAGCACUACCAUCAUACUGAAAUUGGUUUGAACCAUGAGUUUAAAUUUUUUUUUUUUCUAUUUUUGGUGAAUUCAAGUUAGCUUAGGGAUAAAUAAUAUUACCUUCUGAAAUGAUUUUCAUGUGGUCCUAUAUAAGUUCCUACAAUUACGCAUAAUCUCAUUAAUUGAUAUAUGAAAUCUAGUUUUAGUUUGAUGGUUCUAUUAUAUAGUUUUGCCUACCAUGGUAAAAGAGCCUAGGGAUUUUACUUUGAUGUCAUGUUUUUAGGGAUUCUAGUCAUAGAAUUAGGCUUAGUUUUAAAAUAUAGACUGCAUUUGAAGUUACAUGAAUAAUUAUGAUUUGUAAGUCUAAUUAUUGUUGCCCAUGAUUGGUUUAUGAUUUUUGUUCAUCCUAGUUCACCUGAACUAACCUCCAUAUAAUAGUAAAUAUAGCAUAGGGAUGCCAAUUUAUUUGGAGAGAAGGUUUCAAAGUUGUUAUGACUAGUUGUCUAAAGCAACAUGCAAUUAGAGAGAAUUUGUGUUUUUGGUUAUUUUUCACAUAACAAUUGAAGAGCUUGUACCUUCCAUGAGUUCCUUCAAUUUCUUUUUACUCUUGUGGGAGCACAUUAAUUUGGUUUAAUUUCAUUUUAUGUAGGAGCUUAUUAUGAGAUACAUAUGUGUUGACUACUAUACAAUUCUUAAUUUUUAAACUAAUGCAGUUACAGUCUACUAUUGUUGCUAAAGCAAUAAGACUUUGCAUUCAAUGAAAUAAUAGAAACAGAGAAGAUUUAAUUUAUUGGUGAUUGAAAUGAUUUAUAUUGGAUGUAGUGAGGAAAACCCAUUUCCAUGAGGAUUCAAUUGGUUAUUUCAAUGGUAAAUGAUUUGAAAUUUUUGUCUAAAUGAAUCAUAUUGUAAUGUUGAUGAUUUUUCUAAAUCUAGUAUCCAAAAGCUCCAAGGCACGAGGAAUACCAUGAAUUUUAAUUUGGAGCAUUUUCAGUUAUCCUUUUGGCCUUUUUGAAAUAGUUUGUUACUUAUGCAUGUGCUUGGUGUGCAAUAGAGUUUUACUAUGGGUAGGUGGUCAUGGUUUAACUUUAUGAAAUUUUACUGUUAGUUAAUUUGAACACAGUUGCUUUAUAGAUUUUUUUUUUUUUUAAUGCGUUUCUUCACUUAACUAGUUUGGAACUUAUUUUUCAGUGGUAUGUAUCUUGUAUUUUGAAGUAUAGUUACAACAUAACUAAGGUGGUUUAUGAUAAUCUUGCAUUAACUUAUGAUGAUUUCAGUUACUGUUUCUAUUUCACGAAUCGAUGCAUUUCUUUUCUAUAUUUUGAUGUCAUCUAAGAGUCUUUUCUUACCUUCUUUUUUUUUUUUUUUUAUGCAGGCUUAAACUAAAAACAUGGAGUUAAAACUCAUUGAAGCCAUGAAUUCUAAAGAGACCUGGUUGAUGGUUGGUUCAAAAUUUGAGCCUAGGGUUCUUUUAACUCUCAAAUCAAUUGGGGAUGCCUUCAAUUCGUUAGCAAUUACCAAGGGGCUUGAACUCUUAAAAUAGGAUAUACUUAUUAAGGUAGUAUUCUUUAGAAUUUUAUGUGUUGAGAUAUUAUUUAUCAAAGGGUUUUGUAAUAAUUAUCAAGGGUUAUUGUUGCAUGUCUGAUACAAAUUUUUCUCCUAUUUAGUUUGAAAGUGUAGAAUCAAUUUUUUUUAAUUGUCUUUAUUUUUUAUUAAAUCUUGAACAUCUCAUGUUUCUAGUGUUGAGAUCUUCUAGGAAGGAAGAGCUUAUGAGAUGGUUUUUCUUGACCACACUGAAACUUUUGCAUACGUAAUAUCAUUUAAUUUUUUUUAAUCUUCCUUCUCAAUCCCUUACAAAAACCAAAAGGAUUUUUCUUUAUUAUUUUCAUUUUCAAACCAGACUAUAGUAAAAAACAAUGUGUUGUUCUUGUAGAGGGUACAUAAAGAAAAAGAGAAGGUGCCCUAGAAAUUAACAGAGAAAGUAGCUUUAUUUGGUUAUGGCAUUUUAGUUUCAUCAAAAUCUAAAUUCUCGAUUAGCCUAUCUCAAACCUAUGUGGUAUAUUUAACUCAUGAAUUGAUUUCUUAUCUUUCAUCUAUUACCAGUUGGCAAUGAUCUCUAUGGCAGGUGGUUAUGCACGAGUGCUCAUUGCUUAGCCUCUAUUGCCUUUUUAUCUAGGAUCUUUCCAUUAACACAUAAUUUUCUAUAAUAACUUUUUGUGUUGAGUCAUUUGGCUUGUACUUUAGAUUUUGGCAAUCCUUUGUGAUAUGCUAUCUCUGUUAUAGGGCCUCAUGGUAAAGUUGGUUAUGUUAUGCUCUCCAUUUUGAUUACUUCUAUUAGGUUUUGUAGUAGAAGUCAUUCAACAAGAAGUUAGGAGUGAUAGUCUCACUCUUAUACCUGAAAACCCUAUAGCGUUGUUGAUUUUUUGAUAAAGGGUAAGCAAUAUAAAUGAACAAGGAAGCUUUAUAAAAAAAAAAAAAAGGGAAACUUAUAUACUAAAUCUGCAAUGCCGAACAGUCUCACGAUAAUUUUCGUAAUGCAAAAUUUAAAGAAUGAAAUUAUGUGAUCAUCAAGACCCAAUGCUUUGAAUUCACAUAUUGGUAAUCAAAAGACAAAUAACAUCAGAUAUAGUCUACAAGCUAAUGGAGCAAAGACCACCAUACACACUACUCAUAGAUCCUAAUUGUGAUAUCAACUUUUGAUAUUAUUAUUUCAUUUAAAACAAACUAGGGUACCGUAGGAAGUAUUUUCAUUGGUAAUUUGCUUUCAAACUUCUUGAAACAUUGUUGAAUAUGACACAUUUCACUUUCAUGACUAUUGAGACAUAGUUUGAUUAAGGCAAGGCUAUAGAAACAAAGAGCAUAAACAAUUGAGGACUUUGAGUAAUGACGAUUCAUUGCAUUACUCUUCUUAUUUCAUUAAUGUGAAAUUUUUUUAGGGUUUAGGGCUUUAAGUUUUUCUUUAUAAUUUUACUUUAUACCUAAAAAGUCAACUUCUUUUUCUCUUUUCCAAUCCUUAUUCUAGAUUUCAAACAUAUGUAGAGACAAUUUUUCUUUUUAUUUAGCAUCCAUCAAAAAAAUUAUGGAAUUGAAAAACUUGGUGUAUAUCAUAUAUUUUUGCUAAACCACAUUAGACUACGACAUAGAUUGAUAGAUUUGGUGUAAAUUUUGGUAUCAUGUUACUAGUAUUCUUUCAUAAUGAUUGCUUGAGACUUAGGUGGUGUUUGUUUUUUUGGCUUUUUGCUAAAAACCAUUUAGUUUUAGAAUUUAGGUUGUUUGUUUUUUUACUUUUUCAUGACUUUUUAUAAACUUUUUACUAAAUAGAAAAAGCCAGAAUAUGUGGCUUUUUCUAAAUAAAAAAAAAAUAACACAAUGGUUUUUUUUACUUUUUAAUACUUAAUAGAAAUAAAAUACUACAAAAACAAACAACCUAAUAUUUAAUACUAUUAAGUAUUAAGGUUCUAUUUAGAAUUAAGUAAAAAAACAAACGCCACCUUAGUAAAUGAUAAGUUAUGAUAAUGGUUUUUUGAACUCCUUUAAUGGGUAUAGCAUUAUAUUCAUCUAACAUUAUAUUCAUCUAAUUGUUAGCACAAUGAAAUUGCAGGCAAGUAUGUAGUUGUGCUCUAGUGGAAGAUUUUUAUUUGAUUCUUGCCCCAGCUAUGACCACAAAUCAGAAGAUCCAAUUGAGAAGUGAUAAUGCAUUUUUCAUGAGUUUGUUUGAUUCAAAGUAGUUUAGCAUUCUGUAACAUGUGUUAACACAUGUGGAAUGUUAGCAUGUUAAAUGCUAGACAUUUUAGUAACCUAUGAAUUGAAUGUUAUAUAUGAUGAAAAAGCAAGUGUGAAACAAUUAAAGGAGUAUUUAGUAUGAAUAUGGUUAUUCUUUUGACAGUCAUCUCAAAACAACAAAUCAUUAUAUCAUUUUGGUUUACUUGUAUUUUUUAAUCGGUGAAGGUGAAAUCAAAUAACUCAAUAUAUAGAAAUUGUAAGGUGCAUUUCAUUCACUUCUAAGAUGAGAUUAAUAGGUAAUGUUAUUUUCAUAACAAAAGAAGGGUUUAUAAUUUACAACUCAAUUUAUAUAGCAAAUACUAAAAUAGAAAAUGAAAUAAAAGAAAAAGUAUAUAAGAUAAGAGUGAUUUGAAAAAAUAGUUGAAGAAAAUAGAUAACGAUCUUAUACAAAAAUACUAUAUUGAUUGAUGCAUUAUUAGGUAAUAAGUUACUACAUAUGUAUAAUUUAAAUUUUAUAAUCCAUAUAUUUCUCCAAAUAUGAAUUAUUAUUAUUAUUGUUAUUAUUAUUAUCAUUAUUUUUAAUUAUCAUUAUUUUAUAAUUAUGUUUUCAUUUGAGUCAAAAAUGUGAUCCUUAAAUACUUGGAUUCAAUGACUAUUUAUAUACAUAUCACAUUUUUUAUAUACUUUUGUAUUCAACACAUAUGUUGAUUUAAUAACUUAUUUUGGUAUAAUAUCUUCAUAAAAUUUAACAUCAUAAUAUUUUUUUUAGAUAAUAUAACAUUAAUUUAAAAAAUAUUUAAUGUAAUUAAAUGUUAAGAUUAUAGAGCAAUGCCUAACUAGUCAUACACAAAAUCAAUGGUGCAAAUUUUUUUACACUCAACCAUGCUCACAUUUGUAAGACUAUAAUCCAUGCAAAAGGAUCCUGUAAAUCAAAAUCUAGUAUAAUCAUUCAACCUCUCAUAAAAUCCAACCACUAAAGGUUACAUAUAUGAUUCAAAUCAAUAUAUUAUUAUAAGAAAUACAAAUUUAUAUUUGAAUAAUGUAUGGAUUGAAGAAUCUAAAAAUAAAUAUAUUUGAAUAUUAUAUAACAUCAUCUAAUCUAAAUUAACUAUAUAAUAAAAAAAAAAUUAAUCAUAAUAUUAAGAGACAAAAAUAUUAUGUUGUUGGAAACUAAACAUGAGUGACAAACAAAUUGUCUCUAAAUUUCUAUAAUAUUUUUUAAUAACAAAAAAUUCAAUAACAUAUUUCAUCACUAAAAUGUAUAUUUUGAAACAAAAAUUUUGUCACUAAAUGUCAAAUGUUGUCGCAAAUUAUUUUAUGAAUAAUUUAGUUGCACAAAUUUCUUCCCGAAAAUAUGUUUGGUGACAAAAGUUACAUUUUUGUCUCUAAAACUACUACAUGCAACAAAUAUUGUGAUGAUUUCUAAAUAUAGAAAUAUUUAGUGACAAUUUUUUUUUCUAUAGUAAAAAUUUGUCACUAAUUAUCCUUUUUCUUGUAGUGAAUUGGUAGAAUGAAGGACAAGGGAAUUCUAAAUCAGGCCUAAAAGGAGGAAGAGGUAAUAGUUUAACUCAAAAAAAUAAUAAAUCUCAUAUUCAAUGUUAUAACCAUAAAAAAUAUGAUCAUUAGAAGUCAAGAAUGUAGGGUUAGGAGACAUAAUAAGAGGAGCUUUCAAGCCAAUUGUCACAAGAUGCUUCAAAUGACCCUCCCCAUGGCUUAUAUAGGAGGUGAGAAGCUUCUAGAGACCCUUGGAGACAUCCACACUUAGCCACUAGUGGGAAGAGUGUGGAAGGUUCUAGAAAUGCCUAGAGAAGUCCACACAACUCUACACUAUGGUAGAAGGCAUGAGAAGGGUCCAAAGCUUUCUAGAGAAAUCUAGAAGUCUCUUGAAUAUUCUAGAAUAGUGUAGGACAUUCUAGAAUAUUCAUGAAUUAUAAGGAACCCUCCAAGGUUCUAGAGAGUUCCAUUGGUGCCUAUAAAUAGGUGAGGGCCUCAUUUGGCCAAGGCACCAAGCAAGUGAGCAUCCAAGCACUUGUAAAGGUUUCCUUGAGUUAGUGAAAGCUUCCAUUCUUUCAAAAGUUGCCUACCAAGCUUCUUAAGCUUUUGAGUCGCAAGUGUCUUAGCCAAGCAAGCUAAGCAUUGGGGAGCAAGGCUGACUUAGCAAGAUCAAGCGUCUUGGCUUGUCUAAGUACCGCACGAGCUUAGUGAACGACUAAGUCCGUGACAAGUGGUAUCAGAGCGCGGUUACAAGGUGGGCAUAGCAAAGGAAGCAUGUCGGGCUCUAACGUGGAGGAGAUUAGCAAGCAAACCCGUGGGAGGGAGACCGAGCCUACUGCACGGGGCAGGGGCAAGAAGGAUAAAUCUUGUGAUGUCGUCGCCAACAUGGAGGCAAGGUUAGCCAAGGUGGAGCUAGCCAUGACGGACACUCGGGAGGGGUUGGACUUGAUCGAGCAAGGCAUGGAGAAGGGCUUAGAGGAUCUAAGGGAGCAGAUCCAAGACCUUCGUGAGAGGGUGCUAGUCUCACAGGUUCAACCAGUGUCGCACGAGGAGUUUGUGUCCUUCCAAGGAAAGGUCUUGAGCAUGCUUGCUAGCAUGGAGUCAAGGAUAGAGGCCUUGGCCACUCGAAUGGAGUCCCGAGACCAGGAGGUUAGGCAAGAGUUGGCCAUCUAUAAGGCUGCUGUGUCGGCACGGGUCAUGGCCACACAGGAGGCAUCUAGGGUGGAGGUGCCGAAGCCACAAGGGUUUAGUGGCAAUCGGGAUGCCAAGGAGUUGGAUAACUUCUUAUGGCAUAUGGAGCGAUACUUUGAGGCUAUCGCAUUGACGGAUGAGGCGGCUAAGGUAAGAACUGCAACCCUCUACCUUACUGACACAGCUACUCUAUGGUGGCGUCGAAGGUUUGCCGAUAUGGAGAAAGACAUUUGCACCAUAGAGACGUGGGAAGACUUCAAGAGGGAGAUCAAGAGGCAGUUCUACCCCGAGGACGUGGCUUACCUGGCUAGGAAAAACAUGAGGCGUCUCAAGCACAUAGGUUCGAUACGCGACUAUGUCAAGGAAUUCUCUUUGCUCAUGCUUGAGAUUCCUAACAUAACUGAAGAGGAAUUGCUAUUCAACUUCAUGGAUAACCUGCAAGGGUGGGCCGAGUAGGAAUUAAGACGCCGAGGUGUUCAAGACUUAGCCACUGCCAUGGCAGUAGCAGAGUCUUUAACGGAUUAUAAGAGGGGAGACUCCUCCAAGGAUGAGUCUUUGGAGGAUAGCCACGCCAUGGGUGGGGGAGACGAGGUGCCAAGGGACCACAAUGCUCCUAAAAAUGGAUCAGGCAAGACGCCUAACGUCCGAGAAGGAAGGGGUAAGGCGGAAAGGAAGGAGUUCAUGCCUAAAAUCAAAUGCUUCCUAUGUGACGGUCCACAUUGGGCACGGGAUUGUCCAAAGAGGAAGGCGCUCAGUGCCAUGAUCGAGGAGAGGGAGCAGGAGGACGAAGCACAUAUGGGCUCAAUGCAGCUACUAGGUGCCCUCCAAUUCAACCCGAAGCCUAGUACGCCUAAGACCUCCUUACUAGCAGGGGUGCAAGUAAAGGAGGAAAAAGGGGAGCGAGCUGAGAGAGCCCGCACACACAUGGAAGAGGUCACCGAGGGAAAGGUGAACUCAAUGGGUAAGAGGAAGCAGCACUCUAAGCAUCGAAAGCGCACGGGUCUGCAUCCAUCUGAGGCCUCACGGGAGAAGGAGGUGAAGAAUAUCCUAGCUGAACGGGUCACUAGGAGACAAGGGGUCCCUCCUGUGAUAGAGUAUCUAGUCCGAUGGAAAGGACUACCUAAGAGGCAGGUAAGCUGGGAACAUGCGGAUGCCUUGAGAAGAUUCUGGAAACACAUCGAGAGGUUUCAGAAUGAGGCAACGACGAGGACGUCGACGGCUUAGGUGGGGGAGAGUGUCACAAGAUGCUUCAAAUGACCCUCCCCAUGGCUUAUAUAGGAGGUGAGAAGCUUCUAGAGACCCUUGGAGACAUCCACACUUAGCCACUAGUGGGAAGAGUGUGGAAGGUUCUAGAAAUGCCUAGAGAAGUCCACACAACUCUACACUAUGGUAGAAGGCAUGAGAAGGGUCCAAAGCUUUCUAGAGAAAUCUAGAAGUCUCUUGAAUAUUCUAGAAUAGUGUAGGACAUUCUAGAAGUCUCUUGAAUAUUCUAGAAUAGUGUAGGACAUUCUAGAAGNNNNNNNNNNNNNNNNNNNNNNNNNNNNNNNNNNNNNNNNNNNNNNNNNNNNNNNNNNNNNNNNNNNNNNNNNNNNNNNNNNNNNNNNNNNNNNNNNNNNNNNNNNNNNNNNNNNNNNNNNNNNNNNNNNNNNNNNNNNNNNNNNNNNNNNNNNNNNNNNNNNNNNNNNNNNNNNNNNNNNNNNNNNNNNNNNNNNNNNNNNNNNNNNNNNNNNNNNNNNNNNNNNNNNNNNNNNNNNNNNNNNNNNNNNNNNNNNNNNNNNNNNNNNNNNNNNNNNNNNNNNNNNNNNNNNNNNNNNNNNNNNNNNNNNNNNNNNNNNNNNNNNNNNNNNNNNNNNNNNNNNNNNNNNNNNNNNNNNNNNNNNNNNNNNNNNNNNNNNNNNNNNNNNNNNNNNNNNNNNNNNNNNNNNNNNNNNNNNNNNNNNNNNNNNNNNNNNNNNNNNNNNNNNNNNNNNNNNNNNNNNNNNNNNNNNNNNNNNNNNNNNNNNNNNNNNNNNNNNNNNNNNNNNNNNNNNNNNNNNNNNNNNNNNNNNNNNNNNNNNNNNNNNNNNNNNNNNNNNNNNNNNNNNNNNNNNNNNNNNNNNNNNNNNNNNNNNNNNNNNNNNNNNNNNNNNNNNNNNNNNNNNNNNNNNNNNNNNNNNNNNNNNNNNNNNNNNNNNNNNNNNNNNNNNNNNNNNNNNNNNNNNNNNNNNNNNNNNNNNNNNNNNNNNNNNNNNNNNNNNNNNNNNNNNNNNNNNNNNNNNNNNNNNNNNNNNNNNNNNNNNNNNNNNNNNNNNNNNNNNNNNNNNNNNNNNNNNNNNNNNNNNNNNNNNNNNNNNNNNNNNNNNNNNNNNNNNNNNNNNNNNNNNNNNNNNNNNNNNNNNNNNNNNNNNNNNNNNNNNNNNNNNNNNNNNNNNNNNNNNNNNNNNNNNNNNNNNNNNNNNNNNNNNNNNNNNNNNNNNNNNNNNNNNNNNNNNNNNNNNNNNNNNNNNNNNNNNNNNNNNNNNNNNNNNNNNNNNNNNNNNNNNNNNNNNNNNNNNNNNNNNNNNNNNNNNNNNNNNNNNNNNNNNNNNNNNNNNNNNNNNNNNNNNNNNNNNNNNNNNNNNNNNNNNNNNNNNNNNNNNNNNNNNNNNNNNNNNNNNNNNNNNNNNNNNNNNNNNNNNNNNNNNNNNNNNNNNNNNNNNNNNNNNNNNNNNNNNNNNNNNNNNNNNNNNNNNNNNNNNNNNNNNNNNNNNNNNNNNNNNNNNNNNNNNNNNNNNNNNNNNNNNNNNNNNNNNNNNNNNNNNNNNNNNNNNNNNNNNNNNNNNNNNNNNNNNNNNNNNNNNNNNNNNNNNNNNNNNNNNNNNNNNNNNNNNNNNNNNNNNNNNNNNNNNNNNNNNNNNNNNNNNNNNNNNNNNNNNNNNNNNNNNNNNNNNNNNNNNNNNNUCCAAAAAAUGACAUGAGUGGCAUGAUGGACAUCCAUGGAUCAAUAAAGAUGUGAAGCUCAACCUAUAAUAAGAGUUGUCAAAGCAUUCACUUGAUCAUAGAGUACAAAGAAUGGAUAUUAUGCAAGUUUAAGCAUCAAAAGAAUUUCCACUCUCAAAAGAUCCAAAUCAAAUUCUUCCACUAAAAUCUAAGUGUUAUUUAUUAGUUUCCGGAUAUAGUAUGUCAAACUAAUCUUUCCCCUCAACCUAGUUCUUUUCAAAGCUUAGCAAACUAAUCAACCUCCAAUAGGCUAAGAACGCACCUCUUUUCUUUCACAAUUUUUUCUUGUAGGAGUGCAAAGCUUAAAGGCAUUCUUUUCUAGAUUGUCCAUGUAACGGGGGUCCAUCGAUGACUCCCAACCAAUCAAGGUUUAGGGCAUCAAGCUUUAAGGAUUUUUCAACCACUAACUCCUCGGAUUUCACCCCGGACUUUUGAGAAUGAAUUUUUAAUACCCAAGCACCUACAACAUGUUAAACUCCACCUAUUCACCCUUGUAACGAGCAUUGAGGUCGGUGACUCCCAACCAAUUAAGGCUUAGGGCACCAGGUUUUAAAGAUUUUCACCAUAUACCCCUUAGACCUUGCUCGGGUUUCAAGGCAAGCAAACAUUUUUCUUUCUUUCUUUAUUUUCUUCAAAGACUCAUUUGCCUUUUACAAGGUGUCCCAACACUAUUAAAUGAGGUCAAAGGUACCAAGUCUAAAAUUUUCCUAAGUCAAGAGGGAAAUAGUUUUUCAUCUUAUAAACGGAACCUAGUGUGCACGGUGUGUGAUAAUAGCUUAAGGUGGAAGAGAUAAGUUUGCAUGCAAUGGGAGUUUCAACAAUUCAUCAACUUUUAGAAGAGCAUAAUACAAACUCUAAGACUCAUGUAAUCAAGUUGAAACUCGACUUCUCUCAUUUAAUUUUGAGAGUUAAUCCUUAAUAUCCAUGGAGUUUAAAGCAAAAAUUUUAAAAAUUUUAAAAAGUAGCUAAUUUAACUAAGUAUGAUAAAAAUUUAAACUAAUACUUACUUCCUCAUCUCUCCCCCCAACCGAGAUGAACAUUGUCCUCAAUGUUUGAAUCGAAAAUAAGGAUGAAGGAAGUGGUACCUCAUGUGAUGUGGACUUGGAGUUGGGAAGGUUGAACCACUUGUUUCAAAAUUCAAAAAUUGAAUGAGAGAGGAAUUUAUACUAAAUAUUUACAAAAAUGAUGAGUGGGCCCCACUUUGAGCAGCUGAGGACAAGGCUCAAAGGGUCCAUGCCAUGAUGGUAUACUCAUAUAAGUUGCAAUGACAUUUGAAUGUAGCUUGCAGGGUGUUAAAAUUGGAGAUUUUUGGCUAAAACAGGGGAAAACAAAGGAGGAGUGAACAGUGAGUGCCAAAAUUGGCACAGUCACUGUUCACCUCCUUUGAAGCCCGACUGUGCGUUUUCCAAGUUUUGGGAAAAAAUUCAAAAAUGGUUUUUGAAAAGGUAUGGUUAGGCUCUAAACAAGAUUCCUAAGGUGUUUGGGUAGUUUUUAAAUGAUGAAAAAAAAAAUUAAAUGAUGGAAAAUGAAAAUCAAAGUGGACGACCAUGCAUGGAAUGGUUUUGAAAUUCGAUUUUUAAAAAGUUUUGGAUGGAUGGGAUUUGAAAACAAAAGGUUUGGAAAUGCAUUCAUGAAUUUUUAAACUUGGAAAAACAUGGAAUUCAAGAAAAAGGCCUUCCCGAGAGCUUUGUUUUUAGAAAUUAGCUUGAAAAUCAUUUCGCACCAAGAUAAACAAGGUGCGAAAGUUUUCGCACUGGUAAUUGAGGUGCGAAGAUAGCAUCCUGGGAGGCUUGGCUUUCCAAAAUGUAUAGAAAUUCCUUUUCGCACCAUGCACUAUCACUGUGCGAAAAAUUCGCACUGAGUGUGUUCAUGGUGCGAAAUUCCACUGAGAGCUUUGCUUAUGCAUUUUGGCUCCCCUGUUUCCUCUGUUUCACCUCCAUUUCGAUUUUUGCAAGCAUCGUACCUGCAUGAACACUUCAAAACUCAUCUUAAAACCAUAUUAAAACUAAAUUAAAGCUAAGAAUUCAAACUAAAACAUGCAUAAAUUUAAAGAAAGCAUAGAAUUUAAAUGAAGCUGAUAGCAUGUACCCCAAAAAGAAGAUGAACUAUUUAGCUCAUCCUCACUCACACACCCACUUCAUGCUGAAUUCCCCCUGGAUCCCAAACAAAAUUGGCAUCAUUCCCAUUUGGUCCAAGGGAAUUCAUUUCUCUUCUCUUCCCUGGAGAAGUGGAUGCUUUAAAGGGUUCAGGUAACCCUUUAUCAUCUUGAACCUUAUGAUUUUCAAUGGAAGGUUGGUUCAUAGAGUUGUCAUAGCAAUCCCCCACCAAAGUGUCGAUCUUCAACACUUUCCUUGAUCUUUUUGCAUUGGUUCCUUGAAGGUUAUGGUGGGGUUGAGGAGGAAGCUUCCUUUUCCCCUUUGCUAUGUCGAGAUUGGUGAGCUUCUUAAUGGAGUCUUGAACUUUUUCUAUCCUUAGUGAUAGAUCAUUAUAAACCCCCUCCAUUCUUACAUUUAUUGAACUCUCCAAAUUAUCAAUCUUUUCAUUAAGAUGAGAGUUGAUCUUUUGUUGCUCACCUACAAAGUCCUCCAUGACUUUGCUUAUCUUCAAAAUGGCUUGCUCCAAUGAAGAUGUACUCAUUGAUGGUUGAGGUUGAGGUUGGGUUGCAAGGUUGGGAUGGUUUAUAUACUCAAAUGAAGUUGGCAUGGCUUGUGGUUGUGCUUCAGUAUGCAUAUUCCUCAAUUCAAACUCCUCUAUCCUUCUAGCCAUAGAUGCUAGCUUUGCCUUCAUGCUUAUGUCUUCAUUCAAGACAUACUUACUACCCCAUUGGCUUUGUUGAACUUGCCUUUUCCCUAAUUCAAUCCGAUCCCUCAUGGAUAAGUAUGCAAAUUUGUCCUUCUCAUGAUCAUAAUGAGAGCUUUGAUCUUCAUGUGGAAUUUCCAUUUCUAAAAAAAAAUGAUAUUCAACUAAGGUUCUUUUCUUCAACUUGUACCAGGGUUCCCUCUUGGUCUCGAAUCCAACAAGGAAUGCACAAAUUGAAAUUGAAACAAAAAUAAAAGAAAAGAGAAUGAAAAAUUUAACUAAAUAAAAACUAAACUAAAAAUGAAAGUUAAAAACUAAAAGAAAUUUAUCUAAACUAAGUUAAAAAUGUUCUAAAACUAAAAUAAAAAGUUAGUAAAUGAAAAAUGAGAUAGAAUUCACCUCACUCAUGAGAAGUCUCACAAGUUACCUCCGGCUGAUAUAUUCACAGUGAAGUAGCACCUUCCCCGGCAACGGCGCCAUUUGAUAACCCGACUCUUGGUAGCUUGGCAUGUAAGGGUAUCAACAAAAUUUAUCCCUAAGGUCCUUACACUAAAGUAGCAAAGCUACUAUAGCAUAGUGGCUCUAGGAUCGAACACUGGGAAGGGUUUUUACUUUAACUGGUGAAGUUCGGAGGAUGGAGUGAACUUUUCUUAAUAAAAAUUAGGUUAAGAUGAAAACAUAAAAAGAUGAAGGUGUUGUAAACUUAAACUAACAUGAAAAUAGGUUAAAAGAUGGAAAAAGAAGUUUCUCAAAGCUUUGGAUAGCCAUGCUUAACUCACUGUGUAAAAAUGGAGAUUUUGGGACUUUUCACCUCGAGUUGGGGAAGCAACUAAGGUGAUGCUUACUUCCCGAACCGGUAUGAGUUUAACAACUGAGUUUUAGUCCUUGAAAACUUACAAAAAGGGUAGCUGAACCUCAUAAAUGCCCUUUUAAUGAUAUAGGUCAUCUCCUCGACUUGCAAUACAAUGGCUCGUAGGAGAUAACUAAUGAACGUCAGUGGAUCUAACAAUAAGAAUCCACUGAGACCAAAAGAUUAUCAAGUAUUGGCCAUUCAAAGCAAGUCAGAGGGAUUAAAAGCUUUACUUUGAAUGAAAACAUUUAUGACGCUCAGCUACUUACAUUUAUGGCUUGGAAAUCUCCAUCCUGACACGGGAGCUUCACAUGGCAUCCAUUACUUCAAGAAACUAAAAGGUUUUAGCCUCUCAUCCUUGGGGAUUUCAUCCCCCAAGGAUGUUUGGCUACUAAGAAAAUGAGAAAGAAAAGAGAAAAGAAACGUAUGAACAAAAGUGCUCUUAUAACUUAUAAAGUUACAGGUUACAAGAUUAGAUGAUCUGAGGCUCUUCACCUCUAUUUAAAGACAAUAACAAGCUAAAUUACAAGAGCUAUUACAAAAGCAACCUAUUCAUUGGUUGAUUACAAGGGUAAAAUAGGUAUUUACAAAGCUAAAAAUCAAGCAAAAUAUCUUGGAGAACCGGUAGUGGAAUAACAUCAACAACGUCUCAAAACAGGGGAUUCAAAGGAAUUUCGCAAUGUGCCUAAAUCCUCCUUGCGAAAUUUUCGCAAGGUGUUUCUUCAUGGUGCGAAGUGGCAAAAUUUCGCACCAUGAAGAAAAUCUCCUUGCGAAAUUGGUCAUUUGACAUGAUGCAGUUGCCUUCCAAAGGCUAUAUCUUCCUCAUUUCAGAUCCAAAUCAUACACGGUUUGAAGCGUUGGAUUCUUGACUUCCUAAGCUUUCAAAUGGUAUAUAGCAUGUAAAAAAUGGACUUCGGGAAGUACUCCAAAAGUUCAAAGGAAGACUGCAGCUGUUUUCUUCACUCUGUUUUCCUCUUCUCCAUUGCUUGUGCUCGUGUUUCCACUUGAAAUUCAAGCCUAUAAACGUACAAAAUCCUUGCUUAACUCGCCCAAAUAGCUCCUCCAUCAAUUGGCAUGCUUGAAUUGGUUCUUAAGCUGAUAAAAACAUGUAAACUUGCCACAAAAUGGUUAAAACCAAUUACUAAGGACCUUAAUGAAUUAAUUGGGUUAAAUGAAUAUGAUUACUACUUAAAGGUGCUUAAAACCAUUAUAAUUAGAUCUACAAAAUAGCACUUUUUGGUAGUAAUCACUAAGUGCCGCACGAGCUUAGUGAACGACUAAGUCCGUGACACAAUGCUAUAAAAGGUAGUGGUGAAAAUUCAAAAUCCUUGCUAUUAGCCAAUGAUACUUGAAAGGAUGAAAACAAAAGUUCAUGGUUUCAGAUAUAAGAUGUAGUAAUCAUAUGUGUAGUAGGAAAGAGAUGUUUCAAUAGUACCAAUUAAGGGUAGAGUUAAGAUUUCUAUUAAAUUGAAGAAUGGAUUUCAAAAUUUUAUCUCUAAUGUGUUAUAUGUUCCAAGUCUUCAUCAAAAUCUAUUAAGUAUGCUACAACUUUCAGAAAAGGGGUAUGAUAUGUAGAUCUAUAGGGCAUCUGUACCAUCAAUGAUUAUUAGAAAGGACUAGUCACAAAGGUGAAUAUGACACAAAAUCGUUUAUUUCCAUUAAAUAUUAAUUGUGAAAAUUUACUUGCUUUAGUUUUAUAAUCGAUGAUAAAAAUUGGUUAUGACACUUACGUUUUAAACAUUUAAAUUGUGAAAGUCUAAAAUUACUUGUUGCUAAGAAGAUAGAUUUUUGGUUACCUUUUAUUGAUUCACCAAAUGAAAUUUGUGAAACAUGUGUUUUGGGAAAGAAAUAUGGAGAUCCUUUUCUUAUAGGAAAAUCACGGAGAGCUAGGAAGCCUCUCGAGUUGAUUCAUCUAAAUCUAUUGUCCAGCUGAGGUUCCCUUAAAUGGAAAUCAUAGAUAUUUUAUAACAUUUAUUGAUGAUUUUAGUUAGAAGGCUUAGGUUUAUUUUUUAAAGCAAAAGGGAGGUGCAUGUGAAAUUUUUUUUUUAAAAAUAAAGCUUAUGUGGAAAAACAAAGUGGGCAUAUCAUUAAAAUUUUGAGAACAAAUAGAGGUAUUAAAUAUAUUGUUUGUGAUAUUUUUUAAAAAAAAAUAUGGUAUUGAGCAUUAAUUGAUUGCAAGGCACAUUCCACAGCAAAACGAAAUUGCAGAGAGAAAAAAUAAAACAAUUAUAAGUAUGAUGAGGUGUAUGUUGCACUUAAAACAAUUGCUUAAAAUAUUUUGAGCCGAAACAGUCUCGUAUAUAAUCUAUUUAUUGAAUAGGUGUUCCACUAAAAGUGUUUAUGAAAAAAACCCAUAAGAAGUUUGGAGUCAUAAAAAACCUAACAUUGGUCGUCUAAGGGUGUUUGGUUGUAUAGCAUAUGUUCAUGUUCCUAAUGCAUUACGAAAAAAACUUGAUAAUAAAGGUGAAAAGUGCAUUUUUAUUGGUUAUAGCCAAGUGAUAAUAGACUAUAAAUUAUACAAUCCACAAACCAAAAUUUCAUUGUCAAUUAUGAUGUGGUUUUUUAUGAGCAAGUAGUAUAGGAUUGGUCCUCUAAUGGAAAAAGAAUAUCAAGUGUUCAAAUUCAUCUUGAAGAGUAAAGUGAAGAUUAAAGUAUGCAACCUACUAGUGCACCAAUUAUGACACCAUGUCUUGUAAAGUCAUUAAGGCAUCCACAAUGUCAACACAUUUUACCUACUUGCUUACAUGCUUAUGUGGUUGGUGAUGACAGCGACCCAACAUGUGAGGAAUUAACAAAUUUUCCUUUAUUUACAUAUUGUUAUUCAUUAAGUUGUGAGGAAGCUACUCAAGAUGAUUGUUGGCUUAAAGUUAUGGAUGCAGAAAGUCAUGCAAUUAAGAAAAAUAAUACAUGUGAGCUUACUAAUUUCCCUAAUUCUAAGAAGCCAAUUGGUAUCAAAUAGGUGUAUAAAACCAAGUAUUAGACAAAUGGAGAAGUCAAUCUCUUCAAGGCAAGAUUGGUGGAAAAAGGUUACAAGCAAAAACCAUGUAUUGAUUAUUUUGACGUAUAUGCUCUUGUUGCUAGACUUGACAUUGUUCGCAUGAUUAUCUCUCUUACUACACAAAAUAAUUAGAAACAUUUUCAAAUGGAUGUAAAAUUAAAUUUCUUAAAUGGCGAACUAGAAAAAGAGGUUUAUGUUGAACAACCUCAAGGAUAUAUGAUGAAAGGAAAAGAAGAAAAUGUCUAUAAGUUAAAAAAGAAAAAGCCUUAUAUGGAUUGAAACAGACACUAAGAGCAUGGUACACAGAUAUUGAUACUUAUUUCAAGAAGAAUGGAUUUCAAAGAUGUCCUUAUAAACACACUUUAUAUGUCAAAUCUAAUUUGCAGGGUGACAUUCUUAUUGUGUUUAUGUGUAGAUGAUUUAAUUAUCACUAGUAUUAAUUUCAAGAUGAUUGUGGAAUUCAAAGAGGUGAUGAUUAGUCGGUUUGAGAUGAUAGAUUUGGGAUUGAUGUCUUAGUUUCUUGGGAUUGAAGUAAUUCAAAAUAGAUACAAGUAUUUUUAUUUUUUAAAAGAAGUAUGCAAAUGAUAUUCUUAAAAAAUUCAAUAUGGAAUCUUAUAAUCCUAUUCUAACUCCAAUUAAAGAAAGAUUGAAACUAGGAAAAAGUAAGUAUGGUGAGUUAGUUGAUCCUACUAAUUUUAAAAGAAUAAUUGAAAGUUUUUGGUAUUUGACUUCUAUAAGACCAUAAAUUAUAGUUGGAGUUGGACUUGUAAGCAAAUUUGUAGUCUCCAUGUCAGUUUCACUUGCAAGUAGCAAACCAUUUCCUACAAUACAUUAAAGGUAUGCAAAGUGAUGGUAUUUUUUAUACAUAUUACAACUAAGGGUCUCCAACGGGCCGGGGCGGGCCACUGAGCCCGUUGACUGGUCAACGGGCCGGUCCGGGCCGGGCCCUUGAUAUAUCUAAGGCCCGUGGGCCCUCAAGCUGGGCGGGCUUGGCGGGCUUAGAGGGUCGGGCCUGGCGGGCCGGGGUAAAAAUUAAAAUAAUUUUUAAUUUUGAAGGGAAGGGGAUGGAACCAUAAGGGAGCUAGCCACCAACUGAGCUGACCCUCUUUUGUGUAACUAUUUUGCAUUAAUUAUAUAUAUAUUAGAAAUGUUGUAUGAUUUUUGAAAAAAAAUAAAAGUGAGUUGGUUGUUCAACGGUCACAUGACCGUUGAACAUGCCACUCAUAAUUCAAUUUCAAAUAUAUGACCGUUGAAUGGUGUUGAAAUUAAAAAAAAAAAAAAAAUUAAAUCCUAAUAUUUAAAUCCCUAUAAAUAUUAAAUACCCUCAAUUUUUUUCUAUUCUCUCAACUCUUAAGCUCUCUCUCAUUCCACAAUAUUUCCGAUUAUUGCAUUUUGUUCUCAAAUUAUUCAAUAUUAUUGGUGGUGAAAAACAAGCAUUGGUGGUUCAAAGAGUUCAAAUUUGAAGGAAUUUCUGCUUCGGUUCUCCAAUUUAGUAACAUACUUCACCUUUUCUUUUAUUUAUUUGUUACAUUUUAAUUUUACAUUUAUUAUUUUUAGUAUAAUAUUUUAUCAAUAAUUAUAAUUAUGGCAAGUGGUUCUUGUUCUUCAUCUAAUGCAUGUGAUAGCAAAAAAUUUACUUCAAAUAUAUGGAAUUUUUUUGAUAGAAUAGAAAUAAAUUUAGAAAAUAAUAAAAAAGAAAUAAAAGAAAAAUGUAAAAUUUGUAACAAACUUCUUAGUGGUGGCUCAAAUGCAAGUACAAGUCAUUUAAAAAGGCAUCAUGAAAAUUGUAAAACUAAAAAUAAUGUAGAUAUUAGAAAUUAUAUGCAAUUAGGUAAAGAUGAAAGUGGAAAUUUAAAAACAUUUUCUUAUGAUGAAUCUUAUUGUCGUGAAGAAAUGAUUGGUUAUAUAAUAAGAGCAUAACAACCUUUCAAUUUCACUAGUUCGCCAUCACCGCCAAGAGAUAAUGAUUAAAAUAUUUUACUAAAUGUAUGUCAUAUUUUUAUUUUUAUUUUUAUGGUUGAAAAGUACAAAUGAUUGACAAAUAAGUAGGUGCCAACCUAGUUGGGAUGUAUUUAUUUUGUAGUAAUGUAAAAUUUUCCCACAUUUUCAAAUGUUAUAUAUACAUUCAAUGAAUAAAAUAGUUAACAAUGAAUAUUUUUAUUAAUGUAACAUUUUCUAUUUCUUGAAUAUUUUUUUUAUAUAUAUAUAUUUUUUAAAGUGGCGGGCCUAUGGGCCGGCCCGAGCCUAAUUUGGGGCCCAUGGCCCGGCCCAUCCAGAAAUGGGCUCGGGCCUGCCGGGCUCGGGCCGGGCUUUACAUGUCUAAUAAUGGAACAAAAUGUGACUUACUGACUCCAUGCAAAUCCAUCUCUUAAACUUAACAACAAUCGUACCGUUAGCUCAGCAAGGAACUUGAGUGUUGCAUUUAUGCAGAAACUGUACACUUAAUUUGCGCUUUGUAUGCUUGUAUUUGAUGUUACAUGUGAGAUCUAGUGACUUAUUAGUUGUAAUAUGGAUGCAUAUGCAGGGCUUUAGGACGAUAUCGACCCAUUCUACAAUCUUCCCCUAGGGCCCCGAUUCAUAAUUUUGAGUCGUUACACUUCAUUUCAUAAGUUAUUGGACUUCGAUCAUGAUGCCGCAGACACAAGAAAGCGCUUGGCACAAAUAAUUAAUUUGGUUGAUUAAUACUCACUCUCAAGUGUCAUGAAGAAGUGGCAUAAUCAGGCCUCAGAUUAGGUGAGGGCGAAGGGCAAGGUCAUGUGCCCUUAAGAAAGUGUAUGGCAUAUGCUCUCCGUUAAAGCGAUGUGACGGACCAUGUAUAUGCAUCAACGCUCGGUUCACAUUGAGCGUGUGACCGCUUUUCUCAGGCCACCAUAAGCUUUUCUUUGGCCCGCAUUUACUUCAUGUAGCACCACAAACUUAAUAGGGUCUACUAAGCUUUCACAUUAAAGCAAGAGCAAAAUUCUUUUACCAUAGAACACUUUUUUUAAUCACAAAUUAAUUUACGGCAAAAUCCCAUAUUUGAGUUUCAAUGAUCUAGUUUAGGAAUUCCAUGGAUGUGACUUUCUAACUAAGGAAGUUGAAGCUAUGUAUGGGAAUGAUAAUUGACAAAGAGUACUGCGUACAAUAAAAGUCCACACAAGUGCAAGCUUUAAUCCAUUGUAUCAUUCACCACAUUUUUUUCCUUUCCUUUUGUUUGUCUUUUUGGGUUAUCGAGAAUGCCAUAAUUAGUGGGAAUAAAGGAGAGAAUAUAUGUUUGAAUUUUGUAUUGUCACGAAUGAAUGACUCAAUUCAUUGAAUGAGCUAGCAUCUUUUGGUCAUUCAACCUUUAUAUGUAAUGGUAGUUGUGUGGUAGAGUUGAUAAUUCUAAUUCAUAGGUUUAUGAAUCUAGACGCUUUGUUUGACGUACAAAUUUGGAAUUUGAUUUGACCAAUUUCAUUUAAUUUUUGUAAAAAAAAUAAUCUUCCCUAGGAUGUUAAGUAAUGUACCAAUGAUGCUUUCACAAACAUUUUUCUCAAUGUGCAUUACAUCCAAAUUAUGACGAACAUGCAAAUAUCUCCAAUACUCAAGUUCGAAGAAUAUGGACUUUUUCUUCCAACAAUUGGCAUAAGUCACAUUGGAUUUAUCAUGUCUUCCCCCUUUUUUCCCCCAUGGAUUACAAAUGACAUUCAUUUUCAAUAGUAUUUCCUCUCCACUUAACGGUUAUGGAGGUGAUCGAAACUCCUGCUCACCAUUGAAUGCCUUUUUAUGUUUUCUAAAAGGAUGAUUGCAUGGAAGAAAACGUUUGGCCUGUAAAUGAGUUCUUUCUCCCAUGCUUCAACCUAUGUCAAUAGGUUUCCGGUGUACAUAUUGGACAAGCAAAAUAUCCUUUGACUGUGCAACCAAAUAAGUUUCCAUAUGUAGGAAAGUCAUUUAUUGUCCAUAAUAGAACAACCCUUAAUGUAAAGACCUUUCUUUGAUAUGCAUCAUAAGCUUCUACCCUUAUCUCCCACAAGGUUUUAAGGUCCUCAAUCAAUGAUGCUAAAUAGAUAUCUAUGUCAUUGCCAGGUUUUUGUGGACUUGAUAUUAACAAAGAUAACAUCAUAAAUUUUCUCUUCAUGCACAACCACGGUGGAAGAUUAUAAGUGAUCAUGACAAUUGACCAACAAUUAUACCUGCUGCUCAAGGAACUAUGGGGAUUUAUGCCAUCUACUGAAAUGGCAAGUCUAAGGUUUCUAGGUUAUGCGGCAAAAUCAGGCCAUCUAUGGUUAAUUACCUUCCAUGAUGGCGAGUCAGAUGGAUGAUGCAUUUUUCCAUCAAAUUCUCCACCUUGUGCAUGCCAUAUGAGGUCUUUUGCGAUUUUUGAGGACCGAAACAUUCUUUUAAAUCGUGGGAUAGGUGGAAAAUACCACAUCACUUUAGCAGGAACUCCUUUACUCUUUUUAGUUCCUCUUCUAUUCACCUUCCACCUUGAAACUCCACAUGUAGAACAUGAAGAUGCAUCUUUUAACUUAUUCCUAAAAAGUAUGCAAUCAUUGGGACAUGCAUGUAUUUUUUCAUAUUCCAUUCCCAAUGCAUUCAAUGUUUUUUUUUGCUUCAUACAUAGACAAUGGCAACUCAUUGUUAACAUGCAACAUAUCACCAAGUAAGCUUAAUAGCUCAGAGAAGCUUUUAUCAGACCACCCAUAUCUUCAUUUUAGAUUAUAUAAUUUAACUAAAGCAGAUAAUUUGGUGAAGUUUUUGCAAUCGGGAUACAAAGGUUUUUCAGCAUCUUCAAGCAACCUUUCAAAUAAUUUUGGAUUAGCCUUACAAUCAUCUUGUGCAGCUUCAACCAUUUCUACUGUAUGAUCCUCAUUACCAAUAUGAAUUCUAUCAAAACAUUCAACCCUUAUAGUUGGGGGUCCACUACUUAGAGCUACCUCCCCAUGCCAAAACCAAGUAUGGUAACUUUGGCCAAUUCCAUAAAAGAAUAGGUGUUCUCUAAUCUUUUGAGGAGUAUUGAAUAUCAAAUUUCCACACUGUAGACAUGGGCAUUUGAUGGAGUUUUGAUGUGCAGAAUUUUGAACUGCAAAUGAAAUAAAAUUUUCAACCCUAUCCUCAUAGUCUUUUGAUCUUCUAUCUUUUGAUAUCCAGGAACGAUUCAUUUGCCUAUAAUAGGUGAACUCAAUUCCUAUAUAGCAAACAUGAACAAACAAUGGAAAUGGAAAAGACUUAGAAACGUUACCUUUAGAAAACACUCAAAACUUUUAGUUUGUCAUUUGUGACAUCCAAAAUUUCUUUUUAAUUUUCUAAGGACAAACAAUUAGGAUUCAGAUGCAAUAAAAAAUUUGAAUCCCAUCCUCAAUAAAAAAGGAUUAACAAUAUGACAAUAGAACCUUUUGAUGCAUGUUUUUAUGCCUUUUAACAUGUCCAACAUGUCCAACAUCCAAAAUCGGGUAGUAGUUCCUAUCCCAUGUAGGAAUACAUAAUCCCUAUGUGUUAACUGCCAAUAUACUCAAUUUCAUUUUGAAGAAAUUUCGGUAGCAUUUCCCCAUAGUUCUCCAAGUACACAAAAUGAACAAGGUAUAAUAUGUGACCUUGUUCAAAUAUGCACCCAGAGAACAAGAGGAAAUUAAAGACUACCAAAAUGUCUAAAAAGUGAAUUAAGCACAAACAAUUAACUUCAUAGAUAUUAUGUUUUCCUACACUGUCCAAUCGGACAAUUCAAGCAUCAUUGAAAAAAAAAUAUCUUUAUCACAUUCUAGACAAUUUAAAAGUUGUCAACUUGAAAGUGGCUUGGAUAAAACCUUUUUCACCUUUGACAACUUAAAUGUCUUUAGUAUGUAAUAAGAGAAACUUUUUAUCUUACAAUGAUAGUUGAAUGGGAACUCUAAGGUUUCAUGCAUGCAUGUUUGAUUAAAAUUAAAAUACAAUUACUUAUUGAAUAAUCUAAUAAUUAUAAAACACCUAAAGAUGUUCCAUAAUUAUUGGUAUAUUUCAUGUUAUCCAUUAACCAUUAAACAAGAUUAUUAUAAGAAAGAAUACGUAUGGCCCAUGAUUUGUGAAUCAAGUCACACCAGUCUAUGUCAUAGCCUUGGGUCAAAAUUUGGGCCUUGGUAUCAAAUUAAGCUGGGGAAUAACUUGUAGAAUUCAGGUACUCGAUAAGAUUUAAACAAAAUUUAAAAUAACGUCUCCAUUAUAUUCUUCUAACCACCUAAAGUAAAACUGGCAUUAUAAUUAAAAUAUGUUGGUCUGUAUAAAGAAAAAUAACGUACCUUUCUCAAUCUGUCUUUGUCUCAAGUCUUGCAUCACACACCUCUCGCAGUCCAAUGUAGGUCACUGUCCCUUAAAAUAUGUAUAUGUAAAACAAAUAAUAAAUAAAUAAAUAACAUAAAUCCAUUAGUAGAUAUUAACAAAUAAAUAAAAAAUAAAUUAAAAUAAGAAAAUAAACUAAGAAGAAAAGACAUAUAAGUAAGAAAAAAAUAUUUUCACACGUGCAACAAUGGUUAGAUAUUUUUGAAAAUUUAUAAAAUUAUUAAAAUCAAACUAUUUUAGUUAUUAUUAUUUUUAAAUGGUAAUUAAUACUCCUAUAAAAUAAAAUACAUGCAUGGUGAGAAAGCUAAGAAGAUUAUUCCUUGUGUCUCUUUUCAUUUGAGAUUCUGACUUUUGGUGAUGACUUAAUGGUGGGUGAAGUGUGAACCACACUGUCUGACCCGAGUCAAGUCCUUAGCUUUUGAAAGAUGGCUACAAGAUGGGUAGAACUUAAAUGAAUGAGAUAGAAAAGCCUGGUCUAAAUUAAGGUGGCUUAACAAUACCGUAAUCAUCUUGGCUAGGUUGUAUCAUAUAGUAAAAUAGACGUUACAGGCUAGGUCUUCAGCAUCCAGCAAUUCCACCCUUUGAUUUUUCCAACAAGUUACACCAUCUAAUAAUAAUACCUAUGAUCCUAUACCUUAGUUUUGAUUCCUUAUGUAUACAAAGUAUAUAUAGUUACACUACGUUAAACUUAUUUUUUUUUUCUCUAAAAAGUAAUGAGUGUAAAUUUUUAAAUUAGGCUAAUAUUCAUUUUUUUUCACUUCUUAUUUUUUAUUUUGAAAAUAGAAAAUAGUUACAACUCUUAUACAAAAUAUUUUAGUAUUUUUUGUUUUUAAAAUAGAAAGUUAGAAAUUGUAUUUUAAAAGCAAUAUUCUAUUUCAAUCCACAUAAAUCAUACAAGUUUGGAAAUAUUCCAUUACCAUAUUUUGAGUAAUAUUUUUAAAGGGUUAAUUUUAUUCAUUUCCCCUCAAGAUUUGACUAAAUAUAAUGGCCCUUAUUGGUUUAAAUUUCAUUAAAUACCUAUCUUACUUUGAGUGAGAGUAGAGUUGACCGAAAAAAAGAAAAAAAAAGAAUAGUAAAUAUGUUUGAUAAAAUUUCAAACUAAUGAAGAUUAGAUGUAUUUAGCUAAAAACUUAAAGGUGAAUGAAAUUAAUCUUAUUUUUAAAAGAUACUAUAUUUUUUGAAGUCUAAAAAUAUUCAACUACCAUAUAUUUUUAAAAAAGAUUGUAAUUUGGAGUAUUCUUGAAGCAUUGUAAACUACUUAUUUUCAAUCUAUGGAAAAACCUUAUGUAACUUUUGGUUAUCUCCUCAUCCUUAGUAAGAAAUUGGAAUUUUCAUAAUUUUGUAUUUGAUUUCUCAUAAUUUAGAUAUUUUUCCAUAAUUAUAUAUCAUUUCCUAAUUUUAUAUCAAUUAUUCUAAUUGAAGAUUAGUUUAAUAAGGAAAUUUCUAGAAAUUGAAAAAAAAAAAAUCUAAGAAGCUUUUAUCCAAUAAGGAAGACUUUUAUCAUUCAAGGGUUCUUAUAGAAUAAAUUUAAGGAAAUUAAAAUAAUUUUUCAGACUUAGGAUCCUAUCACAAAUUUUGGUAACCAAAUACUUGCAAUCCAAAAUUCUAAAAUUUACCAAAAUACACCUAUAAUAAAAAUUCUAAGCUAGGCAUUCCUUUUACUUAUUUAAUAAUUAUAAAUGCCCAAGCCAACAAAAACAAGAAUUACGAGACAAAUGCGUUCCUGACAAAUCAGACAUGGAGAACCCGUGAAAUCGUAGGAAUAGGGACAGUAGAAGGUGUACCCUUUCUUCUCAGGUGCCAUUGUCGGAUACCUGUUAAUAUAGUCUCAAGGUUGUCCACGAUUGUACGGUGAACCCAGUGAUACCAUUUCUAGACUAGGUUAUGCAAGUUGGCAAGUGAGAGCAAGGCAUAGAAGGCAUAUAGAAGGGCCCGUAAUGCAUCGGGCAACAAUACUGAUGCCAAUGAAGCCAAGGAGAGGGAACCAAAAAACAUCAUGGCAGUGCGGAGGAGAGCAACACAAGUAGGAGAGAGAUGAGAAGAAUGAAAGGUUAACUCAGUUCCGAAUGUCAAAACAAACGCCAGUAAGCUAGCAAAGAACAUCAUGGUGCUUAUAACAGGUUGACCAAUGAUAAUAGGAGGAACCAAACUCUUGAAAUGGAAAGCAAAGAACUGAUGAUGGUGACAGAGAACUUAAGAAAGCGUAGUCAUCCUGGACAUCUCAAGAAAUUAGAGUCUUAGACUUUGCAUUUUAUACGUACGUGUAGGUGUUUCUUACAAAAUUGAGUUCGAUUCUCUAAGGAUUAGAUGUUCUGUAGGCAAUAUUAUAUCGAUACGUCCAGAUUGUACAAGUCUUGUCUCUCUAGUCAUCAGUCAUCAUUCAUGACCCUGUAGGAGGGAUGAGGUGGACCAAACCAGGCCAGCUCGCAGGCUUGCAUUGAGCCAUAGUUACCUUCAGCCGGAUGGGCCCAAAUCUAGCCAUAUCCAAAAGAACAGACCAAACCCAGUUACUCACAUGUAAGGGCCAAAACAACUUUAAGGUCGGUGCUGGAACAUCACCUUAGCUACUCACAUGCUCCAAAUUACUCGUCCUCUUUUCUGUUAAUCGUGAAUGAGAAGCUACAAUUGACACUAGGAUGGUAAAAAAAAAUGUUAGAAAAACGAAAAUUUGGUUGAGAGGAAAAAGAUUGAUGUCUAUCAUGCUUUCGUUUCUAUGUGUCCGCAGACAAGUUUUGGAUUGGACUCUGACGUGCAGUCACCAAGCCCACACAUCUUUUGGAUCACGCAUGCCAAUUUCCACCCCAUGGGCUAUGAAAAUAAUUUAAAUAUGAUAAAUCUCUCUCUCUCUCUCUCUCUAUAUAUAUAUAUAUAUUGGACCUUCUCAAAGUGAACUAUUUCCAUAUGGACCCAUGGGACACGGGUCAAGAUACGGGGCGAGAUUGUGUGAGCACAGGAUUAGUCUCAGUGAGUGAACUUCUGAAGUAAGCCUCGGAAAUUCUUCAACUCCCCAAUUCACAUCGUAUGGUCCGAGGCCUAGGGUGGAAAAUGCAGAAGCUAAAAUGCCACAUGUUGUUUUUAUAAGUAGAGGAACCGAAGAACCCCUUUUAGAUUCUUUGUUUCCUUUACGCACAAAUGAUGAUUGAUGACAACACUAGUUGGGCCCCUUUCUUCGUUUCCGAUGAAAAAGAUAAGAAUAAAUAAGUAAAAAUUCUUUAAUUUUUUCAUCUCCCAUGUAAAACAACAUAUUUUUUUUCUCCGUUCCUUGGUUGCUUCCGGCUACAAAAACAGCGCCGUGUGGGCAUCGCCAGUGUUUCCUUUUCCCACGGCACCUUUAGGAGUUAAGGCAAUGAAAAAAGUUGAGAUUGGGCUUCAUCCUCUUUUAGUCCCUGUAGUGGCAGUUCGGGCUUUUCCUACCUCCUAAAGUAAAAUUUAAAUUGUGGAAAGUCUGCAGCCUGAUUCCAACCGAGCCAAGCCCAUAUAUUUUGGCCUAGUGCCUCAAACCUUGACUGCCCAACAACUAAGAUUCAAACCUAAGCCCACCAGAGAAAUUUUUAAAACCUGUCUUUUCCAAACAUGUCACUUCUUUGCCAGUUGUUCCCCUUUCAAUACCAUUUAAAAAAUCCCCCAUUUUGCAGCUUUCUCAACUGCUGCUUCUCCUUGGUGUACGAACACGGCACAUCCAUACCUACAGACGGCAGAGGCUGCACCUCCUUUCCCACCCUUGUGCUGCUACGUGAGCACCCACCACAUUAGCCCUAACCUCCAUCCCGAUCACCAUGCUUACUGCUACAUCUCCUUAGCACUACACAAGGCAAAAACAGGGUGACACUUCCCACCACAACUGAAAGGAGAAGUUGGAACAACCUACCACAACUUGCAAUGCACAAGGCAUAUUACUUCUAUAGAUGUUAUUUACACCAACCAUUUGGUUAUUUACACUAUUAUAUAACAACAAGAACAAAAAUGCUCUGUAUUUAUUCGGGAUACCAUUUCCCUGAUUUUGUCCUCCCAAAAUAAUUUCCCUAUCUAUGAAACAAUAAUAUCAGAUAUUUGGAACAAUAAAAACCCUUCCAUUUGUCUUCAUUUGUACUAAUCUAUUCAAGUAUGAGGAAAACAACAUUAGUUGAGAAAGAGAUUUACCUGUAACUAUGAUGCUCUAUAGUAGAUUUUCACAAUGGUAACCUCCCAUGCAUGGAAGUUAGACAUGACCAUUCCAAUGGAUUAGGCCAUUUUAGUGGUGGACUUUGCAAAGGGAAUAGAUUUUGGCAACUGAUGUGGAGUCAAAUGACUUUACAAGGGGAAUGGAUUAGGGCAUUUUAGUGGUGGACUUAGUGAGAGCUAUAGGGUUUCGGGGUUUCUUCAGUUCUAAAAUGGUGGAUGGAAUGUUUGGUGGGCACUUGUAGAAAGGGAAAAGCUUUUAAUGAAUAUAUAUUCAAAACAUAUAUAUAUAUAUACACUAUUAUUUAAUGUCACCUGAUAUAAGCACCAUGAAAUAUCACAACUAUGACAUUGCUAUAAAGUGUCAUGGCAUAACUAGUUAUUCUUAUAAUUAAAGGCCACAUCAAACAAUGAUACUUUAAAUAAGCGCCAUGAAAUAAAAAAAACUACUAUAAAAAAUGACCCUUUUGGAAAAACACCAUUGUAUAUCCCAAUAUAAUGAUACUUUAUGAAAGCACCAAGGAUUAAAGCGUCAUAAUUUUCCAUUUUUGUAGUAGUGAUCAAUCCCAAAAAUAACUUGAUCCAAACCAAAGGAAAUGCAAAAUAAAAUGAUUGUAAUAUGGAUAUUCACAAAUAUACGAAAUAAUUAAAGAAGUGGAACUUGAAAGAUGAGAUGCACCAAGUCAAACAACUAGAAAAUAUAUUUGCUCCCUGAUUUCUAUCGAAAACAUUUUUUGAUGAUCUUUUUUAACAGUCUUUCUCUUCAUCUUCUCAAACUCUCUAACUCUCUCUCAGCAAAGACUAAAAAUCACAACUAGAGAGAAAAAAAAAAAAAAAAAAAAAAACUCUUCUCCUUAUCUCUUUAACUUUCUCUUAACUUAGAUCCAAAAUUCUCUCGUUGAAAAAUCUCUUUCUAACAUUUUGUCAAUAGAGAUCCCUCGAAUGGCCAAAGAACGCUAACCUCCCAAUAGAAUACAUUUCCCAGAUUUUAUACAAUCUCUCAAAGACUCUAGAACCCUCUCUCUUCUCACGUGACCUAACCCUUUCACCCAAACGCAAACAUCUUGUACUUAAAAACCCGUUCCCUCUUUUCUUGGCCAAACAAGCCUUAGUUGAAAACUAAUUUUCCCGUCCCUUUUAUAUCUAAAAAUUUAAAAUACAAGCUUAAUUAUUAAGAGGAUAAAACCAAAAUCAUAAUAAUAAUAAUAAUACAAUCAAAACCAAUAAAAUAAUAAAAUGAAUGAAAUAAAUACAGUGAGCAUAGUGUGCAUGGCCAUGCAUGGCUUGCAAUGUUAAAGAACAACUGAAUGGUAUAGGGAAAAUCAUUAAAAAAUAAAAAAUAAAAUUGCCAUGUCCAAAUUUCUCAGCACACAUCAUUGACAUCUGAAGAGUCCAGCUUUGCCCACCGAAACUUGCUUUUGGACCACCAAUGGAGAGGAGCAUGGAGAAUCCAUCUCUGGCCACCUAAAAAAGCGAGAAUAGGUGAGUGAGAUUUGAGUUGCGUUUUAGGAAGAAGGGUAGGUUCCUAUGAUUUUUUGGGUGUGGUGUUCGGUUUAGAGAGAGAAGCAGCUUUGGUAGAGCAAUUGAUGGUACAUAGAUUGGAGAAGAAAAAAGCUUUGGUGGAGCAGUUGUGUUGCACAAGUUGAAGAACGAUGAAAAUGGGGUUUCGGUGGAGUUGAGGGUUGUGUUUUGUUUGGAAAAGAAACAUAAGCUUGAGUGGAGAUGUUGGUGGUGCGGGUUCUAUUAUAAAAGGAAGAUUGGGUUUUGAUGACCAUCGACAAUGAGGAUGGCUAGUGCACGGUUCUUGACAAAGGCUGGUUGUAAGAGUAAUGUAUCAAGCUAUAAGGCAUGGGUUAUGGCAACUAUGGGAUGAGCUAUCUUAUGACUAGGUUAUGAGUUGGUAGAGGACUCUUUAGGAAUGGCUAGGGACAACUACUAAAGACUAAGGAUAUGACAUGAUGUGAGGGGCUGCCAAGGACACCUUGUAUAGCUGUGGUGAAGUGGUCUUUGGGCAACUAAAAGAUGGGUUGCAGCAAGGGGAUUGGGGGUUGGUGAAGGCAAUAGCAAAGAUGUUAGGUUAUGGUUAAUAAUAAAAAUAAAAAAGAAAAGUUACGGAUGGUUGGUGCAUGAGUUAGUCAAGGUAGAAACGUAUCAUUAUAUUUUUUAAAUAAUCCAAAAGAUAGGCUUUUGAUAUAUCAAAGUGGCCUAAAUGUUAAGUAUAGAAUAAUUUAUGGAAAGAUAUAAGUAUUGUGUUUGUUAAAAAAAAAAUUAUUUUCAUUUUUGAAGUGUGAAUUUUGCUAGCUAUUAUGGACUUAAAUGUCUAUUUUUAUGUAAGGUUCAUGAUAUAUUUGUUUAUUAUAAAAAAUGUUUAUUUUUAUUUUAUAUUUGAAAAUAUGAAUUAGAUAGUCGUAACAAAAUCGAAUUUUAACAUAGCUAUAUUUUAUUUUUAUUUUUAUUUAUUAUUAUUAUUAUUAUUAUUAUUACUUUUUAUUUGGUUAUGAAUUAUUAAAGAAAAUAAAUAAAUAAAUAAAUGAGUAUUUCUGGUAUGUUUAUUAUUUAAGGAGACAACUUAUUUGAAUUUAUUUUAAAACAAUGAUUUAAUAUUAUUUUUUUAGUUUAUGGUUAAUGAUAAGUUCGAAUAAUCAAAAGAUCUUAAGCUACAAAUUCAAAGGUUUAUGUGAUUACAUUAAAGUUUCAUAGUUUAUCCUCUAAGAAGCUCUCGAAGAAGAAUCAGAGACUUUUCUUCGAUAGAGAUCACAAGUAUAAUGAAUGAAUCAUGGAUACAUGAGAAAUAAAUGAAGCAAAGUGAGCUAUGUCGAAGAAUAGAAAAAAUACUGAAAUUUUGCCCUAACACAUGACAUGGUAAAUUGAUAAGCAAAAACAAAGAGUAAGAAUGCGGAGACUAGGUAUGAGACAAUGUUGAAUCUAAAACAUUGGAAAAAAUAUACUAAAUGAAUUUAAAAGACACAAACAAGAGACAAAAGUCAUAGGCAACGAGAUCAUGUAAGUAGUCUAAGACGAUGAAUACUAAGAGGAUGAAUGACUUUGAAGACUGAAACAAAAAUACAAAAAUUCUAGACGUCAAACUAAAAACAUAGCUCUAUCCAUUAAAAGAUAACUCUGGUAGUUGAGCGACUCUGAAUGCUAAACUGAUAAAUGUGGCUCUAAAACCUAAUCUAGAAAACAUCUCUGAAUAAUGACACUGAAUGUCUUUGCUUUGAAAGUUGAUGAAUCGGCUGUAAAGGAGAGUGUAAUAAACAAACCCCUGAUCAAUCACAAGCUGUGAAAGUCCAUACUCUAAAUGAUGACACUGAAUGCCUUUACUCUGAAAGAUGAUAAAUCUGUCGUGAAAUUUGUGAUGCAUAAACCCCUGAUCAAUCACAUGAUUUGUGCUCUGAAUGAUGACAUUGAAUGCCUUUACUCUGAAAGUUGAUAAAUCGAUCAUGAAAGAGAAUGUGAUACACAAACCCUUGAUCAAUCACGUGAUUUGUACUUUGAAUGAUGACACUGAAUGCCUUUACUUUGAAAGCAUAGUUGUGAAAGGCACGCCUAGGCUCAGGGCAGCAUGACACCACCCUCCAAUGCCUCGCCUGAAGGGAGGGGACACCCUUUCACGAAGGCGCCGCUUAGGCGUGCAAGGCGGUCGCCUAAAUCACCUCCGACCAGGUACGCACUGCUUCUCCUUCUCCUUCUCUUUCUCUUUCUCCUUCUUCUUCUUCUACUUAUUCUUCUUCUUCUUCCGUCGGGUUGCAGAGCCCUAAUUUUUUAUUUAUUUUGUGAGUCCAAAACGACGCCGUUUUGGACCUUGUUCUUUUAAAUGAACAGUGUCCAAAAUGUCGUCGUUUUGUUCCUUUAUAAUUUUAAAGGAAUAGGCCAAAACGACGUUGUUGGAGCUUAUUCCUUUUUAAAAAAAAGGCCAAAACGGCGCUGUUUUGGCAUGUUUCUCCCUUCCAGCCUGAUUACUACUCAAAAAGUGCUAUUUGAUAGCCUAUAAUUAAUCCUUUUAAACACUUUUGAGUAGUAGUUUAGGCCUUUUAACUCAAUUGGCAUGUUAAAAAUCCUUUAAAGCAAUUUUAAUCACUUUGUGCAAGUUUUGGUGUUUUUGUUAGUAUUUUGAUCACCAAAGCAAGUCAAAUCUGAGGAGAGAUAUGAGGAAUCUUGGGCAAAGCUUAGAAGUCAUUUGCCAAGAGUGAAUCCGGAUUGCAAGGAGAAAAAAGCAAAGAGAAUCUGCCAUAAAGCAUGUUCUUGAUGACAGUCGUAGCAGCCACUUUUGGAGCACUUUCUGAUGUCCAAAUGAUGCAUGCUAUAUACCAUUUCAAAGCUCAGGAAGUCAACAAUCCAAUGCUUCAAAGGGUGUGCAAUUCGGAGUUGAAACGAAGAAGUUGCAGUCAUUACAAGCCAAUUGCUCCGAGCUGAAGGAAGCAUUUUGCAAAGUGUUGCGAAAUCACCCUUUUGUUGCGAAGUGAUUUCGCAGCAUUUUUGUACAGUAAGGUGUUUCUCCUUUUGACGAUGCACGAUUUAUGCCGCGAGAAGGAAGCUUGGAACCUCAAGGUGGAAGCCAACUUCGCAGCCUUGUGAAGAUAGCUUGGUGUUGCGAAAUUAUUUCGCAGCCCUCUUAGGUGUCUACGAAAUUUCGCAGACACCACUUUUCUCCUGCGAAAUGGUUCCUGAAGGCUCCCGAUUUUUGCUACCGACAUUGGGAGAUAUUUUCCAUUAUAUUUUUGUUGUCUAAAUCCCAAAAUACUCCUUGUAAACCACCAAUUACAUGAUUCCUUAGUUUUUAAGUUAGUAAAAAGACUAAAUAUCUAUGUAAUAAUUAGUUUUAUAUUAUGUUGAUAUAUAUACCUCUCGGGAGCCUGUUCUCGGGGAGGAGUUCCUUCUGUAAACGUUUGGGUAAGCAAGUAAAGGUCUUUUCUUUCUACUGCCUUACCUUCUCACUUUGUAUUUUCAUUUUCUUACUAAGUUAUGAAUUCUCUGAGGAGUUUUCCCCAGAGAAUGAGUAACUAAACCUCUAAUUCCUUGGAGCUAAGGUUGCCGGGGAAGGUUCCAAGUGCAAGAAUGCAAAGCUUUGUGGUUUUAGCUAGUAAUGAAGAGGAAGUGAAAUCCUUUAGUGAUUUCUAUGUUUUUAGUUAACUUAAAACACCUUAGAGUCACCUGGGCCAACACUUGGUAAGGCAAGUGAUUUCCAACCAUGGAAAUGCACUACUUUACCCCUUGCGAGCCUCUGGUAGGUGACUUCAAGGUAGGAUUUUCUAGAAUAGCCAACACUUGGUAAGCUUUUGGACUCCUAGGAGACAUCCAUUAGUUAUCUCUUGCGAGCUUUUGACGGGUAAUCCAAGGUUAAAGAUCACCUUGAAUGGUUAAGGCUUAGUGAGAGGCUUAAACCAUUGCAAAGUGCAUCAGUGAGAGAAUUAAAGUGAAAUCUAAUUGAAGGAGUCUCUAUACAUCACCGGUUAGAGAAUUGACUAUAUGUUGAAUCUCUAAAGCGAGGAAAUGAACCAUCUGACCAGAACCGUGUCUUUUGCAUGAGGAACCACCCCAGUGAACCUAAUUCUCCAAGGAAUGCUUUUCUUCCUAAAUUAUUCCAAACUUCUGUUAUGUUAGUUAGUUUAAGUCUAAACCUUUACCAAUCAAAGUUUGUGUUUUACUUCUUAAGCUAACCUUGAAAUGAAACAAGACCAAUUCACUUGGAAUUGGUAUCAUUGAUUGCUUGUUAGUCAUUCCCAGUGAACGACCCUAGAGCCACUCUACUAUAGUAGCUUUUUCUUUGCUACCCUAGUGUAUGGUGUUAUAGGUAAUAAAUUUUGUUGAUUACUCCCUCAAUCAAGGAGCACCAGCUGAACACAAAUCAGCUGAGACACCAAUUGGGCACGAAUCACAGCCCCCUUUUCUGGUCUUUCUUAACCUGAGACCACUCCCAAUCGUGCCCUAGCCUCAAUCGUGAUGGAGAAGUGAAGAAGAAGAAGAAGAAGAAGAAGAAGAAGAAGAAGAAAAAGAAGAAAAAUAGGGAAAAAUAGGAUUUGGAUAUGUAUUAGGCUAUUAGCAAUAUGGAUUUGGAUUUGUAUAUGUUUUUUGUUUAUUAAAUUGAAGUUUUGGUUGAUAUUUGAUGAUUUAUGUGUUUAGGAUAAAUAAAUGAUUGUUAAAUUUGAUUAUAUUAUAUAAAAAUAUAUAUGUAAAUUAGGGUGCGCCUCACUUCACUAAGGCCCGCGCCUUGUGCCUUAGGCUCCAGGACUACUUUGCGCCUUGGUGUGCCUUGAGCCUUUUAAAACUAUGUCUAAAAGCUGAUAAAUCCGCCAUGAAGAAGAAUGUGAUACACAAACCCUAGAUCAAUCACAUUAUCUAUACUCCGAAGGAUGACAUUAAAUACCUUUGCUUUGAAAGCUAAUAAAUCGGCCCUAAAGGAGAAUAUGAUACACGAACGCAUGAUCAAUCACAUGAUUUGUACUUUAAAUGAUGUCAUUGAAUGUCUCUUCUUUCAAAGCUGAUAAAUCGGCAUGUGAUACACAAACCCCUAAUCAAUCACAUGAUUUGUACCUUGAAUGAUGACACUGAAUGCCUCUGCUCUGAAAGUUGAUAAAUCGAUCAUGAAGCAGAAUGUGAUACACAAACCUGUAAUCAAUCAUAUGAUCUGUACUUCGAAUGAUGACAUUGAAUGCCUCUACUCUGAAAGCUGAACAAGUAAUGAACCCAACAACCUUAAGGUAUAGGAAAUAUACCCUAGUAUGCAAAGUCUAUGUAUUGUUAGUACAGUAAUACCAUAAUAUCUGGAUUGCUCUAAGGAUAGGCCAUCCAAAAAUACUCCAAGAGACCAAAGUGCCACUAGCUCAUCAAUACCUCAUCAAGAAAUCAGUAUGACCAAUCAGUCACUUAGGGAGACAACUCUACUAAGGAUCAUGAAGAAAUCAAAUAGUCAAAAUCAACAACCAUCAUCAUGAAACAAGGUGAAAACUAAUUUGAAACUAGCAAUCUCAAUGGAAAAAGGAUAUGCCUCAGUAUGGCAUUUGAUAUACAUAGCAGAAUGGGAAGUUAGACAACAUCUCUCAUCCAUCAUAAAAUCAAGCAAUCCUCUACAUCCAUCGCGAAUCAACUUUAGGCAUUAGAAAGCAUUCCCCAAAACAAGGAACAUGAUGAUGUCCAUACAUCAACCAAGUCCCAAGCGCUUGCCCAAGUAGAGACUGUCAAAGUUGACAUUUGAUCCUAUGGCCUCAAGGUGGUCUUAAGACAUGGGACGAAAUGUAGGCUAGGGUGAUAGGUAAAAAAAUGAAAGGAAACUAGGCUUAAAUACCCAAUGAUCAAGCCCAUACCCUCAUGUACAAAAUACAAUAUGUAUAGGAGAUCUCGUAAGCCGUGACCUUGAAGAUAUCUGGUGUGAGCAUCCAUGGGACAUAAAAGGUCUCAACAAAAUCAACGAUGAUAGAGAAAAAGUGAUAUAAGAGAGUAUCAAGCUAUAAAGGGAGAUGAUGUGAGAAGAAUAUCGAUCAUGGGAUGAUGAUGGAUAUGAAUGAAGGAUAAUGAAUAUAAGGUGCAUGAUGAUGAAUGUAAAGAAUAGAUAAGAUCCAAAGGAAUCAGAAGAGCUAUGAUCUACUCAAAAUAAGACAUGGAAAGUGAUCAAACCAUCGGUGAUUGAAGAAGGCAAUGAUUUAGAGUCUUUAGGAAAGAGUCACUCAUCUCUCAUACUUGGAACAUAUACAAGAUAAAUUUAAGGAUCACAAACUCUCGUGCACUUUCAUCAACUAAUGAACUCCACAUAAUAAACUCUCAAAUAUCUCAUACAUGAUCAAUUUCGUAAUACAUCUCAUGCACAUAUAUAUAUUUUUUUUCAUUUUUUAUCAUUUUUUUUAUGAUGGUAUGAACAUACUCUCGAACAAUGAUCUAAAAAAAGAUCGAGCUCUUUUUACUGAAUGACCCUCUUAACUAAGAUUCUCUAUAUCAAUGUCUAUGAGAUGAAAUGUAAGUGGUGAUAUGUUCAAUAUCCAUAUAAUGAAAUGUGAAAGAUCAUCACUCAAUAUAUGAGAAGAAACAAGAUGAAUCAAAUAAUAUGAAAAAGGUGAAACAAAGAACAUAAAAAAAGGAAAUGGGAAUGAAAUGGGAUAUCAUGAUAACAACAAAACAAAUGGGAGGAGUACAUCAAUAAUUCUAAGACUCAUGAAAUUCCUAAAUUAAGUAUAUGUACAUCAUAGGGUCCCAAGUAUAGAAACUAAAUAAGUUUAUUAGAAAGAAUAGGCUAUAAUGAUCAUGUAAGGCUCAAAGGGCUAGCAACGGUUUAGAUGUUUGAAAGGUGAUAGAGUAUAAACUAAUCGUAAUGAAGGCCACCCAUCAUAUGACCAUGGUCUCAAACAUAAUACUUCUUCAGUUGAUCUACAUAGGUUGGCUUUAAGAAUUGGUUUCUAUCUAGAUCUAUCAACCAUGCUGCACCCUCUAGAGUCAACUCUCUAAUGACAUAUGACCCACUCCAAGUCGGUCUAAACUUCCCUCUCAAGUCUCCAACCAAGCUUCUAAGACUUCUCAAGACCAAAUCUCCUUUCUAUAGUGGCCUAGGCUUGACCCACUUUCUGAAAGCACGAGCCAUCUUCCUCUAAUAAGCCUAAGUGUGGUUAGCUGCUCUCAAUCUGUUCUCAUCAAGAAGACUAAGCUGAUCAAAACAUGCUUGGGCCUAAUCUACCUAAGAUAUUUGUUGCUUAAGUGCUACUUGCAAAGAUCCCAUCUCUAUCUCAAUUGGUAACACUACCUCCAUUCCAUACACUAGAGAAUAGGGUGUGGCUCUUGUAAAGGUGUGAAAAGAAGUGCGAUAAGCCCAUAAUGCAAAAGAGAGCUUCUCUGACCAGUUUUGAGAAGUCUCAACCAUCCUCUGCAAAAUCAUUUUAAUAUUCUUAUUCGCGACCUCUAUUGCUCCGUUAGUCCGCGGUUUAUAUGCAAACGAACUAUAAUGUCGAAUGCCAUAUCUUUGUAACAAAGCAUCAACCUCUGCCCUAAAGUGUAUUCCUUUAUCAAGGAUAUCAACAAUAGUGUGGAAGGCAAACAACCUCAAUAAUUCCUAGGUGUAGACCCUCAAUUUUGUUCAUUACCACUUGCAUGUAUCUUGGUGGUGUCGUUUGCACUCAAUUCCUAUGUGUCACAACCAUGGAGCCUUUGCUGGGCUUAAUCGGUUCUCGGACCUCAUGUGAGUUCACCUAUGGUUCGAUUUAGUAUGAGCAUUUGGUCCAUUAUGAAGUGUCGUCAUGGUCGAUUCCUUGGUUCGUAUCAUUCUAUGGGAUAGAGGUUGAAGUCUCCGCAACCUUAGUUCAAUUGGAGACCAUGACAGAACACACUGGUUUGUUUUAAUCAUUUCUCCCUCAUCCAAGCUCGGAAUUGCUCACCAUUUUUUUGUUGGAUUCUUUGUUCCUGAAGGAACAUUCUAUUAAAAUUUGAGAAUUUUUCUCAACCAAUCGAUCGGAUGGGCAAUCGGCUUAACUGGUUCGACAAGUUUUUUUUUUUUUUUUUUUUUUUCAGGUGGUUGAUGAUACUGCUUGCAAACGGCUUUGUUUUUGGCAUUUUUGGUGCACUUUUUCUAGUUGGUUCAAGCCUUGGUGCUCUAGACAGGUUUGGAGAGUGGUUUUAGGUCCGAUUUGGGUCAUUUUGCAGGUGGAUUGUAACCCACCUUGAAUCCAUGUGGAUUCUUAGAGGGUAAGGAAUUAUGGAGUUAUGAAGGGCAACUGCCCACCUUGGGAAAGGGGGGAGCUAAAUGAGUUGGGGUUCCGAGGCUGAAGGUGAGGAUAAUCCAGAGCUGAAUGGGAAUGAAAAGUUGAGUUGAGGGAAAUGUGGCAUUUAAUUAAUUGAUUAAUGGAUACUCUGUCAUGGUGCCUUUAUAAUAUAUUUGCACGUUUGAGGGCACAUAAGCAUUGACAUGUUGAUUAUUUUAUAUAUAUGUUGCAUGUGCCUUACUAUAUAUUGACUCUUAUUAUCAUGUGUGUUUGUAUAUAUUGCUUAUGUUUAUAUAUAUAUAUAUAUAUUUUGUAUGAUUAUGUGUUGCAUGAUUACCCAUUUUCUUUAUAAUGCACGUUUUGUUGUUAUAUUCAGUUGCAAUAUUGACAUGUUGAUUACGUUGAUUGAUUCUUUUGUCUGCUUUAACAUAGCAACUCUUCUUGUUAUAUGAUUAUUUUGCUCUCCUUAUUAGGUAUAUUCUUAUUUUUGUAUAUCUAAUUCAUCUUAGCAUGAUUUAUUCUCUUUAUCAUAUAUUAUCUUAUUUGUCUUAACAUAUUGUUUAUUCUUCUUAUGUACUUAUCUUGCUUAUCCUAUUCCUACCUAGCAUGUGUGUAUAUAUGAGUGAUAUGCCUAUUCGUUGUAUGAUUGCUUCUUGCAUGAUUGCUCUUCUUUUGUGUGAUGCAUGUAUUACUUAUUUGUGUGGGACACAUUUAUCCCCUUAUCUCCAAUUCCCUAGUCUUGGUCGACUUUGUUUUCCUUGAUAUUGUAUUUAUGAGGCUUGUUACUUUGUUUGUUCUCCGACUAAGCUAGUGAUUUGAAAUAAGGUUUAGUGAUGUGUUAUAUUUAUGUUUAGGAGCAUUCUGGAGGAGGCCAAUGCAUUGAUGAUGAUUAGAGUCCAAUCUUUGAAGACUUGUAUGGCCUAGAGCUAGAUUUUAGGAUAUUUAUGUGACCUGUGUGUUUUCUUUCCUCUUAGUUUGAUAGGAUUUUCAGAUGCACCCACACCAUUCACUAUACACCUUAGAUUAAUACUAAGUGUUAAGAGAUGUGAGAGCCUUCACAAUCAAGAAACCCCCUAGGAUGCGAGGUAAUGCAUGUGUGGAGGUGACGAUCACCUUGCAUGGAAGCACCCCAUCUCUUGAAGGUGUGUAAGAGUUUGUAUACCUUCGGAGGGUAUGAUCGUUUUUUCUCUGCUAGGGAUCCUUUAAAGAUCACAAUUUUUUGUUUUUAAAGUCGCCUUGGCCUCGUAGGUUGAGCCUUAGAUCUUUUUAUUAGGAUUCUUUUCCUAUACGUGGGUGCAUCUGAGAGCCUUUGGGGAUGCUUUAGUCACAAUUUGGACUUGGUACUCUUUUUUUGGUCUUCUGUUGAGAGCGCUUAGAGAUUAGUGUGAGUUUGAGUAUCAGUUGGACCACCAUUUUUCAUUUAGUGUUGACUUCUUCUUGUUGCUUGUUGAGUCUAGCACACUUUCUCCUUAGGGCUUUAGACAUGUUUCAUUUCUUGAGUUAGAAUUAUUUCGAUUGAUUGUCACUAUGCUUGACAUUUUGGGAUAUGCUCCUUGAUCAUGCUCACCCUUUUACAUUUUUCAUCUAUCAUGGGCUUAAUACUUCAUUCUUUGGUCGAUUCGUCUGAUUCUAUUUUCAACUUGAUAUUUUCAUUACAGAAAGGUGAAAAGCAUGAUUUCACAUUCACACCAUUUUUUCGAGGUUCACCUUUAUCUCCUUAUCAUUUUUCUUUUUAAAGCUCAAGUUGAAAGUAGAGUUGGGAGAUAUUUAUCUAGAGAUGGAGUAGUAAUCUCGUGAUAGUGACGUUCUUCACACCUCCUUCAUUUUUUGGAUUAUUGAUAGAAAUUCUUUAGUUACAUUUGUAGCCAUCUCAUAGUGGACACCUUUAUGACCUUAGUGUUGUUGUCAUAUAUCUAGUUUUAGAUUGCCAUCAUAGGACCAUAUAUCAUAUGAUGUGUUUUUUUUUUUCAUUUGAGGCAUUUAUUCACAUGCACAUUGUGAUCUUGGGACUUGACCCAUCAAGGAGGAUAUUGAGCCUAUUAGCCUAAGAUCAGAGACUUGACUUAGGGAGUUUGAGACUAUGACCCAUCUUCUUUCAAUCAAAGCAAUACCUUACUCGCUCCCACACUUGGUCUUUGUUUCAACCUACAUCUACCUAUUUUGAGCUUUACACAGUAUCAUCCUUGACACCAUUACAUGUCCUUUCCAUCACUUGCUAUUCUACCUUUGCACAUUCCUUCUCCGAUCUGACUAGGUAGAGUGUGAGGAGUUUGAGCUCAGGGUUGAUUUUACAUGGCGAUGGAUGACUUAUGAUCUUUGGCUGGUUUAUGAUGUGAGGAUUGGUUAAUCACCUGAUGGGAUUGUUAUUUAUUUUUCCAUGAGUAUAGAGAUUGAUCUUGCAUGAUGAAAGUUGACUUGUGAUAAGCAGUUGUGCUUGAUGAGAUCAUCAUUUAUUUUGCUUUGAGAUGAUCAUCUUUGAGAAUAUUACAGAGCAUUUGGAGUAGUGUUUGGCGCACGAUUUCAAAGCGUUGACGUGGUUAUAUCAUGUGGACAUUGAUCUUUAGUAUUGAUAAUUUGAGGGUUUGAGAGCAUGAUGUUUGAGAUUGUGGCCAUAGAAUGGGUGGCUAUCAUUUUAGUUAGUUCACAACCUAUUACCUUUAUUGACAUUUGUACAUUUGCUAGCCCUUUGAGCCUCGCAUGAGCAUCAUAACUUUAUUUAUUUAUACAUUUUUUCUUAUAGCCUUGCUCACCUUUUACCCCAAGAUAGGGGCCCUUUUGUGUAUAUAUGCUUUAUUCAAGAGUUUCAUGAUUCAUAGACUUAUUGACUCACCUUCUUCAUUAUUAUUAUUAUUUUUCAUCUUACCAUUAUUCUUCAUUAUACCUCAUUGUUUAUAUCCAUUGUUCCACCAUUUGUCAUUUUCAUCGUUUUAUUUAUUUAUUUUAUUUAUUUUUUAUUUUUUAUUUUUUAUGCCAUGAGUAAUGAUCUUUCACAUUUUAGUGCAUGGAGGAUGGUCAUAUCCCCUUCCACUCCUAUCUUAUGGACAUUGGUUCAGAGAUCCUUAGUUAAGAGGGACAUCUUGUUAGAGAUAGUUCGUCUACAUCAUUGUUUGAGAGUAUAUCCAUUUGAUUAUGUAUUCUUAGUGGAGCUCAUUUGUUGAUAUUCAGAGUAUGCGCAAGUAAAAAGAAAGAAAAAAAAAAAGAAUAAGCACAUGUAUUUAUGCAUGUAUACAAUAUCUUUCUCCAUUGAGUGUGUAGAUUAGCCAUUGAGAGCCAUUUUUUUAGCCAGUUGGCUAUAAGAGUUUGUAUGUGAACUUUCAGAUACCCUCAUCUCCUUGUGCUUAUCUUGUUUAUGUAUUUUAUGUGUGAGAGACAGAUGACCGUUUCCUAGGGACUCUAAAUUAUUGUCUUCUCCAUCAUUAAAAAUAUCGAUGAUUUGACUAUUCUCUAUGAAUUGAUUUGAGAUGAUCAGUGCUCAUUUGUCUUCUUUUGAUCUAUUUGUUUUUCUCAUGGUAUCUCAUUCGUCUUACUUAUAUUGUUAUUUGUUCAUAUAUCAUUACAUUCUAUGUUCGAUAUUUUCCACACAUCACUAUUAUACAUCUUAUCAUCAAUUCGAUAUAUUUUUUUUUUCACUACCGAUAUAUUCAUUUUGGAUUCUUUCUUCCUCAUCGAUACAUUCAUAUCAAACAUCCUCAGUCCAUGAAUUCUAAGAUUUUUUUAACAUAUUACAUUUUAUACAUGAGGAUAUGAGAUUUUAUCAUUGGGAUUAUUGAGCCUAGUUUCCUUUCAUUCUUUACUCUAUUACCUUAUCCUAUGUUACAUCCUAGGUCUUAAGACCACCAUGAGGCCAUGAUAUCACACAUUAUGUUUUGAUUGCUCUCACAUGGGCGAUACUUGAGAUCAAUCAGUGAGCAUUUUGAUUAUGAUUGUUCAGGAGUUGUGGUAUGACACUAUGGACCCCACAUUUUUAAUGAUGCGUUCCCACUCGAUUCGCGAGACUCGCUUUUCGUUUAUUUGGUGAAAAAUAUGAUUUUUAGAAAAGACUUGGAGUCGCCACUUACUUUUAUUUAUUUUUAAAGGGGAAAAAAAGUAAGAAAAAAACCCCUAAAUAGACUCCUGAUUUUUUUGGAAAAGCUAUCUACGAAAAACCUGAGUCUGGGUCUAGGGAUCAGGUUACUUAUUGGGAAGGUAUGAUAAAGACCGUAUCACCCCUCUAAGCCCCUAAAAAAUGGGCCUCUACUAAAUAAGGUGAAGCAGACAUGACAAUUAAUUAGGAGAUUAAUGGAUACCAAAAUGAUCAUAGUUAAAAAAUAAGUCAUGAUAACAAAAUAAUAAACAAAAUGAGAGUGAGAGUGUACCUUAGUAGCAGGUAAUAAAGAGUUGUAAUGAAAACAAGGUUAGUGUAUAAUGAUAAGUGUAAAAAAUCUCAUACAAAACCAAAUCAAAAUCAAACAAAAUCGAGCGCACAACUUGAAUUAUUUUCGAAAGAAAUGUUAUGAAUGUUGGGCCCCCACCAAAAGUCAAUUUAUUUUUGCUAUAGAUUAAUUCUCAUAAAUUCCAUCAUUUUGGAAUUAUGAAAACUUAUUCAUUUUUAUAUUUAAAAAAAAUGAAAAUGGGAGUUUUGAAAAUUAAAUUUGAAAUUUUGGAAAUGGAUUUUUUUAAAAAAAUUAAAUUUGGAAUUUUGGAAAUUUUAGAAGUGGAAUUUUAAAAAUAAGUUUGGAAAAUUUGGAAAUCUAUCUGAGAAUGGUAUUUCAAAAAAAAAAAAAAAAGAGUAAAUAAAUACAUAAACAAAAAUAAAAUAAAAUAAUAAAUAAAUAAAUAAAUUUUGAAUUUUGGAAAAUGGGAAUUUUGAGUAGAAUUUUGGAAAAUUAAAUUAAAAAAAUUGGAAUUUUGGAAAAAUUAUUUUGAAAAUAGAAUUUCGGAAAAUUAACUUUUAAAAAAUGAAAUUGUGGAAAAUUGGAAUUUCGAGAAGGAAGUGUUGGAAAAUUAAAUUUAAGAAAAAAAAAUUGAAAUUUUGGAAAAUUAAGUUUUGAUAUCAAAGAUGAAGACUAAAAAAUAGGAUGAAAUGUGGUCUUUGAGUGGUUCAUUGGAGGGUGACCAUGCAUGGCCAUGCAAAAGUGGGGCACAGGGUGUUGGUGGUGAGUUGACCUGGCACUAUUCAUAUUAAAAAAAAUUCCAAGAUUCCACUUAACUUAUAAUUUUCACAAUGCAUCUUUCCACCACUAUGAAACAUACUGACAUUCAAGAAAGGUUAUUAUCAGGAAGCUAAAUAUUUGACAUUCUAGAAAACUUAUUUAACAUAAAAUCAACCUAAAACCAAACUACUAACAAUAAAUCUUAAGAAUCAUGGAAUAGCAAGAUUAAUGGCAUCGAAGCCUAGAGAUGUUAGGAACAUGCACUUACAAUCAAAUAUUGAAAACUAGUAACUAGGAAAUAUUGAAACAUGAGAUAUUAAAUCAGUGAAAACUAGUCCUUAAAAUAUUAAGAACAAGUACUAACAUGAAAUGUUGAAAAUCUGACAUCUAGAAUAUCAAAACGUGAGAAAAUAAAUUAAUGGAAACUAAACCUAAAAUCAUUAAGAACAUAUAUUAACAUGAAACAUUUAAAAAAAAAUCGACAACUAGGGAUAUUAAAAACCUAAAUUAAUGAGGAACAACCAAACUAAUGUUAGAGAUGAUAAAAACAUGAACUAAUUUAGGUUCAAUAAGAAGGAAUAAUUGGAAAAUAAUAAAAACUAACAUCUAAGGAUAUUUAAAUCCCAAACUAAUAAGAGGUAAAUAAAAACUAAAACCUUAAGAUUUAAAGAAAACUAUUGAACAACAUGGAUCAAACAAAAUACUAAUUAAUUAGUCAAAGAGCAAUAUAAAUCAACAUGUAUCAACCAAAAUAAAAAACGAAAAAUUCAAGAAGCAAUAUAUACUAACAUAGGUUAUUAAAAUCAACAAUUAAAAACUCCCAGGUAUUUACAAAUUAUCAUAGGUCAUCAAAUUAAAAACUAAAAAUUCAAAGGACCACAAAGAAUUAACAUGGAUCAUCCAAAAUAACAAUUAAUAAUUUUAAUGACAAAGCAAAUUAACGUGGAUCGACCAAAAAUAAAAAUAAAAAUUUAAGGAGCAAUAUAAAUUAACAUAGAUAUUUAAAAUUAACAACAAAUGAUUUUAUGAAAAUGAAGAAAAAAAUAAACAAACAAAAUUUCAUGAAUAUUAUAAAGCUACAUGGAUAUUAGUUUUCAUUUCUUUCAUUUUAAAUUUAUAACAAUGUAAACCAGUAACACCAUGAUCCACCACAUUCACUUUAAUUUUUAAUUCAAUGAAACAAACCACUAACAUACUUGAGACAUCUCAUGGCCGGCCAUAUGUAUAUACAUCAAUCUCACUUUGAAUUUUAUUUUAACAAUGUAAACCAAUGACACCAUGACCCACCACAUUCAUUUUAAUUUUUGAUUCAAUGAAACAAACCACUAACAUACUUGAAACAUCUCAUGGUUGGCCAUUAGCAUCCAUACAUUCAUGACUCUAUAUUAUAUUAAAAAAAACAAAACUCACCUAUGUGUGUUCCCAUGAAGCGGUGCAUGCCGAAGCUCCUUUGUGAUGGAGAGAUGCCAACAAUGGUUUCAAAGUGGCAGCCCCUCAAUGUGGCAGCCUUAUUUUAUGUGAAGAUGACAACUGAUUCUGUUGGUUUUCCGGUAGAGAGUGCGUCCCAAUGACCAAGUGAUCAACCCAUGCAUGAAGAUGGAGAGAGGUUGUCGAUGGUGUGUUGGUUCUACAAUUCUGGUGGUGCGCGCUAGGAUGAUGGCUCUUUUGCUGUAUCUUCAUUUCCAAAAAAUUCUGAUUGUUGUCUCGUAAAAAAAAAUUAUGAACAUCCACCACUCUAGAAAUUCUGAUUGUCAUUCUAAAAAAUGGAGAGAGGACCACCCUCUGUGUGUGCGAUCUAUUUUCUAAAAAAUCCUCCCAGCACUUUGAAUUUCUAAUCCAUGUGUACCCCUCUUUAGAUUAGGGAAGUGUUGUAACCAAAUAGUAAAAGACACAAGCUGUUGUAUGCGUGCAAUAGAGUUCAACAACAAUAAGUUUCACAAUCUUGGUAAGCAUAUAUAUAAUUGAUUCGUGUGUUCUUUUCCAUCUUUUAGAAAAAAUCUGUGACUUUCCGCACCCUAAUCAACCUAAUCCAUAAGAGGUACCUCACUUUUUCCUUUCUCCCACAAGCCUUGUAAAUAAUAUCCCAAGACAAACAAUAAAUUAAAUCAAUGACAAAACUAGAUUUCAAAUACCUAAGUGCAAUAGAUGUGCACUUGCAGACCAUGUGGUAAGCGUGGGUAUCUCUAUAAGUGAGGAAAAAUUGGAUCACAAUGUCGAUAAGAAAAACAAUCUGGCUAGCAAUGUCCAGGAAAACCAGGUCCUUUGGCAAUCCUCUAAAGAAUCAAAAUUCCAUGGGUGUGAAAAAUAAAGAGUACACUGCCCAUAACAAUAUGAACUUCGUCCAUGUUCUAUACCACCUCCAUCAUAUUUCUUAGCAAUUUUGAGAGCUCGAGAUGAAGCAAUUUCGGGUGCCUGGGCAGUAGGUACAAUAACCGGAAAAAUGGCAUCAUUGUGCUGAGCAUAGUCACUCACCAAUGUCUCAUCCAUUGAUCCAAUCCAAGCAAAUCAACCAGUUUCAGAGGAGGUGUUGUACUAGUCUGUAGCUUCAAAUAUAUUUCAUCUCGGCUCUUGCCUGAGACACUACCCAACCUGUCAUAGAGAGAAUGUCGAAGAGCACUUGCAGAAACUUGUUGAGAUUUGUCGUCAAUUUGUAAGAUGAUCGACUUGCUGCUUAGGGAACCAUCUUUUUGUAAAUCAAUACAUAUUGGAGCCUAAGUAGCACCAUUUUCUUCAAUAGGCAAAAUAGGAUGUCCAAUCAAAUUGUUCAAAACUGCAGAUUUACCAGCACUGACAUUUCCAAGAGCAACAACGUUAAGAAAAGUCAAACCCUUGCGAGAAGAACUGGAACUCGAAUUCUCGUCCACAUCUUCAUCUGCCGGCAGCUUCGUGACCUGACACAUAGACCCUGAUAGCUGAACGAGCUUUCCUAGGAAUCGGAACACCGAUCAUUUCCCCAGUAAUUUUCCAAGCUGGAGUUUGCCUAUCGACUUUUGCCUCUGGGGGGAAACUCCUCCAGUUGUUAUGACUUGACGUCAACGAUGAUGAUGUAGUGAGCGAAGGAAUCACCCCAAGCCGCUAUAUCAUCUUCUUCUCUUCCUUUCCUCUAUGAAACGCUCUCUCUGAGAAUCCCUUCUCUCAAAACCUCUGUCUUUCUUAUUUUUUCCAACGACCCUCUCUUUGUUUUUUCUUCUUCUCCCUUCUUCUUCUCUCUCUCUCUACUCUGACCUCCACUUCUCACGAGUUUAAGCUUUAGUUUCACCACCACCCAACAGUAGCAACAAGAUCAGACAACCUCACUAGAAUCUUCAUUCAUUAGUACCUCAAGGGCCUCAAGCUCUUCUACCCAAAAGUUGGUUUUUCUUCAUCGAAACCUCACCACUCUUCACAUCCCCUCCAAUCCCACUUUGAAUAUGCGUUCCCGUCUCCAUCUCUUCUUCAUGCCGAGAAAACCCCUCGGGAACCUUUCUUUUUCAAUCGAUCUUUUUCUUCUUCCUUUAAGACUCCCCCACAUGGCUCCAUUUUCCCACAACCCCUUUUUCCUUUGGAAAACCCCCCAGCCUUUAUUCUCUUCAAAGCUCCCUUUUUCCAUGCAGUCCUGGUUCCCAUGAUGCCACUCAAAUUCCCACAAAAACCCUUUAAUUCUAAAAAAAAUAAAAUCUAGACUCUCUCCUGGUGUAAUCACAACAUCCCUACAAAGAACAGGGGAAUCUAAUGGUCCAGAAAAAAAUCCCACUUCCUCUGCCUAAAGCCUGCCCAUACCUCUACCUUUUAUCAUUUUUAAGAAAGGCGUCUGAGCCCACUAAAGUUCCUUGAGCCCACUUGUUGAAAAAAUCUCAUAUAAAAAAAUCUAAGAAAUACGAGGUAGAAACUUGUAACAUAAUAAAAUAAAAUAAAAUAAAUGGAAAUCAUGAAAAUUUUUAAAAAAGAAAAUAUUUCAUUGUAAAUUAAAAAUAAAGUCACCAAUCUCAUAUAAUUUUCUAAAAAUAAAAAAGUAGAUGAAUAAAUAAAUAAAACAAGAAAAUAAAUGAAUAUUAAAUGCAUAUAAUCAAGAAUAUAAAUAUUAAACUAAAACACAAUAAAGAAAAUGAAAAAAAAAAACAAAACAUCAAACUGACACAAUUAAAUAUAAAAAAUUCAUCUCAAGUAAUCAAAAAAUCAAAAUCAAGCCAAAUACUCACCUAAUCCCAAAAAAUCAAGCAAUCAAGAAAUCAAUCUAAGGGAAUUAAGCCUAAACAAAACAUCUAAGUGACCUAGGUGAAAAAGUGCCUAAGUGGAAAGUGUCAAGGUGAACUAGGAGUGUACCUAAUGGGCCGAGUGCAUCUAAAUGAGCCUAAGGUGCCAAAGUGGGCCUAAGGUGGUGCUUAAUGGGUCACCAAGGAAUUAUUGUAAAGUAUCAAACAAACAAGUAAUAGGACAUGUGCUAGUAGGACAAAAAGAAGGGUUUACAAACCCCACACUAGGGCAUAGCCAUCUCAAAGAGUUUGUUGGAUAUGCAAACUUGGGCAUACCCUUUUCAACUAGUUAUGGAUUCUUGAGAUGACAGUUUACACCGAGACAUGCUCAUUCUUUAGAGGAGAUUAGACACCCCCUUCAUAUUAGUGUGUGGGAUGACUAGGUAAUUUCAUUUGAUAUCACUAUGUCGGGACAUACCUCCUCAUUGAUGUUGAUUGGUUCUUGAUGAUUAUACAGGGGCAUACCUCUCUCAAUCAAUGAUGGUUUUUGAGGCAUAGUUGUUCAUUGGAGGUGAUUAGAUUCUUUUUACAUUGGAGUGUGAGGCAUGGAUAAGAUAUUUCAUUUGAUGUUCAUACAUAGGGGCAUACCUAUCUCAAAUGAUGAUAGAUUUUUUUUUUUUUUUUUUGGGAGCAUGGCCCUCUCAUUGGUAUUGAUGAAGUUUUUAAAUGAUUGGAUUAGGACACAAAUAUUCUUGAGAGCUUAUUGUGGAUUUUAGUCAUUUCAUAGAUUGCUUUACAUUGGGUCAUAACCAUUUCAUUGGCUAAUGACCUUGGAGAUACCGACUUACAUUGGGACAUGACCAUGUCAUAGUGCAUUUAUUUGAUGCAUACCACUUUGCUUGAUAUUUUCACAUUGGGACAUGCUUUUCUUUAGAGGAAGUUAAAUAUUCUCUUCACAUUACCAUGAUGACUUUGAGGAGUGGAGAUUCAUUUUGAUCAUAUGAUGUAUGAUUGGUUGUAUUCCUCUUAUCCAUGUUUGAUUUUGAGAUGCUUACACUGGGGCAUAACCCACUCAUUGGUGAUAGAUUUUGUGAGAUGACAGUUUAUGCUAGACACAUACUUUUUAGAGAUUAUUUUGCAUUAAGGGCUUACCCAUUCCGAGAGGAUGCAUUCAUAUUAGGGUAUAACCAUUGACAUUGAGACUGAACCUUCUAUUCAUGAUUGUUAUUUUCAAUGGAUCAUAGAGUUAUUGACACCCUAGGUUUAGUCUUCUCAACAUACUUGGCUCAACUUGGAUACCCACUUUCCUUUGUUGAACAUCUAGACAUCCUACAUUUGACACCAUUAUACUUGCAUCCGUCUUGUCAGAGCCUGAUCGAUAUUAAACCUACCUAUUUUUUCAUCCUACAUGACCUUAUCCCAUUCUUUUGAUUAGAGAAGGAUAAAGAUUAGUCUUGAGCUUUCUGGUGAAGUUUUCACAUGCCUUUGGACAUUAGGUUCAACAUCAUCCAUGAUGGAAGGGCCUAGUAGAUUGUUGAUGUAUUUGUGAUGAUAUUUUGACAUUAAUAGUUGACAUAUUGUGUCUUGACUUACUUACAUUUUAGACUUAGAGUCUUAGUCAACAUUUGUUUGGUGCAUUAAUUUAGUUUUGCUUGUCAACAUAGUUUUGAUUAUGCAUGAUAUUGUUUAAGUAUUUGGUUGUUAAGGUUAUAUAUAUGUCUUUAUUGCAUUGUCAUUGAGCAUAUCCUAGAGUGCCUUGUAUGGUGACAUUCUAUGUCUUAUGUUGGUCAUUAUCUUACACUAAGGCAUAUCCCUCUUCAAGUUCAUCAAAUCUUCUGUUGACUUCAUAGCUGCUCGACCCAUUUGCUAAUACUUGUGAGUCAUUACACUGAGGCAUACCCUUCUCUAGGUUCUUGAUCCUUAUAAGUUAUCCUUUGGGACAUCCCCCCUUCUAGAGCUCUUUUACUAGGGCUUAUCCCCUUUUCAUUGAGUUCAUUAUCUUAGUUGCUCAUUCUCUUGAGUCCUUUAGGCAUUUAGAGCUACCUCUUUUAGUGUAGGCAUUCAAAGUUGUAGUUUAGACAUUCAAAGCCACAAUUUUAGGUGUUCAAAGCCACCUUUUUCAAUUUAGACAUUCAAAUCCACAAGUUUAGGAAUUCAGAGAAACCCUAUUUUAGUUUUAGGCAUUCAAAGCCAAUUUUUUUCAGUUUAGGCAUUCAGAGCCACAACUUUAGGCAUUCAGAGACACCUCUUUUAGUUUAGGUGUUCAGAGCCACCUUACUCAUUUUAGGCGUUCAAAGCUACCUUGCUCAAUUUAAACAUUCAUAGCCACAUUCCUUAAUUAGGCUUUCAUAGUCACCUUUAUUAGUUUAGGUGUUCAGAGUCCUAGUUUUAGGCAUGUAGAGCUUUCUUUUAUAGCCAUUAGCGUUUAGAGCCACUUAUUUCAGUUCAGGUAUUUAGAGCCACCCUUUUUUAGUUUUAGGCGUUCAGAGCCAUCUUUUUCAGUUCAAGAGUUUAGAGCCACCAUUUUUCAGUUUUAGGCAUUCAGAGCCAUCUUUUUCAGUUAAGCCAUUUAGAGCUGUAGUUUUAUGCCUUCAAUACCACUUUCUUUUAGUUUAGGCAUUCAAAACCACUUAUUUUUAUUUUUAUUUAUUUUUAAUUUUUAGUUUUAGGAGUUCACAGUUAUCUUUUUUUAGUUUAGCCAUUUAAAGUCGUAGUUUUAAGCAUUCAGAGCCACUAUUUUAGGUGUUCAAAGCCACUAUCUUUCAUUUUUAGGCAUUUGAAGUCGUAGGUUUAGGUGUUUAGAGCCACCUCUUUCAAUUCAAGCAUUCAAAGCCAUCCAAUUUCAGUUUUAGGCAUUCAGAGCCAUCUUUUUCAAUUUAGGCGUUUAGAGCCACAAUUUUAGGCAUUCAGAUCCACCUUUCUUAGUUUAGGCAUUUAGAGCCACCUUGUUUAGUUUAGGUGUUUAGAGCCACCUUCAUCAGUUAGGCAUUCAGAGCUAGCUUAUGUAGUUCAGGCGUUCAAAGCCACCUUCUUUAGUUUAGAUGUUCAGAGCCAUCUUGUUCAGUUUAGGCAUUCAAAGCCAUCUUUUUCAAUUAGGCAUUCAAAGCCACCUUUCUUAGUUUAGGCAUUUAGAGCCACCUUACUUAGUUUAGGCAUUCAGAGCCACCUUGCUCAGUUUAGGUGUUUAGAGCCACCUCUUGCUCAGUUUAGGUGUUCAGAGCCACCUUCCUUUAGCUUAGGCUUUCAGAGUCACCUUCCUUUAGCUUAGGCUUUCAAAGCCACUUUCCUUAGCUUAGGUGUUUAGAGUCAUUGAUGACAAACAAUGUUAAUACUAUAUCAAGUGAUAAAAACCUAAUUAAAGUCUCCAAAAGAGCUUAUACUAUGUCACUAGUAGUAUUUAAUUCUAUGUGAAUGUCACUUUAUACUAUGCUAGAUCUAGGAGAAUCUUGUAAGACCAACUUAGUCCCCCGGAAUAAAAGAUAAUGUAUUAAUUUUUGUAAAGUCGUAUGGACGUACAUUAUAAAACUAGAAGUUUUUAUCUAGUGACUAGUCUACCUAUACACUUGAAAGGUAUAAUGGCAUGUUGUGCAAAUUAUCAUUUUAAUGAGAUAAUUUUCCCACCGUUAGGGGGAGAAGAGCCAAUUCCAGAAGAAUGAUGUGAAAUUAUUUGGAAUGCAUUGACUUUGACUCAUCUUGAUCCUUGUACUAAUCAAUGUGGACUGAAAGUUCAAAAGAUUAUUCUUUUGCAAGGACUUGUAAAUCAACUACCAAAUGCUUUCAUUGAUUCAAAGAAAGUGAUGAAUCGUUGAUGCGACUCAUGGUAGCUUAGCUUUAAAGGCGUAUCAACAAAAUUUAUACCUUAAAUACUAUUACUAAAGUAGCCAAGCUACUAUAGCAUAGUGGUUCUAGGAUCGUUCACUGGGAAGGGUUUUCGCAAACACUAGUGAUAUUCAAAUUAGGAAAAUAGGUGAUUUUCUUAUGGAUGCUAGCUUUAAAAGAAGAUGUAAAUGUUUUAGAAAGAUUUAAAUUAGCUAACAUUAAAGACUAAAAUGAAAGGGUGUAAAAACAAGUUUCUCAAAGAUAGGAUAGCUAUGCUCUGGCUCUUAUGCAAAUUGGAAAUCUCAGGAUAGGCUCCUCGCGUUGGGGUUGCAACUAUGGUGAUGCUUGCUUCCCGAACCGGUAUGGAUUUAACAAAUCAAGUUUUAAUCCUUUAAAAUGGCAAAACAGAUGGUAGAGAAUUUCAUCAAUGGUUAUUCACCUUAGACUUCCUUUCAAUGGCUCGUAAGAGAUAACUAAUGGUCUAAAGCCAAAAGCUUACCGAAACUCAAAGUCAUUCCAGGUGAUAAACUCACCUUUCAAUGGCCAUUGAAAUUGGUUCUAACGGAUUAAUGCAAAACUUGGAAUUGAAAACCUCACCUUCUAAUAGCUCGUAGGAGAUAACUAAUGGAUAGAAAUCCAAAAGCUUAUCAAGUAUUGGCCGUUGGAAGUUGUCCAAAGGAAAUAAAAACCAAACUUUGCAUUAAUGAACCGUUAAUGAAAAACGACUACCUUACCUUCCAGUUGCGAGAAAUUUCCAUGGGAUUGCAUCCAAGCCAUCACAUAACAUCCAUACUUUGAGAAACUAAAAGUUUUAGCCAAUCAUCCUCUGAGGAAAAGCCCUCAGAGGCUGUUUGGCUACUAAGAAAAUAGAAAUGGGAAAGAACAGGAGAAGAGAGAAAAACAGAGCUUUAUAUAUAUUCCUAAGUUAAUGUAUAGAGGAUCGAUCCCCCAAUCAUCCCAUAUCUUUUGGAGGUGUUGUGCACCUCUAUAUAUAGCAAAAUUACAAGAUAAAGCUUUAUGUCGGUUGAAUACAAGGUUACAAAAGGAAUUUACACGAGAAAAUAUCAAGCUAAAAAUAUUUGGGAAGUCGGUGGUGCGUGCGUGGAGAAACAGAGGAUUCAAAGGAAUUUCACAAUGUGCCUAAAUCCACCUUGCGAAAUUUUCGCAAGGGGGUUCUUCAUGGUGCGAAGUGGCCAAAUUUCGCACCAUGAAGAAAAUCUCCUUGCGAAAUUUUCGCAAGGAGAAAUUCACCUUGCGAAAUUGGUCAUUUGACAUGAUGCAGGUGUCUUCCGAAGGCCAUAUCUUCCUCAUUUCAGCUCCAAAUCAUACACGGUUUGAAGCGUUGGAUUCUUGACUUCCUAAGCUUUCAAAUGGUAUAUAGUAUGAAAUGGACUUCAGGAAGUGCUUCAAAAGUGCGAAAGAAGACUGCAGUUGUUUUCUUCACUCUGUUUUCCUCUUCUCCAUUGCUUGUGCUCGUGUUUCCACUUGAAAUUCAAGCCUGUAAUCAUCCAAAAUCCUUGCUUAACUCGCCCAAAUAGCUCCUCCAUCAAUUAGCAUGCUUGAAUUGGUUCAUAAGUUGAUAAAAACAUGUAAACUUGCCACAAAAUGGUUAAAACCAAUUACUAAGGACCUUAAUGAAUUAAUUGGGUUAAAUGAAUAUGAUUACUACUCAAAGGUGCUUAAAACCAUUAUUAUUAGGUCUAAAAAAUAGCACUUUUUGGUAGUAAUCACAAUGGCGUCGUUGCCGGGGAAGGUGCCAGAGAUGAGGAAGUAAGUAUUAGUUUAAAUUUUUAUCAUACUUAGUUAAAUUAGCUACUUUUUGUUUAAAUUUUAAAAUUUUUGCUUUAAACUCCAUGGAUAUUAAGGAUUAACUCUCAAAAUUAAAUGAGAGAAGUCGAGUUUCAACUUGAUUACAUGAGUCUUAGAGUUUGUAUUAUGCUCUUCUAAAAGUUGAUGAAUAGUUGAAACUCCCAUUGCAUGCAAACUUAUCUCUUCCACCUUAAGCUAUUCGCACACACAUACAUUAGAUUCCGGUUAUAAGAUGUGAAACUAUCUCACCCUCUAAGCUUGAGAAAUCAUAAUUUGACACCUUUAACCUCUCUUUAAUAGUGUUGGGACACCUCAUAAAGACCAAUGAGUCUUUGAAAAAAUAGAAAAAAGAAAACGAAAAAGAAAAAGAAAAAGAAAAUAUAAAAUAAACUUCUUUACUUGCCUUGAAACCUGAGCAUGGUCCGAAGGGGUGGCGAAAGCCUUUAAAGCCUGGUGCCCUAAGCCUUUAUUGGUUGGGAGUCACCGAUCCUCUGCUUGUUACAUGGGUGAAUUGGUUAAGUUUAGUAAGUGAAAAGAAUUGUGAAUAAGAGGUGCGUUCCUAGCCUAUCAAGAGAUGGUUAAUUUUGCUAAAGCUUAAAGAAAGACUUAGGUUGGGGGGAGAUGAUAGUUAUCCAUACUAUACUCGAAAGCUAAUCACAUUAACACUUAGCUUUUAGUGGAAGAAUUUGAUUUGGAUCUUUUGAGAGUGGAAAUUCUUUUUAUGCUUAAAACUUGCAUAAUAUCCAUUCUUUGUACUCUAUGAUCAAGUGAAUGCUUUGACAACUCUUAUUAUAGGUUGAGUUUCACAUCUUUAUUGAUCCAUGGAUGUCCAUCAUGCCACUCAUAUCAUUUUUUGGAGUGAUUUGCAUGAUCCCUUUUAUGUAUAUUAUUAUAGUUUACUUAGUUUUUAUCUCCUCCAUUGCUAAGGGACUAGCAAUGAGUCGGUUGGGGGGUGUGAUUACUACUCAAAGGUGCUUAAAACCAUUAUUAUUAGGUCUACAAAAAGGGUGUAAAAACAAGUUUCUCAAAGAUAGGAUAGCUAUGCUCUGGCUCUUAUGCAAAUUGGAAAUCUCAGGAUAGGCUCCUCGCGUUGGGGUUGCAACUAUGGUGAUGCUUGCUUCCCGAACCGGUAUGGAUUUAGCAAAUCAAGUUUUAAUCCUUUAAAAUGGCAAAACAGAUGGUAGUGAAUUUCAUCAAUGGUUAUUCACCUUAGACUUCCUUUGAAUGGCUCGUAAGAGAUAACUAAUGGUCUAAAGCCAAAAGCUUACCAAAUAUUGGCAACUCAAAGUCAUUCUAGGUGAUAAACUCACCUUUCAAUGGCCAUUGAAAUUGGUUCUAACGGAUUAAUGCAAAACUUGGAAUUGAAAACCUCACCUUCCAAUAGCUCGUAGGAGAUAACUAAUGGAUAGAAAUCCAAAAGCUUAUCAAGUAUUGGCCGUUGGAAGUUGUCCAAAGGAAAUAAAAACCAAACUUUGCAUUAAUGAACCAUUAAUGAAAAACGACUACCUUACCUUCCAGCUGCGAGAAAUUUCCAUGGGAUUGCAUCCAAGCCAUCACAUAACAUCCAUACUUUGAGAAACUAAAAGUUUUAGCCAAUCAUCCUCUGAGGAAAAGCCCUCAGAGGCUGUUUGGCUACUAAGAAAAUAGAAAUGGGGAAGAACAGGAGAAGAGAGAAAAACAAAGCUUUAUAUAUAUUCCUAAGUUAAUGUAUAGAGGAUCGAUCCCCCAAUCAUCCCAUAUCUUUUGGAGGUGUUGUGCACCUCUAUAUAUAGCAAAAUUACAAGAUAAAGCUUUAUGUCGGCUGAAUACAAGGUUACAAAAGGAAUUUACACGAGAAAAUAUCAAGCUAAAAAUAUUUGGGAAGUCUGGUGCGUGCGUGGAGAAACAGAGGAUUCAAAGGAAUUUUGCAAUGUGCCUAAAUCCACCUUGCAAAAUUUUCGCAAGGGGGUUCUUCAUGGUGCGAAGUGGCCAAAUUUCGCACCAUGAAGAAAAUCUCCUUGCGAAAUUGGUCAUUUGACAUGAUGCAGUUGUCUUCCAAAGGUCAUAUCUUCCUCAUUUCAGCUCCAAAUCAUACACGGUUUGAAGCGUUGGAUUCUUGACUUCCUAAGCUUUCAAAUGGUAUAUAGUAUGCAAAAAAUGGACUUCAGAAAGUGCUUCAAAAUUGCGAAAGAAGACUGCAGCUGUUUUCUUCACUCUGUUUUCCUCUUCUCCAUUGCUUGUGCUCGUGUUUCCACUUGAAAUUCAAGCCUGUAAUCAUCCAAAAUCCUUGCUUAACUCGCCCAAAUAGCUCUUCCAUCAAUUGGCAUGCUUGAAUUGGUUCAUAAGUUGAUAAAAACAUGUAAACUUGCCACAAAAUGGUUAAAACCAAUUACUAAGGACCUUAAUGAAUUAAUUGGGUUAAAUGAAUAUGAUUACUACUCAAAGGUGCUUAAAACCAUUAUUAUUAGGUCUACAAAAUAGCACUUUUUGGUAGUAAUCAAUCGUUUUCAUUAAUCAAGAAUAUUCUAGUAUGAAUUGAUCUUCUUGAAGGACAAUUAAAUAAUGAGUCUAAGGCAUGCUUGAAGUGUGGUAGACCCUAAAGAGGCAAACACAUUCCCUAGAAGAGGAAAACACAAUGAAAGAUAUAUGAAAUGUGACACUCUUGAAGAAGUUGCAUAUAAAAUGAGUUAUUGAAAUGACUGAUCAAUCUCAAGUAGCGCCAGAAGAGGCAUAUUUUAUACAGUUAGCUCUUAAAGAGGUACAAGUACCUGAUAAUGAUGAGAUCUCAAUUAUUUACUUACAUAUGGAAAAAAAUGGGAUUGAAAUACUCUUGUUAUUGACAUAAUAAGAAAUGAUAAUGACCAUGAAUCAUAGAGUGUGGAAGAAUGCCAACAUAGAAAACAUUAGCCAAAAUGGAAAGAAUAUAUCUCAAAAAAAUUAGACUCAUUAGAAAAAUGAGAAGUAUUUGGGCAUGUAGUCCAGAUGCCUAAAUUUGUUAAGAUUGUUGGAUAUAAAUGAGUAUUUAUAAGAAAAUGCAAUGAGAGAAAUGAAAUCACGAGAUAUAAAGCGUAUGUGACUCAUAACUCAAGGUUUCUUAUAGAGACCGGUAUUGAUUGCAAGGAAACAUAUUCUCCUAUGAUGUUCACAACCACUUUUAGAUAUCUAAUUUGUUUAACAACCUCAGAAGGACUAGAUAUGCAUCUCAUGGAUGUCCUUAGUGCAUGUUUAUACGGAUUUUUAGAUAAUGACAUAUAUAUGACGUUAAUGCAUGUCCCUGAAGGAUUUCAAAUGCUUGAAGCAACUAAUUCAAAACAUUGUAACAUAUACUCAAUUAAGCUACAAAGAUCCUUGUAUCAAUUAAGCAAUCCAAAGGCAUAUGUCCUUAGAGAAUAUUUGAAAUGAUAAGUAUAUGUGCAUUACCUUAUUUGCUUAUGCUUAUUCAUUAUGCGGAAUAUUUGCAAUUGUUAUAGUAUAUGUGAAAUAUUUGAAUUUUGUUGAAACUCUUGAAGAGCUUACAAGAAUAGUUGACUAUUUGAAAAGUAAAUUUGAAAUGAAAAAUCAUGGAAAAUAAAAUUUUUUCCUUGACCUGCAGAUCAAGAACUUUUCAAACGAAAUAUUAGUUUAUUAGUCAACAUAUACAAUGAAAGUCUUGAAUCACUUUCAUAUAGGUAAAUUACAUCCAUUAAGUUUUCUAAUGAUAAUUUGUUCACUUAAAGUGAAAAAAAAAUCAUUUCCCUCUUAAAGAAGAUAAUAAAAAACUACUUGGUCCGGAGUACCAUAUUAUAGUGUUAUUGGUGCACUGAUGUAUCUUGCAAAUUAUACACGACUAGAUAUUGCAUUCCUUGUUAACUUGCUUGCAAGAUAUCGCUCUACACUAACUUAGAGACAUUGGAAUAGAGUUAAACAUGUAUUAUAAUGGCAUAAAUCUAUUUUAUUUGGAAGGAUCAAAAUCUCAAUUGUUUAAAUAUGUAGAUGCUAACUAUCUUUGAAACUCCCACAAAGCUCGAUCUCAAAUGAGGUAUAUAUUUACUUAUGAUGGUAUGACAAUAUCAUGAAGAUCAAUCAAACAAAUAAUGGAAACAUGUGGACUGCCCUCCAUUAGAGGUAAUGCUACCAAUUUAUAAGAAGAUAAUGUUGCAUGCAUUGCACAAAUUAAAGAAGGACGCAUUAAGUGUGAUAAAAUUAAGCAUAUAUCACCCAAGUUCUUUUACAUUUAUCAACUCUAGAAAAGUGAUGAAAUUGUUGUUCAAUGAGUAAGAUCAAGUGACAAUUUAGCAUAUCUAUUCACAAAGGUAUUGUCAAUUGCAAUACUCAAGAAGCUCAUUAGAAUAUGUUGACUAAAAAAUCUCCAUGAUAAACUACUAAAAAAAUUAUAAUCAUAUGAACAUGAAAGAGAGCUAACUAAUAAAAUUAUCACUACACAGUACUCUUUUUCCAUUUGUCCAAGUUUUGUUCCAUUGAGUUUUAUUGGCAAGAUUUUUAAUGAGACAAUUGUAGUAGUCCAAAAGAAUAUUUUACUCUUUUUUCUUCAAUAGGGUUUUUCCUACUAAGGUUUUAAUGAACCCUUUUUUUAUAAUCAUUCAAGGGGGAGUGCUAUAAAAUAUGAGAUUUUAUAGCAUUAUGGUACCUUGUGGAUGAUCAUUCGUAAUAAUAUAUAUUUCUUUGUGACUCUAUAUAAAAGGGGAGACCUCUAAUGAAAAUUCAUUCAUUUUUUUUCUACUAUACUUUUCUUUGAGGAUUUCUGUUUAUUAUCUCUCUUCUUUUUUUCUCAUUGUUUUAUUUUACAAUAUAUAUAUAUAAUUAAAAAAUUUUAUGGUAAAAAAUAAUUCACAAAAAUUUCAUGUAUUUAAAACAAGAAUAUCAAAUUUUCACAAGCCCCAAUUACCUUCUAAAAGUGAAUAAUCUUUACUUAAUUCCUUGGCUUGGUUUUCCAAUGCAGUAGUAAUUAUUAAUAAAAAAAUGAUAUUUUAAAAUUUAUAUUUAAAAAGCAAAAAAGACACUGAUACAAAGCAAUAUGAUACAAAUUAAUAUUAAAUAUGAAAAAUUAAUAAUUAAAAUUAAUUUUGAAAGAUUAAAUUAUUGAUAUUCUAUAAAUGAUUAUUAUUAAAGAAUGAGGAUUGAGUGGAUCAUUAAAUAGAGGAUGAUUUAUAAUUGAUUCAAUCAAUGAAUUGAGGCAUUGAGACGCUAUGAAGAUGCCAUGGAAGAUUACAAAUGGGAAGGAUGCUGGACCAUGGGUGUGUGGUUAGAAAUUUUUAAUUAAGAAGUUCAAAAUUUUUUAACUUGCCUUUGUUUUUUUGAGAAGGAACACUAAAUUGGGGCUAUUAACUUAACUACAUAAUAAUACGUCCGUUGUAUCAUUGUAUGAUUGGAGAAGGAGUUUCACACCAUUCUAACCACCACUUACUUUCUAAAAAGUCGUUAUUUCCUUACUGUUAGCAAUUUUUAUUUUAAAAAGGUGGCCCAAAAUGAGUCGUAGUAUUUUCUAAACCCUGCCAGCUUAAAGGAGUAUGAACACCCUACGCUUAUGCCAAAGGCCAAAGUCCUCUGUUAUUUUGACCACCAGUUCUCCUCCAAUUCACAUAUGGCCUGCCUGUUCUCCAGUUCAGGGGGUUUAUCACCAGUCUCUGUCAAGUGGGUUCAUGUAUAAACAUGGUAGCUUUGAGAGAGAAAACUCAUGAAAGGAUAGCCGAAAAGUAUGCUGAGGUUGUAUAACCAAAAAGUAAUGUUACAUAUGUUUCUAAAGAAGCCACAACUUAGCAAAUACAGCGCCUUCUUUUUUCCAAAUGAUAAUAGUAUAUUUUCAGUCCAAAGAAAAUGUGCACUUUGUGCCCUUUGUUUUCUUAAUCCAGCUUUAACUUUCUUAAAUAAUCAUAAUGAAUUAAGCUAAUUUAAGAUACUCCGGUGUUAAGGGCCUGAAGACGUGAGCAGCCUCCGUCUCAAUCAACUCUAUUUGGCCUUUCAAGAGAUGUACGUACACCACCCAGUCACCAUCUCUCACCGGGCUUGGCAUCGGCAUCACAUACCCAGCUUCCCCACCCCAUGGAAAAUGGUAUGACCCCAGAGCCGGCCUUCCCCACCCGAAAUUCACCUUUGAUACUGGGAAUCUCUGUCCUGAUGACACCACGAAUGCCGGUCCAUCAUUGCUUCCACUGCAAUAUAUCUUUGCUACAGCUGGCUCUGGACGGUGAGCCUCCACCCAGUCUAUGAGCCCCAAGAAAUGCUCCCUCGUCACUGCCCCUUCCAGAUACUCAUGAACGGCAUCUCCCACCCAACUCAAUGGUUUCUCUUUCAGCUCAUCUAUUAUCUUCUCGCCAAAGGGAACGGACAGCACAUUACCAAAGUAAUUGGCCAUCGCAGCAGCUUUAUCCUCAUCCCCACUGCUUAAUCGCCUUCUUCCAUCUACCACGAUCCCCAUCUUGCAUAUCUUUUUGUUAUCAUCGUCCAAGUCUGCACUUUUGGCAACCAUCUUCCACAAGAAAGCACUGAGAGACUCUAGUUUAGUCCUCUUGCAGGAGCUACUCUUGCUGGUGGCUAGCAUUUGGAGUAGACUGAGCUGUUCGGCCGUGACAUAGUAAAGCCUGCUCAUAAGAGGAUCAGCACUGGGCUGUGGAGCUUUGGAAGGAGGUAAGGCUGAGAUGGGGACGUACAUGUUGUCAAAGGAUGGAUCGUAGGAGCCUGGACGUCGAGUGUUGAGGAGAGAGCGCCGGAAGGCUGGUGUUACAGAUAGUGGCUUGGACUGAGCCAUCUCAGCCCACGAAACUAGGAACAUAUUGGCAGAAUAUGCAUCUGCUAUCCGAUGAUCAAAUGUACAGGCCACCACAACCCCACUACAUUUGAGCUCCGUCACCUGUCAUUGUCUCAAUGUUAGUUAAUUUGUCACAAUUAGCCUAUUAGAAUUACAAUUAAUUAGGAUUAACACAUGCAGAGAGAGAGAGAGUGAGAGAUAACUACCUGUACUGAGAGGACGCCAUUCUCCUUCUUAGGGACAAGCUUGCCUUCAAUGCUGACAUCAGGGUUAUACAAGUUGAGGUUUUCCAGUCGUACAUCCGCAUGAGCCUCCAUGAAAUCUACCCCACGGUUGUUGCAUAGAAGCUCAGGCUCACCCGCUGAGUUACUCACAACUUCCCCAGAAAAUGCGUAAUAGGACACCAGUGCUUGGGACAUGGCUAUUUUCAGAGCCCCAACCAUGGACCCAAAACUGAAGCCAUGACGUCCAUUAACACUCUGAUCAUGUGGAUUCUUAUAACAGAAAAACACACUCACAUCUACUGGAGGCAAAAGCAAGUCGAGGUUGGACAGUGGCAGCCAAUGCUCCUGCAUCGGUAGCAUUGCUUCCACUACUUCUUUCUUGGUCAGAGUCACAGUGAAGUCUCCUCCACCACCCGUGAUUUCUAGAUAUGAAUUGUAUUUGUGUAUAUGUGUGAGUAGGAAACAGAGAUGGAGGGAGAAAAGGAAGAAUAGUGAAUGACUGUUUGUAGAGGAGAUGAGUAGUGGAUUUAUAGGCAAUGUUUCGUUAAUCUGUGAAACAGAGAUGGAGGGAGAAAAGGAAGAAUAGGGCAUUCUUUCUAGGAAACAACAAGAAAAGAAGUAAACGAGUGGUCCACUAGAGUCAACAUUAUCACAACGUGAAACAUGUGGCUUCCCACUCUUGGAAAGAAUAAGCAGGCAAUGCUCCUGCAUCGGUAGCAUUGCUUCCACUACUUCUUUCUUGGUCAGAGUCACAGUGAAGUCUCCUCCACCACCCAUGAUUUCUAGAUAUGAAUUGUAUUUGUGUAUAUGUGAGUAGGAAACAGAGAUGGAGGGAGAAAAGGAAGAAUAGGGAAUGGCUGUUUGUAGAGGAGAUGAGUAGUGGAUUUAUAGGCAAUGUUUCGUUAAUCUAUGUAACAGAGAUGGAGGGAGAAAAGGAAGAAUAGGGCAUUCUUUCUAGGAAACAACAAGAAAAGAAGUAAACGAGUGGUCCACUAGAGUCAACAUUAUCACAACGUGAAACAUGUGGCUUCCCACAAUAGUUAAGAAUCCUCAGGCCAUAACUUCAAACAUAGUGUUCUCAGCUAAACCACAAUAGUUUUCUUUGAAAACAAGUCUCACCUAAAUCCGUUAAUUGUAUUAAGACUCUCAAACCACCCUCUUAAUUAUAUGAAAAUCCAUCCAAAACCCUGGGCAAGGAACAAAGAUUUGACACUCAUUGCACUCAAACAUCUCAAAAAAUCUCCAUGGAAUCUAAGUCACCACUCAUGUNNNNNNNNNNNNNNNNNNNNNNNNNNNNNNNNNNNNNNNNNNNNNNNNNNNNNNNNNNNNNNNNNNNNNNNNNNNNNNNNNNNNNNNNNNNNNNNNNNNNUAGGAAACAGAGAUGGAGGGAGAAAAGGAAGAAUAGGGAAUGGCUGUUUGUAGAGGAGAUGAGUAGUGGAUUUAUAGGCAAUGUUUCGUUAAUCUAUGUAACAGAGAUGGAGGGAGAAAAGGAAGAAUAGGGCAUUCUUUCUAGGAAACAACAAGAAAAGAAGUAAACGAGUGGUCCACUAGAGUCAACAUUAUCACAACGUGAAACAUGUGGCUUCCCACUCUUGGAAAGAAUAAGCAGGCAAUGCUCCUGCAUCGGUAGCAUUGCUUCCACUACUUCUUUCUUGGUCAGAGUCACAGUGACGUCUCCUCCACCACCCAUGAUUUCUAGAUAUGAAUUGUAUUUGUGUAUAUGUCUGAGUAGGGAACAGAGAUGAAGUGAGAAAAUGAAGAAUAGGGAAUGACUGUUUGUAGAGGAGAUGAGUAGUGGAUUUAUAGGCAAUGUUUCGUUAAUCUAUGUAACAGAGAUGGAGGGAGAAAAGGAAGAAUAGGGCAUUCUUUCUAGGAAACAACAAGAAAAGAAGUAAACAAGUGGUCCACUAGAGUCAACAUUAUCACAACGUGAAACAUGUGGCUUCCCACUCUUGGAAAGAAUAAGCAGGCAAUGCUCCUGCAUCGGUAGCAUUGCUUCGACUACUUCUUUCUUGGUCAGAGUCACAGUGAAGUCUACUCCACCACCCAUGAUUUCUAGAUAUGAAUUGUAUUUGUGUAUAUGUGUGAGUAGGAAACAGAGAUGGAGGGAGAAUAGGGAAUGGCUGUUUGUAGAGGAGAUGAGUAGUGGAUUUAUAGGCAAUGUUUCGUUAAUCUAUGUAACAGAGAUGGAGGGAGAAAAGGAAGAAUAGGGCAUUCUUUCUAGGAAACAACAAGAAAAGAAGUAAACGAGUGGUCCACUAGAGUCAACUGAAAAGGUGAAUCUCAAUAAUGGACUAAACCACAAUAGUUUAGUCCUCUGACCAUAACUUCAAACAUAGUGUUCUCAGCUAAACCACAAUAGUUUUCUUUGAAAACAAGUCUCACCUAAAUCCGUUAAUUGUAUUAAGACUCUCAAACCACCCUCUUAAUUAUAUGAAAAUCCAUCCAAAACCCUUUGCAAGGAACAAAGAUUUGACACUCAUUGCACUCAAACAUCUCAAAAAAUCUCCAUGGAAUCUAAGUCACCACUCAUGUUAUAGGCAUUACGUUGGGUUCAAUCUUCUCAAUCCAACUUGACCAGACUAACAAGUUAGGGAGUACUAUACAUAGCUCAAAUAAAUAGAUUUUAGGGCUAUAAAUGGACAAUUACUAUAAGGCUCAAAUGGAUAAUAUGUAGGACUGUGUAACAACAACAAGGUAGGUGGUAUUGUACUAAAUAGGCCAAAAUACUGAAACAACAAUUUAGAAUCAUAAUAGGUAGAUAGGUUAUAGGGCUACAAAGUCAAGGAAGAAUCAUGAUAGAUGGGUAAAACUUUACUUUUUUAUCAUGAGACAAUGAAGUCAUAGUCGUGAGCUAUAUAAGUUGUUCCUUUGAUCCUAGGUCGAUGAGUUCAAUUGUUUCCCUGAUGAUAAGUCUAAUUGGAUGGUAGAUGAUAACAUUAACAACUUGAUGCUUUGAAAUUACUAACCGUUUUCUAUAAAAAAAAAAAAAAAAAAAACCCUAAAACUGUUGUGAAUUUAUAUUGUUACUUCAUUUAGCUUCCAAGGUUGAUUUAUGACAUUAAACAUACUAGAGAUAUAGCAUGUGAUAAUUCACAACUACUAGUUUAGUAAAAAAAAGUUCAAAAAAAAAAAAAAUCUAAAUUAGGUCUUAUUAUAAUGAAUCAUAAUGUGAAAAUAAUAUUUGUAUUGUAAGUGUAGUGAAUCUAUGUCAUACUUAAAUUUUUUUAGGAAAAAAAUAGUCUUAGAAAUGUCUAUUUAUACAUCUAGUCCUUUGUAUUAACACAUUAAUCCUGUGCAUUAACACAUGAAUUCUAUUAUUAUAAGAAAUGCAUGAUAGUCAUCUAUUGCUAUAAAAAGUAUUUGUUGUACAUAAGGCAUGCUAGAGAGUAUAACAAGAUAACCCACGACUAUUAAUUCAUAAAAAAGUUAGAAAUUUUCUAAAUUAAGUUAUAUCUUAAUAUAUCAUAAUGUUAGUAUAUUUAUUUUAAGUAUAGUGCAUUUGUAUUGUACCAAUAUUUUUAGAGAUGUUUAUUAACAUCAUAUUGGCAUUUGGUAUUAACACAAUAUAUCAGUAAGUUAGCGUUGUCCUCUCAAUGCUUUUGAAAUUGUUUAAUGAUUUAUAUUGUAAGUGUAGUAAAUUUGCAUUUGAGAAAAUAAAGGCUAUGCUUAGUUAAGAAAAACACCCAAAAGAAGGGGGGGGGGGGGUGAAUUGGGUUUUUAAAAUCUUUUCAAUCACAAAAAAUUCAAACACAAUAUAAGCAAAGUAAAGAGAGAGUUUAGAGAAUUCAAACUCGGGUUUAUAGUGGUUCGGCACUUCCUUGCCUACGUCCACUCUCCUCAACCUCCUAACCGAGUGAGGGUUCCACUAACUUGAAGCUUCAACCAAGCUUCCAAUCUUCUUACACUUAGAUUCUGGCUCCAAUGUGCUCUUAUACAACCUCUUCAAGAUUCAACCCUCUUGAAGGUUUUAACACUCAGAUUGUUACAAGAUAUAAUCACUCAACCUAGCUUAAGGAUGGCUCAAAUACAAGACAAAGCUAGGAUGACACACAAGAGUGCACUAAAGGAUAUGCAAGUAGUGAUUUAAUGCACUAUGAAGGAAAUGAGAGCUUUUUGAUCAAGAACAGGUAGGUAGGCUAUUGAAUACAAGUGUUCUCUUGUCAAUAAAUGAAGUGGAGCUCUCAAUUUAUAGGGUUCUAAGCUCGGGAGUCAAAAACAGCAAAAGGUAACCUCGUCCGGUCGAGCUAGGGGUCGACUAGUUCACUAGCCGUUGGAGCAUUUAAUGCAUGACAGGUUACCGUUGCCUCAACCAGACCUCGACCGGUAAGAGAAACACCUCAACUAGGAAAAGAAGGCUACUGGGAGAGAGAAAAGGUUUUUGACCUUCCUCGAUGGGACGACCACAACCAGUCGACCGGUUCCUCAAUCGGUUGAGCCGGUUGGGCCUAGCCUCAACCGGUUAAACCUUUUUGGACCCAAAAACCUAUUUUUUGAUUCCUUUCUUUUCUAACACUUAGGCAAGGACUUUAGGUAAAUUAUUAAGCCAAUUUUGAAACAUUUUGCCUAAGGUACAUUAGUUAAAAACUCGGGUUUUAAUGAAAUCGACGUUUUAAAGAAUAAACCGAGUUUUCAAAGAUGCAUGAAACGUGUGAAAAUCCUAAGUGCACUCAUGCAUUCAUCUUACAUUAGUUUCCUAUUAUCACAAGUCUUCUAAGCAUCUCAAUCUUUUAUCCAUUUGGUCCUUUGAUGAAGUUUCAAGUUUAUACCUGAGAUUCUUAAACAUUUAAACCAGUUAGUCACUUAACCAGGGUUUGUUAUCAUCAAAACCCGAUUAGGAGAACCCUUGGGAUAACAACAUUGUACCUAUAUUUUAUGCUAAAAGUAAUAGCUUUAGCGAUGCCUAUUAAGCUUUUGAAAUUGUUUAAUGAUUUUUAUAAAAAAAUCCUUCAAACUUUGUGAAUUGAAAUUAAUAUUUUAUUUGGUUUUUAAGGUUGGUUUAUGACAAAAGGCAUGCUAUGAUAUAUAUGACAAUCACAUAAACCAUUAGUCUUGUCAAACAAUUCCAAAUUUUUGGUAUUAGGUGUUAUUGUAAUAUAUUGUAAUGUUAGUAUAUUUAUGUUGUAAAUUUAUGUAGUACAAUUGUGUCAUUCUUAUAAUUUAAACAAAACUAAUUGUCAAAGAUGCCUUUUGCCAACACAUUAUAUCAAUGUAUUAGCAUUGUCCACUUGAUGUAUCAAAAUAUGAAAAAUAGGGGAAAAAAAAAUCAAUGUCAAGCAAAAUACAUGUCAUACAAAUGAAAAAAAAAUCAAAUAUGAAAAUAAAAAAUUAUACAAAUUUUGAAUUAUUUCAUUAUAAAAAAAUAAUUAUUUGAAAAUACAUUUUCCUUAAAUUGUUGUUUUUUUUUCUUUUUUUUCUUUUUGUUUUCCUUUAUUUUUCAAAAACUAAGAUUGUUGUAAAAAAAAAAAAAAAAAACCUGAUUUCCAAUCUCUAAAAUAAAAACCAAACCCAAGAUCAUUGGAUGUGUUUAUUUAAAAUACACCAACACCACAUUCCUUACAAUAGAAAAACAUUUUUAUUUAAAUUUCAAACAACACAUCCAAAAAAAAAAAAAAAAAGGAAAAAUAUGAACAAAAUAACCCUAUUCUAACUUUGUUGGGUUUAUUCAAGCAUAAGCAAAGGGCUUUAGUCAUGUUCAAUAAAUCCAACAAGAAAUCAAUUUAUCUAAUGCUUCAAUCACCAUGGAUGUGUGAGGAAGACUCCUCACUUACCUCUAAGUUUCAAAUGAGAUGAUAAUAAUUUAUCUAAUGCUUCAAGAAAAGUAUCAUAAGAUCGGAACAAUAUGAAAUUGUUUUAAUGCAAACUUAGAUGAAGGGUUUCAAUAAUGUUUUAUUAGCUUCCAUAUCACCAAUAUAUAUUUUUAUGAAGCUUUUUAACACUUUGGACCAUUAUUUUCUUCAUGGCCUAUAGAGUAAUUUUUGCAAUUUUUUCUUAUCCUCCACAACUUAUCAAAAUGAGUGACCCUUCCCUUAGUAUCACCUCCUAUUGGCCCUAUUUGAUAUUUUUUUUCAAUGAUUAAUAUUCCACUAUGAAUAGGCUGUAGGAACUGAUAGUGACCUACCUCUAUGUAUGAUUAAAGUUUAAAUGUUCAAAGGAGAGCCCCGACACAUGCACAACAUGGAUCUCAAUCCACCACCAUAAAAGUGGGUAAGCCAACAUAAUGUACUAAAGGGGUUGCUGCCACCUUAAUGCCAUAUGCUUGGUUUAUUGGUUCCAAAUCAUCAUAGGUGGCCUUCAAGAGGACAAGUACCCACACAAGGGAAAAAACAACCGUAAGUAUGCUCAACUUCUUGUAUUGACCUGCUUCCAACUAUGUAGAUAUUAUUUGCUUUGAACCUAAGGGGUCCUCACCUCUUUAAAAUGUGUUUACAUGGUUAAAAAGAGUCCAUACUUAUAUAACACUAGGAACUUCCUCCCAUAUUUGAUGUGAGAUAUCAGUCACCCCCUACGUCCUUAUAGUGCCCUAUGAGAUUGUAGAGCCAAAUAGACAAACACUCCUCGCCAAACAAACUCCCAGACUGGGGUUAGGAAUCAACUCUGAUGCUAUUUUAACUAAUCACUCCAAAUUGUGUAGAUAUUAUCUGCUCUGAGCCCAAAGGACCCUCAUGGCUUUAAAACACAUAUACUUAGUUAAGAAGAGUUCAUACUUACAUAGUUCGAAGAACUUUUUUCCUUGUCUGAUGUGGGGCAUCACAAUAACUAACCCCCCAUACAAACAUAACGUUCUUAUUAUGUCCCAUGGGAUUAUAGGGCCAAAUAGACAAACAAAACUCAAGGGGUUAAACAAAGCUCUCACAUCUGGGUCAAGGAUCAACUUUGAUACCAUUUGUAACAAUCUGUUCACAACCGUAUAGAUAUUAUCCACUUUGGACCCAAAGGGUCUCAUGACUUUAAAACGUAUCUAUGUUUUGAUUUGGGAAUAUCAUAUGAUUUGUUUGAUUGUUACGAAAGGCAAUUUUACUUUUCUUAAUUAAUUAAAUGAUUUUGGAAACUCUAGAUAUCAAUGGCCCUAAUUAAUAGAGGCUAAGUUGUUGACCUUCAUUGCCCUUGGUAGGGAGAGUGAUACAGUGCAAUCCUGGCCAAUAAUGGUGUUAUUAGCCUUUGGUAUACCAUUGAUUGGAAAUUGAUAUGUCCACUAGUAAAAGGAACAUUUUAAGGUUAACCACCUAGUGCAAGUCCCAAUAUUUAGUCAUAGUAUUAGUGGACCAAAGUAAAAUGUUUGUUUGUGAAAUUCUUUUGAAUAUGAAUUGAUUAUGUGUAGACCCCUCUUUUAGAUCGGAGAGUAAAGAUAUUCUCUAUGGAGAGGAAUGAUAGACCAACAAUUGGACGGAUAUUCUACAAAAGGUGGUUUUUCUCUUUUUGGGUUGGUUAGGGAGAGAGAAAAGGUAAGCCAUAAAGAGGGUGACAUGUGGAAAGGGGAUUUUCCAGGCCAUUAGGGCUUAGGAAGAGAGAAAUGUUUUUGGGAAGUUUCAUAGAGAGAGAAGGAAGGACUGUAGGUGAGGAGAGUAGCUUGAGGAGAAAGAAAAAGGAUUUUAGGGAGAACUAUGAAUGAGGGUUGGAGAUGAGAGAGAGAGAAAAAAAAAGAGGAGUUGAGUAUGGUAGAUGUGUUUUAUGAGAUUCAGGGGUUUGAGUGAGAGAUGGGAAUAGGGAAGAGAGAAGGUGAGCCUACUAUUUUUGUUGGGUUUUAGAGAGUGAGUUAGAGUGGUGGAUUUGGAGCUGAGCAGUAGAGAGAGAAAAGAGAGCUGAUGGAUUGGAGCAAAAGGUAGAGAGAGAUGGCUUGAACAGGGAACUGCAGAGGAUGGUGAGCUGGGCAAUGUCCUUAGCAAGAAGAGGUCGAAGGAGAGAGUAAAGAAGGGGGGGGGGAUUCAUUAGCUUGCAUGCUCUGGGAGGUAAGUUCUUCAUUGUAAAAUAUCUGCUCCUUUAUGCAUUUCUUUCAUUUGCAAUUGUUAAGGCUUGUUGGAUACUUUGACAUGGCCAUCAAAGGCCUAUAUGCUUGCUAUUAAUUUUAGGUAUGGGUGUCAUGUUAUGCAUUUGAUCAUUUUAUUGAUCUUUAGACUGUUUGGGUCGAGCUAUAGGGUGUUCAUGUUUCAUUUUCAUUUGGAUUUGUUGAGAUUGAUUAAAGCUUUGUUCUAGUUUUACAAUAAGAUGCUUGCAACCAUGUUUUCAUUUAUCUAUUCAUUCAUCCAACUAUUUAUAUUUAAAGUCCAUUUUGGUCUUUCCCACCAGUUAUCUAGCUCAUUGAUGACCCAUGAAAAGGGGCUUCAUUUGGUGUUUUCUUUAUUUGUUUUUUUGCUUUGUUUCCAUGGUUUCCUUCCUACUUUUGUCUUCCCCUAUUAUUGGUAAUUUUUAUGGCAUGCAUGAAUAUGUGCCUCAACGAUUGAUGAUGUCGGAGUGACUUCUGGGUGGAUUUGGGAUUCUGAUUUGUUAUAUGAGACUAGUGAUUAAAAUAUCGGGAUAUUUCGCCGAAAUAUCAGUGUGUUGGUACAUAUGGAUAUGAUAUUUUCAACCGAAAUAUCGUUGGUCAACGUAGAGUGUUGACUAAGUCAAAGCAGCUAAAAAAUGAGAGAAUUUUGCUGUUCCCAGGACUCGAUCCCUCAACCAAAAGGUUGGGGCCAACAUCCAUCAACCAUUAGGGCAAAUUUGCCCUUUGUUAAUUACCAUGCACCACACACACACACACACACACACAUAUAUAUAUUAAAAGUGUUCAUAUACACAAAAUAUUAAAACAAUCCUUUAAACAAUGAAUUAAUUAUAAUUAUUUUAUAAGUAAAUAUUUUUUUUUUCAUUUAAUUAAGUAGCAAAAAGUUUUUUAUAUCAUUAAUAUAUUAAUUAAAUAUUAAAAAUUAUACAUUUAUUAUCAUUUAAUACAAUUAAAUUAAAUAUAUCAUAAUUUUAAUAUUAAAUAUAUUUUAAAAUUAAACAUAUUAUAAUCAAAUAUCAUAAUAUUAUUAUUGAAUAAUAUUUGAUGUAAUUUAAUAAUCAAUGUAGACUUAUAUAUAUAUAUAUAUAUAUUCAACAAAACAACUUUAAAAUGACUAUUAUACUUCUAAUUUCAUUUAUAAGAGCUUUGUUUUAUAUUUUCAUAAGUUUUGAUCAAUUUUAGGCUAAUCGAUAUUUUGUGUCAAAUAUCCGUCGAUAUAUCCAUAAAAUCGAACUACCGAUAUAUUUGUGAUUACCGAUAUUUUUAUUCUUGUCUGAGACUUCACCUUUUGAAACAAGGAGAUUGUUGAAUGCUCUCCCUUAGUUUAAUGGUUCUUGUGAAAUUCGUGAUUCUGUAUCAAAUAAAUGGGUGGAAAUAUAGUCAAUGCUAUAGAUGGAGGGCAUGAAAUGAGUGGUCAUAUUUUUUUUAUUUUUUUUUUGUCGGCCAAAGCUGAGAUUGAUUCAUUUCAUUGUGGGAUUGAGCUCCAUAAAACGGGGUCCAAAAGGAGAUUGUAUAGAUAUCUCUCAGAUGGGAUUCACGAAGGUCAAGGCUCAUGGAAUAUAAAAUACCUGUGUUUAUGUCAUCAAGAAGCACAAUGCAAGCUUCUGAUUGAAGUUCACAAAUUAGAGAAGCUAUGUCACGACCCAAAUUCCAAGCAACCCAGAAUUUGGCCCAUGACCCCAGGUUAAAGGUUUGACCCUAAGGGUUCCUCCUAAUCUAUGUUGGCAGUCAACCAAAAUACUCUGAUUUUUUUUUUCUACACAUAAAUAACACUAGAGCUCCCUCCAACUAACAAUCCAAUUUAUCAAUAUACCAACCACUACUUAAGAGCAACAAGAUAUAAUAAUUAUCAUUAAAGUUUAGAAAUAGGAGUUCACAGUUGAGCCAAUUAAUUAGAAUAAAGUCUCUAUAUAUAUAGUUUCAAAGUUUGCUAAUAUAAAUUCCAAAAUAAACCAACAUAACAAAUACACUACAAUCUACUAUGUUGCUCCAAAAUCUCCUAAGGCAUCUUGAAGCCCUCCCUGCCCCAUCUGUGGAUCCUUAGGUGUCACAUUUGCAUCUAAAAAAAUAUAAGAAGAAAGGGGUGAGCAUUCCAUAUUGCUCAGUAGGGUGCCUUACACCCAAAGGGUUGAUUGGGAUUAUUAAGUUUCAAGUGAACACAAAAGAAACAUUCCAUUAGCAUUAAUCAACAAACAUAUUUUAAUUUUAUGAUUAUAACAAUUUAAUAAUUUUCCACAAUUAAAUAAAAUACAUGUGGAUAUGUGACACACAAUCAUACAAUGCACCGUCAUUCUCGGGGUCCGUACCUAAAUACACUCCCCAUUCGGAGUCUUCCUGAGGUAGAUUUUUGGGUCUUUUACCCUAGGGAUCUUACUCCCUUCUUAAUUUGUCUCACACGGGCCUUUACUUUUCAUUACAAUUUUUUUUUUCUUUUUCCAUUUCAUGAACUUUUCACAGUUUUUAUUUUUCUUUCACUCAACCAUGAUGUAAAUGAAAUGCAAUAAGGUUAAUUAUACUUUUUCACAAAUAUCACAAAUAUCAAAUAAAAUUCCAACUAGUUCAAAUAUCAUUGAAAUUACAAUUAUACUAAAAUUCCAUAAUUUUCCCACAACCCCUAUAAUUCCAAUAACCAAAUGUAAUUAUUUUCUUCACAAUAAAAUUACCCAAAAUAAUCAAAUAAAUUUCCAAUAAUUCAAAUCUCAAUUAAACAUAAUCUCUACCAAAAUUUCAUAAUUUUUCCACAAACCCAAUAAUUCCAAUAGUUAAAUAUAAUUAUUUUCUCUACAAUAAAAUUACAAAAAACAACCAAAUAAAUUUUCAAUAAUUCAUAUCUCAAUUAAGCAUAAUUUCCACCAACAUUCCAUUAUUUCUCAACAAUCCCAAUAAUUCCAAAAGUCAAACACAAUUAUUUUCCAUAAUUAAACACUUCCAUUAUCACACCAAAAAUCCCAAGGAAAAUUCCUAAAUCACCCAAUAAAAUUUCUUACAUCAUAAAUAUUACUUAUUUACCUUCCAAUAACAAGAUUUAUAAUUUUUUUUAAAAAGAAAAGUGCAUUAAAUAAAAGUUUUAAGGUUAAGUUUUCCUACCACAUAUCUAACAAUCUAACAGUUGAAAAUGAAAUCAGCCAUCGUAGAAAUGUUCCUUGCGUCGAGUAGAACUUUUCCUCAAAAUUUCACUCAAAAAGGACGACAUUCGGUAGUCCAAACAGACGGCCAAAGGUAGCAAUACUGUGACUCUGCCCUUGCACCUCGAUAGCCACUACAAAGCCCUUUCUUUUUAUUCUUCUUUUUUCUUUUCUAUUUCUUAUUUUUUUUGCUUUUAAACCUCGCAACCACCAAGUGGCCCACGACCCAACACCAUUCAAAAGCCUUAAUAUUAUUUGAUUUCUUUUGUUUUUUUUUUUUCAAUUCAUUUCACUUUCUUUUCUUAAUUCAUUUUUCAUUUCAUUUCAUUUUCAUUUUUUAAAACAACACAAAAAAUAAAUUAUUAAACACCAACCCAAAAAUUUAUUUUUCUCAAAUUUAUUAUUAAGCAAUUUAAUUUAAUUUUUACUUAAUUAGUUCUAGUUAAUUUUAAUUAUUUAAUUUUUCGUUUUUGCUUUUUGUUUUCAGAAAUUUUCAAUUUCUACAAUCCUAAGAAAUUUUCUACCCUAAAGCUGACAUGAAACAAAAAAUUCAACUCAAUUAAUUGACUAAAAAAAUAUUUCGAAUUCCAGCAAUUCAAAUUUGACACGUGUUCUCCAAUCAUUUUUUUUUUUUUUACUUUUCAACCAUUGUUCAAUAGAAGACUUUUCAAACUAGAAAUUCUAACGUGGCCUAAAAUAUAUGGUCAUUACAUCCUAUCUCCCUUAAAGAAUUUUUAUCCCAAAAUUAAAACGAGCUUACCUAAAAAAUUAUAGAAGAGUUGUGGAUAGUGUCAUCUCAUUUCUUCCUUAGGUUCCUCAGUGUUUUCUUCCAUCCCAUGGUUUUGCCACCACAUUUUGAUUGUGGGAAUCACCUUGUUUCUGAAUCUAUGCUCUCCAACUUCCAGAAUUUGCAAAGGUUCCUCCACAUAAGAAGUAUCUUCGCAAAUUCGAACAUUUUGCAUGUCAACUACCCAAGUUGGAUCUGGAGUACACUUUCUUAGCAUCGACACAUGGAAGACAUCAUGUAGGUGGGAUAACUAUUGAGGCAAGAUUAACUUGUAUGCCACUGGGCCAACUCUCUUAUCGAUUUAAAACGGUCCCACAAAUCUAGAGGCUAACUUCCCAUUUUUUCCUAAAUCGAAAUAUGCCUCUUCAAGGAUACACUUUUACAAACACCCAAUCCCUUUCCUCAAACUCCAAGGGCCUUCUCCUUUGGUCUACAUAGCUUUUCUAUCUAUCUUGAGUAGUCUUAAGCUUUUCCUUGAUGAGUUGUAUCUUUUCUGUAAUAUCUUGGACAAUCUCAGGUCUUAACAAACGACUCUCACCCAAAUCUAUCCAACACAAGGGCGAUCUACAAGGUCUCCCAUAGAGUGCUUCAUAUGGUGCCAUUCCAAUACUAGAUUGGUAACUAUUGUUAUAAGCAAACUCUGCCAAAGGUUAGUAGUCUGCCCAAUUCCCUCCAAAGUCCAAAACACAAACCCUUAACAUGUCUUCUAAGAUUUGGAUCACUCUUUCUGAUUGACCAUCUAUUUGAGGGUGAAAAACAGUGCUAAAAUUCAAUUAGGUGCCCAAAGCCCUUUGUAAACUUUGCCAAAACUGAGAAAUAAACUUAGGGUCUCUGUCAGACACUAUAGACAAAGGUAUCCCAUGCAAUCUCACAACCUCCUGUAUAUACAACUUAGCCAGAGAGUUCAUGGAGUCAGUAGUCUUCAUGGCUAGAAAAUGAGUUGACUUAGUAAGAUGGUCCACAAUCACCCUAACUCCAUUUUUCUUGCUUCUAGUUCUUGGCAACCCUAUCACAAAGUCCAUAGUGAUAUGAUCCCACUUCCACUCAGGUAUAGGUAAAGGUUGCAACAACCUUGCAGGCCUCUGGUGUUUAGCCUUCACUUGUUGACAAGUUUGAUAGUUGGCUACAUACUGAGCAAUGUCUCUCUUCAUCCCACUCCACCAGAAUUGUCUCUUUAAGUCUUGAUACAUUUUGGUACUCCCAGGGUGGAUGGUAUACUUUGCCCUAUGAGCAUUUUCUAGAAGUUCAUUCCUCAACUCCACAUCCCUUAGCACACAUAAUCUUCCUUUAAAUCUCACUCUCCCAUUUACAUACAUAGACCAAUUUUCAUCUACUUCACCUUCUACCAACUAGGCUUUAACUUUUUCUAAAAACUCAUCAUGAACUUGGGUCUCCACUAUUCUUUGGAUAAUUAUUGGUCUAGCCGAUAUACUGUACAAGCAUGGACUAUAUCAUUCCUAACCAAGACAUAGCUUAAAAUCCUCAAUAACUGUAUGCAUCUCAAACUCUCUCAACCAUAAGCUAGGUAACUGACCAUAACUUUUCCUAUUCAAGGCAUCUGCUACAACAUUCGCCUUUCUAAUAUGGUAUGAGGAGCAAAAUCAUAAUCUUCCAAUGUCUCCACCCAUUUUCUUUGCCUAGAGUUUUGAUCAUUUUGAGUGAAAAUGUAUUUCAAACUCUUGUAAUCAAAGUACAUCUCAAACUUCUCUCCAUACAAAUAGUGUCUACAAGUCUUAAGGGCAAACACCAUUGCUACAAGCUCCAAAUCAUAUGUUGGAUAGUUCCGCUCAUGCGAUUUUAAUUGCCUUGAGGCAUAAGCUAUCACCUUGUCUUGCUGCAUUAGCACACACCCUAGCCCCACUGUAGAAGCAUCACAAUAAACCGUAAACAACUUUCCACUAAUAGGAGUAGUUAACACUGGAGUAGUGGUUAAUUUCGCUUCAACUCCUAAAAAGCAUUCUCAUACUCCUUAUAUUAUUCAAACUUCACUCAUUUUCUAGUCAAUUGAGUCAUCGGUGCUGCAAUUCUAGAGAAGUCUUCCACAAACCUCCUAUAAUAUCUAGCCAGCCCCAAGAAACUUCUAACCUCAAAUACAUUAGAAGACAUUUGCCACUCCUGCACAGCUUCCACUUUGGAAUGGUCCUCUACUAUUCCUACCUCAGAAACCACAUGGCCUAAGAAAUUCACUUCAGUAAGCCAAAACUCACUUUUAUCCAACUUUACAUACAAUUGAUGUCCUCUUAAAGUUCUAAGGGUGGUCACCAUAUAUUGCUUAUGCUUCUCUAAACUCCUUGAGUAAAUCAAGAUGUCAUCCACAAAGACAAUCACAAACUGAUCCAAGUAAGCACAAAAUAUUCUAUUCUUUAAAUCCAUAAAAGCAACAGGGGCAUUAGUUAACCUAAAAGGCAUGACUAAGAAUUCAUAAUGCCCUUAUCACGUUCUAAAAGAGGUUUUAGGGGCAUCUUCUCUAACCCUCAAUUGAUGAUACCUAGUUCUCAAGUCAAUCUUACUAAAUACUUCGCACCCUUCAACUGAUCAAACAAGUCAUCUAUCCUUAGAAGAGGAUACUUAUUCUUCACAUUAACUCUAUGUAACUUCCUAUAGUUAAUACACAAUAUUAAUGUGCCAUCUUUCUUCUUCACAAACAACACUUGGGCUCCCCAUGGCAAUGUACUUGGACGAAUAAAACCGUUACUCAACAAUUCCUCAAACUGAGUUUUCAAUUCCUUCAACUCAAGAGGGGCCAUCCUAUAGGGGGAUACUGAAAUAAGAUCCGUUCCUGGAUAUACUUCAAUAGAGAAAUCAAACUCUCCAUGUGGUGGUAAACUUGGUAGCUCAUCUAGAAAUACAUCCUGAAACUUUUUUACCACUCGAAUUUCUAUAAUGUCCUUUUGGGCUUUCUCCUUACCACGAAGGCAAGCUAAGAAAUUUAUUAAUCCAUUCCUCAACACAUAUUGAUAGCACAUAUCAAAUUGCGAAAAAGGCAAACUAACAUACUUCCCCUCAACGAAUCAAACCUCAAAUCCAUCUAGCAGACAAAAUAUUAUCCUACGGCAAUGACAAUCAAUAAGCGCUCUAUACACUAUCAGCCAAUCCAUUCCCAAGAUAACAUCAUAUCCAAUCAUAUCCAAAAUCCUCAAAUCCACCUUAAGUGCUCUAUCUACCAAGGUAAUAACGCACCCCUUACAUAUUCUAUCAACUCUAGAAUUUGUACCCAUAGGGGACUCGAUAAGUAAUAGAUUUUCUACACUUUCCGUUUUCAACCCCAAUGCAUUAGCACAAGAUGCAGAAAUGAAAGAAUAAGUUGUACCAGUAUCAAACAAAACACACACCCAAGUACUAUAGACCAAAAUCAUACCUUCCACCAAAAGGGCGUCAUCAUCUAGCUCUGUUGGGGUUAAAGCAAAAACUCUACCUAUCGCCUGCCUUCUCCUACCUCUAGCACUCGACCUCUAAGAAGAUUGAGUCUGACUACUCAUAGUGGUUGUCCGGGCUCCUUGCACUGUUGGGGGUAACUACGACAUCUAGUAGUAAGGUAUGUGAACCUGAGGGGGCUAGAAAGGCACUGCUAAUUGCUAUUGAAGGCCUCAUUGAGGCUGAAAUUGAGUCGGUUGUGUGCCCAUUAAUGGGCAAGCCCUCCAUAAGUGAUCUUUCACCCCACAACCAUAACAUACUCUAGUAGUAGCUGCCCUCUAAGCACUCUGCUCACCUUCUACAUAGAAUGAAGAAUGUCCCUCAAAUUGUUGACAUUUCUGCCUCUAAUGCUGGCUCUAGGAUCUCCUCUAGGAACUUUCUGCCAUUUUUUGUUUUCCUUUUCUGUCUCCCAUUUGUUCCCAAAUUUGAUUGGUUUCCUCUAUGUCUUGUUCCACCAAUAAAGCUCUCUUGACCAAUUCAGAAUAGUCCCUUAUAGCCAAUGAGACCAAUCUCUUUCUAAUAGUAGGCCUCAACCCCUACUAGAAUCUCUUGGCCUUCUCUCCUUCCUCACUAAUCAUCCCCAAGGCAAAUUUAGACAACUCUGAAAAGCGAGAUUCAUAUUCCAACACUGACAUAGUUCAUUGGAUAAAGUGCUCAAAUUCCAUCCUCUUGGCAUGCUUAGCCACCUCUCCUAAAUAUUUGCCCAUAAAGAUUCUUUCAAAUUCCUCCCAAGUCAUCACCUCAAUGUCGUAUACUCUCUUCAUUGAUUCCCACCAAAAAAUCUACUUUGUCUACUAGCAUAUAUGCCGCUUAACUUACCCUCAUUUCCUCAGGUAUGUCCAAUCCCACUAGCAUUCUCUUCAUUCUCCUCAACCAAUGUUCCGCUGCUUCAGCAUUGGGCUCUCCAUUAAAAGAUGGAGGUUGCAUCACCAUAAACCUCUUCAUUGCCUCCAUUUGGCUCAUUACUGGCCUUAUAAAGUGACUCAUGCUUUGGGAGUGGUCUGAAUCCUCCUGGCCUUGUGUACCUCAUGACUUUUUGGAUCCUUGGCCUCUCAUUAACUGAGCGGUCUUCCAUAAUUCCCUUCUUACUUUCCAAAGUUCUUCCCUUACCAACUCUAACUCCUCAUCUCUUUUAGUUCUUCCUUUUCUUGGCCUUCCUGCCAUUUCAAUCCCAAUGAGCCCUAAUCUAACCACACUUCCAAGGUGAGCAAAAUAAAUUCACAUAUAACCAAUUAACAACUUUAACAACUACUAAAAACUUCACUUUCAUACAAUUAUAAUAAAUUUUUCAACAUAAUUAAAACCAUAACACUUCUUACUAUCAUCAACAAACACCACAACAAGUUUUUUCAAACAUCAGGAAUAAGCAAUUAAAUAAUUUAAUUAAUAAUCAACUCAUUAACUAAAUACAUAUAGAAAAUAAAAAACAUAGCAAUACACAUGAACAUACACAAACACUGACCCCAAUGUAUUAUUGCAACCUUGGCUUUGAUACCACGUUGUCACAACCCAAAUUCUGGGUGACCAAAAAUUUAGCCAAUGACCCUAAGUCAAAAGUUUAACCCUAAGGGUUCCUCCUAAUCCACGUUGGCAGUCAACCAAAAUGCUUUGAAUUUUUUUUUUCUACACAUAAAUCACACUAGAGCUCCCUCCAACUAACAAUCCAAUUUAUCAAUAUACCAACCAGUACUCAAGAGCAACAAAAUAUAAUAUUAUCAUUAAAGUCUAGAAAUAGGAGUUCAUAGUUGAGCAAAUUAAUCAGAAUAAAGUCUUAUUACAAAUAUAUAUAGUUUCAAAGUUUGCUAAUAUAAAUUUCAAAAUAAACUAGCAUAACAAAUACACUACAAUCUACUAUGUUGCUCCAAAAUCUCCUAGGGCAUCCUGAAGCCCUCCCUGCCCCAUUUAUGGACCCUCAGUUGUCACAUCUACAUUUAAACAAAUAUAAGAAAGAAGGGGUGAGCAUUCCACAUUGCUUAGUAGGGUGCUUUACACCUAAGGGGUUAAUUGGGAUUAAGUUUCAAGUGAACACAAAGUUAGACUUGGGUACUACCUGUGUGAAGCCUCGAAACUUUAGUUGUGGAAAUUACUUACUUGAUUUGUGAACAUUAGAGCAUGACAUUAUGUGCACCUUUGAUAUAGCUGUGGUUGUACCUUAUGUACUACCUUAAUCUACCUUAGGUACUACCAUGGAUUGAAAUAUCGGUAAACACGAAUAUAUCGGUACUUGGAUUUUAUGGAUAUAUUAGAAAUAUUAGAGAAAUAUCGGUGGAUAUUUUUACACAAAUAUUGGUGAGACAAAAAUUAUCCAAAAUUGAUGGGAGUGCUUAGAAAAAUCCAAAGAAUGAUAAAAUAAGCAAGAAUAUACAUGUUAAAGUUAUUUAUAAGUGUAAUUGACAUAAAUAUGGUCAAAAGAAAAAAAUACUGGUAAAUAGUUUAUGAUACUUGAAUUUUAAGAAUAUAAAAUAUGAAUUUUGGAAUUGUACACUAAGAAAGUUAGAAUUGAGUUAAGAAAUAUUUGAUUUUAUUAAAUGAAAACAAUUUACACAUAAACAUAAUACAUAUAACAUUUAAAUAGUCCUUAAUACUAAAAUGAAGAUCGAUGUGGUUCCAUCAUAUUGUUAGAUGAAGAGAGCCCAUCUUGUUGAAGACAAUAUUCAUACUAGGAUAUGGAGUUUUGAUAAUAUUGAUUGUAAGUACGAACAUGCCAUGUAUAAAUGAGAUAAAUAUAAAAAGUGUUAAAAAAUAAAAUGAUAAUAUAGAUUUAAAAUAAAAAAUAAAAUAAAAAUGAAUAAUGAAAAAAUAACAAAAGAUAAAUAUUUUUUUUUUUAAAAGAAAGCUUUCAAAAAAAUCUUCGAUAUUUCCCCGAUAUAUCCGAUAUUUUCAUUGAUAUAUCCGAUAUAUUUGCCGAUAUAUCCAAUAUAUCAUCGAUAUAUCUCCGAUAUUUUGACAGGCUUCCUCCGCUACUUCGUGUGUCACUUCAUGCUUGAUUUUUUUCGUCGAUUUAUCGGUUCCAAAUCGAUAUAUCGUCAAUAUUUUGCCGAUUUUGUCGAUUUUGCUGAUUUUUUGUUGAUAUUCCUCCCAUUCGAUAAUCAGUGUUGAAUUUCAUUUCGAGGCUGCCUGAUAUCCGAUAUAUUGGCGAAAUAUUGCCGAUAAAAUCCAUUUUUUCAAUCCAUGGGUACUACUUUAACCGACCUUAGGUACUACCUUAGCUAGACUUGGAUACUACCUGUGUGAAGCCUUGAAACUUCAUUUGUGGACAUUACUUGAUUUGUGAACAUUAGAGCAUGACAUUAUGUGCACCUUUGAUAUAGUCGUAACUGUACCUUAGGUACUACCUUAGUAGCCCUUAGGAACUAUCUUAAUCUACCUUAGGUACUACCUUACCCAACCUUAGGUACUACCUUAGUUAGACUUGGGUACUACUUGUGUGAAGCCUUGAAACUUCAUUUGUGGACAUUACUUACUUGAUUUUUAAACAUUAGAGCAUGAUAUUAUGUGCACCUUUGAUAUAAUUGUGACUGUACCUUAGGUACUACCUUAACUGAAUUUAGCACUACCUUAGUUAGACUUGGGUACUACCUGUGUAAAGCCUCAAAACUUCAUUUGUGGACCUACUUUGUUUGUGAACAUUAGGAAGUUUCUUUAUCAACAUUAGGUACUAUCUUUGUCAACCAUAGGAUUGACAAGUUGUAUUCAAUCAAGAUGGAACUUACAACGUCUUUAAUUGCACAUAGAAUUUAGUAUGACAUUAUGUUUUAUUAGGGUGGUUAGUUGGUUCACCUUAGGUAUAGUGGUUACUGAACCUUGCGUACUACCUUAAUCAACCUUAGGUACUACCUUAGUGAACCUUAUGUACUACCUUAGUGAAUCUUCAAAACUUCAUUUGUGAACCUUAGUUACUUCAUUUGUGAACAUUAGGAAGUUCCUUUGUCAACCUUAUUGAACCUUGUUUUUUUGUUGUAAACUGGCUACUAUGCUUGAUUUCUACUCGCUUAUAAUUUAUCAUUUGCUUAGUUUUUAAUUAUCUUAAAGAUAUUGUUCUUCACUGCCCUCUAGCAUUAUGUUUAUGGUCUUGUUUACCACAUGAUGUCAUUCAAAUGUUUAUAGUCUUGUUUGCAUUCAUGUUGAAGUAGAUGAUGUUUUUUCUUGGAGUCAAUAGAAAAUUUUAUAAAAAUUUCAUUUUCAUACCCUGUAGUUGCAUGUUAGUCAUUGAAAUGGUCAUAUUAUUGGGAAAAAACUUCUAGAAUGUUUGGUCAUGGUGGUAUGCAAACUUAUGUCUUCCCCUUAAAGUAGGAACUAAUGAAAUGUUCAAAAAUGUUUAUUUCCCUAUAUCACUUACAUCUAUGGUGCAUUCCUCUAUGACACAAUAUUGUUAGCCAUAAGGAGUAUGUCAUUUACUCUAUAGUCAUCCUGAUCCACACUUCCUGAAUUAGACUAUUUUAUUUUGUGAUGAUUGAUAGAUAACAUUUUUUUUUUUUGUUCAUUUUUUACCUUUUAGCUGCUUUUUGACGUAAAGGUCCAUGAGCACUUACAUGAAGAGAUGUGCUGGCAAAAAUUCAAAGACAGAAGAUUUGUGGAGUGUUCUUUUAGAAGAACUUAGUGUUCAAGUGAACUUAAUGAUUAACACCUAGACAAAGCAAAAAUGAUAUCAUAUUAUUUUUGCAAAAUUCAAACAUGCUUCUGUUAUAGGUUUUUCCAUUAUAUAUACUUAUAAAUUGCUAAAUUUGAUGUAUUGCUUAGGUUGUGUUGUCCUAGGUUUUUUCAUCUAGUUCGUUUGUUGAGGGACAAUGGAUUGUUCCGAUAAGCUUAUGUAUUGGUUCACACAACAGAAACAAAAAUUUCAUAACAAGUUAGAAUAGUGGAUAUAUCUUAAUUGCUUUAUUCUUAUUAUCGUAAUUCGAGUUCAUCAAAGGGAAAUGAUUAGUGCAAAUGCAAGAAACACUCAUGGGUUAAAAUUAAUGUGUAGCAGAUUGGUUUCUAUAACACACACUCUAAAAGAAUUAUUUUUUUUUAUAACCCCACUUGGCAUAUGUCAAGAAUUCCUAACCCACUCUUGGAUUAGACACAUUGAUAGCUGAAUAACCCGUCCAAAUUGCAAGUAUAGUAAGAUUCAAUCGGUUUGCAAGGGAAUCCAUGCAAUAGCACCAAUAGUUUACUUCAAACUUUUUUAUUAGUUUCUAGAAUUAUAUGCUUUUUAGUUUUCAUCCUAUGUAUGUGUCAAAGACGGCAGUAGGUAGCAUAUUAUGUCCAAAAAGUUACAGAACAUGAUUGAAUAAGAAAAAAUAGAUUGUCUUGAUAGUUGGUGAACCUUACCAUGGAUGAUGGACAAAGAACAAGUCUAAACCAAAAGAAAAAAAUCUUCAAGAAAUCUUGUUUGUUUUGCAAGAAAUGAAAUCUCAUUCCUCAUAAAAUGGGGUUAUUUGUUCCCAAAAAGAUGGAACAAAAUCUUUAAAUUUUCUUUCCUUCAACCAAACAAAACAUAACAGAAAAAAUAGCUAUCUUCUCAAAACUAUGAACAAAUACUAAGACUUUUUUUAAAAAAUUAUUCCAACACACACCUAAUGAAUAAACCAAAAACACAAGCAAAACAAACAAGCUCCUGUGUAUCAAUACAUUUAUUCGAUCGCAGACAUCUAAGACGAUGACUUCAUCUCUGAUUUGAUAACAACAACCAACUAAUCAUAAGCUUCUGCCCAUGCAUUCUUCAUUUUUGGUGAUCACAUUUCAGGAACUGCUUCCUUUAUUAUUUCUAACAAUGCAAACUUUGUAGCCUAUAUGAUCAGAAUAAUUAAUUUUUCAGGUUCAAAAAUUGUGUGUACAUCAUUAGAUUGAAAGAGUUGCAGCAUCUUGAAAAUUUCAUACACUUUAUGUUACCUGAUAGUGUUCAUCAAGGACACCAGAUUUGUAGUGAACAACACCUAAUUUCUUCAAGGUUGAGUCUCUCGCUGUCACUUUGUUGGCUUUUCAAAGUUGACAUAUUCUAUCUUGGUGGGGUUUGGUUGAAAAGUCCACCUAUAUUAUGAGCUAUAAAGAGGUAGAAUUCACAUCUAUAGAUGAUUGGAAUAAGGGUUUUUUUUUUUUCUUUCUAAUUAUUGUAAUGUUCAUAAUCCUCAAAUUUUGUAUAUGGUCAUCUUUAAUAACCCAUUUGAGGGUGGGGGGGAAGAGUAACCUACCAUAACAAAAAUAGCCAUGGCAUGGGACUUGAGCUUUGGGUUCUUCUCUAGAGGAACCUUUGAGUUUUUCAGGAAUGAGAACCAUUUCUGAUAUGAUGGAGCAAUCUCAAAUAUUCUAUAAAAAUUGAAUCCAACACUUCCCAAUCAGAAACCAAAGCUUUAUUCAAUUUUUAUAUAUCAUCAAGAAAUUAGGUAAUUAUCAACAUGUAGAGAAGAAUAAAGAAAAUUUGAUUUACUUCAUGAUUCAUGCCCGAUUGGUGUUCCAAUUGAUUCAACUCAAUUGAUGUGCUUUGAUCUCAAUCCUCAGACGGGAGUAAUCAACAAAAUUUAUAAACCUAUUUCACCAUAUACCAGGGUAGCAUUUAGCUAGCAUAGUAUAGUGGCUCUAGGAUCGUCCACAAAGAUGGGUUUUCACUUCGCAAUUGAUAUUAGUUCAAAAACUGAAUUGGUGCUUUUUCUUUUCUUUGUUAGCUUUAAAAGAAGACAUAAGUUUGAAUGAAAACGGAUGGUAUUAAGCUAACCUAACAUAAAGUAACUAAAAUUAACUAGAAAGAAAUUAGAAAGAAAGGUGUUUCUUGGGAUUUCAGAUUACUAGGAUCAGGUGCCAACUACAAAGAGGGAGAUUCCGGUCACUUGAAUCUUUUCCUCGCAUUCAGAAUUUAACCUAUAGUUAUUUCCCGAACCGGUGUGAUACAGAUGCUUGCCAUUAAUGGUUUCAAUGCUAAAUCCCUCUCACUGAUACACCUUGCAAUGGCUUGUACCUCUCACCUAGUAUUUGCCAUUCAAGGUGAUCCUUACCAUCGGAUCAUCCUUCACAAGCGAACAAGAGAUAACAAUUAGACCUCCAUGGAGCAAGAUUGCAAGCAAUAAGAAUCCAUGGAAUCCGAAAGCUUACCAAGUAUUGGCUAUUCAUGGUAAUCCUAGUUAACUAAAAAUAUAAAAACCAAAAACGGAUCACACUUUCUCUUCAUUAAAAAAGGAAACAACAAAAUCUCACACUUAUGUAGUCGGAACCUUACUUAGCUUCUUUCACCCAAGAAACAAAAAGCCUAGCCACUCAUCCUCUGAGAAAACAUCUCAGAGAAUGUUUGGUUAGCAAGAAAAUGAAAAUGAAAGAGAAGGAAAAAUAGAGCAAGGCUCUGUAUAUUCUAUAUAUUGAUCGAUUCUACAUACUUAUAUAUCUAUAUUUUUUACAAUGGAUGCAAGAGAAUAUAUAUAGAGAAGUUUUUCCAACCUUCCUAACUAAGAAAUCUUAUGGUUGGUGGAUUACAAGGAGAAGAAUGGAAAUUUAUACACAAAUAUCUAAAGAAAAGAUCUAAAAGAGUUGGUGCACAAAUAUCCCAGUUCGCAUGUAGAUUUCGCACGUUGCAUGGUGACUUGCGAAAAUCUCGCAAGUUGAUUUCGCAACUUGGAAUCUAUUUUCGCACGUUGAGCUCCAAGUUCGCAAGUUGCAAAAUCACUUUUGCAAGUUGGGCUUCUCUGUGACUGUGCGGCUGUAUUCCAUUUCCAUUUCGCAAGGUAGGCUUUAAUUUCGUACGUUGGAGUUCCAAAUUCGCAAGAUGCGAAUUUGUCCUUCAGCUGGAUGCAGUUGUCUUGCGAAGGCCAUAUCUUCCUCAUUUCAAAUCCAAUUCAUACACCGUUUGAAGCGUUAGAUUCUUGACUUCCUGAGCUUUGAAAUGGUAUAUAGCAUGUAGAAAAUGGACUUUGGGAAGUGCUCCAAAAGUGUGAAAGAAGACUGCAGCUGUUGUCCUCUAUUUUCUUCACUCUGUUUUUCCUCUCUCCGUUGUUCUUUCCUUGCAUACUUUGAACGACUUUGGCAAAGUGCUAUGGAGCUCCAAAGCUUGGUUCUUCAUGAAUUUGAGCUUCCAAAAGCUUUGUCAUGAACUAUAUACAGCUCUCCCUCAUUCUUGGAUUGCUUUGGUGUAGCUAAAAGCUAUUAAAAACACCAAAACUUAACACANNNNNNNNNNNNNNNNNNNNNNNNNNNNNNNNNNNNNNNNNNNNNNNNNNNNNNNNNNNNNNNNNNNNNNNNNNNNNNNNNNNNNNNNNNNNNNNNNNNNAUUUGAGCUUCCAAAAGCUUUGUCAUGAACUAUAUACAGCUCUCCCUCAUUCUUGGAUUGCUUUGGUGUAGCUAAAAGCUAUUAAAAACACCAAAACUUAACACAAUUUGAUUAGAAACGAUUGCAAGGGUCUUUAACAUGUCAAUUGAGUUAAAAGGUAAUAAUUACUACUCAAGAGUGUUUAAAAGAGUUAAUUACAAGCUAUAAAAUAGCACUUUUUGAGUAGUAAUCACUUCAAGAAGAAUUUAAGACCCAACUCUCCAACAUUCUUCUUCAUUGAAUUCCAAGACUUCAUCACAAGAGCUUCUUACUCCUCUAUGAAACCUAUUAUAUUGCAGAGGAGUUUGUCUGUGGAAGAAAGAUAGGAAUUUUGAAAACGAAAAAGAAAAAAAUAAAACAAUCUAAAAAAAAAUUCUUAUUUUUCUAAGAAUUAUCAAUUUUUGAAGGUUGGCAUCUUUGAAAAUGUAAAAAGUAAUAUUUGAAUUUUUUUUUCUUAAAAAUAAGUUCUAUUUUCAUAGGAAAAAAAAGGUUAAGCCAUAGUUUGCAAGAUUACUCCAUUUAAAUAUAUCUAUUUUGUGAUUUCUAUUUUUAAAGCAAAAAUCAGUUCCUUUUUUGAGACCCAAAACCACAUAAUGAAAUAAAUAGAUAUACAAUCAAACUAUAAGCCUCUAAACAAAAGUAAAAAAGAGAAAUAGUAAUAAUAAUACAUAACACUUACAAAUGAGUUAAGAAUUCACCUCAUAAACAAAAACAACAAAAUUUUAGGCCAUGAGAGCAUUCAAAAAGGUUAGUGAAUUCUAUAUUAUAGUAUUUACAGUGUGUGCAGAAUGGUCAUCUUUAAUAAUCCAUUUAGGGGUGAGGGGAAGAGUAAUCAACCAUAACAAAAACAGCCAUGGCACGGGACUUGAGUUUUGAGUUCUUUUCCAGAGGAACCUUUUAGUGUUUUAAGAAUGACAACAGUUUCUGAGCUAAUGGGCCCUAUAUACUAGGGCCUUCCCACCAGUCUCACCAAACUCAUAGCAAAGCUAGAGGGACUAAAUGGUAAACAUUAUAAAUAGAUUUCACAAACUAAACUUAGUAAGAGCAUUCAACUUUAAACAUGUGUAGUAACGGAUACCAUAACUAUAUGCCCCAACAAAAUAAAUAAAGAGUAACAUACUAAGCCAAAAACUAAGAUGAUAUGUAAUUAUUUACACUAUUAACAAAAAGCAAUUAAAUUAUAUUAAAACUAUAUACCUUGGUAUAAGCAUUGAGGUUUAUAAAGAUCUGUAUCUUGUCUUCAUUGAUCAGUUUGGCAAUCAUAUCAGAUGACAUGGCAAAAACAUCUAAAAGUGCUCAACUUCUGACUGAAUACGAUGUCUCUAUUCAGUUGAAUCAUUUGGACUGAAGGCAUAAUAGAACACCUAGCACACAAAAAUGACAGGAAAAAAAGAAGUUUUUACAUUCUAAUGCAUAUGGCAAGUGAGAUAAGGUUCUUAGAUUGGGAAUGUCGAAUUGUUCACUAGCAACAAACCUUAACAUUUUCUUUGUUGUGCACGCCAAAUACAAAGGCCAUGAGGUAUGAUAGGGGGUGAUUACUAAAGUCACCGCUUAAGUAUCUGCAAAGGUAGAAAAAUAAUUAUAAGAUAUAGAAACAAUGAAAUGAAAUAAUUCAUUUAUAACAUCAAUAGGUACCAAAUCCUUAGUCUCUCAUUUCUACCUUCACUCUUUACAGGAGCAGGAUUUGGAUGGUUGAAGGGAGGAAGAGCAUAUCAAGAUGCAAUUAAGAAGCAGUAUGUUGCAUAUUUUCGCCUUAAAACCAAAAGAAGACCUUGAGUUAGAAACUAUAGCAAUAUGUUGUUAUAAACAUUGUAUUAAGAUAAAGAAUUGACCUUAUUUAUAUAAAUAUUAGCAAAGGGAUUCAUGCAACUAGGCUCCAAACUAAUAAUUUUUUACUUUUUUCUUGUUGCCCUCUUUCAACAUUAGCAUUAGUACUAUCAACAUGAACAAGAAUUAGUGAAUUAGUUCAACAUUAGUGCUAUUAUUUGUGAUAAAGAAAUAAAUAAAAGUUACAAACCAAUAUAACUGACCAGCAUCAUAGUAACCUCUUCCAAUAUGUGCUAUCAUUUAUAAGAAGUUAUGACUACAAUAUGAACCCGUAAAGUCAUUCACAUAAAAAGGAAAAAAAAAAUGAAUGGAAAAUUCAUAAGGAAUAGAAACACUACAAGAUUGUGAGAUCAAGAACAUAAGAGUUUUUCACUAACCUGAUACCCAUGUCAAAAAGUAUAGAUAUGAGGACAAAUUGAGCCUCUGUUUCUGAGUUGACCUUCCAGAACAUUACAAAUGUGUCUUCCAUCUUCAAUAACCCCAUCAGUAAUGACGAAAAUGAGAGGCAUUAGAUAGUAACAAAGGAAAAAAAAAAUCUAAAUUUAUUCUUAAAAUGAAAAUAUUAUUAGUUUCAGUUUCACUAUCAAAGAUUUCACCAAAGAGGUUUAGGCUCUAAACGUUGAGAGAGGUAAUAGAGAAAGGUGGAAGCGUUGGAUCUAAAGAUGGCAAUGGAAAUGUGGUGAAGUAGGGCAAAAUGAGAGGAAGACAAAAAUCUUGUUUCAGAAGUAGGGAAAUUUCAAAUGACAUUCUGUUCGAGUGAUGAAGAAGUCAAAGAAAGAGAGAAAUGUUGUUUGGGAAAUUUCAAACUGCAAUAAUGCAACAUGGAUGCUGAUAUGGAGAUUGGGUAAGGGCAAAGUGGGUAGAAAAAGACCACUCAGCACAGGGUGCAUAAAAAUCAUAUAUUUUUCCAUAUUAAUAGGGGAAUCAUUCCCAAUUUUUGGGUUUUGAAAACCCUAUUAUCUCCGAAUGGGCGGCCCAAAAUACAAGUUUCCCAACCUUUUAUCACACAUCAACUAGAAUGCAGCAAUUGCAAAAACCUACACUCAUUUUGCAAUCUAAAAAAUGAAAAAUUUUCCCAAUUGAAUACUCCCAUUCUCAUUUUUUUUUUAUUUUAAAUUUUCACAUUGUUUAAAAAUUUUUGUUUAAUUUUUUUUUAAAUAGUACUUUAUUAGGUUCAUAUUUGUCUCAUUUUCUAAGCAUAUAAAAAAGACUUGUUACAUGGAAAUAGUUAUAUUCUUUAAAGAUUUAGUAAAUUUUUUAUUAAUAACAAUUUUUUUUAAAAAAAAAAUUAAGAUAUUAUUAAAAUGUUUUUUGUAAAGUAUUUUAAGAAAUAAUUAAAAAUAUGAAUAAUAUUGGUAUUAGAAAUUUGAUGAUAAGUUGUUCAUUAUGAAUCUUAGAAGUUUAAAAAGUGUCAUUGUCUUUAAAAAUUCCGCUUAAUUGGGUUACACCUUUUUCAUUAGUCAGACCCAACUCCAUAAAUUUCAACUACUUCCUAUUUGUCAAAACUAAUCCCACAAUUAAUGUAUGAUUUAAGUUCAUAGAGAAUUUUGUACAAAGGAGGAAAACUGGAAUAGACAAGGCACAAAAAAUCGGGGCUUCUAAAUCAGGCGGGCUUCUUCUUAAACGGAUAUUUAACAUUAAGCCGAUGACAAUCAGCAAAUAGAGAUGGAAAUAGAGAUUGAGACAAUAACAAAUAUUGUGGGAGACAGUGAACAAAUAGGAAGUGAUGAAUGUAAGCUAAUCUGAGUUGCUCAAGUUGAGAUAUUCAGAAUUUAAAGGUCUAAAGAUGUGAGCAGCCUGAGUCUCAAUCCACUCUAUCUGCCCCACGGAGAGGUGCAUGUACACCACCCAGUCUCCAUCUCUGACAGGACUCGGCAUUGGCAUCACGUACCCAGCUUCCCCACCCCAUGGAAAAUGGUAUGACCCCAGAGCCGGCAUACCCCACCCGAAAUCCACCCUUGACACUGGGAAUCUCUGCCCUGAUGACACCACGAAUGCUGGUCCAUCGCGACUGCCACUGUUGUAUAUCUUCGCUAAAGCUGGCUCCGGACGGUGAGCCUCCACCCAAUCUAUCAGCCCCAGGAAAUGCUCCUUUGUUACUGCUCCUUCCAGGUACUCACGAAUUGCAUCUGCCACCCAGCUCAAUGGUUUCUCUUUCAGUUCAUUUAUUGUCUUCUUACCAAAGGGUAUGGACAGUACAUUUCCGAAGUAAGAGGCCAACAUUGCUGCUUUAACCUCGUCUCCACUGCUCAGUCUCUUUCUUCCAUCCACCACGGUGCCCAUCCUGCAUACUUUUUGGUUUGCGUUUUCCGUGACUGCACUUUUGGCCACCAUCUUCCACAGAAAAGCACUGAGAGACUCUAGUUUGGUCCUCUUGCAGGAGUUACUCUUGCUGGUGGCUAGUGAUUGGAGUAGACUGAGCUGCUCGCCUGUGACAUAGUAAAGGCGGUUUAUGAGAAGAUCAUCACCAGGCUGUGGAGCUUUGGGAGGAGGUAAGGCUGACAUGGGGACGUACAUGUUGUCAAGGGAAGGAUCAUAGGAGCCCGGACGUCGAGGGUUGAGGAGAGAGCGCCGGAAAGAUGGUAGUACGGAUAAUGGCUUGGACUGAGCCAUUUCAGCCCAUGAAACUAGAAACAUAUUGGCAGAAUAUGCGUCUGCUAUCCUAUGAUCGAAUGUACAGGCCACCACAACUCCGCCACAUUUGAGCUCAGUCACCUGUCAUUAGUUCAUUUACAUAACAAUAAGCAUGUCACGAUUACAACUAAUUAGGAUUAGCAUAUCACAGAGAGAGAGAGUUACCUGGACUGACAGAACGCCAUGUUUCUUCUUAGGGACAAGCUUGCUUUCAAUGCUUUCAUCAGGGUUAUACAAGUUGAGGUUUUGUAGUUGUACAUCCGCAUAAGCUUCCAUGAAAUCAACCCCACGGUUGUUGCAAAGGAGCUCGGGCUCACCCGCUGAGUUACUCAAAACUUCCCCUGCAAAUGGAUAAUAGGACACCAGUGCUUGGGCCAGGGCCUCCUUCAGAACGCCAAUCAUGGACCCAAAUGUUAAAUCAUGUGGCUUCUUGUAACAGAAAAACACGCCCACAUCUACUGGAGGCAAAAGCAAGUCCAGGUUAGACGUUGGCAGCCAGUACUCCUGCACAGGCAGUACAGCUGCCACUACUUCCUUUCUGCUCACUGUUACUGUGAAAUCUCCACCACCCAUGAAUCCUAAUUAAUUCUAAGUGUCUUUGUAUGCCAGAGUGAGGGAUGGAAGAGAAGCAGACUUGUAAGCGUGCGUCUGAGUGAAAAAUAGCAGCAAGAAACAUGGAUUUUAUAGCACAGGGCAGUACUUGUCCCAAGUCCCCACUGACAUUUUUUCAGAUAUUGAUAAGAAAGUUCGAAAGUUUGAAUGAUGGAUAUGAGAAUGACUACAAAGACCAAGAGUGGUACGAAGGAAUGAAAAUAUUUGUCUUAAUUCUGUUGUGGAUGAGAAAUAAUGAAUUGAUACAGGUUGUAUAUACUGUUACAUAAACCCCAAGGGGGACUCCUUGAAAUGGAAAAAUAAAUAAAUAGAAGGCUGCAGAAAAGAUCUGAUAUACAUUAAUUUCCAUACCUAGGGUAUCCUUGGAAAAGUAGCUAAUAAAUUUGUGGCUUCUCUUUGGUCAUGAGAGGUUAGAUGUCUUCUAAUUGUGGUACAUAUUUUGGUUGGAUAGCUCAUCAAUUCAGUGACGACAAACUGAAUGAAAGUGAAAUUUCAAAGCGAUGCCAUUUUUCAUUUGUCUUAAUUUCCUGAAAAUGAUCGAUGGGGUUAUUUUAGAAGUUGGGAAUUUUCUUGGAAAUAUCUGUAGAUAAUUCUUUGAUCAAUCAAAUGAUUGAUAACUUCAACACCAUUACAUACUCCAUGACGGGUUUCACUUCCUAUUUGUGGUUGAAAGAGAAGAGUUCAAAGACAGAAAAUCUCUGCAAAAUUACACAGCAUAAUAUAUAUACCUAUACUAGACAUGAGGGUAUAUAUAUUUAAUUGAUCUCUGGAAAUCUCUGGAAAGAGACGAGUUCGAAGACAGAAAAUCCCUGGAAAACACCCCUGCAUGACAUGAGAAAGAGACACUUCACCAUUUUACUUAUUUAAUUGAUCGAUUGAAUUUUGGGCCCCCUUGUACCUAAAUACAAGGGUACAGACCUAAAUACAACCUAAAACCGUGAUCACUUUUCCUCUCAAAUUAAGACUCGCAUCUGCUGGCCUUUUAAUUGCAGUGAUCCUACCAAAGAACGCAUGCAUGGGCCAUGUGAGACUGAUAAUUACAAAGGUGGUGUGGUGGUGUACAACUCUAGUCCAUGCAUGGGAUUAGGUCACUCUUUCUUCCUUCACGACAAUGGAAUUGAUUUUAUGGCACUUACCAAGGUUUGGUAAUUGAGAUUUUCGUAUUAUUGGAAGUAUGACAAUGACUUAUAGCGUAGAUAUUUCUAUGCAUCUCUCUUGUAUAAGAAAGGCAUCCAUGCCUUUCUUGAAAAUGUUGGAUUGUUUAUUUUUAAAAGUAAUUUGGAAAAUCGUUUGUUUUAGCUCUUGUCACAUCUUUGAAAUGAUGGGCAACCAAUAGUUAGGAGCUUCACAAAAGAAAAUCCUUGGCAUAUCUUAAGUUCUUAAAUGAAACAACAAACACUACAAUGUUCUCUAAACACAUCUUAAUUAAUUUGAAGGGUUUUGGCCUUUCAAAUAUUAUUUAAUUUCUCCCCCAACAAUUUAUCCACAUUAAAUUUACAUUCAAACAGGACUGGCUUGGUGGGAAACAUUUUUUUGACACAUGAACGCCCAAUAAAUUGCUGAGUUUGUUGAAAGAAUUAGCAUUUUUCAUGGUUUAACUGUUUGAAUGACUGGGCACUAUUCCACAUGUUGUUGUGAUUCGGUUAUUCCUAUGUUCGUACUAUCUUAUUUCUCUAUGGUGGGAAUGUGGUAAACCAGCUAGUUAUUCUCUUGUGAAAAACAAGAAUGAUAAUAGGGAUAUAAAAAUAAGAUGAUGAAAACAGAAAAUAUCAAUGAUUUACAUGAUUUAGCCUAAAACUUAUAUUUAUAGGUGAAAGGAAAGAAGAACUUCCAUUAUUAUUAAAAGAUAUGACAACUCUUGAGUUCCUCUAAUCCCAAAAAAGAGACUUUCUCUCGGCCAAAAUUUCUUUCUAUAUAUAUUCCUAAUUUCAUAGUAAUAUUUCAUAUAGAAAACUAAUUAUAUAACUAUCAAAAGUAUUUAUUUCUAAAAGAAUAUAUCACUAUAUGAUAUUUCCUUUAUGACAAUAGGAAACUCCCUUACAUGAAUGUAUCCUAUAAAGAAAAUAUCGAAAACUUAUCAAUUGACUCAAAUUAGAAUUUGAGACAUUUUUCUAUAUUGUUCACAUUGCCUCAAAUUCGUAAGCUUUGAAUAAACUCGGAAGUCUUACGUUACUUCACUUUCACAGUACCCCUAAGGGACCUUGAAAUCUAUCAACACCCAUUGAGUUUAAGCAAUGUCUGAACUUAAUUAAAUGUAGAAAGGAGUAUAGUCAUAUCAUAUUUGAUGGAUUAUCCAUUGUAAGAAUCUUUUUCACUAUAGUAACACCCUAUGCAAUCCCAUCCUUGAUAAAAUGCAAUCUAACAUCAAUAUAUUUGGUCUUCUUAUGAAACAUCUAAUUUUUAGUUCAAUAUACGACAUUUUGGGUAUCACAACACCCAAUAGAAAACUCUUGUUGUAAGUCUAAAUUGUCAACUAAACCCUUGAGCCAAACAUGAAAUCAUCACUUCCAAGAAGGAAAAUAUCCCCAUUAUAGAAGGAGAGUCAUUAAAAGACUUUCAAAACAUAAGUCAUGUUAAACAAAAUCCUGGCUUACAUAAAUGGAUUUAAAUUGAAUCUUGUCAUACUAAAGACUCUAAAUUGAUUUGAUGAAAUAAUAAGGUUGAUGAAUUAAGGAUGCCAGGUACCUAAGGUGUGUGGUUGUUUUUAACUAUGGAAUUGAUCUAUCAGUUAUUUUACGUGUCAUAUUCCUUGCUAACUUAACUAAAUUAAUUUGAUUCAUUAUAUAAUAUUAUGAAAACAAUUUACUAUUAUAUGGAAUUGAUAUUUUCCUCUCUUAUUUUCCAUAAUAAGCUAGCUAGUAGCCUUAUCAGGCCUACCCUUUUAUAUCGAUUUACAACACCUUACCGCUAUCCCAUUGGCAACUACAACUUGAUGCAUAUGUGUGCAGAUGUUACAUGAUGAUGAUUAAAUUUUAAUCAUUACAAAUUAAUUAACUCAUGUAGAUUCUCAUUAAGGAUGAUCAUCUCCAUUGCACUAGAGUUGAGUUUGGCAAAAAUUCUAAGAAAUGAUAAAAGUAAUAAUAGAUAUUUUGAAAUUAUUUUAUCGAAGAAAAUAAUAAUCUGUAGACAACACAAUCUUUCCACAAGGCUUGCAAGUUAUGACAACAUCAAAAUAGGAAACACGUCUAGCAAUGGGCAAUGACUGAUGCCAAGGACACAGAAGACUUCGCUCUCAGUCACCAAAGUCUUUCCAUCACAAGCCAAAGUGGGAUCUACGCAUAGAGAUCUCUUUGGUAGCUGCCUAGUCACCUAUAAAUCCACCACUCCUUCUCAUCCCCUCUACAAUCCAUCCCCAUUUUUCCGUUUCACUCUAUCUCUCUUAGCUGAAAACCAUGGGUGGUGGAGGAGACUUCACUGUAAUUAUGACCAGGAAAGAGGUUAUGGAAGCCCCUAUGUAACCUUGAUUUGAUUUUUCCUCCUGUAGAUGUGAGUGUGUUUUUCUGUUACAAAAAACCCCAUCAGAGUGUUAACGGAGGUGAUGACUUACCUUUGAGUCCAUGGUUGGGGUUAUGAAGAAAGCCAUGGUCUAAGCACUGGUCCCCUACCAUGGUUUUGCAGGGGAAGUUGUGCGUAACUCAGUGGGUGAGCCUGAACUUCUAUGCAAUAACCCAGGGGUAGAUUUCAUGGAGGCUUAUGCAAAUGCAAAACUACAAGACCUCAGCUUGUAUAACCCUAACAACAGCAUUGAAGGCAAGCUUGUCCCUAAGAAGCAGUGUGGUGCCCUCUGUGUGCAGGUUGUUCUCUCUCUCUCUCUCUCUCUCUCUCUGACACAUCAUAUAUUGUCGUGGCAUUAUUACUCUAUGUGAUAAAACAAAUGAAGGAAAAUGACAGGUGAUUGAGCUCAAAUGUGGUGGAGUCGUGGUGGGCUAUACAUUCCAUCAUCAGAUAGCGGACGCAUAUUCUGCUAGUAUGUUCCUAGUUAAUUUCAUGGGCUGAGAUGACCCAGUGCAAGCCAUUAUCUGUGGUUCCAUCUUUCCGGCGCUCUCUCCUCAACAUCAGACGUCCGGGCUCCUAUGAUCCCCCCUUGAUGACAUGUACGUCCCUAUAUCAGCCUUUUUUGUGUGGAGAAAUUGUUCUUGUGCUAGAAAGAUGAAUUUUUGUUGCUAACACAUAAUAAAGUUUAAAGGAUUGUGUAUGAUAAUGGUAAAGCCCUAAGCUAUAUUUGCUUCCUAGAAAAUUUGAUAGAAAAUGCAAAGUAAAUAAAAUAGAAAGAAAUUAAAAAAAAUAAAAAAUAAAAUAAACAACAUAUUUAAAGUUAAAAAUAAGUAAAUAAAACAAAAGUCGAUUAAUUUCAUGUUUCAAAUUCAAUAAAUUUAAAAUUUGCCUUAAUUGGGUGAAGCUCUAGAAGACAUGAUAACCUUAACGAAGAACUGACAAGAAGAGUUUGUGAGGCUAUGCCAGCUUUAAGGGUCAUCAUUGUCCUGACAAGGAAAUGACCAAAGACUGAAAAAAUCUGAAUCAGGAUUACACUAAUCAUUCAGACAGCAACAAGGGUCCAAGAAUAAUGCCAUCUUACCUCCGAAAAGGGAAAGGUGUUGAAAUUAUGGGUUGUUCAUAUAAUUCUAAAUAACCAUUUAAACAUCGAUCAGUAUUAAAUUGGUUGUUUCUGUUUCUGUUUUUCCUAUGAUAUGCUAAUAUCUGAGUUGGAAAUUUGUUAUAAGCUAGUUACAAGUUACAACCCAUCACCAUGCUCCUGAUAUAUAGCUUUCUUGUUUUUAAAAAUUUGAGAAAGUUCUUCUUGCAGUCCUUUUUAUUUAUAUAUAUAUAUAAGAGUUAUUCUCUACUCCGCUAUCUUUGUUUCUUCCCUUUUUUCUCUUUUCUCUUAUCUAAUGGCUUGAGGAGGCAACCAAAAUGUCAACAAUGACAGUUGUCAGUUUGUGCAUUCAUCAAAUAUGUCAUUAAUGGAAGAUUAUGGAAGUCCUUUUUAUCUACACAAUUGUGACUAUCUAGGUCUAGUUUUGGUUUCAUACCAUUUAAUUGGAUCUAAUUACAACACUUGGAGUCGUUCGAUGUUCAUGGCUCUUACUAUAAAGAACAAAGUCGGUUUCGUUGAUGGAAGUAUCACUCGACCAAUCUAUGAACAUCUUCUCUUCAACGUUUGGACUCGUUGCAAUAGCAUGGUAAUUUCAUGAAUUCUUAAUGUUAUGUCUAGAGAAAUAAGAGAUAGUCUAUUAUACAUAGACAAUGUGCUUUUGAAACCUGGAUGUUUAUCUUUGUGAUCAUUUUCACCAAAGCAAUGGUCCUCAAAUUUUCCAAAUCAAAAAGCAGCUUAUUGCCCUUAACCAAGGAUCUCUUGAUGUCAUAGCUACUUCACCAAAUUGAAAAUUCUUUGGGAUGAAUUCAAAGAAUGUCAACCUGUGCCUAUUUUCUAUUGUGGAAGAAUAAAAUUGUGGAUAGAUUUUCAAUAAUAGAAGUAUGCUUUGAAAUUCCUCAUGGGGUUCACUGAGUCCUAUGCUCAAACCUGUGCUCAAAUUUUGAUGAUGACUCCUUUGCCUUUUGUGUCAAAAGUCUUUUCUUUGGUUAUUCAAGAAGAAACAAGCAGCUAAUCAUGUGUUUCAUGAACAUACUAAAUACAUUAAGAUUGACAGUCAUGCAUCUAGUGAGAGAGAAAGUACAAGUUGUUCACCUGAAGAUCCUACAUGUCUCUUCACAAUAUCAGAUUGCAACCUUGCUAACUAAACCUCUCCAUCUAAAUCAUUUGGCUUAUCUUCUUAACAAGAUGAGAAUUCAUAACAUUCAUUCUCCAUCUUAAGGGAGAGUAUUAAACUAAUUGUUUAUGUUUAUGUUUUUAUCUAUCCCUCAUUUUUUUGUACCAAUUUUUUAUGUAGUAGAUUUUCUUCUCCUCUAUCGGUGGUUUUUCCAAUCUAAGGUUUUCCACUUAAAUUUGUGUGUUCUCAUUCUUUUUUUUUUUUCUUAUUGCCUAUCCCUGUUAUUUUGUAACACUCGAUGAAUAAGUAUGUGUGUAUUAUUUUAUGAUGCCAAUUCUUCUAUUGAAUUGACUGAUGCAUGUGCUCAUUUGUUAUUUACAAAAGAAUUAAUUCUGCCACAAGAAAAAUUUAAUAUAGAAAAUAAUUGGUAAAGGAGAAACUAGAUUAUUUCGAAGGCCAAGACCCUCCAAAAAUAUUUAGACAAAACUCCAAUCAUAUAAAAAUGAAUUCACAUGGACCAUCAAGACCCACCAAAUUGAUUCCCUGUGAGAUUAUAUAUUGGCAUUGGAACAUGGGUUUGAUAAGUUUUUACCUAACCUUUGCCUUUUGAACUUUUAAAAUCCUCACUCAACAAAUCUUUUUCUUGAUAAGUUUCAACUACUUUUCCUUUGUCAAAAGUAGUGGUCAACCAAUUUAAAAAAAUUCUCUCUGUUGGAGCAUGAGUUCUAUAAUAUUCAAACCAUGCACCUUUUAAUUAUUUUAAAAAGUUGUGCAUUGUUUUUUCUUUAAAUUAAUCCCACAAUUAAUCAUUAUUUAUGUUGUUGGAGUAUUCCAUAUAAGGACUUGAGAGAAAAUGACGAGCUAUGAGAUUAAAAUCGGCGACCCACCAAAAACUAGGGCUUUUAAAUUGGACUUCUUUCUAAAGAAAUAUUUGACAUUAAGAUGUUUUUAUCCAUAUAAAACAUUUUGAAUUAAUCAAAUAAUAAAAAAAGACAAACAAUUUGUUUUCAUAGAAAGGCUAAAACAAAGCAUGUUGUGGCUAAAAAUAACAAUAAGACGGUUUUUUUUUUUUUUUUUUUUUUUCAGAUACUUGUUCCUAAUAGGAUGGGUUUGAGAAAUAUGUCAAUGGUUUUAGCAUAUGUUUAUAAAAAAUAAAAAAAAAUUAGAACUCAGGACGUGUUUAGGAUGGAUUUGGAUUUGACUUUAUCCCAUCCAAUCACAUCCCGAUUAUAUAUAAUAUUAAAUAAAAAUUAAUUUUAAUUGAUUUUUUCUUCAUUUUUCAUUUUUUAACAUAUGUAAAAUAUUGCUUUUAUAAAAAUAAAUUAUAAUAUUUAUUAAUUUAUAAAUUAUAUUUAUUUUUAAUAUUAUUUAAAAUUUUAUAAGUAAAAAAAAAACACUAAAAAAAAUUGAACAAAAGUAAAAAAGUUAAAUAAGACGAAGUGAGAUGGAUAUGAGAAUUUCCUAUACUGGUCCCACCCUACUUCAUCACAUUUUAAUUUGUUUUUUAAGUGGGGAUAGGAAUGGAUAUAAAUAAACGUGUUGAUGAUGGAAUGGAGAUGACUCGUGUCAAACCCACCCAAUUAUGAUCCCUAAUUGUAACAAAAGGGCAAAAGAUGGGUAGUAGUUGUAAUUUAUAGAGUUUUACAUUUAAAUAAAAAGAAAAUUGUAUGUAUCCUCAAUUUAAAUUCUAUAUUCAACUCAAGUCUAUGUGUAUUAUGGGAAUACGGGAAUGGUUUCUAUAAUAUAUAUAUAUAUAUAAGCAUUAGUUUUGCCACUAGAAAAUUUGAAUAUCAAUAAUAAUUGGGGAAGGAGAAAUUAGAAUAUUUCAAAAGCCAAAACCCUCCAAAGCAUUUUGGCAAAACUCUAAACAUAUAAACAUGAAUGCACAUGGGGGAAAAGAGUGAAAAGACUCAUGCAAUUGACUUUUUGUACUGCUCAGUGCUCAUUAUAGCUGUAUUGACUAGUAAGUGAGAUUAUUGGCCUUGGCACAUGGGUUUGAUAAGUUUUUUUACCUACCCUUUGUAAAUAACUGUUUGGAUCUACAACAAAGGGUAUCAUCCCUUCCUAGGGUGGCUGAAUGGUUUGUGGACAAACCUUUUAGAAAAACUUGUGUUUUGGGCCGCCCAUUUGGUGAUAAUAAGGUUUUCAGAACCUAAAAAUUAGAAAUCCAAGAUUCCCCCAUUAAUAUGGAAAAAUAUAUGAUUUUUGUGAACUCGAUGCUAAGUGGUCUUUUUAUACCCACUUUGCCCUUACAUAAUCUCCAUAUCAGCAUCCACGUUGCAUUAUUGCAAUCUGAAAUUUCCCAAACAACAUUUCUCUCUUUUUUUUAUUCCCUCAUCACCCGAACAAAGUGUCAUUUGAAAUUUUCCUAUUUUUGAAACAAGAUUUCUCGUCUUCCUCUCAUUUUGCCCUAACCCCAACCUAAGAUAGUCAAUUCAAUGAAAGAAACUCGAGCAUUCCCCUCAAAUCGUCUAUUUCCUACUCACUAUCACACCUACCAUAGGCAACACCUCUUCCUCACUAUCGUUGCCACAUUUUCCCUUGCCGCCUCCAAAUCCAAUGUUUCCACCUCUCUAUGUUACCUCUCUUAAUGUUCAAAGCCUGAACCUCUUUGGUGAAAUCUUUCCUAGUGAAACUUAAACUAAUAAUAUUUUCAUUUUGAGGUUAAUUAAAUUUAGAGAUUUUUUUUUUUUUUUUACUUCGUUACUUUCUAAUGCCUCUCAUUUUUUUUUUUCAUUACUGAUGAGGUUGUUGAAGAUAGAAGACACAUUUGUAAUGUUCUGGAAGGUCAACUCAAAAACACAGGCACAAUUUGUCCUCGUAUCUAUACUUUUGGCAUGGGUAUCAGGUCAGUGAAAAAUGUUAGAUUUCAUAUUCUAUUCAAUGAUCAUACAGGAUCGUAUGUUGAAUCACGUGAAGAAAUUAUGUCAUAAUUACUAUUAAAAAUUGUACCAACCUGAAUCCAUGUGUGAAUUUGAAGACGGUACGGAUCUUCUAAGGCUGAUGGAGGGCACCACCUUUCUCUGGAUUCUCUCAGGCAAUGGGAGCGGAAGAGAGAGCGGUUCUGUUCUUUCAAAAGGAUGUGAUAGAUCCAAAAGACACAAGCCUAAGCCUUUUAUACCCUCCUAUCUUAGGGACCAUACCCAUUGGUUAUUGGGCCUCAUGGGCCUUAGGCCCAUCAUCUAAAGCCCGUGAUGGCAUUGGGCUUUACACUUUAGGUGGUCCAUACUCAAGAUUAAAUCAGAAAUUGCAUGUUAAAAGAUAGCUUAAUCCUGGACAAUGUUUAAUAUAUUGUCGGUCCACAUUUAUUCUAUCAAUCUCCCACUUGGACCACAUAUAUAUUACAAACAAUGUUCAUGAUAGUACUUUAUUGAGCUCAUCUUUGCUAUCUUAUUCAAAAUAUCCUUAAACAAUCCGGUCUACUAAUUAUGCUAACAUAGGAUUAAAGCGGCCUUCGUUAAUCAUAAUUAUAACUUGACCUAUCAUCAAUCACAACAUUAACAAAAUUAGCAACAUGGAUCAAGUAUGGAUGUGUAGUAUGGAAAUUAUAUAGAAUAUGAUCUUCAAUAUGUCUAUUUCCAAUUGGUCCUACUUUAUGACUAAAAGAUAGCCAAAUACCACUUUCAACACUUGAUGCUAAACUGCUUUUGAAAGUCAUCAUUUCAAUUUAGAGUGUUCAAAUACAAUAGUCUUUAAAAUCAAGAUCUGUACAGAUAACACAACAUAAUAUCACAUCAAGAGAAUAAACACAAAAUCUAGAUACAAACUCCCACUAUUCUGACACAUCAUCAAUGUGUACAACACCCAUAUGUGUGACGUGCUCAUGAUAUACUUUGGGUGGCAAACCCUUAGUGAGCAGAUCCGCAAUCAUGGAGUUUGUACUUAUGUAUUCAAUUGAUACUUGAAGACUCUGAACUCUCUCUUUCACAACCAAGAACUUGAUGUCAAUGUGUUUGGACUUUGACGAACUUCGGUUGUUCUUAGAAUAUAAUUCUGCGGCCUUAUUAUCACAGUUAAUUCUCAACGGUUUCUCAAUCUCAUCAACUAUUCGUAACUGAGUGACAAAAUUCCGCAGCCAUAUCCCAUGGUUUGAUGCUUUGUAGCAAGCUAUGAAUUCUGCCUCCAUGGUGGAAGAAGCAAUAAGUGUUUGUUUAACACUUUUCCAUGAAACUGCUCCUCCAGCCAACAUGAAGAUGUAGCCUGAAGUGGAUCUCCUACUGUCAAGACAUCCCGCGAAAUCGGAGUCCGAAUAUCCCACGAUUUCUAAACGACUUGAUCUACGGUAUGUGAGCAUGUAAUCUUUAGUUCUUUGUAAAUACCGCAUAACUCGUUUUACCUUUUUCCAAUGAUCCAUACCUGGGUUACUUAAAUAUCUGCCUAACAUUCCAACAAUGUACGCAAUAUCCGGACGCGUACAAACUUGUGCAUACAUGAGACUUCCUACUACCGAGGCAUAGGGAAAUCUCUUCAUAUCUUUCUUUUCAAGUUCAUUUUUCAGACAUUGGUGCAAACUAAACUUAUCGCCUUUUGCUAUAAGCGUGUCUCCUGGUGCACAAUUGCUCAUGCCAAAUCUACUCAACACCUUAUCGAUGUAGGCCUUUUGUGAUAACCCAAGUAUACCUCUUGAACGAUCCCUAUGGAUCUGUAUACCCAGCACAAAAGAUGCAUUACCAAGAUCCUUCAUGUCAAAUUUACUAGACAGAAAUUGCUUGGUUUCAUGCAAAAGUCCCACAUCACUACUUGCAAGUAGAAUAUCAUCAACAUAUAACACCAAGAUAAUAAAUUUGCUCCCACUGAACUUGAGGUAUAUGCAUUGAUCAACGGUGUUCUUCUUAAAACCAAAUGAAGUAAUCACUUUAUUAAACUUUCGGUACCAUUGUCGGGAUGCUUGCUUUAAGCCAUAUAUGGACCUUUUUAAUCUGCAUACAAGUUGCUUUGAAUCAUUAGACUCAAAGUUCUCCAGUUGCACCAUGUAUAUUGUCUCAUCAAUGUUGCCAUUAAGAAACGCAGUUUUAACGUCCAUUUGUACUUGAGGUUCUUGAGGUUGUUGAGUUACCUCUUGAUGAACUUCAAUCGGUUCCAUAACUUGAGCAGGAGGAAUCUCAGGUGUUUCUUGAAUCCCUAUUAUCGAUUGUACAUUUUGAAUAGUGUCAUCAAACAUAAUAUAACCAUGUCCAGUCGUAAUAAUAUGAAUAUUAAUAAUAGGAAUAUUAACAGAUUUUUCUUCAAAGACCACCUUUCUUAAUGGCUCUCUCCCACUUAACUCAACAUCCUUAAUGAACUUAGCAUUGCCCGUUUCAAAGAAAGAUCUAGUUGAGAGAUCAUAAAAUUUGAAACCUCUCGACCUUUUAGAAUACCCUACAAAGUAGCAGCUUACUGUUCUGGAGUCCAAUUUCUUUUCAUUUGGCUUGUAAGGCCUAGCUUCAACUGGACAACCCCAGACAUGCAAGUGCCUAUGUAGACCCUCAAUUUUGUCCCUUUAGCACAUGUCUUUAAAAUUCAUUUUCAAUGCUCUGACUCAUGCCCAAUUGGUGUCUCAGCUGAUUUGUGUUCAGCUGGUGCUCCUUGAUUGAGGAAGUGAUCAACAAAAUUUAUACCUAUAACACCAUACACUAGGGUAGCAAAUACAAAGCUACUAUAGUAUAGUGGCUCUAAGGAUCGUUCACUGGGAAUGAUUUGCAAGCAAUCAAGGAUACCAAUUCCAAGUGAAUUGGUCUUGUUUCAUUUCACGGUUAGCUUAAGAAGUAAAACACAAAGUUUGAUUGGUAAAGGUUGAGACUUAAACUAACUAACUUAAUAGAAGUUUGGAAUAAUUUAGGAAGAAAAGCAUUCCUUGGAGAUUUAGGUUCACUGGGGUGGUUCCUCAUGCAAAAGACAUAGCUCCGGUCAGAUGGUUCAUUUCCUCGCAUUAGAGAUUCAACUUAUAGUCAAUUCUCUAACCGGUGAUGUACAGAGACUCCUUCAAUUAGAUUUCACUUUAAUUCUCUCACUGAUACAACUUGCAAUGGUUCAUGCCUCUCACGAGCACUUACCAUUCAAGGUGAUCUUUAACCUUGGACUUCCCUUCACAAACUCGCAAGAGAUAACUAAUGGAUGUCUCCUAGGAGUCCAAAAGCUUACCAAGUGUUGGUAAUUCCAGAAAAUCCUACCUUGAAGUCACCUAACAGAGGCUCGCAAGGGGUAAACUAGUGCAUUUCCACGGUUGGAAAUCACUUGCCUUACCAAGUGUUGGCCUAGGUGACUCCAAGGAGUUUUAAGUUAACUAAAAACAUUGAAAUCACUAAAGGAUUUCACUUCCUCUUCAUUACUAGCUAAAACCACAGAGCUUUGCAUUCUUGCACUUGGAACCUUCCCUGGCAACCUUAGCUCCAAGGAAUUGGAGGUUUAGUUACUCAUUCUCUGGGGAAAACUCCUUAGAGAAUUCAUAACUUAGAAAUAAAAUGAAAAUACAAAGUGAGAAGGUAAGGCAGUAGAAAGAAAAGAGACUUUACUUGCUUACCAAAUGGUUACAGAAGGAACUCCUCUUUGAGAACAUGCUCCCGAGAGGUAUUUAUAUCAAAGCAAUAAAAAACUAAUUCUUACACUGAUAUUUGGUCUUUUUACUAACUUAAAAACUAAGGAAUCAUGUAAUUGGUGGUUUACAAGGAGUAUUUUGGGAUUUAGACAACAAAAAUCUAAUGGAAAAUAUCUCCCAAUGUCGGUAGCAAGCUUCGGGAGGCUUCCGGAGCCAUUUCGCAGGAGAAAAGUGGUGCCUGCGAAAUUUCGCAGACACCCAAGAGGGCUGCGAAAUUAUUUCGCAAGACUGAGCUAUCUUCACCAGGCUGCAAAGUUGGCUUCCAUCUUGAAGUUUCUAGCUUCCCUCUCGCGGCAUGGUUCGUGCAUCGUUAGAAAGAGAAACACCUUACUGUACAAAAGUGUUGCGAAAUUCUCGUAACAAAAGGCUGAUUCCGCAACACUUUAGAGUGACUGGCUUGUAAUGGCUGCAACUUCUUCGUUUCAACUCCAAAUUGCACACCGUUUGAAGCAUUGGAUUGUUGACUUCCUGAGCUUUGAAAUGGUAUAUAGCUUGCAUCAUUUGGACUUCAGAAAGUGCUCCAAAAGUGGCUGCUACGACUGUCAUCAAGAAUAGGCUUUAUGGCAGAUUCUCUUUGCUUUUUCUCCUUGCAAUCCGGAUUCACUUUUGGUAAUUGAAUUCUAAGCUUUGCCCAUGAUUCCUCAUAGCUCUCCUCAUUCUUGACUUGCUUUGGUGAUCAAAAUACUAACAAAAACACCAAAACUUACACAAAGUGAUCAAAAUUGCUUUAAAGGAUCCUUAACAUGCCAAUUGAGUUAAAAGGCCUAAACUACUACUCAAANNNNNNNNNNNNNNNNNNNNNNNNNNNNNNNNNNNNNNNNNNNNNNNNNNNNNNNNNNNNNNNNNNNNNNNNNNNNNNNNNNNNNNNNNNNNNNNNNNNNNNNNNNNNNNNNNNNNNNNNNNNNNNNNNNNNNNNNNNNNNNNNNNNNNNNNNNNNNNNNNNNNNNNNNNNNNNNNNNNNNNNNNNNNNNNNNNNNNNNNNNNNNNNNNNNNNNNNNNNNNNNNNNNNNNNNNNNNNNNNNNNNNNNNNNNNNNNNNNNNNNNNNNNNNNNNNNNNNNNNNNNNNNNNNNNNNNNNNNNNNNNNNNNNNNNNNNNNNNNNNNNNNNNNNNNNNNNNNNNNNNNNNNNNNNNNNNNNNNNNNNNNNNNNNNNNNNNNNNNNNNNNNNNNNNNNNNNNNNNNNNNNNNNNNNNNNNNNNNNNNNNNNNNNNNNNNNNNNNNNNNNNNNNNNNNNNNNNNNNNNNNNNNNNNNNNNNNNNNNNNNNNNNNNNNNNNNNNNNNNNNNNNNNNNNNNNNNNNNNNNNNNNNNNNNNNNNNNNNNNNNNNNNNNNNNNNNNNNNNNNNNNNNNNNNNNNNNNNNNNNNNNNNNNNNNNNNNNNNNNNNNNNNNNNNNNNNNNNNNNNNNNNNNNNNNNNNNNNNNNNNNNNNNNNNNNNNNNNNNNNNNNNNNNNNNNNNNNNNNNNNNNNNNNNNNNNNNNNNNNNNNNNNNNNNNNNNNNNNNNNNNNNNNNNNNNNNNNNNNNNNNNNNNNNNNNNNNNNNNNNNNNNNNNNNNNNNNNNNNNNNNNNNNNNNNNNNNNNNNNNNNNNNNNNNNNNNNNNNNNNNNNNNNNNNNNNNNNNNNNNNNNNNNNNNNNNNNNNNNNNNNNNNNNNNNNNNNNNNNNNNNNNNNNNNNNNNNNNNNNNNNNNNNNNNNNNNNNNNNNNNNNNNNNNNNNNNNNNNNNNNNNNNNNNNNNNNNNNNNNNNNNNNNNNNNNNNNNNNNNNNNNNNNNNNNNNNNNNNNNNNNNNNNNNNNNNNNNNNNNNNNNNNNNNNNNNNNNNNNNNNNNNNNNNNNNNNNNNNNNNNNNNNNNNNNNNNNNNNNNNNNNNNNNNNNNNNNNNNNNNNNNNNNNNNNNNNNNNNNNNNNNNNNNNNNNNNNNNNNNNNNNNNNNNNNNNNNNNNNNNNNNNNNNNNNNNNNNNNNUUUUUUUUUUUUUUUUUGGAAAUUUUAGUUUUUGAUUAAUUCUUUGUGUUAAAGUUUAUAUUUUUUCUUUUUAAAUCCCCAAUUAGUUUAAUUCUAAUCUAUCUUUUAGUUUAAGUUUGUUAAUGAUUUUAAUUCUUAAGUUUAAAUAAUCAUAUUGAAUAAAGUUUGUAUUUUUAAUCCCAAUUAGUUUGAUUUCAAUUCGUUUUUAAUUUAAAUGCAUUAGUUGAUCUUAAUUCUUUGUUUUAAAUAAUCACGUUAAAUAAAGUUUGUAUUUUUAAUCCCAAUUAAUUCGAUUUCAAUUCGUUUUUUAGUUUAAAUGUAUUUUGUUGAUCUUAAUUCUUUAGUUUAAAUAAUCAUAUCGAAUAAAGUUUGUAUUUUUAAUCCCAAUUAGUUUGAUUUUAAUUUGUUUUUUUUAGUUUAAAUGUAUUUUGUUGAUCUUAAUUAUUGACUUUAAAUAAUCACGUUAAAUAAAGUUUAUGUUUUUAAUCUCAAUUAGUUUGAUUCCAAUUCGUUUUUAGUUUAAAUGUAUUUUAUUGAUCUUAAUUCUUAAGUUUAAAUAAUCAUAUCGAAUAAAGUUUGUAUUUUUAAUCCCAAUUAGUUUGAUUUUAACUUGUUUUUUAGUUUAAAUGUAUUUUAUUGAUCUUAAUUCUUAAGUUUAAAUAAUCAUAUCGAAUAAAGUUUGUAUUUUUAAUCCCAAUUAGUUUGAUUUUAACUUGUUUUUUAGUUUAAAUGUAUUUUGUUGAUUUUAAUUCUUAAGUUUAAAUAAUUGUAUUGAAUAAAGUUUGUAUUUUUAAUCCCAAUUAGUUUGAUUUCAAUUCAUUUUUAAUCUAAAUGCAUUAGUUGAUUUUAAUUCNNNNNNNNNNNNNNNNNNNNNNNNNNNNNNNNNNNNNNNNNNNNNNNNNNNNNNNNNNNNNNNNNNNNNNNNNNNNNNNNNNNNNNNNNNNNNNNNNNNNNNNNNNNNNNNNNNNNNNNNNNNNNNNNNNNNNNNNNNNNNNNNNNNNNNNNNNNNNNNNNNNNNNNNNNNNNNNNNNNNNNNNNNNNNNNNNNNNNNNNNNNNNNNNNNNNNNNNNNNNNNNNNNNNNNNNNNNNNNNNNNNNNNNNNNNNNNNNNNNNNNNNNNNNNNNNNNNNNNNNNNNNNNNNNNNNNNNNNNNNNNNNNNNNNNNNNNNNNNNNNNNNNNNNNNNNNNNNNNNNNNNNNNNNNNNNNNNNNNNNNNNNNNNNNNNNNNNNNNNNNNNNNNNNNNNNNNNNNNNNNNNNNNNNNNNNNNNNNNNNNNNNNNNNNNNNNNNNNNNNNNNNNNNNNNNNNNNNNNNNNNNNNNNNNNNNNNNNNNNNNNNNNNNNNNNNNNNNNNNNNNNNNNNNNNNNNNNNNNNNNNNNNNNNNNNNNNNNNNNNNNNNNNNNNNNNNNNNNNNNNNNNNNNNNNNNNNNNGUAGAGACCUCUUUAGGGCUUAGAGGGGUGCUACCUCCUAGAGGUACCUUCCCAAUAAGUAACCUGAUCCCCGGACCAAGACUUGGGUUUUCAAAGACACGCUUUUCCAAAAAUUAUGGAGUCAUUUUUUUAGGGUUUUAUUUCUUGUUUUAUUUUCCCUUCAAAAAUAAAAAUAAAAUAAGUGGCGACUCCAACUUUUUUUCAAAAAAUCAAAUUUUCACAAAUAAAUAAAAAGCGAGUCUCGCCGAUCGAAUGGGGACGCACGUGAAAAAUGCGGGUCCACAGCCUAAUACUAGGUUUCUUGCUAGUCCAUAACUCAUAUGGGGUUUUGGCUACUGCUUUGCUUGGUACUCUAUUCAAAAUAUAAACUGCAGUUUUAAUGGCUUCGCCCCAAAGUGAUUCUGGUAAGGUGGAAUGAUUGAUCAUACUUCUUACCAUAUCCUUAAGAGUACGGUUUCGCCUCUCUGCUACACCAUUUUGGCUCGAUACCACACUUCAUCAAAUAUUUGGCGAAUGGCCCUGGACGUUGUUCUCCGGAUCCGUCAUAUCUACCAUAAUAUUCACCUCCACGGUCAUAUCUGACAGCUUUUAUUUUCUUGCUUAGUUGGUUCUCAACUUCAGCUUUGAAAUUCUUUAACACAUCCAAUGACUGAGACUUUUCAUGAAUCAAAUAAAGAUAGCUAUAAUGCGAGUAAUCGUCAAUGAAAGUGAUAAAAUAUUGUUGUCCAUUCCAUGAAGGGGUAGGAAAUGGACCACAAAUGUCUGUAUGUAUCAAUUCCAAGACGUCACUGCACCUAUUGGCAUUCUUUUUCUUCAUAUUUGUUUGUUUUCCUUUAAUGCACUCUAUACAGACUUGAAAGUCUGAGAAAUCAAGUGGAUCGAGAAUUCCAUCUGACACAAGUCUUUGUAUUCGUUGAUUUGAAAUAUGACCCAAACGCUUGUGCCAUAACAUUGAUGAAUUCUCAUUCAUUAAUUUUCGCUUAAUGCAUAAUUACUUGAAUGCAAGGUUUCAUUUCCAUUAGUGGCCUUUAUGUUCAAUUUAUAUAGUUUGUUUGUUAGACUACCUGUACCAAUAAUAUUUGAAUUUAGAUAAAGACUAACCAUUCCAUUUCCAAAUGAACAACAAUAUCCAAAUUUGUCCAAACAUGAAACAUAAAUUAAAUUCCGUCUAAACGACGGUACUACAAAAAUCUCUUCCAAAUCCAAUGUACAUCUAGAGUCUAACUGUAAUCUGAAAAGACCAAUAGCCUUGACUGCAGCCUUGUUGCCAUUUCCCACAUAGAUGUAUCUUUCACCAUCAGUUGGCAUUCGGCUCCUUAGGCAACCCUGCAUAGUGACACUAAUGUGAGUAGUUGUACCCGUAUCUAUCAACCAAGUGUCAGUAGGCACUACAGCUAAAUUAAUUUUUGAACAAACAAAAUUGAGAAGUGUACCUUUCUUUUCAUGCCACUCAGCGUAUUUGGUACAUGUCUUCUUCAUAUGAUCAGCCUUCUUACAAAAGAAACAAGUGAUCUCCUUAUCUUGUUUCUUUUGCUCCUUUUGCUUUGAUGUCCCAAAAACUACAGUUUGUUUUCCUUUAUUGUCCCUCUUUCUUUUCUUGUUGGUACCAAAUCCCUGAGAUGUGGAAGCCAAGUGAGCACUUUCUAUCUUUUCUUGCUUCAAUCUCUCUUCCUCUUGCACACAUUAAGCAAUAAGUUCAUUCAAAGUCCAUUUUUCCUUUUAUGUAUUGUAACUGAUUUUGAAUGGACUGAAUUAUGUAGGCAUAGAGAUCAAGACCAAGUGCACGAGUAUGUCUUUCGACAACUCUAACUUUAGUGCCUUGAGUCUCGUCACAAGAUUAGACAUUUCCAUAAUGUACUCUCUGAUAUUCUUUUUCCCUUUAUACCGCAUAGAGACAAGCUUACUAAGAAUAGUGCUUGUCUCAACCUUUUCGUUUGCAGCGAAUCAGUUUGCUAUCUGGUCCAAGAAUGCCUUAGCUUGGGUUUCCUCAGGUAUUGCACCCCUUAUUGCUUCUGGAAUUGAGUGCUUCAUAAUCAUUAGACUCAUGCGAUUGGAUCGCUCCCAUUUUUCCAUAGUAGACCUUUGCUCAACAGUGUUGGCACUAGUAAGAUCUGAAGGGCGAUCCUCCCUUAAUGCAAAGUCUAAAUCCAUGCACCCGAGCACAAUUAUAACGUGCUCUUUCCAUUUCUUGAAGUUUGUGCCAUUAAGCACAAGAAUGUUAUUAACAUUUGCAGAUAUAGAAGAUGCUGAAUUCAUAAUAAUAAAGCUCACAAUCAGUCACAUAAGCAUCAUACAUACAUGAAUAAAUAUACAUCAUGCAAGAUACCAGCACAAACAUUAAUAUUCAGUCUUUGGACAAAAAUAUUAACUUGUAAUUGGUAUCCUUAUACAAAAUUAAUUCAUAAAUAUUGACAAUAAAAUCAAACACAAUAUGUCUGUCUUUGGACUAACAUAUCAAUGCAAGAUAAACAUUAUAUGUCACAUAUUUAUGACUACUUUAUCUAUUAAAAUAAUCUUCCUUUGGGCCGAUUAUUUUAAAUAAUAAUAAUAACAUGUUUCAUACUUCAAAAUGAAUAAAAUUAUAUAAUAUAAGUCACUUUGGCAACAAAUAUAUAGAUAACCUAUUCAUUUUGAAACGUUAAACAUAAACGUAAUAAGAAAUAAUAAAUUCUAUAAAAAAAAAGAAUACAGAAAUUCAUCAAAACCAUAAAUUUAUUAUAGUACAAAAUUCAUAAAUAAACAUAAGAGUCUCAUAGCCUAGUUGGUCAAGCACAAGGUUGAAAACCUUGUGGUUGUGGGUUCGAGCCCCAUUGGUGGCCUUACUCAUUUUUCCAUUUUCUUUUUUUCUUUUUUUUUUAUAUAUCAAAAACGCCAUUCAUGGCGUUGGAGGCCGCCCCUGAAGCGCGCACCAGCCGCACCUGAAUUGGCGCUGCAAAAGUUGUCUGCAGCGGCCCAAGAUAAAUGGCGCUCGAAGUGCGCCAAAACGGCGUUGGAGAUGGCACUUUGACGGCGCCUGGACGUUGCCUGAGACGGCAUUUGGACAACGCUUCCCAGGGCGCCUGAACGGCGUCACCGUUGGUGCCUUAACGGCGUCAGAAACAACGCCUAAAGCAGCACCCUAAACCGCGCCUGAAGGCGCUGGAAUGACGCGCCUGAAACGCGCCAGUAGUGUUCUUGAAACGCACCUAAACCGCGGCCUUAAACCUCACCUGCAAUGGCCUGCCUAAUCUGCACCCAAAUGGCUCCUGAAGGCGCUGGAAUGGUGCGCCUGCAAUGGCGCCUGCAUCGUGCCUCCAAGGCACGUGAACAACGCCUCCAAAAGGCGCCUGAAUUGUGCCUUGACUGGCACCUUAACGCCAUCGGAGAGACGCCCUGAAGGGCGCUGCAUAACAACGCCUUUACGGCGCUGAAGAGGCACUUUAAUGGCAUCUGAGUGGCGCCUGCACUGACGCCUUCUCUGGUGCCUCCAAAUGCGCGUGAAACGCACUUCCAAUGGUGCUGAAUCCAAUCAAAAGGAAAAACAAAGGCAGUACAAUUUUUAUUGCCCUAAUAUACCAUUUCUAAGUGAUUCAACAUUGGGCUCUGAUACUAAUUUGUAAGAUUUCAUAUUCUAUUCAAUGAUCAUACAGGAUCGUAUGUUGAAUCACAUGAAGAAAUUAUGUCAUAAUUACUAUUAAAAAUUGUACCAACCUGAAUCCAUGUGUGAAUUUGAAGACGGUACGGAUCUUCUAAGACUAAUGGAGGGCACCACCUUUCUCUGGAUUCUCUCAGGCAAUGGGAGCGGAAGAGAGAGCGGUUCUGUUCUUUCAAAAGGAUGUAAUAGAUCCAAAAGACACAAGCCUAAGCCUUUUAUACCCUCCUGCCUUAGGGACCAUACCCAUUGGUUAUUGGGCCUCACGGGCCUUAGGCCCAUCAUCUAAAGCCCGUGAUGGCAUUGGGCUCUACACAUUAGGUGGUCCAUACUCAAGAUUAAAUCAGAAAUUGCAUGUUAAAAGAUAGCUUAAUCCUGGACAAUGUUUAAUAUAUUGUCGGUCCACAUUUAUUCUAUCAAAAAACUCUUAUGUUCUUGAUCUCACAAUCUUAUAGUGCUUCUAUUCCUUAUGAAUUUUCCAUUCAAUUUUUUGUCUUUUUUAUGUGAAUGACUUUACAGAUUCAUACCAUAGUCAUAACUUCUUACAAUGUUAGCAUAGAUUGGAAGACGUUACUAUGAUGUUGGUCAGUUUAUUGGGUUGUAACUUUAUUUAUUUCUUCAUCACAAAUAAUAACACUGAUGUUGAACUAAUUUACUAAUUGUUGUUCAUGUUGAUAUUACUAAUGCUAAUGUUAAAAGAGGGUAACAAGGAAAAAGUAAAAAAUUAUUAGUUUGGAGCCUAGUUGCAAUAAAUAAAAAUUAAUUACUUUUAAAUUUCAGGUAGGGGUUAGGGAAAAAUGCAACAGAAUGACAGGAAGACGAUAUAUUUUUUUUAAGGAAACCAAUAUUUUGGAUUUCAACUUUUCGUUCAGUUACACUUUGCUAUAGCAAAAUCAGAAUCACAGUUGUGCCUAUUGAAGUUGUCUUUUAAUUGGGUGUUCUUAGGAUGAAGUGCUACAUUUGGUUGCUAAGAAAGUAGACAAGAAAGAAAAAUGUAGGUUGGAGUUUUGGAACCUUUAGUAACCUUUAGGUACUACCUUAGUAACCUUUAAGUACUACCUUAGUGAGAAAAUAAAAGCUAAUCUUAAAUGAGAAAAACACCCAAGAGAGGGGUGAAUUAGGUUUUUCAAAAACUUUUUCAACACAACAAAUUCAAGCACAAUAGAAAUAAAUAUAAAGAGAUAGAGUGAAUUCAAACUCAUAUUUUAUAGUGGUUCGACACUUCCUUGUCUACGUCCACUCUCCUCAAUCUCUUAACCGAGUGAGGGUUUCACUAACUUGGAGCUUCAAACAAGCUUCUAAUCUCCUUUACACUUGGAUUCUGACGCCAAUGAGCUCUUAUACAAUCUCUUCAAGAUUCAACUCACUUGAAGGCUCUAACACUCAAUUUACAAGAAUGAUCUCCUCUCAACCUAGCUCAAUAAUGGCUCAAAUACAAAUCAAAGCUAAGAUAACUCACAAUGGUGCACUAAAAGAUAUGCAAGUGAAGAUUUAAUGCACUAAUAAAGAAAUGAGAGCUUUUAAGAUAAGAACAAGUGGGUAGACAAUUAAAUGCAAGUUUUCUCUAUUUCAUGAAUGAAGUGGAGCUCUCAAUUUAUAGGUUUCUAACAUCGGGAACCAAGAAAAACAAAAAGUAGUCUCAACCAAUCGAGCUGGGGUCGACUGGUUCACUAGUCGUUUGAGCAUUUAAUGCUUUGGCAGGUUACCGUUUCUCUAUGUCAUUAAUGCUUUGUCAUUUCCUAGAACACUCACUUGUUUCAUGGCAUAGUAAGAAGCAAAAUUCGGUAGCUUUGUCUACGGCAGAAGCCGAAUAUAUAGCAGCCGGUUUAUGUUGUGCACAAAUCCUUUGGAUGAAACAAACACUUAGUGAUUUCAAUUUGAUUUUUGAGCAUGUUCCUAUUAAAUGUGAUAACACUAGUGCCAUAAACAUUUCAAAAAAUCCAGUGCAACACUCUAGGACUAAGCAUAUAGAGAUUAGACACCAUUUUCUUAGAGACCAUGCACAAAAGGAUGACAUUACACUUGAAUUUGUAAGCACAAAAGAUCAACUUGCCGAUAUUUUUACAAAACCCCUAAGUGAAGAGCAAUUUAUUGAUAUUAGAAGACAACUAGGGGUGAUUUCUUUAUGAUCAAAUGAUUGCUUAAUGAAUUCUUGAUUGAAUAUACCUUAUGAUUGCGUGAAUUUCAUAUCAUAAGCAUCAUAUAGAAAUAAUCUUAGGAAAGAGGUCAAAUUUUGACCAAAAAUCAAAAUUCCCGUGACAUUGGACAUAAAAAAUUGGAGAUUUCAACUGAAAAGGGCAGUGGGAGGAUCAUGAGACAAGAAAAUGCAAAAAAUUGGACCGUUGACCGUUGACCGUUGACCGUUGACCGAUGAUCUUUGACCAAGCGAUAGACCGGUUGAGGAAUCGGUCGACCAGUUCGUCGGGGCUGGGAAUUUAAAAAGACCCCCGCGUGUUAUUUCUCUCACUAUUCUCCUUCACUCCUUGAAAACCCUUCACAUACCUGCUUCUAAAGACCAUUUUGGGUUGGAUUUUGGACUGAUUGAAGGCUUUGGAGUUGAUCUUGGAACGCUUUAGGCUAGGGUUUCAUUUUGAAAGGAUUUUCAGAUUUGGGUGCUUCUUCUCUCUGACCGCACACCUCAAGCUUGGAUUCAGCCUCAUUUCCGUGCAUUUAGGGCUUCAGGUUGGACUUCAUUCCCUCUCAUUUGGUUUCAGCCUCAUCUCCGUUCAUUUUCUCCCUUUUUCGUUCCUUUGAUGGCUCCUAGGCGAGAGACGGGCACCUCCAGGGCUCAGGGCAAGCACCCUACUGAGCCAUCUCAGCCUGAGCAGACGGAGGCUCGCCGAAAGGUGAGGUAUGACACGACCCUCUUCAGUUCUGUCAAAAAUUAUUAGCGAUACAAGCAAAAGUUCGCCUAAAGGAAAGUCAUCCUGGGGAGAAGUAUCAAUUUCUCCCAACUUUAGCACUUCGGGUUUGAGGGACUCUUCAAUAGGAUGGGAUGGCUACCAGUUGUGACGAUUUUUGAGCAGAUCUUCCCGACUCUAGUGCAGGCUUUUUAUUCACGGGUGACCUAUGGGCUUGGAGGACCGGUAUUGUCCACAGUUAAAGGAAUUGAGAUCAGAUUGAGCCCAUAGAGUAUUUGCCGCAUUCUCGAUAUUCCUUCAGUUGGACUUCGAGUUUAUGAGGCAAAAGCGUGGCCCACUAUGCCGGGAUUCGAGCCUAAAGAGGUUGUUCAGAGGUUGUGCGGACUCACAAAUGCCCAAGGGAUGGGCAAACCAUCGGCACACAGCCUGACCGUGCCCAAUCAGGUCCUUCAUCACAUGAUCUGCUCCAUCUUAUUGCCACGAGGAGGAGAUCGAGACGAGGUCUCCUACCUUGAGGCCUUCAUUGUGGACUCGAUUCUGAUUGGGAGACGGAUUCACGUAGGGUAUCUGAUGAUGAUGCAUAUGAUAUCCUGCAUUGAGAGCACGACUUGAGUACUCCCCUACGACUGUUUCCUUACCCGUGUAUUCAAGGAUACCGGGGUUGACUUGAGCAGAGAGACGGUCUUCGAGGCCCCUACUAGCUAUGACACUUAUGAUGAGCAAUCCUUGGAGCAAAUGAAGUUCGAGAAGGCACCUGAUGGCUCCUAGGUUAGGAGAGUUAAGUGAUAGGCCUGAGGACAGGGACAAAUGCAUCCCGGAGCAGAUGAAAAGGCCGAGAUCAGAGAGAUGGAGGAUGGGUUAGACCCUUAGAGGGAUUUUGAGCAGAGAGGGCUCGAGCUUGACAUUCCGCCUCCACCUCAGUCAGAAGGUAUUCAUGUUGAGGCCACUUUCUCAGAGCCUAUGAUGACUGAGUCGUCUUACACAACAGGACCAUCAUCUCAGCCAUCAUUUGUUGAGCUUCCUCACACAAAGCUACCAUCUCAGGCACCUCACACCGAUUACUACCAAAAAAUGCUAUUUUGUAGAUCUAAUUAUAAUGGUUUCAAGCACCUUUAAGUAGUAAUCAUAUUCAUUUAACCCAAUUAAUUCAUUAAGGUCCUUAGUAAUUGGUUUUAACCAUUUUGUGGCAAGUUUACAUAUUUUUAUUAGCUUAUGAACCAAUUCAAGCAUGCCAAUUGAUGGAAGAGAUAUUUGGGCGAGUUAAGCAAGGAUUUUGGACAAUUACAUGCUUGAAUUUCAAGUGGAAACACGAGCACAAGCAAUGGAGAAGAGGAAAACAGAGUGAAGAAAACAACUGCAGUCUUCUUUUGCACUUUUGAAGCACUUUCUGAAGUCCAUUUUUUUGUAUUCUAUAUACCAUUUGAAAUCUUAGGAAGUCAAGAAUCCAACGCUUCAAACCGUGUAUGAUUUGGAGCUGAAAUGAGGAAGAUAUGGCCUUCGGAAGGCAACUGGAUCAUGUCAAAUGACCAAUUUCGCAAGGAGAUUUUCUUCAUGGUGCGAAAUUUUGCCACUUCGCACCAUGAAGAAACACCUUGUGAAAUUUCGCAAGGUGGAUUUAGGCACAUUGCGAAAUUCCUUUGAAUCCCCUGUUUUGAGACGUUGUUGAUGUUAUUCCACUGCCGGUUCUCCAAGAUAUUUUGCUUGAUUUUUAGCUUUGUAAAUACCUAUUUUACCCUUGUAAUCAACCAAUGAAUAGGUUGCUUUUGUAAUAGCUCUUGUAAUUUAGCUUGUUAUUGUCUUUAAAUAGAGGUGAAGAGCCUCAGAUCAUCGAAUCUUGUAACCUGUAACUUUAUAAGUUAUAAGAGCACUUUUGUUCAUACGUUUCUUUUCUCUUUUCUUUCUCAUUUUCUUAGUAGCCAAACAUCCUUGGAGGAUGAAAUCCCCAAGGAUGAGAGGCUAAAACCUUUUAGUUUCUUGAAGUAAUGGAUGCCAUGUGAAGCUCCCGUGUCAGGAUGGAGAUUUCCAAGCCAUGAAUGUAAGUAGCUGAGCGUCAUAAAUGUUUUCAUUCAAAGUAAAGCUUUUAAUCCCUCUGACUUGCUUUGAAUGGCCAAUACUUGAUAACCUUUUGGUCUCAGUGGAUUCUUAUUGUUAGAUCCACUGAUGUUCAUUAGUUAUCUCCUACGAGCCAUUGUAUUGCAAGUCGAGGAGAUGACCUAUAUCAUUAAAAGGGCAUUUAUGAGGUUCAGCUACCCUUUUUGUAAGUUUUCAAGGACUAAAACUCAGUUGUUAAACUCAUACCGGUUCGGGAAGUAAGCAUCACCUUAGUUGCUUCCCCAACUCGAGGUGAAAAGUCCCAAAAUCUCCAUUUUUACACAGUGAGUUAAGCAUGGCUAUCCAAAGCUUUGAGAAACCUCCUUUUCCAUCUUUUAACCUAUUUUCAUGUUUGUUUAGUUUACAACACCUUCAUCUUUUUAUGUUUUCAUCUUAACCUAAUUUUUAUUAAGAAAAGUUCACUCCAUCCUCCGAACUUCAGCAGUUAAAGUAAAAACCCUUCCUAGUGUUCGAUCCUAGAGCCACUAUGCUAUAGUAGCUUUGCUACUUUAGUGUAAGGACCUUAGGUAUAAAUUUUGUUGAUACCCUUACAUGCCAAGCUACCAAGAGUCGGGUUGUCACACACUCUUGAUCAUGCGCCUUGGAUGGAUGUCUCAGCUCAGAUCAACUCCCUUGGGACACGUAUGGAAGAGCUUACUCUAGUCCAUGACACUCGCUUCUAUUCUAUGGAGGAGCACAUAGGUCAGUAUCAAACUGGCUUCACUUCUCGAUUUGAGCACUUCUAACAGAGAUUUGAGCGCAUAGAAGAGCGUAUGGAUCAACAGCAGGCUACAUUCGAGCAUCUCCAGUAGAGUAUUGAUCACAUUGAGAGUCGCCAGGCGAGUUAGCAUGAGGAGAUGAUGGCUUACCUUCGCUCUGUAUUUCCUCCUCCACCCCCUCAGCCUUGAGAUUAGCUAGAGUUCCCCCUCAAUUUCUUUUUUAUGUUGCCAAAAAGGGAGAAAUAUAUAGGAUCUAGGAGACCCUCAUGCAUAUCAUUGUCAUCAUUGUCAUAUUUAUCUUGUUUAACAUAUGUUUUCAUGUACAUGUGAAGUUACCAUAUAUAUAUGAUAUGAUAUUUUUAUGAUCCAUUGUUUCCUAUUCAAAUUUUCGUGUUUUACAUUGUUUCCUAUUAAAAAUUGUUUGAUUGAUCCAUGAUUGGUUUGAGGGGGAGAUUUUUUUCUCUCUUAGAUAACCAAGGUUUGUCAUCAUCAAAAAGGGAGAGAUUGUUAGCCCAAGGGUUCUCCUAAUCAGGUUUUGAUGAUAACAAACCAUGGUUAAGUGACUAAUUGGUUUAAUGAUUAAGAAUCUCAGGCAUAAACUCGAAAAUUCAUAAAAUGACCAAAUGGAUACAAGAUCGAGAUGCUUGGAAGACUUGUGAUCAUAGGAAACUAAUGUAAAAUGAAUGCAUGAAUGCACUUAGGAUUUUCACACAUUUCAUGCAACAUAGAAAACUCGGUUUAUUCUUUAAAACUUUGAUUUCAUUAAAACCCGAGUUUUUAACUAAUGUACCUUAGGCAAAAUAUUUUAUAAUUGGCUUAAUAAUUCACCUAAAGACCUUACCUAAGUGUUAGAAAAGAAAGGAAUUAAAAAAAAAAAAGGUUUUCGGGGUCAAAAAGGCUCAAUCGGUCGAGGCUAUGGCCAACCGGCUCAACCGAUUGAGGAACCGGUCAACCGGUUGUUCUUGUCCGGUAGAGGACCGGUCGAUGGAUGCCAAAAACUUUCUCUCUCUCCUAGUGGCCUUCUCUUCCUGAUCGAGGUGAUUCUUUUCCUGGUCGAGGACCGGUUGAGGCAACGAUAACCUGUCAUGCAUUAAAUGCUCCAACAGCUAGUGAACCGGUCAACCCCUAACUCGAUCGGACGAGGUUACCUUUUGCUGUUUUUUACUCCCGAGCUUAGAAACCUAUAAAUUGAGAGCUCCACUUCAUUUUUUUAUAAGAGAACGCUUGCAUUCAAUAGUCUACCUACCUAUUUUUGAUCAAAAAGCUCUCAUUUCUUUCAUAGUGCAUUAAAUCACCACUUGCAUAUCCUUUAGUGCACUCUUGUGUGUCAUCCUAGCUUUGUCUUGUAUUUGAGCUAUCCUUAAGCUAGGUUGAGGGAUUAUUUCUUGUAAAAAUCUUAGUGUUAAAGCCUUCAAGAGGUUUGAAUCUUGAAGAGAUUGUGUAAGAGCCCAUUGGAGCCGGAAUCCAAGUGUAAGAAGAUUAGAAGCUUAGUUGAAACUUCAAGUUAGUGGAACCCUCACUCGGUUAGGAGAUUGAGGAAAGUGGACGUAGGUAAGGAAGUGUCGAACCACUAUAAACUCGAGUUUGAAUUCUCUAACUCUAUUUUUUUAUUUUGCUUAUAUUGUGUUUGAAUUUGUUGUGAUUGAAAAGAUUUUAAAAACCCAAUUCACCCCCCCCCCCCUUUUGGGUGUUUUUCUUAAUUAAGCAUAGCCUUUGUUUUCUCAACAUUCUUAUUGUGUGUUUAUGUGUAGAUGAUUUAAUUAUCACUAGUAAUAAUUUGAAGAUGAUUGUGGAAUUCAAAGAGGUGAUGAUUAGUCGGUUUGAGAUGACAAAUUUGGGAUUGAUGCCUUAUUUUCUUGGGAUUGAAGUAAUUCAAAGUAGAUACAAGUAUCUUCCUUUUUUUAAAUAAGUAUGCAAAUGAUAUUCUUAAAAAAUUCAAGAUGGAAUCUUAUAAUCUUAUUCUAACUCAAAUUAAAGAAAGACUUAAAUCAGGAAAAAGUAAGUAUGGUGAGUUAGUUGAUCCUACUAAUUUUAGAAGAAUGAUUGAAAGUUUGUGGUAUUUGACUUCUAUAAGACCAGAUAUUAUAGUUAGAGUUGGACUUGUAAGCAUAUUUAUAGUCUCCAUGUCAGUUUCACUUGCAAGUAGUAAACCACAUAUCCUACAAUACAUUAAAAUUAUGCAAAGUGAUGGCAUUUUUUAUACAUAUUACAACAAGAUUGAGCCUAUUGGAUACACAGAUAGUGAUUGGGCAGUUUAUAUAGAAAAACAAAAAAGACCUCCGAGCUAUAUGUUUAAUCUUAGCUUAGGAGUUUUUUUCAUUUAUUUAUUUAUUUAUUUUUGUCAUCAAAUAAAUAACAAGUAGUUGUUUUUUCAGUAGUAGAAGCAUAGUAUAUUACAACCACUAGUGGUGCUACUCAAGCAAUAUCGUUCCAUCAAAUGCUUUUUGACAUAAAGCAUACUCAAGAAGUUCCCACAAAGAUUUUUGUGAUAAUAAAUCAACAAUCACAUUGACCAAAAUCUGAUUUUUUUAUGGAAGACGCAAACUUAUUAACAUCAAGGCCUAGUUUCCAUGGCCUACUUACAAAUGUAUACUAUUCCGAAUGCCUUGGUUUUCAUAUCAAAAAAAUAAUAAUUUCUUUUAAUAUUGUCCUAUCUGUGAUCUUAUCCUCCUGCUUCUAUUUUGCCAUGCUUUUUUUUUUAAUCUAUAAAAAUCUUAUAUAAUAUUUUAUAUGUAUUUGUUACAUGCAUGUCUUCCUAAUCAUUUUCAAAAGAUUACUUUUUUUAUAUAAUAUAGAAAUAUUUGGUUAAAAGGGAUGAAAUAAUUUGUAAAUUGUGAAUCUAACCCUUUUCAUGUUUUUUUCUUGAAAAGUAACCCAAUUUUAACAUAAAUGUCAUUUAUCAUUUGAAAUAUUUACAUGUAGGUUUUUAAAGAGAUGGUUAUUUUUACAAGAAAAAUAAUGAAGGCAUUUGUCCAAAUGAGGCCAAAAGAUGAUGGAAGGUCAAACUUAAAAAAUUGGGUAUUCAAAAAUCCUUUUAAUCAAAUAACCCUAUAAUAUAUUACCAAAGACUAAUAAAACACUUUUUUCUUGUUAAUUUCAAUCCAUUAAUUGACUUUUUUUUUUAAUGAAAGCGUUGCUAACAAAAGUGCUAUAAAUAAAGACAUUUUAUGGUAUUUGUUUGACAACAAAUUUUAUGAGAAUAAUUUUUUUGUAGUAAAAUAUAUUUGACCAAAAAUUUUAUUUUAUUGUAAAAGGGGGAGCUUCCACCAUAAAUUUUAUUUUGGCAAAAAGUUAUUUUUUGAUAUGUCGCCAUAAAUUGUAUUUUGUGGUGAAAAGUGACUUGUUGUCACAAAUUUUAUUUUGUAGAGAAAUUAUUUAUUUUAUUAUGAAAUUAAAUUUCAUGGUUAAAAAUAAUUGUUUAUGAACUUACAAUAAUAAAUUUGCACCAAAAUAAUUUUUUGUGGAAAAAAAUCUUUUACUAUAGAACACUUUUUUUUUUAAUUACAAAUUAAUUUACGGCAAAAUCCCAUAUUUGAGUUUCAAUGAUCUAGUUUAGGAAUUCCAUGGAUAUGACUUUCUAACUAAGGAAGUUGAAGCAUGUCCUAUUGAACAUGCAAGCUUUCUUCCAUUGCAUCAUUCGCCACAUUUUUUUUCCUUUUCCUUUUGUUUGUCUUUUUGGGUUACCGAGAAUGCCAUAAUUAGUGGGAAUAAAAGAGAGAAUAUAUGUUUGAAUUUUGUAUUGUCACAAAUGAAUGACUCAAUUCAUUGAAGGAGCUAGCAUCUUUUGGUCAUUCAACCUUUAUAUGUAACGGUGGAUGCGUGGUAAAGUUGAUAAUUCUAUUUGAUAGGUUUCUGAAUCUAGACGCUUUGUUUAACGUACAAAUUUGGAAUUUGAUUUGACCAAUUUCAUUUAAUUUUUGUAAAAAAAAUCAUAAUGAUUUAAUGCAGAGGAUGGAAGUCAGCAUGGGAAUAGUGUACUAUCUCAAAAAAGUUAUAUAUAUAUAUAUAUAUAUAUUUUGAAACUUUUACUUUUGACUCUUUAAUAUUUAAAUUUUUCUUUUGUUUUUUUCUUUUUAAAGUUCAUACAUUUUGAGGAUCGUAUUAUUCACUUUAAUAGUUAAAAAUCAUUAGCAUGCCAAAAGGCACCAACUUUUACUUUUUUUUUUUUUUUUUUUGAAGUUUAUACAUUUUUAGUAUGGAAUUAUUCACUUCAUUAGUCAAAAAGCUUAUCAUCCAUCAUGAUUAAUUUUAUUUUAUUUUUUAAAUAUGCACUUUUUUGUUUUUUGUUUUUUUUUUAUAUGUUGGCUUCAUAAAAUUUUUUAAUUUCAUUUUUUGCCACAAAUUUUCAUAUUUAUUGAUUUUAAUUAUUUAUGAACAUUUUAAACAUAAAAUAAUAAUAUAUAAUAAAUCAUUAAUGGGAACAAAUUUAAUAUAAAAAUAAAUACAUAACAACACAUUUAGAGAUUUAAGACAUAAGAUUUUUUAUAUUCCUAAAAAAAUUAUUUAUUUUAUAAAUCUUAUUACAUUGUCAUAUUAUUUUAUUGUUUGUAUUUUUUAAUAUUUUAAAAUUUUUUUAUGAAAAUCUGAAUCGAUGAUUAUGAUUUUAAUAUUUUACUUGUAAAUUUAACUUGACUACGGUUUUAACUUAUAUAUAUUAAAAUGUUUAAUAUUUUUAAUUAAAAAUGAUAAAAACCUGGUUGUGAUUUUAACUUUUAACAUUUUGCUUUGCCAAAAUUUAAAAUUAUUUAUUUAUAUAAAAUAAAAAUAAAAUAAAAUAUAUUUUUAAUUAAAAAGAUGUAUUUAAUCUUGGUGGACACCGAUUCAAUUGAAAUUACUCAUAACAGUGAUAAAAACAAUCCUCUGAGGAUUGCUUUUUCCAAAUGUCAAAUUCUCAUAGUCAUGACCAUUGCUAAUUGGAAUAAAAAACCCUUCACUUGCAAGGCUUUUAGUCAACCUUUUCAUCCCAUGAGCUACGAUUACAUAGAUUAUAUGGAUGCUUGGUAUAAUAUGUUUCAUUUACAAAGCUAUCAACAUUCUUGGUUCAUCCAAUUUUCAAGAAAUUGCAAUACCAAAUUUCCUACUUGGUUUCAAAAAUGGUGGACUUUCUUUGGUCUACUAGACUCCUUAUUUCCUCCCGAAAUUCAAGAAAAAUUCAACUUCUAUAAGAGUAAGACUUCAUCUCAGUCUAUCACUCAGCCUAGACUCCUGACUUUCUGUUCAAGAUUAAGAAUUCCAUGAAUUCUCUCAUGGAAUAUUAUCAAGAAGCAAGAGCAACCUCCUCCAUUUCCAUUAUCUCUUUCUAGAGAAUUCAGCAUCAAAUGGUGGGACAAAUUCAAUCAUGAUUUUGUAUGUCAACAGAAGAUUUUGCAAUUAAUUUCAAUAAGGCCAGGAUCAUCAAAUUCAAAAGAUUCAACUAGUUCCUCUCAAGGGUCGACUCAAGAAGAAUUCCUAACUUUGAAAAGCAAAUGUCAAGCUUCAGUAGCAGCCGCUAUUGAUUUAGAGCAAUAUCGUCAAUGACUCAUUCAAACCCUCAAACAGUUUGGAGAUCAAGAAAAUGAAGAAAUUGAAGGUACAGUUUUAUCAGAUUUUCAAUAAAUAAAAAAAUAGGUUAAAAGUCUUGAAUAGUAGAAUUUGUCUACUUUUGUCUACUACUUUACUUUGCAAGCAACGUGGAGAAUGGGAAAGCAAAGAGAAUUUUUUCUAUUGCUUUUCUUGAAGUUAAUGUUGCAAUUCUUUUAAGGGGUUUCCUAUAUUUGAAAAACCAAAGGAAAAAAGGAAUAGUUAUCCUAACUUGUUGCAUAUAUUUUUCAUAUUGUUUUCUUAAAGCAUUUCUAACUUGAGGAGGAAGUUGUUGAAAAUAAUUUCUUUUUGUAGUAUUUUCAGGAGAAAAAUAAUUUGCUUUGAUCAAUUCUACUUCAAGAGCAAAAGGAUUUCUUUUAAUAUUUCUUUUUCUAAUGAUAUUUAUGUUUAAAGGAGGUUCAUCAUGAGAGAGAACAAUUGACUCGGACUCUUCUUUAAAAAGAGGAAUUUCUGGAACAAAGUUUGACAUAUUUUUUAGUUGAUUUUCUAUUUGACUCAUUUCUUCAUCUAAUUUUGAAAAAUUAAAUUUUAUGUGGUGACUAUAAAAUGAUGCAGAUGAUGAUGCAGCUAAUGAUGCAGGUGAUGAUGCAAUAAAGCUGAUUAUCUUAUAUGAAGACCUUUCUAAAUCAUAUGUAGAAUUAUUUAAUGCAGAUGUAGAACUAUCAUGGGACUUAAGAGAUCUGGAAGAAUUAGUUCUACUUAAUUCCCUAAUAAAUUACUCAUUGUCACAGAAAAUAAUCAUAAUUUUAUUCUUAAUCAAUUCAAAUAAUUUCCUGAACAGGGACCACCACAAGCCGAUCAACAUGGGACUUACGCUCCUUCUGCCCUUAAACACCGCUACCACAGGCUAACCAAUCUGUUCACAGGAAAUUCAACCCGAACUAAGUCAGGACUAAAUCUGUGAUUAAUUACUAUUCCAACUCGUAACACCACUCGGUUCUCAAGUAGAACGUGUCUCUGAUACCAUUUGUACUCAGGACAUACAACAGUUCAUUCACGCAAUAAUUAAUUCUGUCUAAUGAACUCCAAGCAUAAAAAUAGAAAUAUUUAAUGUCUAGUUCUGUCUAAUUUAUUGCAGAAAUUUAAACAUAAAAAAAAAUUGUUAGAGUAACAAAACUCAAAUCCAGAUGAGUCAAGUAAAAAAUCAAAAAAAGAGUCAAGUAAAACAAAAUUUAAUCAAAUUUUGUUUUCUUCUGCCCCGGGAGAGGUGGAAGAAUCAAAUAUAGAAGAAAAAACAAUAAAAGAAAUUAAUGAAAUACAAAAAAUAGAAAAUAAAGAAAAAACAAAAACAAUAAAUGUAAUAUCUUCAAAAGUAGAUAAGCAAAUUUUUUUUAUGUUGUAGAUAUGAAGAAACACAAAGAAACUAUUUUAAAAAAAUUUUAAAUUUAAUUCUCAAUGAAGAUUCAAAUUAAACCUACCCAAUAUUCAAUGGAUGAAAUUUAUAAUAGAUUCAAAAAGACUCAAAGGCCUACAACCAUUAGAGACUUGGAAGAAGAAAUAAAAGAAAUAAAAAUUCAAAUAAAUCAAUUAAAAUUAGAAAAUGAACAAAUAAAACUAUAAAACAAAAUAAUAAAAAUAAGAAAAUGAACAAAUAAAACAAGAUUUUGCUGAAACAUCUAAUAAUCAAAAUAAUACCUAAUAAACAAACUCCUAUACCAUCAUUUAUAAAUAAAAUAACAAAAAUAGAUUUUCAAAUAUGGUAUACAAAUAUAAAACUCAUAGUAGAUGAUUUUGAAAUGGAAAUAGUAGCAUUAAUAGACUUAGGAGCUAAUAUGAAUUAUAUUCAAGAAGGAUUAAUUCCUAUUAAAUAUUAUGAACAAACUAGACAAUAACUUUUUGCUGCAAAUAAAGGAAAAUUAGAAAUAGAAUUUAAACUUCAAAAUGUUCAUUUAUGUCAAAAUAAUUAUUGUUUUAGAACUUAAUUUAUAUUAGUACAAAAUAUGACUGAACCUUUAAUCUUAGGAACCCCUUUUAUUACAUUACUUUACCCUUUUCAAGUAAAUGAUGAAGGUGUAAAAACUACAAUAUUAGGAAACACUAUAUUUUUCCCUUUUAUAUAUCCAUUAACUAAAAAGAAAUACAUCAAGUCCAAAGUGAUUCAAUAAAUAAAAUAAUAAAUUUAAUUCAAAGAAAACAAGCUCAUAUAAAUUAUCUAUUAAAAGAAAUUCAAUAUAAAAAGAUAGAAGAACAACUUAUAGAAGAAAAGAUUCAACAGAGAAUAAAAAAAAUCUGUUCUGAUCUUCCAAAUGUUUUUUGGUUCAGAAAGAAACAUGAGAUAAGUUUGUCUUACAUUCAAAGUUUUGAUGAAUCUAAAAUUCCUACUAAGGCUAGACCUAUUCAAAUGAAUGAAAAACUUUUAGAAUAUUGUAAACAAGAAAUUGAUUCAUUAUUAAAAAAGAAAUUAUUCAGACCCUCAAAAUCUCCUUGGAGUUGUACCGCUUUUUAUGUACAAAAUGUUGCUAAGAUAGAAAGAGGAGCACCAAGAUUAGUCAUUAAUUAUAAACCUUUAAAUAAAGUAUUACAAUGGAUAAGAUACCCUAUUCCUAAUAAGCAAGAUCUACUCAAAAGUCUACAUAGUUCUGUAAUUUAUUCAAAAUUUGAUAUGAAAUAUAGAUUCUGACAAAUUCAAAUUAAAAAAGAAGAUAGAUAUAAAACUGCUUUUACUAUCCCUUUUGGUCAUUAUGAAUGGAACAUCAUGCCUUUUGGUCUCAAAAAUGCCCCUUCUGAAUUUGAAAAUAUUAUGAAUGAUAUUUUCAAUCCUCAUUUUCAAUUUAUAAUUGCAUACAUUGAUGAUGUUUUAGUAUUUUCUAAUUCAUUAGAAAAACAUUUUAUUCAUCUAAAGAAAUUUUUUAAUGUCAUUAAAGCAAAUGGAAUGGCUUGUUAUGCUCCAAAUAUGAAAUUAUUUCAAACAAAAAUUAGAUUUUUAGGACAUGAAAUUUUUCAAGGAAAAACAAAACCGAUUCAAAGGUCAAUAGAAUUUUUUGACAAAUUUCCCAAUGAAAUAAAAGAUAAAAAACAAUUGUAAAGAUUUCUAUGUUGUUUAAAUUAUGUUUCUGAUUACUUCAAAAAUUUGAAAAUUAUUUAUGAACCCUUAUACAAAAGACUUAGAAAAAAUGCACCUGCAUGGACUGAACAUCAUACUAGUUUAGUCAAAGAAAUUAAACAAAUGGUAUGUAUCACUCUUUUAUAAAUAAAAAAUAACAUUAAAAUAUAUUAAUAGUACUACUUGAUAUAAAUGAUGUACUAUUUUUCUUUUUCUUUUUUAUAGAAAAAAAUGAUAUCACUCUUUUAUGAAAUAAGUAAUACUAAAAUGUAUUAAAAGUACCAUUAUUAGUGGGAAUGAUAUAUAAUUUUUCUUUAGUUUAUGGUAAGAUAUGCAAAAAAUUUAUUUUUUAAUAAAAUUAAGAGAAAAUUAAUAUAAAUGACUAAAUACAAAUUCUUUAUGAAAAAUAUAUUUUUAAUUUUUAUUUUAUAUAAUAAAAAAUUGAACCACAAUCAAGUUUUUAUCUUUUUUAAUUAAAAAUAUUAAACAUUUGAACAAAAAAAAGUUAAAACCAUAACAAAUUUGCUUAUCUUUAAAUAAAAAGUUAAAUAUGUUUAUUAUGUAUUUAUUUUUAUAUUCAUUUUUUUCAUUAAUUAUUUAUUAUAUGUUAUUAUUAUUAUUUUAUACAUUAAAGUGUUCAUAAAUAAUUAAAAUAAAAAAAUAAAAGACUAAAAAAAUGAAAUUAAAAAUAUUUUAUAAGAAUGUGUAACUAGAAUAUUAUAAAAAGUCAAAAGGUAAAAAUAAAGAAAGAUGACAAAAAAAAAAACAAAAAUAAUAUUACAUGUUGAUAGGUCAUAUAUGAAAUUAAAAAAAAAAAAAAAUUGAUAAACAUGAUUGAAAAAAAAAAAAAAGACAAAAAAAUUCUGUGGCGAUUGUCAUAUGUUAAUUUUUUUUAAAAAUUGAAAAUUUAAAAAAAAAUAUAUAUAUGAAAAAAGAAAGAGGAAUGGUAGUUCACGGCUAGUUUCGGAAGAGAGAAAAGGUCAAAAAGGAUGUUGAAAUUUUUUUCAUGUUACGCAUGUUUACCAAAUUAUUUAAUUGCAAGCUAAGUCACUAUCAGCAUUCUGUUGUCAUUUUCUUGUCACUGUAUAUCCUUCGUUGGUUCGAGGAGUGGCUUGCGAUACAUCUACAUAUACCUUUUAUUAAAUUUUUAUGUUAAAAAUAAUAUCUGAGGAGUGAGGACAAUGAUUUUAGAUUAAAAUCAAAAUUUGACAAAAUGUCAGUGGGGACUUGGGAAAAACAGUGCCCUGUGCUAUAAAAUCCAAGUUUCUUGCUGCUAUUUUUCACUCAGACGCACGCUUACAAGGCUGCUUCUCUUCCAUUCCUCACUCUGGCAUACAAAGAGACAUAGAAUUAGUUAGCAUUCAUGGGUGGUGGAGAUUUCACAGUAACAGUGAGCAGGAAGGAAGUAGUGGCAGCUGUACUGCCUGUGCAGGAGUAUUGGCUGCCACUAUCUAACCUGGACUUGCUUUUGCCUCCAGUAGAUGUGGGGGUGUUUUUCUGUUACAAGAAGCCACAUGAUUUAACAUUUGGGUCCAUGAUUGGCGUUCUGAAGGAGGCGUUGGCCCAAGCACUGGUGUCCUAUUAUCCAUUUGGAGGAGAAGUUUUGAGUAACUCAGCGGGUGAGCCCGAGCUCCUUUGCAACAAUCGUGGGGUUGAUUUCAUGGAAGCUUAUGCGGAUGUACAACUACAAAACCUCAACUUGUAUAACCCUGAUGAAAGCAUUGAGAGCAAGCUUGUCCCUAAGAAGAAACAUGGCGUUCUGUCAGUCCAGGUAACUCUCUCUCUUUCUCUAUGAUAUGCUAAUCCUAAUUAGUUGUAAUCAUGACAUGCUUAUUGUUUUGUAAAUCAACUAAUGACAGGUGACUGAGCUCAAAUGUGGCGGAGUUGUGGUGGCCUGUACAUUCGAUCAUAGGAUAGCAGACGCAUAUUCUGCCAAUAUGUUUCUAGUUUCAUGGGCUGAAAUGGCUCAGUCCAAACCAUUAUCAGUACUACCAUCUUUCCGGCGCUCUCUCCUCAACGCUCGACGUCCGGGCUCCUAUGAUCCUUCCCUUGACGACAUGUACGUCCCCAUGUCAGCCUUACCUCCUCCCAAAGCUCCACAGUCUGGUGAUGAUCUUCUCAUAAACCGCCUUUACUAUGUCACAGCCGAACAGCUCAGUCUACUCCAAUCACUAGCUACCAGCAAGAGUAGCUCCUGCAAGAGGACUAAACUAGAGUCUCUCAGUGCUUUUCUGUGGAAGAUGGUGGCCAAAAGUGCAGUCACGGAAAACGCAAACCAAAAAAUAUGCAGGAUGGGCACCGUGGUGGAUGGAAGAAAGAGACUGAGCAGUGGAGACGAGGUUAAAGCAGCAAUGAUGGCCUCUUACUUCGGAAAUGUGCUGUCCAUCCCCUUUGGUAAGAAGACAAUAAAUGAACUGAAAGAGAAACCGUUGAGCUGGGUGGCAGAUGCAAUUCAUGAGUACCUGGAAGGAGCAGUAACAAAGGAGCAUUUCCUGGGGCUGAUAGAUUGGGUGGAGGCUCACCGUCCGGAGCCAGCUUUAGCGAAGAUAUACAGCAGUGGCAGUCGCGAUGGACCAGCAUUUGUGGUGUCAUCAGGGCAGAGAUUCCCAGCGUCAAGGGUGGAUUUCGGGUGGGGUAUGCCUGCUCUGGGGUCAUACCAUUUUCCAUGGGGUGGGGAAGCUGGGUACGUGAUGCCAAUGCCGAGUCCUGUCAGAGAUGGAGACUGGGUGGUGUACAUGCACCUCUCCGUGGGGCAGGUAGAGUGGAUUGAGACUGAGGCUGCUCACAUCUUUAGGCCCUUAAGUUCUGAAUAUCUCAACUUGAGCAACUCAGAUUAGCUUACAUUUAUCACUUCCUAUUUGUUCACUGCCCCCACAAUGUUUGUUAUUGUCUCCAUCUCUAUUUGCUGAUGGUCAUCCGCUUAAUGUUAAAUAUCCGUUUAAGAAGAAGCCCGCCUGAUUUAGAAACCCCGAUUUUUUGUGGCUUGUCUAUUCCAAUUUCCAACCUCGUUAAUUUUCCUCCUCUAUACAAAAUUCUCUAUGAACAUAAAUAAUACAUUAAUUGUGGGAUUAGUUUUGACAAAUAGGAAGUAUUUGGAAUUAAUUUAUGGAGUUAAGUCCGACUAAUAAAAAAGACGUAACCCAAGUGGUAUUUUUAAUACAAAAAAACAUUUUAUAAAUAUCUUAAUUUAAAAAAAUAAAAAUAAAUUGUUAUUAAUAAAAGAUUUACUAAAUCAUAAAGAAUAUAACUAUUUCCAAGUAACAAGUCUUUUGUACGUGCUUAAAAAGUGAGACAGAUAUGAACCUAAUAAAGUACGAUUUUUUUUAAUAAAUUAAACAGAAUUUUUUAAACAAAGUGAAAAAUUAAAAAUCAAAAAAUCAAAAUGAGUGUAGGUUUCUGCAGUUGCUGCAUUCUAGUUGAUGUGUGAUAAAAGGUUUGUCCACAAACCAUGCAGAUCCAGACAGCUAUUUACAAAGGGUAGGUCAAAAAACUUGUCAAACCCAUGUGCCAGGGCCAAUAAUCUCACUCUCUAGUCAGAUAUAGUGAGCACUGAGCAGUACAAAAAGUCAGUUUCAUGAGUCUUUUAACUCUUUAUGCCCCAUGUGCAUUCAUUUUUAUAUGCUUAGAGUUUUGUCGAAAUGCUUUGGAGGGUUUUGGCCUUUGAAAUAAUCUAAUUUCUCCUUCCCCAAUUAUUAUUGAUAUUCAAAUUUUCUGGUGGCAGAACUAAUGCUUUUAUAAAUAACAAAUGAGCACUCACUCGGUUCAAUAAAAGAAUAUAUCAUCAUUAAAUAAGGUUAGGUAAAAACUUAUCAAACCCAUGUUCCAAUGCAAAUAUAUAAUCUCACAGGGAAUCAAUUUGGUGGGUCUUGAUGGCCAUGUGCAUUCAUUUUCAUAUGAUUGGAGUUUUGUCUAAAUAUUUUUGGAGGGGGUUUGGCCUUCGAAAUAUUCUAAUUUCUCCUUUACCAACUGUUUUGUAUAUUAAGUUUUUCUGGUGGCAGAAUUAAUUCUUUUAUAAAUAACAAAUGAGCACAUGCAACAGUCAAUUCAAUAGAAGAAUCAGCAUUAUAAAAUAAAACACAUAUACUUAUUCAUUGAGUGUUACAAAAUAACGAGGAUAGACAAUAAGAAAAAAAAAACUCAUAAUAAGAACAUAUAGAUUUAUAUGAAAAACCCUAGAUCUAAUAAGUCACCAACAUAGGAGAAGAAAAUCCAUUAUGUGAAAAAUUGGUACAAAAUGGGGAGAAAUGUGAGUGGCUACAACAAAAUCAUAAACAUCAUAGCCUUUCAAAAUUAUACAUCAUCGCAUAUAAAUAAAUAAAUAAAUAUACCACAGACCCCAAAAAAAUCUCAUAAUUUUAGUUUUAUCACAUAAUGUUGCACCACGAACUUUUGAGGUUGGACCAAAUAGAGUUCGGGUCAUCAAACUCUAACAUUGAUAAUUUUUUAUAUGUUAUGAUUUGAGUAUAUAUAUAUCCUAUAAGUAUGGUUUGAAAUAUCAAUAAAUAUGGAUAUAUCGGUAUUUGAAUUUUAUGAAUAUAUCGAAAAUAUUGAUAGAUAUUUUGACAAAAAUAUCAGUCAUGUGAAAAUUAUUCAAAAUUCAUGAAAAUAUUAGAAAAAAAACCUCCAAAAAAAUAAUAAAUGAGUAAAAAUAUACAUGUUAAAGUUAUUUUAUAAGUAUAAUUGACAUAAAUAUGAUUAAAGAGAAAAAUAUUAGUAAGGAAUAAUAUAUUGAUCUUAAUAUAUAAUUUAUUAUAUAUCUUAUUAAAUUAAUUUUAAUUUAUAAAAUAUUAGAACUCCAUUAUUUUUUUAUAUUUUAGUAUUUUUUUUAAUAAUUUUAUAUUUUUAAUAGUUUAAAAUAAAGACAUUUAAAAUUAAAAUGAUAAAUAUAAAAAAUUUAAAAGUGAAGUAAUAAUAAUUUUUUAAAAUAGGAUUAAUGAGAUAAAUAAUGAUAUAUUAAAUAUUAAACUAUAAUUUAUUUAAUUCAAAUACAUUGAAUCAUAUAGAAUAAAUGAUGAAACAUAUAUGAUUUUUUAAUAUUUAAUUUUUUUAUAUUCAAUUAUCUAUAAAAGAUAUAAAAAAAAGACUUGCUAAGAAAAUUAUAAGAUUCCACAAAAAUCCCAUAUCCGAUAGGCAAAAUAAGUAUAUUAUUUCUCGGGGUAAGGAAAUUUUUUAAUUUAAUUUAUGAAAAAAUAAAAUAUGUUUUAAUUAUCGGAGCUGGAACCAAUAGUGACUUAUAGGCUAUCUCUAUGUAUGAGUGUAUGAUUAAAGCCCAUCUGUUCAGACCGGAGCGCCAACAUAUGGAAAAGAUGGGAUGAUUCUCAAUCUGCCAGCAUAAAAAUUGGGAGUUUAAGACCAAAAUAAUAUAUUUGUAAAAAAAAUUGAUAAGAAUAGUAUCCAUUUGAAAAUAUUUGUCAAAGUAGUCUUCUUUAUCCACAUAAGCAUCCAUAUGGAUUUUAAGUGUAAAGAACCACCGUUGGUGACUGUGGUUUUAGAACUUACAAAAAUUUUCUUAAAACCACAGUUAUAGACUGUGAUUUUACAAUUUCUCUUAGAACCACAGUUACUAACUGCGGUUUUAAAAGAAGUUUCCUUAAAACCACAGUUACAAACUAUGGUUUUAUAAUUUCCUAACUUUACAAUUAUUUUUAAUUCGUUCCCAUUUUAAUGGUGUUAUAAUUUUAAUAUUAUUUUUAAAAUAUUUUUUUUAUCAAAACAACCAUAAAACCACAGUUAGUAACUGUGGUUUUACUAAUGGUGUUGUAAUUCAAAUUAGUAAUGUUAUGUUAUUCACAUAUUUCCUUUAUAAUUUAAACAAAUAAAACUCAAAUGCAUCCUAAAGUCUAAAUGAAAGAAAUUCUAACUAAAUAAAUUAUUACAACCAUUACCUAUUUUUCUUUCAUAUAAUUAAAAAAUUAUACAUUUUAACCAAGACAUAAGUUCAAAUCAUACUUAAUAAUAAAUAACCUAAAAUCAUAAUCACCGGCAGUAAUUUUCAUAUGAAAAGAUAAAAUUUUAAAAUAAUAUAAACAAUUUCUUUAGUUAUUUUAAAAUUUAAAAAUAAUAUGAAUAAAUAAUUUUCUUUAGUUCAUAUGUGAAAAUAUUUGUAAAACAAAUAAAUAUUUUAUUUACUAUAAAUAUAUAAAUUUUUAUGGGAAUGCAUGUAGACCAAAUUAUUUUCUCAAAAUUUCAAGGAAAAUAUGAAAAAAUAAAGAUAAUAUAUAUAUAUAUAUAUAUAUAUAUAUAUAUAUAUAUAUAUAUAUAUAUAUAUAUAUAUAUAUAUAUUUUUCUAAACAGUCGUAACAAAAAAAUUUGUGAAAAGCAAAGUUCUAAAAUCCCAUACUUUUUUAUACAUGAGUCCCCUUAAAAAUAUUUGUGAAAAUUACAACAUAAUUGUAAUUUUGAUAAAAAAAUAUUUUAAAAAUAAUAUUAAAAUUACAACACCAUUAAAAUAUAUGCGGAUUGAAAAUAAUUGUAAAACCACAGUUACUAAGUGUGGUUUUAUGGGUAUUUUGAUAAAAAAAAUAUUUUAAAAAUAAUAUUAAAAUUACAACACCAUUAAAAUAGAUGUGGAUUGAAAAUAAUUGUAAAACCACAGUUACUAACUAUGGUUUUAUAGUUAUUUUGAUAAAAAUUAUUUUAAAAAUAAUAUUAAAAUUAUAACACCAUUAAAAUAAGGACGGAUUAAAAAUAAUUGUAAAACCACAGUUACUAACUGUGGUUUUAAGGAAACUUCUUUUAAAACUGCAGUUAGUAACUGUGGUUCUAAGAGAAAUUGUAAAACCACAGUUUGUAACUGUGGUUUUAAGGAAAUUUUUGUAAGUACUAAAACCACAGUCACCAACGGUGGUUCUUUACACUUAAAAUCCAUGUGGAUGCUUACGUGGAUAAAGAAGACUACUUUGACAAAUAUUUUCAAAUGGAUACUAUUCUUAUAAUUUUUUUUUACAAAUAUAUUAUUUUGGUCUUAAACUCAAAAAUUGGUGCGUAAGCCAACCUAAUGACUAACGGGGUUGCUACCACCUAAGCCCCAUUGGCUUGGUUUGCUUGUUCCAAAUCAUCAUCAGUGGACUUGAAGAGGACCAGUACCACUAACACAGAAGAAUAGACAACCUUAACUCUGCGCAACUUCUACUACGGGAAAGUAAUGUGUUUAACUAAAGAUGGCAGUGUAACCAGAAAUUAAAUUUCAAAUCAUGUCUCUGCAAUGAAGACAGCACACUGACACAUAGACACAGUCACUAUCGCUACCAUAAUCACACUAGUUGUGGGGUUACUUUCUUUUGUCAAUAGGGACGAAGGAUAUACUAGCCACUCGCAUAAAUAAAUAUCUAUAGAAGGAUGGGAAAAACUGAAUGAACUAGCCCUUAGGUUGCCUUAGCAAUGGCUUGGCAGCCUCAUUCUCAUUCCUGAUGCUUUUGAAUGCAUCAGAAGGGAUUAGUUGAGUGAGAUGGACAAGUGGAUAAUAAAAAAUUAAGAAAUAACUGAGAGAAUUCAUCCAGGAAUAACUUUAUAUGCAUACAUGUUAAAAUACUAUUUUGAGUAUUAGAAAAAAUAAGGAUUGCAAGAGGAACUUUCUCAAAUUUUUAAUCUAAAUGGGGGCAAAUAUAAGAAGGUUAUACCAAUGUUUUCAGAAUCAGAUCGAUCAUUGAAUCAGAAAAGCUAUUAGUUCAUGGUUCACUAGUCGGACCGACAGUCGAACCGCGGUUGAAUCAGUGACGUCAUAAAUAUAUAUUUUAUUAUUUUAUAUAUUAUUAAAAAUUAAUAAAUUAAUAAAUUCUAUCUAAAUUUUGAUAACAUCUACUUUGUUUGUUGAGUUUUUCCACAAAAAUUUUUACUUUUAGAAUUCAUCAAUCAUCAUGUAUGAUAUCUAUAACAUAAUAUAAGAUGUUAUAACAAUUUUAUAUGAAAGAAAAAUAUAUAAUAUAUCAAAUUGUUUAAUCAAACAUAAAAAAUAAUAAUAAAAAAUUUUAAUUUAAUUUAUUGAAGAAAUGAAAGAUAUGUUAGGAUAGGAAGAAAAUUUUAAUAUUUAAUCUCAAUAAAAUUUAAAUUUGUUUAAAUAACUAAUAUAAGUGAGUGAUGAAUAUUUUUGUCUAAUAAUUAUUUAUAAUCUAAUAAUUAAGUGUUUUAAAAAAUAUAAUUUAAUUUAUUAAAGAAAUAAAAAAUAUGUUUGUAAAAAAAGAAAUAAUUAAUAAUAAAUAUUAAAUAGAUUUUAUUUAUUUUCUCACAACAUAAUCAAAUAUAAUUUAAAAUACUUCAAAUUUGUUAUUUAAAAAAAAAAAAACUGAUUUUUGGGAGAGUUGCAAACAGAGCCCAAUCGUCCUCCGUCUAGUUCUGAAUCCAAAAUCCGAAAACACUCCAUUGAUGAUUUCCUACCAAAAUCAAACUUAAAAAAAUAAAAAUAAAGUAGACUCCAUGGUUGGGAUUGAUAAACAAUAUUGGUGGAUUAUGGGUGGCGAAAACCAAGUUUUUGAGCAGGCGCUGGUUAUGUUCCUGGAUGAGACGUUGGACCGCUAGCAGAUGGUCAUCGAUCAUGUGAUGAAAGAUAGUUGAACCAUUGUAAGGUCUUCGAUCUUGAGAACGGAAGGGAGUCGUGCUAGUUGAAUCUAUAGGUUUUGUGGUCGCCGAUAACGUCACGGUCUACGGUUAGGCUUCAUUGGUCUCUGACAAUGUUUGAGACCAUAACUCCGGGCCGUGGGGUUUAGAGGAAAAAACAGAUUCCUAGGAACUGUCAUCGGGUUCAGAUGAAGAAGCAGAAGUUGGAGAUCGUCAAGGGGAGCUGAAUGCACAAUUUGAGAGGUCUAUUGUUUUACAAGGGGUACCUAGUAGGAAUGGCAAUUUCGCGGGUUUCUCGGGUCACCCGUCCCGACCCGCCCCUAUUGGGACGGGUAUAGGAACAUGGCAAUCAGGGAUGGGCCGGGUUCAGGCUUUAUUAAAAAACCCGAAUCGGGUUCGGGGCGGGGUUGGGUGUAGUUAUAAUUUGACUUGCCCCGCCCCGCACCGAAUAUGAAAUUACAACUUUACCCUCCACUUAUAAAUAUUAGCUUCCUCUCCUCAUUGUAGGUCUUCUUCUCUCAGUUCUCGUUCCUGUUGACGCUAGGGUUUUUCCUCCCACUCAAUGGAGAAAUCCAUCAGAUAAUCCAUUUGAUUCAUCCUUGUUUAUCCCAUAUUCACAAGAAAUCAAGAAUCACAACUAUUAUUUUCACGUAUCUACAAACCGAUAAGAUUUUUUGUUGAUUUUUUGGUUGAAUGAUGCCUUGAUUUGGCAUUGUAGUCCGUUUCUAAUUUGGGAAAGAGAUACGAGAUUUGGGAUUUUUCCAUUUCCAGUUUCAGAUUAUUGAAAGAUUUUUUUUUCUAUUAGUUUUCGGGUUGCUAUUUAGGGUUUUGAAUCCGUUUCUUGCGAAUCUUAAUAGGAACUAAGCAGAUCUUAUCGUCAAAUGCUUCCACUCCCUUCAUAUUGAGAAACAGAUCUUAUCGUCAAAUUUUUCUAGGGUUUCAUAUUAAUAGCAGAAUAACGAAGUACAUAAGUAUCCCUAAAUACCAAAUAUGCAGUUAUUCAUUGAAGUUCUUAGCUUAACUCUUUUGGGCAUCUAGUUGUGAACAAAACUAGAGCAUCCAAAAAUUUGAAGCUAUGAUAUGAUAUGUCAUGACAUGGAUGAAAGCAUUGAGUGGUUGUUUCAGAAGGAUAAAAAUUUCUGCAUCUAGUAUUUGCUAUUAUUUUUCUAUUAGUAGGAUUCUGGUAGUUUGAUAGACUUAUGAAAUAGCUUUGUGCUCCACAUGAUACUCACUCCUGCCAUAACACCUAGGAAUGAUUCUUGGAAUGUUAGUCAUCUCAAAGUACGCUCCAAAAGUUUUAUAUUAUGCAAAACAUAAAAGGAAGCAAAUCUAUGUGCAUUUUUGUGCAAUUUUGAAUUUUAAAGCUCUCACUGAUCUACUUUUGUAACAGUGACUAAUUUAUAUUCAACUAGUCCAUAUUUUCUUUUUCCAAGAUCAUAACCACACCUUUUGGAACAUGGACUAAGGCAUUGCAAUUGCUCAAAGAAACUUUAUUCUACAUACUCAACUACUAAACCACUCAAACUGUUCUCCAAAUACUCGUGACUUAAAAUGAGGGGGAAAAAAUUCAAGUGAUGUCAUUGAAGGAAAAGGAAAGAAAGAACAUGAAACAAACCGGAUACUUCUUGGCAAAAAAGAUAAGAUUCUCCAAUGAUAUAAAUCUGCCACCCCUAAAAUGUGUUUGACCAAAUUCACAUUAAUACACAUGAACAUGAGAGAAGUAUGUAAAUACCAGAUGUUUAUAUAUAGUCCUCUACCCACUUAAAAUCUGUUGAAGGAUCAAUACCUUGCCAACCCAUCUCCUUCCAGAGCUCUGACUUAAGAGAGGGGAGCUCCCUGCCAGGAUAAGCUAAGCUCCAAAGUUCUCUAAGUGCAUCCUGCAAACCAAUUGAUAAAUUCAUUAAACUUGAGAAUAAGGAAAAAGAAUCAUGUUUUCUCUAACUAGUGCUUCUUUUCCCUCUGAACAUCUACUAUGCAUUCCAUCAAUGAACCCAUUUCUAGUGCGUAUCACACUAAGAUACAAUCUAAUGACACUAAUAUUCAUGUGCUUUUUACUAGUAACUAUUACAAAUGAGUCAUUUGCCCUUGUUUAAUUUUUAUGAAACUGUCACUUUUGCUUCCAUGUUAAAUCCUGUUCAAUAUUUUUCAGCUGUAUGUGUUUUGUGCUAGUGGUCUCCAUAUUGUUCCAUUUAAUAUAGAAUUAUUCUUCCCUAAAAUUCUUUUGUCUUUAAAGAAUUUGAUUUGCAAAUUUUGUCCGUUAAUAGUUUUGAUAUUGGUUAAAUAUUCCUAAUUUCAAGGUUUUGUUUUGUUUUCUGGUUAUUACUUUUUAGAAUAUUCUUUGUUUGCUUUUGUUUGCUUUGUUUUCUGUUUUUUUUUUCUUAUUUUCUUCUCACUUCCUGUGGGCUGUCCAUAUAAACUGCAUGUGUCUUUCGGUUGCACUGCCCUCGAUGCUUUUCUAUUACAUUUAUUUUCCUAUUAAUGGAAACUAUGUUGACAUUUUGCAAUUCUUGGAGGUUAACCUAAAUACAAUCUUGCCUUUUAAACCCUUGCUUCAAGCCCUAUCCAAGCUUUAGGUUAUUAAUUUAGGUUUGAAUGUUUUACUUAUAAACUUUAUUUUAUAUUAAGAAAAAUGACAUCAGAAGAAGGGGAAAACUUUUCCAUGCCAAGUGCGGGUUCAACUCUAAUUACAGGCAGUACUUCAACUACUGAUGGAACCUUGGUAUCUAAAAGAAGAAAGUUGACUUCGGUUGUUUGGAAUGAUUUUGAUAAAAUCAUGGAAGAUGGACAAGAUUAUGCUAUUUGUAAGCACUGUAAAGGAAAGCUUAAAGCUGAUAGCAAGAAUGGGACAAAACACUUACAUGUACACAUAGAUAGGUGCAUGAAACAAAGAAAUGUUGAUAUUAGGCAACAAUUAUUGGCAGUAGAGAGAAAAGGUCAUGGAAAAGUUCAAAUUGGUGGUUUUACCUUUGAUCAAGAAAUCUCAAGAGAGAAGCUUGCACGUGCAAUUAUAUUGCAUGAGUACCCACUUUCAAUCGUUGACCAUGUGGGUUUUAGAGAAUUUGCUACUAGUCUCCAACCUUUGUUUAAGAUGGUUUCCCGCAAUACGAUUAAGGGUGAUAUAAUGAAGAUUUAUGAGGUUGAGAAAGAUAAGAUGAUUAGCUACUUAGAGAAACUUCAAAGUAGAGUUGCUAUCACAACUGAUAUGUGGAUAUCAAAUCAAAAGAAAGGCUACAUGGCUAUCACUGUACAUUACAUUGAUGAGUCUUGGUUACUACACCAUCAUAUUGUAAGGUUAGUUAUGUUAUUUUUUUUUUAACUUCCAAAGUGUUUUUUUAUUUGAUCCUUUAAUGAUAUUGUUUGUGUUAAUGAUAUUUUUUAUUCUUAAUUUCGGUUUGUUUAUGUACCUCCUCCACACACAAAAGAAGUUCUUUCAGAUGUAUUAAUGGAUUUCUUAUUGGAUUGGAAUAUGGAAAGAAAAGUUUCUACAAUCACUGUGGAUAAUUACUCAAGUAAUGACGGAAUGAUCAAUAUCUUGGUGGAGAAUUAUCUUUGAGCGAUUCACUUUUAUUGAAUGGAAAAAUUUUCCACAUGCGAUGUGCGGCACAUGUGUUGAACUUAAUUGUUAAGAAAGGUUUGGAUAUCAUUGAAGUAGAAAUUGAAAAAAUUCGUGAGAGUGUUGCAUAUUGGUCAGCAACCCCAUCAAGAAUGGAAAAGUUUGAAGAUGCAACUCGCCAAUUGUGUAUUCCAUGCAAUAAGAAGUUAAGUCUUGAUUGUAAGACAUGAUGGAAUUCCACAUACUUGAUGUUACCAAUUGCUAUAACAUAUAAAGAUGUGUUCCCACGUUUGAAGCAACGUGAAAAAUACUACAUGGUUGUGCCAUCAGAGAAAGAAUGGAAUAUGGCAAAAGAAAUAUGUGGAAGAUUGAAAUUGUUUUACAACAUUGCAGAGUUGUUCUCAGGACGAAAUUAUCCCACUGCAAAUACUUUCUUCAUCAAAGUGUGCGAAAUCAAAGAGGCAUUGUAUGAUUGGUUGAUAUGCUCCAAUGAUGUUGUGAAAACGAUGGCAUCAAGUAUGUUGCAAAAGUUUGACAAGUAUUGGAGUGGGUGUCAUAUUGUGAUGGCAAUAGCAGCUAUAUUUGACCCAAGAUACAAGAUAAAGAUUUUAGAGUUUUACUUUCCACUAAUGUAUGGGUCUGAAGCUUCAAAUGAGAUGGAAAAAAUCCAUGGAAUGUGUUAUGAGUUGCUUUCUGAGUAUCAAUCAAAGUCUAAUUUGGGGCAAAAAACUUCAUCCUAUGGUACUUCAUCAGGUUCAACUCUUUUGGAGUUAAACUAUGAUGAACAAGAUCCUCUUUCAAAGUUUGACUUAUUUGUCAUAGUUCUCUAUCACUUCAUUUAGGACGAGGAAUGUCAUUUUCAGUAUGGUGUAUUGUAUUGCUUGUUUAUUGGUAUUGCAGUUUCUAAAAAAGAUGAAGUUGGUGCAUCAGACAGUUUCUGUAUUGAUCCAGUUGAUUUGAAUAGCUUUUUUGAAGAAGAUGGCAAAAUUUAUGGUUACCAAGGGUUGAAGGUAAUAUAUGUACAUUGAUUAAGGCUCUGAUAUUAAUGUUUUUAUUCUUUGGCAUCUAUCAUUUGAAAUUAGGUUGCCUGCAAGGUUUAGUAAUCAGUAGUGAUCUUUAAAAACGAAAAAUACCCUGCUUGUUUUUUUUAUUUACUUUUUGCGUCAAUGGUUUUUAUUUUUAUUUUUUCUUUUUUGCCAGGCAGGGGAAUUAUUGCUGCAUGCUAUAGUCUAUUUAUUUCAUAUAGAUGACAUAAAUUGACUGGAUGGACCUGCUUUGUUCUUUUUAAUGCAGUUGUGAAAGAGAGAAAGCAAAUACCCUAGACCUAAUGAUUGGAUAUAGAUGAUCAAUUUAGCUGGAAUACACAUGCAUCAUCAUCAUUUUUAUUAUUAUUUUCUUUUUAAAUAAUAAGAUCUUUCUUAGAUAAACAAGUAGGUAGCUAUGUAUUGGCAGAAGUUGGUGCACAUUAAACCUUUUAUGGCAUGAGUUUUACCUUUUUGAACUUGAACCGGUGCUUAAAAGAACUUUAUUUUAUGCUGAUAUUCUGAUACUAAAUGGAAAAUUCCCUUUAUCCUUUUCUUAAUGCCAGAUAAUAGUUAGGGAAGGAAUUUUAUAAUAAUACCUCUAGUUUUGAUGGAAUCUGUGCAUUUAUCCCAUAUGUUUCAUAUGUUCUCUUUCAGAUUCUGCUUGGGCCCUCUAGAAUCUAUCAUCUUUAGUUUUUUAUUGGAAGUAAUUCUCUGAAACAUCCUUUUAGUCCUAUUUAAAAUUUCUAUCCUUUAAAGCAAAUUGUGGAUAAGUUGCAAAAGAAUCUUUAAAAUUUAAGAAAUAAAGAAAAAUAUGUCCAUUUCUUGAAAGAGAAACAUCAAUUGCUAUUAGCUUCUAUGAAAGAACUUUUUUUUUUUUUUACAGAUAUUUUAGUUAUGUUAAUUUUGAAUGUCAUACUGAUUUAGUCUUCUAAUCUCAUUAACUUUUCUACAUUCCAUUUAUUCCCAUUGUCUGGAAUCUGAUAUUCAUUUUGUUUCUUCUCACAGUGAUCUUUCCUAUAAUAAUUUUACUUGGCCGGUUGAUUGCCAAGAAAUUCAGUAAGUAGAUUUAUUCAUAAGCGUAGCAUUCAAUAUAGUUACUACUUAACUUCCUUGACAUGAUUUUUCAUCAUGUGAAUUAGAAAUAUAAAUCGCUACCAAAGCUCAUCUCAGAAGUACAACUUGUAAGACUCUUUUCUUCUCUUUAAGAUUUGUCGUAAGUUCUAGAUAUAAUGAGUGAAUAGUAAUGUUAAUUGUUUGGUUUCCAACUCAAGUGAGGCAAAUUUUGAGCUUACAUAUAAAAACAAUUUAGUUUGUAAUGCUAAAUGAAGUAAAUGAAAUAUAAAAACAUAAGUUUCUUUUGGGUUCCUCAGUUAUCUAAGUUUUUUUUUUUUUUUUUUUAAUUUCCUCGUGUUGUGGAGAACAAAAUAUUAUUGAUUCAUCUUUUUUUUUUUUUCAUUUCCUGCGUCUUGCUUGUGCCCCUUCUCCUCUCUUUCCUCUGUUGUCAUGGCAUUGCCUUUUAAUAUAAUGUUUUUAUGUGCAUGUAUUAUUAUUAUUAUUUUUGAAUUUAAGAGUGUGUACAAUGUAAUUUGGGCUGGAGUUCUUGGAUGUUGACUUAGAUUUAUGUUUGUGGUUUGGGCUGUGUGGUGAUAUAGGCAGGCAGCAGAUACUUUUGGUGGGUCAGAGUUGGCAAUUCCUGGGCCUGAUAGUGUUGUGUUUUAUCUUUCAUUUUGUCAUAUAUUUGAGAAAGUUUACUUAUAUGUUUCCAGUAUGACUCUGGAUAGAAGCAGAAGCCCACCACGAGCCAAGAGGCUUCGUAGCAGUGACCGUGCUUCUUACCGAGACACACCUUACCCAAGGCAUCGUCGAGUUCACCGGUUUGCUCCUUUAUCAAUUCAGCAAAAUCUAACUAUUAUUCCUUUUAUCUAUACACACACACACUUAUAGCCCAUGUUGCAUAAAUGUUAUAGUUACAUGUUGCGGUUCUUGUUUGAAAAGUGUGCUCUUAGUGAUGAUUAUGUUCUUUUGUUUGUUCCAUUUCUCACUUGUUCUUAGAUACAAUUUUCCUUUUUUCUUUUUUCUUGGGCCUUGCUUAUUACUAGGAAUCACUUAUGUUCGGGUGCUUGUAGUGCUAAAAGAUAAAACUUAUGCUUUUAUCAUGUAUUCACAUUGUGUAUGUCUGCCUCUGAUUGGUGACAUGAAGAGACUAAUUUCUCUACAACUAUUGCAAAAUUGCAGUGUCCUUAUCUAGUUCUGGAAAACACCAUAUAUAGGAACUUAAUGUGUAUGCGUGUGUAGAUGGCUUAAAAUUGGGUGGAUGCUUUCUUGUUGUAACUUCAAAAUUCCAUGCAAAAGUAAAAAAUAAAAAAGGAUACAUGAAGGUGAAGAAAUUGAAAAUACCAUAGAUGAGAAUAACUUGAAUAGGGCAUGUGAUCCUCGAGUCUUGCUUUGGAGUGAUUACCUAAAUCAAUGUAUGGUUAUUUUCUAACAAAUAUAUUAUUUUCUUAAACAAUUUGAAAGAGCUGUUGUAAUAGAUAAAAUUGAGAAAGAAAUCUCCUCUGGAAUUCUAUUGAACAUCUACUUGUAAACACAUUAACAUUGUCUGUGGUAGUCCAAGCCUGCAGCAUUGGAGGUUGGUAUCUUCAAUAUGUUGAUUUUCUAAAUGUGUUCCUCUCAAAAGUGGUCUCCUUGAUGUGUGGACUCUACCUUUGUUAAAACCAAGAUCUUUUAGUUGUUGCUGUCUUUUGGUUUAAAUUAUCACAAUUCACAACCAAUUAUAUUGUUAAUUUCCAGGCAAGAUUAUCUGUGCAAUAAAUGUAAGAGACCAGGGCAUUUUUCCAGAGAUUGCCCAAAUGUGACUAGAUGCAACAACUGUGGCCUUCCUGGGUAAGAUGAAUUCCUCCCCUUCUAGUUUCUCUAGAACAUUUCAUGUUUUAUGAGAGAACAAUUUCUAGAAUUAAAAUGUGUCAAUACUUGGUUGAUGUAUCAUGUAUGGUGGUUCCUCAGGAUAGUUUAAACCCUGAUUCACACACCAAACUGAUUUCUGGCAAAAACCUGAUUUAAUAUGUUCUCCUUUGUAGCCACAUAGCUGCUGAGUGUAACUCAACAACCAUUUGUUGGAACUGUAAAGAGUCUGGACAUCUUGCAAGCCAAUUUCCUAAUGAUCCAGUGUGCCAUAUGUGUGGAAAAAUGGGUCACCUGGCUCAGGAUUGCUCAUGCCUAGGUCUACCUGCUCAUGAUGCGAGACUCUGCAACAAUUGCUACAAGCCAGGCCACAUUGCUACGAACUGCACCAAUGAGAAAGCUUGCAACAUAUUCAUGUAGCCAGUUACUAUAUCAUAAGAAUAUAUUUAUCUAUUUUAAGGAGAAUUAUUGAUUGGGACAUUUUACUUCAGGGCAAGUUGGUGUGGGAGGAUUUCAAUAUCAUGGAGGAGGCAAAUGGAAUUGGUAAAGAAGUCAUUAAACAAACUAAUGUGACUGUGACGAACAAUACCCUAGAGAUCCGCUUGUAUUGGGCUGGGAAAGGGACAACAUGUAUCCCUAAGAGAGGAAGAUAUGGUCCUCUAAUAUCUGCUAUUUCUAUAUGUGCCAGUAAGUUAAAUAUUCAUGAGCCUCUCCUUUCAAAAUUAGUACAAUUGUUGCAGCUAAUAAUUGUGUGUUCUUUUUUUAUGUUUAAUUUUCCUUAGUCUUACUGUUUGGAAUUUAUACUGGGAAUAUAGUCCGUGGCUGGGUUUUCAUGCAACAAAUUAGCUAAAAAAUGCUAAUGCAAAAUCAAGUAAAGGAAUGAUAGUUUUUACCAUCAAAGUUGAAACAUUAGAAAUUGAUAAAAACAACACUUAUAAGUAGUUUUCUACAACCAAAUAAAAGUGGGCUACCCAAGGCUCUGGUUUUUAAGGUAAUGAGGGUUAUAUUUGCUGUGGUUCUUUGAGGUAUUUUAUGGGUUAAUACCAAUAGGAAAAGCUUGCUAAUAUUUAUGAAUGGCAAUGGAACUCAUUUCAGUGCUAAGCUAGUGUCAUUAUUUCAUGGUUAGGAUUUAUGAUCAACAGGUAUCAAUAUAGAGGUGAUGUCUGCUCUAUUAGGCUCCAAUUGAUCAAAUAUGUGAAAGAAUGGAAUCAUCUGUGUUGCCUUUGGAGUUCAAUGGGAACACUGAUCGGUGCAUAAUUCAAAGUGCAAUGUCGCAAUCUGUCCAAAGCAAUGUUUCUAGAGUUGUGGAUGCUUCUACUUUUGGGGUGUCUAUACAUGAAUGUUUUAGGACCACAUCAAUGUUUGAGAAACAGGCUAAGGUGGAUGCCAUACUUCUAAAUUUUUGUAUUAUUCCUUGAACUUGCUUCCAGAAAUAAUCUGGAUUUGAAUAGCUUGUAAUGGGCGUUUGGUUUUUUGUUCAUCAUCAUCAAGCCUUUUAUUGGCAAUUUACUUGCUUUAGAGCUCUUUAUUGUUAUUGGGUUGUUCAUUGUCUUUGUAGUGGGUGCAUUCAUAACAUGGAGGACAUUGGUGUUAACGGGUAUCUUCAAAUGCUUUACAAUUGUUCUUGUUAAAGAAAGAUAUUUGACAACUAUUUGGUUUCAUUAAUAACCCCAGCCCAGCCCAGCCCAGCCCNNNNNNNNNNNNNNNNNNNNNNNNNNNNNNNNNNNNNNNNNNNNNNNNNNNNNNNNNNNNNNNNNNNNNNNNNNNNNNNNNNNNNNNNNNNNNNNNNNNNAAAAAAGGGGGGGGGGGGGGGGGGGGGGUUGGAAAGACCUCUCUAUAUAAAUCUCUCUUUGGAUAACCUCAGGACGAGAGGAGGAACACUUUUAAAUUCCCGUACUAAGAAAUAUAUAGAGCUUUUGCUCUGCCUUUCCUUCUCAUUUUUGUUUUCACUUUUCUUGCUAGCCAAACAACCUUUGAGGAUGAUUUCUCAAGGGAUGAGUGGCUAGGUUUUACGUUUCUUGGAGUGAUGGAAGUUAGGUGAAGGACCUGAAUGCAAAGGUGGGAGUUGUCCUUACUUUAAACGAAAGUAGUUGUUCACCAUUAAUGGUUUUUAUUUCAAGGUUUAGCUUUAAAUCCUUUAAAAUCACCUUGAAUGGUCAAUACUUGGUAAGCUUUUCAGAUUCUAUGGAUGCUUAUUGCUAGAUCCAUGGACGUCUAUUAGUUAUCAUUUACGAGCCAUUGGAAGUUGGUUCAAGGUGAGGGUCUUUAGUGUUUGAAGUCAUUAAUGGGAAGCAAUUACCAGUUUUCAUGAAUCCUUUAGAUCAAAUCUUAAUUGCUAAAUACAAAACCGGUUCGGGAGAUAACCAUCCUUUAUAUUAUUGUCCCCAACGUGAGGAGAAGAUCCGAAAUCUCCUCCUUUGCCUAAGGAACCCGAUCCUAGUGACCUAAAGCUCCAAGAGACCUUUUCUUUGUAGUUAACUUCACUUAUUGUUUUUUCUUAACUUAAAAUCAAUCUUUGCAACCAUAAUUCCAUUUUCUUUAAAAGCUAACUUUCAUAAGAAAAAACACCAUUUUAUUUCCUUCACUAAGUCAACUGUACGAUGAAAAUCCAUCCCUGUGGAAGAUCCUAGAGCCACUAUACUAUGUUAGCUAUGCUACCAUAGUGUGAGGUGAUUUAGGUUUUAUAAAUUUUGUUGGUAACACCCGUUUAAUCCAUAAUCAAAUGGCGUGAUUGCAAUUGGGACAAAUCAAAUGGCGCCGUUGCCGGGGAUUGAACCCGGGUCACCCGCGUGAUAGGCAGGUAUACUCACCACUAUCAUUGGUUGAUUACAAGGAGAAAAUAGUAAAUUACACAAAAUAUCUAGAGAUAAAAAUCUAACGGAGUUGGUGCACAGGAAGAUUUUGCAUACCAUGCGAAAUUUCGCAUGGUGUGUGAAAUUCUUUGGCUACUUCUUGUGGUUUCGCAUGGUGUGCAAAAUUUCUUUCUCUAGUUUUCUUCCUUGCAUCUCUAUGAUUGGCUUGGAAAAGGGCUAUGAAGUGCUCCAAAGCUUGGAUUCUUCAUUGAUUACUACUCCAAAAGUGCUAUUUGAUAGCUUGUAAUAAACUUUUUUAAACACUUUUGAGUAGUAAUUAUCACCUUUUAACCCAAUUAACAUAUUAAGGACCCUUGCAAUCAAUUCUAAUCAAAUUGUGUUAAGUUUUGGUGUUUUGAUAGCUUUUUGAUCACCAAAGCAAUCAGAGAUUGAGGAGAGUUUUUUGGAAUCCUUAGCAAAGCAAUGGAAAGCUCAGAAACAUGAAGAAGCGAAGCUUUGAAGUCCUUUGCCAUAAGCAAAUCCGGAAUGCAAGGAGUAAAAGAUGUCCGGACACACCAUCGGAUGGCGGCGGAAUUGAAUGAUCCGGACAACAUAUCCGGAUAGGAGAUGCUAUCGUCCGGGUGUGAUGUUCACAAGUAUCGUGUGCUUCUCCCUGAGGGAGUCCAGAUAAGGGAGCGCGCCACAUGUGCUCUUAGGGAAUUCGGAUGGAGUUGAUCUGGAUAGCCUUGCGCACUCCGUGUCAUCCGGGAGAGGGGUCCCUACACCUUGCACACACAGACAGUCCCCUUUGCGCAGCAUAGUUCAGUCCACCUGGGGAGGAAUUCCGUGCGCUGACAUUUCAUAUCCGGAAUUCCAUGCGCCGACAUUUUACAUCCGGAUAUCUCACAGCCGGAUGGGAGAGGAGGACGUUUCAACUUCUCCGGUCAGACAUAUCCGGAUCCUCUGAUAGCGCUUACCCGAAGAGUUUUUCUCUCAGUAUACAGUGCUGCGGUGUUCUCCUGAAGCUUCCUGAUAUUUCCGACCGACAUCUUGAGAUAUUUUGCUUUAGAUAUUUGUUGUCUAAAUCCCCAAACUCUCCUUGUAAUCCACCUAUCAUAGGAUUCCUUAUUCUUUAAGUAAGAACAAAGGGGUGAAUAACCUUAUAUAUAUAGUUUGUACUUUUCUUUACAGAGGAUAUUAUGUAAUCAGGGGAAAAAAGAAAUAUAUUUCAUAGAACACUUGCUCUGUUUUUCCUUCAUAUAAUUGUUUUCUCGUUAGUUUUCCUACUAGCCAAACAAGCUCUGAGGAAGUUUCCUCAGAGAAUGAGUGGCUAGACUUUUAGUUCCUUGGAGUUAAGGUUGCCGGGAAAGGUUCCAAGUGCAAGAAUUAGUAACUUUGUGGUUUCAGUCAUUAAUGAAAAGAAAGUGUGAUCCUUUAAUGAUUUCUAUGUUUUUAGUUAACUUAAAACACCUUCAAUUCACUUGAGCCAACACUUGGUAAGGCACGUGAUCUCCGUCCAUGGAGAUGCACUUGUUUAUCUCUUGCGAGCUUUUGAGAAGUGACUUGGAGGUAGGAUUUUCUAGAAUUGCCAACACUUGGUAAGCUUUUGGACUCCAAGGAGACAUUCAUUAGUUAUCUCUUGCAAGCUUGAGAAAGGAAGUCCAAAGUUAAAGAUCACCUUGAAUGGCAAAUGCUAGGUGAGAGGUACGAGUCAUUGCAAGUUGCAUCAGUGAGAGGGAAUUAGAGCUGAAAUCCAUUUAAAGGUUACAUCUGUGCAACACCGGUUAGAGAAUUGACUAUAUGUUAAUUCUCUAAUGCGAGGAAAUGAACCAAAUGACUAGAGCUCUGUUUUUGCAUAAGGAACCUCCCCUGUGAACCUAAACCUCCAAGGAAUGUUUUUCUUCAUAAGUAAUUUCCAUUACUUUCUUUUUAGUUAGCUUUAAACAAACCUCAUUUAAACAAAGUUUGUGUUUUAUUUCUUAAGCUAACCUUGAAAUGAAAAAGCACCAAUUUACUUUGAAUUGGUAUCAAUUGUGAGUUGAAAACCCUUCCCAGUGAAUGAUCCUAGAGCCACUAUGCUAUAUUAGCUAAGCUAUCCUAAUGCAUGGUGAUAUAGGUUAUAAAUUUUGUUGAUUACUCUCUCAAUUAAAGAGCACCAGCUGGACAUGAAUCAGCUGAGACGCCAAUUAGGAACGAAUCAAAUGGCGCCGUUGCCGGGGAAUGUGCCAACUUCAUAGUGAUAUUAUUUCAGGGUACUUGUGGUUUUCAUCACAAGUUUGGUGAGUUUUCUCUCAUUUUACUAACUCUUUUAGUUUUUUCUUUUACUCGUUUUUAUUCUAGCAUAGUUUUUAAUUUAGUUUUAGUUAAUCGAACUCUUUUUGGUAGUUUUGUUUCUGUUUUCCUCUGUUUUUGUUUUUUUUCUUUGUUACAGUUGAUACUAGUUGUGUAUGCCAAAGUGGAUACGAGAUUGUGGAGGAAGGCUUGUUAAACUUGAAACACCUCAUAACAAGGAGUUGGAAGUAAUCUUGAACAUCAUGGAAACUGCACUUGAGGAUCAGCAUAGUCACCAUGAUCAUCAAGACAAUCCCAAUGAAUUUAGAUCAAUGAGGGACCGUAUGCAUCCACCUCGUAUGAGUGCACCAUCAUGUAUAGUGCCCCCUAUAGAGCAGCUAGUGAUCAGACCCCAUAUUGUGCCACUUCUGCCAACUUUCCAUGGAAUGGAAAGUGAGAAUCCUUAUGCCCAUAUCAAGGAAUUUGAAGAUGUUUGUAAUACAUUCCGAGAGGGAGGAGCUUCCAUCGACCUGAUGAGGCUUAAACUAUUUCCUUUUACUUUAAAGGAUAAGGCCAAGAUUUGGCUUAAUUCUUUAAGGCCAAGGAGUAUCCGUUCUUGGACUGAUUUACAAGCUGAAUUGCUCAAGAAGUUUUUUCCUACUCACAGAACAAAUAGCUUGAAAAGACAAAUUUCAAACUUCUCAUCUAAAGAGAAUGAGAAAUUCUAUGAGUGUUGGGAAAGAUACAUGGGAGCCAUUAAUACUUGUCCUCACCAUGGCUUUGAUACAUAGUUGUUGGUGAGUUAUUUCUAUGAUGGGAUGUCUUCCUCAAUGAAGCAACUCCUCGAAACAAUGUGUGGAGGGGAUUUCAUGAGUAAGAAUCCUGAGGAAGCUAUGGAUUUCUUGAGUUAUGUAGCUGAAGUCUCAAGGGGAUGGGAUGAACCGCACAAAGGAGAAGUGGGAAAGAUGAAGUCUCAACCAAAUGCUCUUCAUGCUAAGGUGAUUACUACCAAAAAGUGCUAUUUCGUAGACCUAAUAAUAAUGGUUUUAAGCACCUUUGAGUAGUAAUCAUAUUCAUUUAACCCAAUUAAUUCACUAAGGUCCUUAGUAAUUGGUUUUAAGUAUUUUGUGGCAAGUUUACAUGUUUUUAUCAGCUUAUGAACCAAUUCAAGCAUGCCAAUUGAUGGAGGAGCUAUUUGGGCGAGUUAAGCAAGGAUUUUGGAUGAUUAUAGGCUUGAAUUUCAAGUGGAAACACGAGCACAAGCAAUGGAGAAGAGGAAAACAGAGUGAAGAAAACAACUGCAGUCUUCUUUCGCACUUUUGAAGCACAUCCCGAAGUCCAUUUUCUACAUUCUAUAUACCAUUUCAAAGAUCAGGAAGUCAAGAAUCUAACGCUUCAAAUCGUGUAUAAUUUGGAGCUAAAAUGUGGAAGAUAUGGCCUUCGGAAGACAACUGCAUCAUGCCAAAUGACCAAUUUCGCAAGGAGAUUUUCCUCAUGGUGCGAAAUUUGGCCAUUUCGCACCAUGAAGAAAUACCUUGCGAAAAUUUCGCAAGGAGGAUUUAGGCACCUUGCGAAAUUCCUUUGAAUCCUCUGUUUCUCCACGCACGCACCACCGACUUCCCAAAUAUUUUUAGCUUGAUAUUUUCUCGUGUAAAUUCCUUUUGUAACCUUGUAUUCAGCCGACAUAAAGCUUUAUCUUGUAAUUUUGCUAUAUAUAGAGGUGCACAACACCUCCAAAAAAUGAUGGGAUGAUUGGGGGAUCGAUCCUCUGUACAUUAACUUAGAAAUAUAUAAAGAUUUGUUUUUCUCUCUUCUCCUGUUCUUCCCCAUUUCUAUUUUCUUAGUAGCCAAAUAGCCUCUGAGGGCUUUUCCUCAGAGGAUGAUUGGCUAAAACUUUUAGUUUCUCAAAGUAUGGAUGUUAUGUGAUGGCUUGGAUGCAAUCCCAUGGAAAUUUCUCGCACCUGGAAGGUAAGGUAGUCGUUUUUCAUUAACGGUUCAUUAAUGCAAAGUUUGGUUUUUAUUUCCUUUGGACAACUUCCAACGGCCAAUACUUGAUAAGCUUUUGGAUUUCUAUCCAUUAGUUUUCUCCUACGAGCUAUUGGAAGGUGAGGUUUUCAAUUCCAAGUUUUGCAUUAAUCUGUUAGAACCAAUUUCAAUGGCCAUUGAAAGGUGAGUUUAUCACCUGGAAUGACUUUGAGUUGCUAAUAUUUGGUAAGCUUUUGGCUUUAGACCAUUAGUUAUCUCUUACGAGCCAUUCAAAGGAAUUGUAAGGUGAAUAACCAUUGAUGAAAUUCACUACCAUCUGUUUUGCCAUUUUAAAGGAUUAAAACUUGAUUUGCUAAAUCCAUACCAGUUCGGGAAGCAAGCAUCACCAUAGUUGCAACCCCAACGCGAGGAGCCUAUCAUGAGAUUUCCAAUUUGCAUAAGAACCAGAGCAUAGCUAUCCUAUCUUUGAGAAACUUGUUUUUACACCCUUUCAUUUUAGUCUUUAAUGUUAGCUUAGAUUAGUUUAAAUCUUUCUAAAACAUUUGCAUCUUCUUUUAAAGCUAACAUCCAUAAGAAAAUCACCUAUUUUCCUAAUUUGAAUAUCACUUGUGUUUGCAAAAACCCUUCCCAAAGAACGAUCCUAGAACCACUAUGCUAUAGUAGCUUGGCUACUUUAGUAAUAGUAUUUAAGGUAUAAAUUUUGUUGAUACGCCUUUAAAGCUAAGCUACCAUGAGUCGCAUCAUAAGGCUGGGAUGUACACCUUGAAUGAAGAUGAUGAUAUGAAAGCAAAAUUUGCAGCUAUGACAAGAAGUGGAGGAGCUAGAACUGAAAAAGAUGAAUGAAGUGCAAACUAUUGCUGAAAUACCAGUGCAAGUAAAGCCAUGUUCUAUUUGUCAAUCUUAUGAACACUUGGUGGAGGAGUGCCCUUCAAUUCCAGUUGCUAGAGAAAUGUAUGAAGAACAAGCAAAUGUCAUUGGACAAUUCAAGCCCAAUAGCAAUGCUUCGUAUGGCAAUACUUAUAACUCAAGUUGGAGGAAUCAUCCAAAUUUUUCAUAAAAGCCAAGAGCACCUCAGUACCAACAGCCGGCUCAACCAUCUCAACCAUCCCAACAAGCUUCAAGUCUUGAACAAGCAAUAAUGAAUCUCAGGAAGGUUGUGGGAGAUUUUAUUGGAGAACAAAAAUCCAUCAACUCUCUGAUUACUACUCAAAAAGUACUAUUUCAUAGCUUAUAAUAAACUCUUUUAAACACUUUUGAGUAGUAGUUAUUGCCUUUUAACCCAAUUAACAUAUUAAGGACCCUUGCAAUCAAUUCUAAUCAAAUUGUGUUAAGUUUUGGUGUUUUGAUAGCCUUUUUGAUCACCAAAGCAAUCCGAGAUUGAGGAGAGUUAUGAGGAAUCUUGGGCAAAGCAAUUGGAAGCUCAGAAACAUGAAGAACCAAAGCUUUGAAGUCCUUUUCCAUAAGUAAAUCCGGAAUGCAAGGAGAAGAAGCAAAGAGAAUCUGCCAUAAAGCAUAUUCUUGAUGACAGUCAUAUCAGCCACUUUUGGAGCACUUUCUGAAGUCCAAUUUAUGCAUGCUAUAUGUCGUUUUGAAGCUCAGGAAUUCAAAAAUCCAAUGCUUCAAACAGUGUGCAAUUCGAAGUUGAAAUGAAGGAGUUACAUCCAUUGCAAGUCAAUCACUCUAAGUUGAAGGAAGCAUUUUGCAAAGUGUUGCCAAAACACCCUUUUGUUACGAAAUGAUUUCGCAGCCUUUUUGCACAGUGCUGUGGAAUUCCUCCUGAAGUUUCUUGAUAUAUGCGACACGUUGGAAGCUGAGCAUCGCAAGUUGAAAGCCGACUUCGUAGCGCUGCGAGAUUAGCCUUUUGCUGCGAAGUGAUUUCGCAGCCUUUUUUGUGUGUCUGCGAAAUCUCGCAGACAUCAUUUUCACUUGCGAAAUGAUCCUUAGUGCGUCCUGAUAUUUGCUACCGACAUUGGGAGAUAUUUUUCAUCUGAUUUUUGUUUUCUAAAUCCCAAAAUUCUCCUUGUAAGCCACCAAUUAUAAGAUUCCUUAGCUUUUAAGUUAGGAAAAAGAGUAAAUAUCCAUGUAAUAAUUAGUUUUGUAUUAUGUUCUUAUAAAUAGCUCUCGGGAGCCUGUUCUCAGAGAGGAACCCUUUUGUAAAAAUUGGAAAGCAAGUAAAGUUCAGGACUUUUGUUUUGCCUUACCUUCUCACUUUGUAUUUUUCAUUUUUUCUAAGUUACUCACUCUCUGAGGAAGUUUCCCUAGAGAAUGAGUAACUAAACCUUUAGUUCCUUGGAGCUAAGGUUGCCGGGAAAGGUUCCAAGUGCAAGAAUGCAAACCUCUGUGGUUUCAACCAUGAAUGAAGAGAAAGUGAAAUCCUUUAGUGAUUUCUAUGUUUUUAGUUAACUUAAAACAUCUUAGAGUCACCUGGGCCAAUACUUGGUAAGACAAGUGAUCUCCGACCAUGGAGAUGCACUAGUUUAUCCCUUGCGAGCCUCUGGGAGGUGACUUUAAGGUAGGAUUUUCUGGAAUUGCCAACACUUGGUAAGCUUUUGGACUCCAAGGAGACAUCCAUUAGUUAUCUCUUGCGAGCUUGAGAAGGGAAGUCCAAGGUUAAAGAUCACCUUGAAUGGUUAAGGCUAAGUGAGAGGCUCGAACCAUUGCAAGUUACAUCAGUGAGAGAAUUAAAGCUGAAAUCUAAUCAAAGGAUGUAUCUAUACAACACCGGUUAGAGAAUUGACUAUAUGUUAAUUCUCUAACGCGAGGAAAUGAACCAACUGACCGGAGCUAUGUCUUUUGCANNNNNNNNNNNNNNNNNNNNNNNNNNNNNNNNNNNNNNNNNNNNNNNNNNNNNNNNNNNNNNNNNNNNNNNNNNNNNNNNNNNNNNNNNNNNNNNNNNNNAGGUUCACUAGGGAGGUUUCUCAUGCAAAAGACAUAGCUCCGGUCAGUUGGUUCAUUUCCUCGUGUUAGAGAAUUAACAUAUAGUCAGUUCUCUAACCGGUAUUGUAUAGAUACAUCCUUUGAUUAGAUUUCAGCUUUAAUUCUCUCACUGAUGCAACUUGCAAUGGUUCGAGCCUCUCACUUAGCCUUAACCAUUCAAGGUGAUCUUUAGCCUUGGACUUCCCUUCUCAAGCUCGCAAGAGAUAACUAAUGGAUGUCUCCUUGGAGUCCAAAAGCUUACCAAGUGUUGGCAAUUCCAGAAAAUCCUACCUUAAAGUCACCUCCCAGAGGCUCGCAAGGGAUAAACUAGUGCAUCUCCAUGGUCGGAGAUCACUUGCCUUACCAAGUGUUGUCCUAGGUGACUCUAAGAUGUUUUAAGUUAACUAAAAACAUAGAAAUCACUAAAGGAUUUCACUUUCUCUUCAUUCAUAGUUGAAACCACAGAGCUUUGCAUUCUUGCACUUGGAACCUUUCCCGGCAACCUUAGCUCCAAGGAACUAAAGGUUUAGUUACUCAUUCUUUGGGGAAACUUCCUCAGAGAGUGAGUAACUUAGAAAAAAUGAAAAAUACAAAGUGAGAAGGUAAGGCAAAACAAAAGUCCUAAACUUUACUUGCUUUCCAAUUUUUACAAAAGGGUUCCUCUCUGAGAACAGGCUCCCGAGAGCUAUUUAUAAGAACAUAAUACAAAACUAAUUAUUACAUGGAUAUUUACUCUUUUUCCUAACUUAAAAGCUAAGGAAUCUUAUAAUCUAAUUAUUACAUGGAUAUUUACUCUUUUUCCUAACUUAAAAGCUAAGGAAUCUUAUAAUUGGUGGCUUACAAGGAGAAUUUUGGGAUUUAGAAAACAAAAAUCAGAUGAAAAAUAUCUCCCAAUGUCGGUAGCAAAUCUCGGGACGCACUAAGAAUCAUUUCGCAAGUGAAAAUGGUGUCUGCGAGAUUUCGCAGACACACAAAAAGGGUUGCGAAAUCACUUCGCAGCAAAAGGCUAAUCUCGCAGCGCUGCGAAGUCAGCUUUCAACUUGCGAUGCUCAGCUUCCAACGUGUCGCAUAUAUCGAGAAACUUCAGGAGGAAUUCCAUAGCACUGUGCAAAACGGUUGUGAAAUCAUUUCGCAACAAAAGGGUGAUUUCGCAACACUUUGCAAAAUGCUUCCUUUAGCUUAGAGUGAUUGACUUGAAAUGGUUGUAACUCCUUCAUUUCAACUCCGAAUUGCUCACCGUUUGAAGCAUUGGAUUACUGACUUCCUGAGCUUCGAAACGACAUAUAGCAUGCAUAAAUUGGACUUCAGAAAGUGCUCCAAAAGUUGUUGAUAUGACUGUCAUCAAGAAUAUGCUUUAUGGCAGAUUCUCUUUGCUUCUUCUCCUUGCAUUCCGGAUUUACUCAUGGCAAAGGACUUCAAAGAUUUGGUUCUUCAUGUUUCUGAGCUUCCAAUUGCUUUGCCCAAGAUUCCUCAUAACUCUCCUCAAUCUCGGAUUGCUUUGGUGAUAAAAAAGGCUAUCAAAACACCAAAACUUAACACAAUUUGAUUAGAAUUGAUUGCAAGGGUCCUUAAUAUGUUAAUUGGGUUAAAAGGCAAUAACUACUACUCAAAAGUGUUUAAAAGAGUUUAUUAUAAGCUAUGAAAUAGUAAUUUUUGAGUAGUAAUCACUUCCCCCAACCGACAUAUUGCUAGUUCCUUAGCAAUAAAGGAGAGAAAAAUAAAAAUAAACAAUACUAUAAUUUACAACAUCAUGCUGAUCAAAAAACAAUUUUCAAGUGGCAUGAUGAUCUAACUCUCACAUGGAACAUUAAAGAAAUAUAAAACCAAAUUUCAACAAGAGUUAUCACAUACUGUGCUAAACACUAUUAAUCAAGGGAAUGCAUUAUGCAAACUGAAGUUUUAAAAUCAUUUUCACUUUCAAAGAACCAAACUUUAUUCUUCCACAAAAAUCUAAGUGUAUGAUUCCUUAGCUUCCGAAUAUAGUAUGCUAAACUAAUCUCUCCCCCCAACCUAUCUCUUUUCAACACUUAGCAAACUGACCAAAAUCAAUAAGAUAAGAACACACUUUUUUUUUUUUUUUAAGGAGGCUUAAAGGGGUAUUCUUUCUGAAUUGUCCAUAUAAUGGGGGUCCAUCGAUGACUCCCAACCAAUUAAGGUUUAGGGCAUCAAGCUUUAAGGAUCUUUCAACCACUAACUCCUCGGAUUUUUCCCCGAACUUUUAAGAAUGAAUUUUUAAUACCCAUGCACCUAUCAUAUAAUAACUCAACCUAUCCACCCUUGUAACGAGCAUUGAGGUCGGUGACUCCCAACCAAUUAAGGCUUAGGGCACCAGGUUUUAAAGAUUUUCACCAUAUACCCCUCAGACCUUGCUCGGGUUUCAAGGCAAGCAAACUUUUUUCUUUCUUUAUUUCAAAGGCUCAUUGGCCUUUCAUAAGGUGUCUCAACUUUAUCAAAUGAGGUCAAAGGUACCAAGUCCCAAAAUUUUCCUAAGUCAAGAGGGAAAUAGUUUUUCAUCUUAUACUCAGAACCUAUUGUGCACAGUGUGUGGAUAGCUUAAAGUGGAAGAACUAAACUCGAUUUCAAUAGAAGCUUCAACAAUUGAACCACUUUAGUAAGCAUAAUUCAUACUCUAAGUCAAGUGAAAAGCAACAGUUCAGUUUCUCCUGUUUUAAUUUGAAAAUUUUUCCUCAAAAUCCAUGGAGAUUAGAGUAAAAAGUAAAAAACUACAACUGAUUUACCAACAUAAUUGCAUUACCAAAAUAACUUAGCAUACUUCCUUUAACUUAGCAUACUUCCUUCCUCAUUUCCCCCUCAACCGAGUUGAGCAUUGUCCUCAAUGUGAUAUGGGUGAUUGAAAUUAAAGGGAGGAAGUGGUACCUCUUGAGUGAUAUCAAUUUCGAAUACUGAUUGGAGAAACCACAUGUUUCAAAAAGAAUAAAAGAUGUGAGAAAAGGAAAUAAGAAUAAAUUAAUGUUACAGGUUAAAAAAAAUGCUAGACUUGCAUUACUUUGAAUCCAUUUGAGUACAAUUAGAAAGAAGGUAAUACAAGCAAUCCCAUAUAUGAUACCAAAAAGAUGGGAUUUAAUAAAAGACUAAGAAAAACGAAAUACAUAAAGGAAAUAUGUAGUAAAUAUAUAUAUGAUCAGAUGGGUGGAUGGUGCUGGAGUUAGGCAGAUGGCUCUGCCUCUUCAAUAGUUGCUUCAGGAGAGGCCUGAGGCUCUGUGGCCUGCGAGUGUGGCACUGAAGUGGUGGGGGUGGAGUGCUCAGCAGCUGAAGGCAGAUCGAAAUGAUGCUGGAGCUGCCUCAAGAUGGCAGUGUGCUAAGCCUGGGUGGUCAACAUCUGCUCAUGGCAUGCUCGAAUGGCUACCAUCUCCUGAGCAAGGCUGCUUUGAGAUGUUGUGAGGGUCUGUAGUGAGCAGCAUAACUCUCUGUAUUCUGAAAUGGGAAUGGCCAUCCUUGGUUCAGCUGAAGUGGAUGGCUCAGAUGAGGCUGGAGUAACUGGAGGGGCUCUGGGUAUGGUAGGAGAAGCAAUAGGUAUACCCUCAGGUAUGUGUCGUGGAGAUGCUCUCUUAGCAGCUGGCUGUGGGCGCUCUGGCUGCUCAACUCUAUAUGCUGUCAUAUUAUUCCAUUUGUCGAGAGUAAAUACCUCUCAGCAUAUGCGCUUGCGCUCCAACUGAGGAUCUGAUGGAUACCCCAGAUGCUCCAGAAUUUGACACAGCAGCCUUGGAAAGAGAAGAGGAAUGACAUCAGCUCGCUGUAGCUUCUUCUUAUGCACCUUUUCUUCAAAAUAGAGAAGGGCAGCCAUAAUUAAGUGGUGAGGGCCAAAGAAAUAUCCCUCAGAAAUCUUGAAGAGGGCCUCUAAAAAAACUCCUCUUCUCUGAGUCCAAUGCUGCAAUGGGUAGAUGUUAUGACGCAGAAAUGCAUCAAUAAGAAACAUGCUUGGAGGAAGUUCCCCCUUCAACAGAUGUGGACGUGUGAAAUCUCCUUUGGACAAGAUAUGUACCAUUUCCAGCUCAGUGGGACUAGCCCAUACUCUGUAAUCCUCAAAAUGGCUUGGCUCGUAUGGUAUUUGCAGGACCUCUGCUAUAUGGCGAGCUCCCAAAAUGCCAUGCCGCCCAUCAAUAGUAAAAUGAAUUAGAGUAGGAUCCCUGACCUGUUUAGUAGUCAUGGACUGAUAAAAAUCCAUGGCUACUCUGGGGUAGAAGAAGUCUCUUGGAGUCAGUAGGUGCUCCAUGCGGUAUCUACGCAGUAGGUGGAAUGACUGUGCAAGCUCCAGCUGCAAUUGAAAGGUGGCUGUGUCAAAGCACAGCUCAGAGUGAAAUGGCCGAGCUCUGCAGUCCAAAUUCCCUUCAAUUGGUGGUUGAGUCAGCAUCGGACGCCUGAUUACUACUUCAGGAGUUAUUUCAGAUGGAAUUUGGGGUUCGGGAAGUGGCGGCUGAGGCUCCUGAGGCUCUGCUGGCAGCACCGGAGAUGGCGCUGGAGAUGGUACUGGUGAGGGAACCGGGGACUACUCCGUUAAGUCAAUGGGCUCUGAGCUUUCAACCCUGGCUCUCUUUUGCAGUGGCCGACCCUCUGACCUAGUGAGAUAACGCCACGCCGGAGGCUUCUGCGGUGCAGGCUUCGCCGAAGGGGAAACAACUUUUGGCCACGGAGGUUCAGAGGAAGGAUCUAGAACGGGCUCCCCUUGCAGGACUCUUUUGUGGCUAGAAGGAGAGGAAGACUUGGCUCCUCUGGCUCGCGCCAUUUCGGAUUACCGAAAUUUGGCCGGAAGCGAUGACCGGAGAAGAUGAUCGGAGGUUCGCACGACGUCGGGCUCGGGCAAGGAGAUGAACAGUCAGCAACUAUGGCGCGCUCUCUUUUUGAAACCCUUUUGCAGCUCAAAUGACCGGUAUAUAUAAAAAACGGAAUAUUAAGGGUCAUUUUGAGUUUCGCAGAAAAAGGCCAAUUUCGCAGCAAAACGCUAUUCUCACAGCCCACUUCGCAGUCUGUUUCGCAGCUGCGAAAGGAGUGUCACUGUGCUGCGAAAUGGCACUCGUGUGCCAAAAUCGAUUUUGCAACUGCGAAAUACCCUGCGGAAUGGAACUUUGGUUGUGAAAUCAGGGAUUUUCACACUUUAUAGCUUCGCAACUGUUUCACAGCUGAGAAUUGGGGGCUCCCGUGCUGCGAAGUGGCACUCGUGUGCCAAAAUCGGUUUCGCAGCUGCGAAAAUUAUCGCAGAGAAGUCAAAUGAGUUGCGGAAUGGUUUGGCAGCAAAGUGCUAAUUUCGUAGAGGAUUUCCUUAUGCUGCGGAGUCUCGUAGAGCCCUGUUUUUGCUCUAUUUACACUCUGUUUUUGCUCUGUUUUCGCUCCGAUUUCUUCCUUUCAAUUUCUUUGCAUUUUCUUCCACCUGAGAUAAUUCAAAAAGAUUAAAACACAUAUAAAUACAUAAUUUAAGAUCAAAAACUAAGAUCAAAAGUAUGGAAAAAACUUUGAAAUUUACAAGAUUUACAAAAAUUUUGGACUGUGGUAAAACCAAGCCCAUCAAACCCUUAUUUGCUUAGGCUUUUUGUGGCUCAAGGAGGUUGAUUUCCUCAUUUUCUGGUUUAAAUGGCUCCAUGAAUGGCUUGAGACGAUAUCCAUUGACUCUAAAGGUGUCUUUGCCAUUGGAAUUCAAUAAUUCCACCACUCAUUUACAUAUACUUGGUGAAUAAUGAACGGGCCUAUCCACCUUGACUUGAGCUUUCCAGGAAAGAUAUGGAGUCUUGUGUCAUAAAGUAAAACUCUUUGUCCUUUCUGAAAUUCUUUGUUGGAGAUUAGUUGAUCAUGCCACUUCUUCAUCCUCUGUUUUGCAACUUUGGAAUUGAUAUAAGCAUCAUUUCUUAAUUCUUCCAUCUCAUUAAGGUCUAGACACCUCUUUGCUCCAGCUUUGAUCAAGUCCAUAUUCAGCUUCUUUAUUACCCACCAAGCUUUGUAUUCAACUUCCACAGGGAGAUGGCAUGCUUUGCCAUAGACAAGACGAUAGGGCGACAUGCCAAGAAUAGUCUUAUAAGCUGUUCUAUAUGCCCAUAAUGAAUCAUGAAGCCUAAUAGACCAAUCUUUUCUGCUUGAAUUCACCACUUUCAUCAAUAUGUUCUUUAUUUCCCUGUUAGCUAGCUCAACUUGCCCGGAAGUCUGAGGAUGAUAAGGCGUAGCUACCUUAUGCUUCACUCCAUACUUGGAUAAUAGAGCUUCAAAAGGUUUGUUGCAAAAAUGAGCACCUCCAUCACUGAUUAUGGCUUUGGGCACCCCAAAUCUUGAGAAAAUGUUCUCUUUAAGAAACUUGAGAACCACUCUGUGAUCAUUUUUUUUUUACAAGGGAUUGCCUCAACUUAUUUAGAAACAUAAUCCACCCCCACCAAGAUGUAAGAAUUACCAAAAGACAUUGGGAAAGGUCCCAUGAAGUCAAUGCCCCAUACAUCAAAUAGCUCAACUAUUAGAAUGGGGUUCAUAGGCAUUUGAUUUCUUUUUGUUAGCUUUCCAAGCCUUUGGCAUCUAUCACAACUCCUACACAUGAUGUGGGCAUCUUUGAAAAGAGAUGGCCAAGUAAACCCUGAUUGCAACACCUUCAUGGUUGUUUUCUAAGAGGCAAAGUGGCCUCCACAUGCAUUCUCAUGACAAUGGUGUAGAAUCCCUUGCUGCUCUUCUUCAGGGAUACAUUUCCUUAUGAUCUGAUCUGCACAAUACUUAAAAAGGAAGGGCUCUUCCCAAUAAUAAGCAUGAAUUUUUGAAAAGAAGUGCUUCCUGUCCUGUGCAUUCCACUCACUUGGAAUUUCACCAGUUACUAGAUAAUUAGCAAUAUGAGCAUACCAAGGAGUUUUUACUAGGAACAUGAGUGAUUCUUCAAGAAAAUCAUCAUUAAUAGGCAAGGUAUGGGAAUUAUGUGCUAUAACUAACCUUGAAAGGUGGUCAGCUACCACAUUCUCCACUCCUUUCUUAUCUUUGAUUUGGAGAUCGAAUUCUUGUAACAAAAGAAUCCAUUUAAUCAACCUUGCUUUUGCAUCUUGUUUUGUCAAUAAAUACUUCAAGGCUGAAUGGUCAGUGAAGACAAUGAUGAAAAACCCCACUAAAUAAGCAUGAAAUUUGUCCAAAGCAAAUACCAUAGCUAACAAUUCUUUCUCUGUAGUUGUGUAGUUCCUUUGAGCUUCAUUCAAUGUUUUGCUUGCAUAGUAGAUCACAUAGGGCUUCCCAUCUUCUCUUUGGCCAAGCACCGCUCCUAUAGCAAAGUCACUGGCAUCACACAUCAGUUUAAAGGGUAGUUGCCAGUUAGGGGCCCUCACUAUUGGAGUUGUUAUUAAAAAUUUCUUUAGUUGAUCAAAGCUAUUUUGACAUCUUUCAUCCCAUUUAAACUUAGCAUCCUUAGCUAACAGCUCACAAAGAGGUUUUGAAAGAUUUGAAAAACCUUUUAUAAACCUCCUAUAGAACCCUGCAUGGCCAAUGAACUGUCUUACUCCUUUUAUAGUGGUUGGGGAUGGUAAUUUGACAAUAAGCUCCACCUUUGCUUUAUCAACUUCAAUGCCUUUUUCAGAGAUGAUAUGGCCAAGGACAAUUCCUUGAUGUACCAUAAAAUGGCAUUUCUCCCAGUUGAGCACCAAGUCUUUUUCAAUGCAUCUGUGAAGAACCGCUUCCAAAUUGAUUAAGCAUUCCUCAAAUGUACCUCCAUAUACGAUGAUGUCAUCCAUGAAUACCUCCAUAAUUCGCUCCACCAUAUCACUGAAAAUACUCAACAUACAUCUUUGAAAUGUUGCCGGUGCAUUGCAUAAACCAAAAGGCAUUCUUCUGUAAGCAUAUGUUCCAAAUGGACAUGUAAAAGUGGUCUUUUCCUGAUCUUCCACAUCAAUUUCAAUCUGAAAAUACCCUGAAUACCCAUCCAAGAAGCAAUAGAACGGAUGGCCAGAGACUCUCUCCAGCACUUGGUCAAUAAAUGGCAAUGGAAAAUGAUCUUUCCUGGUUACAGCAUUCAACUUUCUAUAAUCAAUACACACCCUCCAACCUGAAGUGAGGCGUGUAGUAAUUUCUUCUCCUUUUUCAUUCUGAACCACUGUAAUCCCUGACUUCUUUGGUACCACUUGAGUAGGACUCACCCAAGGGCUAUCAGAUAUAAGGUAAAUAAUACCUGCUUGAAGUAGCUUCAGCACCUCAGCUCGCACCACCUCUUGUAAAUGAGGAUUCAAUCUUCUUUGAAGUUGACGAAUUGGCUUUGCUUCCUUCUCCAUAUAUAUAUGAUGAGUGCAAACUAAAGGACUAAUGCCUUUCAAGUCAGAUAUUUGCCAUCCUAUUGCCUUCUUACACCUCUUGAGAACUUCUAUUAAACACUUCUCUUGAUGACUAGUCAGAGAUGAAGAUAUUACAACAAGACAUUGAUUAUUUUCCUCAAGGUAUGUAUAUUUCAGCUCCACAGGUAGAGGCUUCAGAUUGAGUUUUGGAGUCUCUUUUUCAGAAGCUGCCUUUUCUUCUUUAUUGAACAAAGGUAGAAUCUCUUCUAUCUUACUCCAAAUUUGUAGAGUAGCAAGCACAUUAGGGGGUUCAGACAAACCUUCCUCAAAAUCUGCAAGACUUUCAUUCAACUUGUCUUGCAUAUUCUGAUUACAGUGUUCCUCCACUAGAGUGUCAAUAAUGCACAACUCUUCUGGACCCUCUUCUUCUUCCGGAGUAGUUUGCUUUUUAGACAUAUAGAAAAUGUUGAGAUCAAGUGUCAUGUUACCAAAAGUGAGUUGCAUCAGCCCAUUCCUGCAGUUGAUGAUUGCAUUUGAGGUAGUAAGAAAUGGCCUUCCAAGGAUGAUAGGAACUAAAUUAGCUUCCUUUACAGUAGGAUCUGUAUCAAGAACAAUAAAAUCUACCAGAUAGUAGAAAUUACCCACUUGAACCAAGACAUCCUCAAUUACCCCCAUUGGAAUUUUUACUGAUCUAUCUGCUAGAGAUAGAGUGAUUGUUGUUGGCUUCAACUCUCCAAGUCCCAAUUGCUUGUAGACAGAGUAUGGAAGCAAAUUCACACUUGCUCCCAAGUCUAACAAAGCUUUCUCCACUAUCUUUCCUCCAAUCAUGACUAAAAUGGUAGGACUUCCCAGAUCUUUUUACUUCAAAGGAGCCUUACAUUCUAAGAUUGCACUUACUUGCUCAGUCAAGAAGGCUUUCUUGUUUACAGUCAACCCUCUUUUGAUAGUACAUAAGUCCUUUAGGAAUUUUGCAUAUGUUGGAACUUGUUUAAUCAUAUCCAGUAGUGGGACAUUGACUUUCACUUGUUUCAAUACUUCAAGGAUUUCAGCUGCAUUUCUAAUCCCCUUUUCCCCAUGUAAUGCUUGAGGAAAAGGUGGAGAAGUUGAUUUCUUCAGCAUUUCUUCCUUCAGAAGUUCCUUCUCUAGAAUUGCAUUCAUUGUUGAAUCAUAGUCUUUCUUCUUUUCACUGAUCUCACUCUCUUUGUCUUCCAUUUCUUCCCCUUUCUUUGUCUCUUCUUCUUUCUCAACAUGUGGCUUGAGUGUUGGCUUCUCAAUUUUUUUACCACUCCUUAGAGUGAUCAAGGCUUUGACAUCUUUCAUCUGUGAUGAUUCCCCCUCUUGGCUUUCCACUUCAUGGACACCCUUGGGGUUUUGGUGGGGUUGAGAAGGAAAUCUUCCCUUUUCUUGCACUGUGUUCAAAUUUGUGAGCCUUGAAAUUGAGUAUUGGAGAUUAUCAAACUUUUGGGAUAUAUCAUUUUGCAUUCCAUCCAUCCUUUUAUUCAAAGUACUCUCCACUCUAUCAAUUCUUUGAUUGAGUUGAGCAUUGAUGGCUUCUUGGUUUCCAACAAAAUCUCCCACUACCUUGCUGAGAUUCACUAUUGCUUGUUCAAGACUUGAAGAUUGUUGAGAUGGUUGAUCCGAUUGUUGGUACUGAGUUGCUCUAGCCUUCCAUAAGAAAUUUGGAUGAUUCCUCCAACUUGAGUUGUAAGUAUUUCCAUAAGGCACAUUGUUAUUAGGCUUGAAUUGUCCAACAACAUUUGCUUGAUCUCUAAACAUUUCCCUUUCAGCUAAAAUUGCAGGGCAUUCCUCCACCAAAUUUUCAUAUGAUUGACAAUUAGGACAAAGCUUCACUUGCACUGGUGCUUCAGCAACAGCUUGCACUUCAUGCAUCCUUUUCAGCUCCAGCUCCUCCAAUCUUCUUGUCAUAGCUGCCAACUUUGCUUUCAUAUCAUCAUCUUCUUUCAAGGUAUACAUCCCAGCCUUAGCAUUAAAAGCACUCAGUUGAGACUUCAUCUUCCCCACUUCUCCUUUGGUUAGUUCAUCCCAUCCCCUUGAAACUUCAGCUACAUAGCUCAAGAAAUCCAUAGCUUCCUCCGGAUUUUUGCUCAUGAAAUCUCCUCCACACAUUGUCUCGAGGAGUUGCUUCAUUGAGGAAGACAUACCAUCAUAAAAACAGCUCACCAAUAGCCAAGUAUCAAAGCCAUGGUGAGGGCAAGCAUUUAUAGCUUCCAUGUAUCUUUCCCAACACUCAUAGAAUUUCUCAUUCUCUUUAGCUGAGAAGUUUGAAAUUUGCCUUUUCAAGCCAUUUGUUCUAUGAGUGGGAAAAAAUUUCUUGAGGAACUCAGCUUGUAAGUCAGUCCAAGUGCGGAUACUCCUUGGCCUUAAAGAAUUAAGCCAAAUUUUGGCCUUAUCCUUUAAAGUAAAAGGAAAUAACUUAAGCCUCAUCAAAUCAAUUGAAGCUCCUCCCUCUUGGAAUGUAUUACAAACAUCUUCAAAUUCCUUGAUGUGUGCAUAGGGAUUCUCACUUUCCAUCCCAUGGAAAGUUGGUAGAAGUGGAACAAGAUACGGUCUGAUCACUAGCUGCUCUGUAAGGGGCACUAUACAUGAUGGUGCACUCAUACGAGGUGGAUGCAUGUGGUCCCUCAUUGAUCUAAAUUCAUUGAGAUUGUCUUGAUGACCUUGGUGACUAUGCUGAUCUUCAGGUGUAGCUUCCAUGAUAUUCAAGCUCAAUUCGAAUUCCUUGUUAUGAGGUGUAUCACAUUUAACAAGCCUUCCUCCACUGUCUCGUAUCCACUUUGGCAUACACAACUAGUAUCUAUCUGCAACUUAAAUGAAAAUAAAGGACAACAAAAGGAAAUAGGGCUACAACAACAAAAUUAAACUAAGCUAAAUUUAAAAGAUAAACUUGGAUUAUGAAUAAAUAAAGAAAGAAUGAGAAUUAGUAAAGUGAAAGAAAUGUUACCAAACUUGUGAUGAAAAAUCACAAGUGCUCAAAAAUGGUAUCACUAUAGCCUUGACACCUUCCUCGGCAACGGCGCCAUUUGAUUCAUUCCCAAUUGGUGUCUCAGCUGAUUCGUGUCCAGCUGGUGCUCCUUGAAUGAGGGAGUAAUCAACAAAAUUUAUAACCUAUUACACCAUAUACUAGGGUAGCAAAGAAAAAGCUACUAUAGUAUAGCGGCUCUAGGAUCGUUCACUGGGAAGGAUUAGCAAAUUAUCAAUGAUACCAAUUCAAAGUGAAUUGGUAUUGUUUCAUUUCAAGGUUAGCUUAAGAAAUAAAACACAAACUUUGGUUGGUAAAGAUUUAUAUUUAAACUAACUGCAAAGCAAGUAAUGGAAAUUACUUAGGAAGAAAAACAUUCCUUGGAGGGUCAGGUUCACUAGGGAGGUUCCUCAUGCAAAAGACAUAGCUCCGGUCAGUUGGUUCAUUUCCUCGCGUUAGAGAAUUAACAUAUAGUCAGUUUUCUAACCGGUGUUGUACAGAUACAUCCUUUGAUUAGAUUUCAGCUUUAAUUCUCUCACUGAUGCAACUUGCAAUGGUUCGAGCCUCUCACUUAGCCUUAACCAUUCAAGGUGAUCUUUAACCUUGGACUUCCCUUCUCAAGCUCGCAAGAGAUAACUAAUGGAUGUCUCCUUGGAGUCCAAAAGCUUACCAAGUGUUGGCAAUUCCAAAAAAUCCUACCUUAAAGUCACCUCCCAGAGGCUCGCAAGGGAUAAACUAGUGCAUCUCCAUGGUCGGAGAUCACUUGCCUUACCAAGUGUUGGCCUAGGUGACUCUAAGAUGUUUUAAGUUAACUAAAAGCAUAGAAAUCACUAAAGGAUUUCACUUCCUCUUCAUUCAUGGUUGAAACCACAGAGCUUUGCAUUCUUGCACUUGGAACCUUUCCCGGCAACCUUAGCUCCAAGGAACUAAAGGUUUAGUUACUCAUUCUCUGGGGAAACUUCCUCAGAGAGUGAGUAACUUAGAAAAAAUGAAAAAUACAAAGUGAGAAGGUAAGGCAAAACAAAAGUCCUGAACUUUACUUGCUUUCCAAUUUUUACAAAAGGGUUCCUCUCUGAGAACAGGCUCCCGAGAGCUAUUUAUAAGAACAUAAUACAAAACUAAUUAUUACAUGGAUAUUUACUCUUUUUCCUAACUUAAAAGCUAAGGAAUCUUAUAAUUGGUGGCUUACAAGGAGAAUUUUGGGAUUUAGACAACAAAAAUCAGAUGAAAAAUAUCUCCCAAUGUCGGUAGCAAAUAUCGGGACGCACUAAGGAUCAUUUUGCAAGUGAAAAUGAUGUCUGCGAGAUUUCGUAGACACACAAAAAGGGCUACGAAAUCACUUCGCAGCAAAAGGCUAAUCUCGCAGCGCUGCGAAGUUGGCUUUCAACUUGCGAUGCUCAGCUUCCAACGUGUCGCAUAUAUCGAGAAACUUCAGGAGGAAUUCCACAGCACUGUGCAAAAAGGCUGCGAAAUCAUUUCGCAACAAAAGGGUGAUUUCGCAACACUUUGCAAAAUGCUUCCUUCAGCUUAGAGUGAUUGACUUGCAAUGGCUGUAACUCCUUCAUUUCAACUCCGAAUUGUGCACCAUUUGAAUCAUUGGAUUUUUGACUUCCUGAUCUUCGAAACGAAAUAUAGAAUGUAUAAAUUGGACUUCAGAAAGUGCUCCAAAAGUGGUUGAUAUGACUGUCACCAAGAAUAUGCUUUAUGGCAGAUUCUCUUUGCUUCUUCUCCUUGCAUUCCGGAUUUACUCAUGGCAAAGGACUUCAAAGCUUUGGUUUUUCAUGUUUCUGAGCUUCCAAUUGCUUUGCCCAAGAUUCCUCAUAACUCUCCUCAAUCUCGGAUUGCUUUGGUGAUCAAAAAGGCUAUCAAAACACCAAAACUUAACACAAUUUGAUUAGAAUUGAUUACAAGGGUCCUUAAUAUGUUAAUUGGGUUAAAAGGCAAUAACUAAUACUCAAAAGUGUUUAAAAGAGUUUAUUAUAAGCUAUGAAAUAGUAAUUUUUGAGUAGUAAUCAUUCUCAACUCAGCCAAAGAAUUGACAGUGUAGAGAAUAGGAUGACGGGAUGCAAAAUGACUUAUCUCAGAAGAUAGAUAAUCUCCAAUACUCAAUCUCAAGGCUCACUAAUUUGAACACAGUGCAGGAGAAGGGUAGAUUUCCUUCUCAACCUCACCAAAACCCCAAGGGUAUCCACGAAGUGGAAACUCAUGAGGGAGAAUCUUCACAGGUGAGAGAUGUUAAAGCCUUGAUCACUCUAAGGAGUGGUAAAAAGGUUGAGUCACCAACACCCAAGCUAUAUCUUGAAGAGAAGGAAGAAGAAGAGACAAAGAAGAGGGAGGAAAUGAAAGGAAAUAAGUAAGAUAUCAGUGAAGAGAAGGAGGACCGUGAAUCAAUAGUGAAUGCAAAUCCGGAGAAAGAGCUUAUUAAGGAAGAAUUGAUGAAGAAACGCACAUCUCCACCUUUUCCUCAAGCUUUGCAUGGGAAAAAGGGGAUAAAAAAUGCAUCAGAAAUCCUUGAAGUAUUGAGCUAAGUGAAGGUCAACAUUCCAUUGCUGGACAUGAUUAAGCAAGUUCCAACAUAUGCAAAGUUCCUAAAGGACCUCUGUACUAUCAAAAGAUGGUUGAAUGUGAAUAAGAAAGCCUUCUUGACUGAACAAGUAAGUGUCAUCAUACAAUGCAAAUCUCCUUUGAAAUACAAAGAUCCGGGAUGUCCUACCAUUUCAGUCAUGAUUGGAGGAAAGGUAGUGGAAAAAGCUUUGUUAGAUUUGGGAGCAAGUGUGGAUUUGCUACCAUACUCUGUUUAUAAGCAAUUAGGACUUGGUGAAUUAAAGCCAACAUCAAUAACCCUAUCUUUAGCUGAUAGGUCAGUGAAAAUUCCAAGGGGGAUAAUUGAGGAUGUUUUAGUUCAAGUUGAUAAUUUCUACUAUCCAGUAGAUUUUGUUGUUCUUGAUACUGAUCCUUUAGUUAAGGAAGCUAAUUAUGUUCCUAUCAUCCUUGGAAGGUCAUUCCUUGCUACUUCAAAUGCAAUCAUAAAUUGUAGGAAUGGACUUAUGCAACUUACUUUUGGCAACAUGACACUUGAGCUUAAUAUCUUUCAUAUGUCAAAGAAGCUGAUUACUCCGGAAGAAAAAGAAGGUCCAGAAGAGGUAUGCAUUAUUGACACUCUAGUGGAGGAGCAUUGUGAUCAGAAUAUACAAGACAAGUUGAAUGAAAGUCUUGAGGAUCUUGAAGAAGGGUUGUCUAAACCCACUAAUGUGCUUGCUACUCUACAAGGUUGGACGAGGAACCAAGAGAUCUUACCUUUAUUCAAUAAAGAGAAGGGACAAGAUGAUGUAACAGAAGAAUUCCCGAAGCUCAAUUUGAAACCUCUACCCAUGGAGUUAAAAUAUACAUACCUGGAAGAAAAUAACCAAUGUCCUGUUGUUAUAGCUUCAUCUCUUACCGGUCAUCAGGAGAUUUCUCUACUUGAAGUUCUUAAGAAGUGCAAGAAAGCAAUAGGAUGGCAAAUAUUUGACUUGAAAGGAAUCGGUCCUUUGGUUUGUACACAUCAUAUAUAUAUGGAGGAAGAAGCUAAACCAAUUUGUCAACCUCAAAGAAGAUUGAAUCCUCAUUUACAAGAAGUGGUGCGAACUGAGGUACUGAAGCUACUCCAAGCGGGUAUUAUUUAUUCCAUAUCAGACAGCCCUUGGGUGAUUCCUACUCAAGUGGUACCAAAGAAGUUAGGUAUUACUGUGGUUCAGAAUGAAAAAGACGAAGAAAUUGCUACACGCCUCACUUCAGGUUGGAGGGUGUGUAUUGACUACAGGAAAUUGAAUGUUGUGACAAGGAAAGAUCAUUUUCCACUCCCAUUUAUUGAUCAAGUGCUGGAGAGAGUCUCUGGCCAUCCUUUCUAUUGUUUCUUGGAUGGGUACUCAGGGUAUUUCCAAAUUGAAAUUGAUGUUGAAGAUCAGGAGAAGACCACUUUCACAUAUCCGUUUGGAACAUACGCCUACAGAAGAAUGUCUUUUGGUUUAUGCAAUGCACCUGCAACAUUCCAAAGAUGUAUGCUUAGUAUCUUCAGUGAUAUGGUGGAGCGAAUUAUGGAGGUUUUCAUGGAUGAUAUCACCAUAUAUGGAGGUACAUUUGAAGAAUGCUUAGUAAAUUUGAAAGUGGUUCUUAAAAGAUGCAUUGAAAAAGAUUUGGUGCUCAACUUGGAGAAAUGCCAUUUUAUGGUACGUCAAGGAAUUGUCCUUGGCCAUAUCAUCUCUGAGGAAGGCAUUGAAGUUGAUAAAGCAAAGGUGGAACUUAUUGCCAAAUUGCCAUCCCCAACCACUGUAAAAGGAGUAAGGCAAUUUCUUGGCCAUGCAAAGUUCUAUAAGAGGUUUAUACAAGAUUUCUCUAAGCUGUCAAGGCCUCUUUGUGAAUUUUUAGCUAAGGAUGCUAAGUUUGUCUGGGAUGAGAGAUGUCAAAAGAGUUUUGAUCAAUUGAAGCAAUUUUUGACAAUCGCUCCAAUAUUAAGGGCUCCUAACUGGCAAUUACCCUUUGAAGUAAUGUGUGAUGCCACUGACUUUGCUAUAGGAGCUGUACUUGGCCAAAGAGAAGAUGGGAAACCCUAUGUGAUCUACUAUGCAAGCAAAACAUUGAACGAGGCUCAAAAAAACUACACAACUAUAGAGAAAGAAUUGUUAGCUAUGGUAUUUGCUUUAGACAAGUUUCAUGCUUAUUUGGUAGGGUCUUUCAUCAUUGCUUUCACUGACCAUUCAACCUUGAAGUAUUUAUUGACAAAGCAAGAUGCAAAAGCAAGGUUGAUUAGAUGGAUUCUUUUGUUACAAGAGUUUGAUCUCCAAAUCAGAGACAAGAAAAGGGUAGAGAAUGUGGUAGCUGACCACCUUUCAAGGUUGGCUAUAACACAUAAUUCCCAUGUAUUACCUAUUAAUGAUGACUUUCCCGAGGAAUCACUUAUGUUGCUAGAGAAAGCUCCUUGGUAUGCUCAUAUUGCUAACUAUUUGGUUACUGGUGAAGUUCCAAGUGAGUGGAAAGCGUAAGACAAGAAGCACUUCUUUGCAAAGAUUCAUGCUUAUUAUUGGGAAGAGCCCUUCCUUUUCAAGUAUUGUGCAGAUCAGAUCAUAAGGAAGUGUGUCCCUGAAGAAGAGCAAUAAGGGAUCCUCAGCCACUGCCAUGAGAAUGCCUGUGGAGGCCACUUUGCCUCUCAGAAAACAACCAUGAAGGUCUUGCAAUUAGGGUUUACUUGGCCAUCGCUUUUCAAAGAUUCCCACAUCAUGUGUAGGAGUUGUGAUAGAUGUCAAAGACUCGGGAAGCUUACAAAAAGAAACCAAAUGCCCAUGAACCCCAUCCUUAUAGUUGAUCUUUUUUAUGUUUGGGGUAUUGACUUCAUGGGACCUUUCCCAAUGUCUUUUGGUAACUCUUAUAUAUUGAUGGGGGUGGACAAUGUUUCCAAAUGGGUGGAGGCAAUCCCCUGUAAACAUAAUGAUCACAGGGUGGUUCUCAAAUUUCUCAAGGAGAACAUCUUCUCAAGAUUUGGGGUGCCAAAGGCCAUAAUCAGUGAUGGAGGUACUCAUUUUUGCAACAAACCUUUUGAAACCCUAUUAGCCAAGUAUGGAGUGAAGCAUAAGGUAGCUACACCUUAUCAUCCUCAAACUUCCGGGCAAGUGGAGCUAGCAAACAAGGAAAUAAAAAACAUACUGAUGAAAGUGGUGAUUACAAGCAGAAAAGAUUGGUCUAUUAAGCUACAUGAUUCAUUAUGGGCAUAUAGAACAGCUUAUAAGACUAUUCUUGGCAUGUCUCCCUAUCGUCUCAUCUAUGGCAAAGCAUGCCACCUCCCUGUGGAAGUUGAAUAUAAAGCUUGGUGGGCAAUCAAGAGGUUGAACAUGGACUUGAUCAGAACUGAGGCAAAAAGGUGCUUAGACCUUAAUGAGAUGGAGGAAUUAAGAAAUGAUGCUUACAUCAAUUCCAAAGUUGCAAAACAGAGGAUGAAGAAGUGGCAUGAUCAACUAAUCUCCAAAAAAGAAUUGUGGAAAGGAUAGAGAGUCCUACUCUAUGACUCAAGGCUCCAUAUCUUUCCAGGGAAGCUCAAGUCAAGGUGGAUAGGUCCUUUCAUUAUUCACCAAGUACAUCUCAAUGGAGUGGUGGAAUUACUAAAUUCCAAUGGCAUAGACACCUUCAGAGUCAAUGGUCAUCGCCUCAAGCCAUUCAUUGAAUAGUUCAAGCCAGAAAAGGAGGAAAUCAACCUCCUUGAACCACAAAAAUCCUUAUCAGAGAAGGGUUAGAUGGACUUGGUUUCACCAAAGUCCAUAAUUUUGUUAAAUAUGUUAAUUUUUAAGUUUUGUAAAUUAUUUGAUUGUAAUUUUAGUCUUGAAAUUUUGUAAAUUGUAACUAACUUAAUCUUUUUGAAUGAUUAAAAUCAGGAGGAAUUGCAAGAAAAGCGAAAGAAGCUACUCUUUGCUCCUCAGAGCCAUCACAGGCCCCUCCUUUUAUUGAUCAGCCUUUGCCUCAUCAGGAGCCUCCUACAGGAGAGGCAGCUGAGCCAUCAUUUCCACAGCAUGACUCCACGUCACUCAGGAGGUACCACUUCCUCCCUAUUUUUCAAUCGCUUUUGUCACAUUGAGGACAAUGUUCAGCUUGGUUGGGGGAAGAGUUGAGAAAUGAAGUUUUUAUUGUUAAUGCUAAGUUAUUUUGGUAAUUUAGUUGCUUUUUGCUUAAUUUUAAAAUUUUUUAAAGUUUUUUUAUUCUACUCUCCAUGGUUAUUAAGGAAAAAUUUUCAAAUUGAAAUGGGAGAAAUUGAAUUUUUGUCUUUUUACUUGACUUAGAUUUUGUAUUAUGCUUACUAAAGUUGAUGAAUUGUUGAAACUUCUAUUGAAUUCAACCUUAGUUCUUCAACUUUAAGCAUUCACACACUGUGCACAAUAGGUUCUGAUUAUAAGAUGAAAAACUAUUUCCCUCUUGACUUAGGAAAAUUUUAGACUUGGUACAUUUGACCUCAAUUUAAUAGUGUUGGGACACCUUAUAAAAGGCCAAUGAGCCUUUGAGAAAAAAAAAAAGAAUAAAGAAAAAAAGAAAAAAAAUGUUUGCUUGCCUUGAAACCCGAGCAAGGUCUGAGGGGUAUAUGAUGAAAAUCUUUAAAACCUGGUGCCCUAAGCCCUCAUUGGUUGGGAGUCACUGACCUCAAUGCUCGUUACAAGGAUGGAUAGGUGGAGUUUAACAUACUGUAGGUGCUUAGGCAUUAAAAUUUAUUCUCAAAAGUCUGGGAUAAAAUUCGAGGAGUUAGUGGUUGAAAGAUCCUUAAAGCUUGAUGCCCUAAACCUUAAUUGGUUGGGAGUCAUCGAUGGACCCCCGUUACAUGGCAAAUUUAGAAAAGAAUACUUUUAAGCCUUGUACUCCUACAAUGAAAAAAAAAAUGUGAACAAAGAGGUGCGUUCUUAACCUAUUAGAGGUUGAUUAGUUUUCUAAGUUGUGAAAAAAAACUAGGUUGGGGUGAGAGGUUAGUUCAACAUACUAUAUUCAGAAACUAAUAAAUAACACGUAGAUUUUUGUGGAAGAGUAAGGUUUGACCCUUUGGGAGUGGAAACUCUUUUAAAGCUUAAAUUUGCAUAAUGCCUUCUCUUUAAGAAAUAUGAUUAGACAAGUUAUUUGAUAACUCUUGUUGAAGUUUGAGUUUUAUUUCUUUAAUGUUCCAUGUGAGAGUUAGAUCAUCAUGCCACUUGAAAAUUGUUUUUUGAUCAGCAUGAUGUUGUAAAUUAUAAUACUGUUUAUUUUUAUUUUUCUCUCUUUCAUUGCUAAGGGACUAGCAAUAUGUCGGUUGGGGGGAGUGAUUACUACUCAAAAAAUGUUAUUUGAUAGCUUGUAAUAAACUCUUUUAAACACUUUUGAGUAGUGGUUAUCACCUUUUAACCCAAUUAACAUAUUAAAGACUCUUGUAAUCAAUUCUAAUCAAAUUGUGUUAAGUUUUGGUGUUUUGAUAGCUUUUUUAUCACCAAAGCAAUCAGAGAUUGAGGAGAGUUCUUUGGGAUCCUUGGCAAAGCAAUGGAAAGCUCAGAAACAUGAAGAAGUGAAGCUUCGAAAUCCUUUGCCAUAAGCAAAUCCGGAAUGCAAGGAGUAAAAGAUGUCCGAACACACCAUCAGAUGGCGGUGGAAGUCAAUGAUCCGGACAACAUAUCCGGAUAGGAGAUGCUAUCGUCUGAGUGUGAUGUUCACAAGUGUCGUGUGCUUCUCCCUGAGGGAGUCCGGAUAAGGGAGCGCGCCACAUGUCCUCUUAGGGAAUCCGGAUGGAGUUGAUCCGAAUAGCCUUGCGCACUCUGUGUCAUCCGGGAGAGGGGUCCCUACACCUUGCACACGCAGAUGGUCCCCCUUGCACAGCAUAGCUCAGUCCACCCGGGGAGGAAUUCCAUGCGCCGACAUUUCAUAUCCAGAAUUCUGUGCGCCGACAUUUUGCAUCCGGAUAUCUCAUAGCCGGAUGGGAGAGGAGGACGUUUCAACUUCUCCGGUCAGACAUAUCCGGAUCCUUUGAUAGCGCUUACCUGGAGAGUUUUUCUCUCAGUAUACAGUGUUGCGGUGUUCUCCUAAAGCUUCCUGAUAUUUCCGACCGACAUCUUGAGAUAUUUUGCUUUAAAUAUUUGUUGUCUAAAUCCCCAAACUCUCCUUGUAAUCCACCUAUCAUAGGAUUCCUUAGUCUUUAAGUAAGAACAAAGGGGUGAAUAACCUCAUAUAUAUAGUUUGUAAUUUUCUUUACAGAGGAUAUUAUGUAAUUAGGGGAAAAAAGAAAUAUAUUUCACAGAGCACUUGCUCUAUUUUUCCUUCAUAUAAUUUUUUUUCUCAUUAGUUUUCCUACUAGCCAAACAAGCUCUAAGGAAGUUUCCUCAGAGAAUUAGUGGCUAGACUUUUAGUUCCUUGGAGUUAAGGUUGCCGGGAAAGGUUUCAAGUGCAAGAAUUAGUAGCUUUGUGGUUUCAAUCAUUAAUGAAAAGAAAGUGUGAUCCUUUAAUGAUUUCUAUGUUUUUAGUUAACUUAAAACACCUUCAAUUCACUUGAGCCAACACUUGGUAAGGCACAUGAUCUCCGUCCAUGGAGAUGCACUUGUUUAUCUCUUGCGAGCUUUUAGGAAGUGACUUGGAGGUAGGAUUUUCUAGAAUUGCCAACACUUGGUAAGCUUUUGGACUCCAAUGAGACAUCCAUUAGUUAUCUCUUGCAAGCUUGAGAAGGGAAGUCCAAAGUUAAAGAUCACCUUGAAUGGAAAAUGCUAGGUGAGAGGCACGAGUCAUUGCAAGUUGCAUCAGUGAAAGGGAAUUAGAGCUGAAAUCCAUUUAAAGGUUACAUCUGUGCAACACCGGUUAGAGAAUUGACUAUAUGUUAAUUCUCUAAUGCGAGGAAAUGAACCAAAUGACCAGAGCUCUGUUUUUACAUAAGGAACCUUCCCUGUGAACCUAAACCUCCAAGGAAUGUUUUUCUUCAUAAGUAAUUUCCAUUACUUUCUUUUUAGUUAGCUUUAAACAAAACCUCAUUUAAACAAAGUUUGUGUUUUAUUUCUUAAGCUAACCUUGAAAUGAAAAAGCACCAAUUUACUUUGAAUUGGUAUCAGUUGUGAGUUGAAAACCCUUCCCAGUGAAUGAUCCUAGAGCCACUAUGCUAUAUUAGCUAAGCUAUCCUAAUGCAUGGUGAUAUAGGUUAUAAAUUUUGUUGAUUACUCUCUCAAUCAAAGAGCACCAGCUGGACAUGAGUCAGCUGAGACACCAAUUGGGAACGAAUCAUUCAUGUAUUUGAGCUUCAACUUGCAUUGCCAUUGAUUUCACAAAAUUCUCCCUCUUCUUGUCUUGUUUCAAUGAUAAAAAAGCUACCAAAAACACCAAAACUUGCUAAAAACUAAUUAGUAACCCUCAAUAGGUUCCUUAAUGUGCCAAUUGAGUUAAAAGGUAUUAACUACUACUCAAAAGUGUUUAAAAUAGUUAGUUUCAAGCUAUAAAAUAGUACUUUUUGAGUAGUAAUCAGUUUGGAGGUUGUAGCUUUGAUUUUCUUAUAUACACUCCAAAACGACGUUGUUUUGAUGCUAUUUUUUAAAAAAAUUAAUUUAAUUGAACUGGCCGGUUCGGAGGGAACCAACCGGUUCGUAUGGCUCAUCGAUUGGACCAUCUGUUCAAGCGGUCUGACCCCGGUUCAAUGCAAUUCCGAUCCAAUUGACCGGACCGGACAGGAACCAUGACCGGCCAAUAGUCAGACCAAUCGGUCAAGUCUGAUUUUUAAAACCAUGGGUUAUACAUCAAGAGCAUGGUAAUGGUUUGUAACAUGUAAAUCAUCAGAAAAAUAUAUACAAAUAAGUAAGCUAUAAAAAUUAAUAAAAUAAAUUUGUCUCACAUUUAACAUUAUUUAAAUAGUUAUAAAAGUAUUCACUCAAAGUUAUUUAUGAUAAUGCUAAUAAAAGAAAAUUAUUUUUUUUCAAAUAUAAUAACAUUUUUACUAAUAAACAUACAAUACAAUAAUCAAUUCCAUGUUGAAUGAUGAGGGGGUUCAAAAUCAUCAUCAUCAGUCCUACGAUGAGUAUACAAAUUAGGAUGGUAAUUCCCAUAGUGAGGAUAUGGUUGAAAGAGUUGUUCAUAACUCGAAUAUGUUGACUGAGAUGAUUGGCUUGAUGAUCCAUAAUCAGAAAAAUAUGAUUUCGAAGGCUAUUCAGGAUCAACACCAUAUUGAUAGUAUCCAAUACCUCGAUAGGCAAUGCUAUUGCUAUUAGAAGAUUGAUCAUAUCCAUAGGAAUCACUAGCUCAUGUUCCAGUAUUUGAAUAUCCCUCUGGAUGCAUCAUUGGAAAUCGAUCAAAAUCAUUUCUACUAAAAGUACUGGAAGAGCUAUCAUAGUCUCUAAAGUUGUGAUAUGAUCUAUCAUCUACUCCUUUGAAAUACGACCUUCAUCCUAUACCCAAAUUCUAUAAGUGCUCAUCAAUACGAUGAUAAUUUGAUCUAUGAUAAUCAUGCCCACUAGAAUAAUCAUCAUCGUUGGGAAAUGUAGUUAGUCUUUUCAAAUGCUUUCAUUGUUCCCAUAUCCCUGGCGAUAUGCAUGAUUUGUAUCUUGUGUGGUAUAGUAAUUUUCAUCUCCUUGUGCCCAUGACAUGCCUUGAUCUACUUGGCUAACAUAACCGCCACCAGUGCUACCAUCUCCUCCAGUACCUUCACUAGUGCCACCAACUCCUCUAUUGUCCCUACUAGUGCCACUACCCCGCCUACUGCUCCCAUUAUCACCAUCAUCACUUCUAGAGCUUGAAAAAUUGUUCCAAGAGUCUUACCUUCAUGACGGGAAUCAAUAUCUCUUUCUUGUGUAGCAUUACUUAUACGCCUACUAACUCUACGAUUUAUGGCACUAUCAUCUUCAUGAAUUGUUCCUCUACCUUCUUCAUUAGGGGUAAGACCUUUAUCCAACCAAUCCAAAUUAUCAGAUGAAAAAAUAGGCUAUUUUCCUUCUCGUAUUCACUCAUCCAAUAUAUCAUCAUCAUUAAAGAUAUGAUUCAGAUAAAUUGAAUUGUAUAAAUCUUCAUUGUUUCGCUCUUGCAUCAAAUUCUUAACUCAAAGUCUCAUAUUGUAGUGCACAUAAACUAACUUAUGCAACUUUUUCAUUCCUAAAUGGUUACACAGCUUUGUGUGAAUCAAUGACCAUGUGAUCUAAUUUCUUUAACAACCUGAUGAAGAACAAGUUUGGCUUAAAAUUUUAACAGUAAUCUUUUGUAGAUGUGGACUUUUGUUGUCAUAGUUGUUCCACCAUUCGGCUAUAAUAAAGAAAAUGCAUACUUAUUAAUCACUAUGAUAUAUUUAACAAAAAAUGAUGAUAAUUUCUUAUUUGUAAUAGACAUAAAUGUAUUGAGUACUUGGAAGAGAUUGAUUUAUUGCUUUCUUUGUAAGUGCACUUUUUUUAUAUAAUAUAGAAAUAUUUGGUUAAAAGGGAUUAAAUAAUUUGUAAAUUGUGAAUUUAACUCUUCUCAUGUUUUUUCUUAAAAAAGUAACUCAAUUUUAACAUAAAUGUCAUUUAUCAUUUAAAGUAUUUACAUAUAGGUUUUUAAGGAGAUGAUUAUUUUUACAAGAAAAUAAUGAGAGCAUUUGUCCAAAUGAGGCCAAAAGAUGGUGGAAGGUCAAAUUUCAAAAAUUGGGUAUUCCAAAACUCUUUUAAUCAAAUAACCUUAUAAUAUAUUACCAAAGACUAACAAAACACUUUUUUUCCCAUUAAUUGAUGUUUUUUAUUAAAAAAAAAAAGAAAAAGAAAAAGAAAAAGAAAACGCUUAAAAUGAAAUCGUUGCUAACAAAAGGGCUAUAAAUAAAAACGUUUUAUGGUAUUUGUUUGACAACAAAUUUUAUGAGAAUAAUUUUUUUGUAGUAAAAUAUAUUUGACCAAAAAUUUUAUUUUAUUGUAAGAGGGCGAGCUUCCACCAUAAAUUUUAUUUUGGCAAAAAGUUAUUUUUUGAUAUGUCGCCAUAAAUUGUAUUUUGUGGUGAAAAGUAACUUCUUGUCACAAUUUUUAUUUUGUAGAGAAAUUAUUUAUUUUAUUAUGAAAUUAAAUUUAAUGGUUAAAAAUAAUUGUUUAUGAACUUACAACAAUAAAUUUGCACCAAAUAAUUUUUUGUGGAAAAAAAUCUUUUACUAUAUAGAACAUUUUUUUUUAAUCACAAAUUAAUUUAUGGCAAAAUCCCAUAUUUCACUUUCAAUGAUCUAGUUUAGGAAUUCCAUGGAUAUCACUUUAAUCGUUUAGCACUUUCUAACUAAGGAAGUUGAAGCCAUUUAGAAAUUGGUUGUUUUAGUAACAAAUUUUAGGUAUUUAAAAUUAUGUUGUUAAAAAGUAUUCUAAGAACUAAUUAAAAUAUGAUAAGAUAAAAAUAAAAAAUAAAAAAAAAUUGUUUUUUGUUUGAUAAAAACCAUUUAAAAAAAAAACUAUGAACAGAAAUAAUUAUGUAGUAGUUAGAUUUUAUUUUACCCUAUUAGGGGCUACUCCCGAAAUCCACUUUUUGUUAUUUCAUAUCUCCUUUUUGUUUUAUUUUAUAACGUGUGGUAGAAUAUGGAAGAGAUUCAAAUUUAGUAGGUGUUUAUUUUCUAAUCAUUUAAAUUUAUUAAACAAUUUAUUUAUUUAUUUAAUAAAAAAAGUUAUUAAUUAGUAUCAAACAUGAGUCAUUCCUACACUAGUAGUGCAUGAGAGUCUCCUUGUAGUGGAAGAGUUAUUAAGUUCAUAUCCUAUUAAGGCAAUUUGAGAGAAACAUGAAGCCAAUUACCAAUGGGAAGUAGGUUCCUUCACUCUACAGACAUGUUCAUAUGCAAAUGUAAGAAUGAGAGACUAUGCCAAUAGCUAAAAUUGAAGGUUCUUGAGAGGGAUUUGGUUGAAAGAUUUGAGCACUGAAACACUUAUGAUCUGAUUUGAAUGAGAAAACAAUCAAAUGGUAAAUACAUAAAAAGUCAAUUUGACAUGAUAAAGCCACUCAAACCUCAAUCUUGGUGGUGAUGUUUAUCGUGGUGUGCAUGCGUGUUAAUGUUUAGUGAUAUUAAUUCAUGUAACUUUAUAUUUUCCAUGAAUUAAUAUUGGAUUGUUUAAAAUUGAAAAAAAAAUGGAAAAUUUUAAAAGUUAAUAACAGAAAAACUAAAAGAACAAUUGAGAAAUAAUAGAUUUAUAUAACUGUUUUCUAAACGCACAUGCGUGUUAAGGUUUUGGGAAUGAAAGCACACCUCGGUGCAGAGUGCAUGGAAUUGCCAAUAUUUUUGGCAUCAACGCAGACUUCUUGAUUUUCCCAAAGUUGGGGCUUGAAACUCCUAAUAUUUUGGGAUCAACGGCCCAUAACCAAGUUUUCCUAAAAAAUAUUGAUAGAUAUUUUGACAAAAAUAUUGAUAGAUAUUUUGACAAAAAUAUCGGUCAUGUGAUAAUUAUUCAAAAUUCAUGAAAAUAUUUGAAAAAAAAAAUUUUGAGGAUAGUACACUGGUUUAAAAACAAGUGGCCAAAACCAACUAUAUUAGAAUUUAGACCUUUUUUUCUUUUUAAAUGAUUUUAUUUCAAGGAUUAUAUAAUGGGCCGAAACUCCCGGCUCAUUCAAAAGUCUUUCUGUAGCACAAAUAUCUUUUAGGAAGAAGGUUAGAUUUUGGGAGAAUUGUGUUUUGGGCCCAGCUGGGCCCAAAAAUUAACAAAUGGUCCAUCUAAUUGACCUAAUUAAUGAUAAGGAUAUCAAAUGUUAAUAGACGAAAAUGCCCUUUACAUUUCCAAUUCAAAUUGUUGUAAAUUAAUGGGUUUCACAGCUGGUAAACGUGAAAUGCCAUGUCACCAGAGUGAAAAUUCUGAAUCUUCCUACCAUUUUCUCUCCCUCUAUAAACAACAUACGCACAAACGAUGCCGACCUUAACUGUCUCCCAAUCUCUUUCUUCAGCAGCCAAGGAUUGUGAGCAUUUCAGAAAAGCUUUUGUAGGUAUUUUAUCAAUGAUCAUUCCCAAAUCCAAAUGAUGGGGGUCUGAAUUAUUUGCUGAUAUUUUGAUUUUAUCAGGUUGAGGCGUUUGUAGGUAUUUUAUCAUCAUCGUCCAGAGAGAAUAAAUGGGAGCGUUUGAGAUGGAGAAGGUGAAAGGUGGGAGUCCCUACGGUGCAGGAACUUACGCUGGGGACGGCUCAAGACAACCAUCUGAGCUCGAAUUGGAGCAAGGUUUCCACCAGGGGAAGUACAUUGCUGGCAUCACAAAGAAGCUCAAGGAUGCAGCUUAAUAUCCAUUCCCUAUUCUGAGAUUGUUUUGCAUUCUUCCAUUUUUUUUCACUUCUAGAAUUUAAGUUCCGUAUUUCUAUUGGAUUGCCAAAAAACAAAAAAAAAAAAAAAAGAAUAAUUGUUGUUGUGUUUGGCAUAUGCUCUAUGUGUUGAAUGUACUCAGAACAUUGGUUUGCUCAUCCAACUUGAAAAAAUGUCCUCUUUCUCCCCCUUUCACACUAAACCCAGAAUUUUAUAUUGGUAACAAAUAAUCCCUGUCAUUUUCUAUUGGUUUCUGGGUAUAGAUUAGGUAGGUGAGAGGUCCUUUCUUUCAGCAGUGAAGGUUGGAAAUUUACUGGGAUUGAGAAUGUUAGCCGGGGGGGGGGGGGGGGGGUUUAAUCAUACACACCACCUGGAUUCUACCAAUAAAGUCCUUCGGAAUGUAAUCUAAAUUUUGGCCUAAUCUUUGAUGUUACAGAAGGAAAGAAGGGGUGGAGAUGAUACACUCCACAGAUUGGACAGCUAACAAGUACCUACUACUAUUGACUAUGUAUUAAUUUCCUAUUAACAAGUAAAACAAAUGGCAUUGAUUUUGUUUUACUAGUUUCUGCUUGAAUUCCUAAAUUUUCUUUUUGAAUAUUUUUCUUGUCUUAGCCCACUCCACCCAACUUUUCCUUUCUCGUUUUUUUUAUUAGUAUCUGAAACAAUUCUUAUUUCGUUGAGCAAUGUAUAUUCUUGCAAAAAAUGAAUUAAAAAAUUAAUUUGUGCCCAAUUAGUUUGGUGUAAAUGUCAUCCACAUUUAUCUCAUGUAAUUUUAAUUGGAAAUAUUUAGUGUUUAUGGGAAUAAACAGGAAGCUUGAAAUUGCUAAUCAUUGGCAUUAAAUUGAAGCAGGUUUAGAAAUGAAAAUUCUGGAUUAGGAGAGAAUGGAUGAGAAGGAGAAUUGCGGACAAAAGAAAAUAAUGUCUCCCUGUUUGGCUCUGAAGAAUUGCUUGGAUGAGAAAAUGGUGAGUACUCUAAAAGUGAGCCACAGUUAGAAGCAUUUUGGUCUUCUUCAGAGUUUCCUCGUAAAUUGUAGACAAUUGUUAGGCCUGGUGCCACAUGUGAUGUUUAAAAAGUUGUUCACUAGUUGAAUGGAACCCAUCUUUAGGCAUGCUUUUUACUGAAUAAAAUAUAUGUUUGAAUAAUAAUUUGCCAUGCUUAACAUAUAAUCUUCUUUUGAAUUCUAGCUAGAAAGUUGGAAUUAACUUCAAAUAACUUCACAUUAAUGGACAAAUUGCUAUUUUUUAAUUUCCUUGUAUUGUUACAAAAGUAUAGGGAACAAAUUGAGACUUCAGUUUUUCCUUAUUUUAUUAACCAAAAGAUUGCAAUCAUGAUUAACCUAUGCAUGAGUAUACAUUCAGUAGUGGUUGUAUGGAAUUUAUGUCUGUGUACAAGACAUUUACACUAAGUGUACAAGGUACCUGUGCUUAAUGUACAAGGGUGUACAAAUGUACCUAUGUUGAAGUAUUUGCAAUGUUUUAAAAUCAUUUCCAUUUUGAAAGGAUGAGGAACAUUCCCUCACACACAUUCCUUGAUCACGCACUCAUCCCCUUCAAUUUUAUUACUUCAUACAUGUUGAUUGGAUGACCAACGACAAUAAUGAUGAAUAAGAACCUAUAUUGGGUUUCACUUCCCCCUUUUCCCUUCCCCAUUUUCCCUUAGGCAUCACAUUGGAACAUGGUAGCUCACCCAUAUGCACGCUAUUAGUUUUAGGUAUGUCAAAUUUUUGCCAUUGUAUAAGACAUUUACACUAAGUGUACAAUGCAAAUGUGCUAACUGUACAAGUGUGUACAAUGCUACAUAUGUUGAAGGAUUUCAAAUGGUUUUGAAUAAAUUGCUUGCUUAUUUUAUUUUUCUAAGGGUGACAUUCCUCAUAGACAUUCCUCAUUUACAUUUCUACACAUUCAUUGGAUGAGAUAGCGCGCUUAUAAUGAAUAAGAACCUCGAUUUGGUGUCAUUUUUCCCCUUUUCAGUGAGCCAUGACAUUGGAACGUGGUUAACCUGGCCAUAUGCACUAGUUCUGUUGUAUCUAUGUGGAAUUUCUGCAACUGUACAAGGCAUUUAAACUAAGUGUACAAGGCCAAUGUACUAAAAGUACAAGGGUGUACAAGGGUGUGUAUCUUACUUUUUCCAAACGUGGGGAACAAUCCUCACACAUGUUGCUUGAUAACACACGCAUUGCAUGCAAUUUAAUUGAUGUCUACCAUGUUCAUUCAUCCUAUUAGCUUCCCUAGUAAUGAUGAAUAUGAACCAAAAUUAGGGUAACCUUUUGUGUCAUUUUCCCUAGUCCAUGGUAAUGGAAACAUUGGUUGCCCACCCAUAUUCACUUGAAAAUAUGUACCUAUUAGGGAUUUGGUGACUGGACAAGGCAUUUACACUAAGUGUACAAAGCAAAUGUGCUAACUGUACAGUGUGUACAAGGGUGCCUAUCUUGAAGAUUUCAAAUGCUUUUGAAAAAUUGCUUGCUCAUUUAUUUUUCCAGGGGACAUUCCUCAUUUCCCUUCGUNNNNNNNNNNNNNNNNNNNNNNNNNNNNNNNNNNNNNNNNNNNNNNNNNNNNNNNNNNNNNNNNNNNNNNNNNNNNNNNNNNNNNNNNNNNNNNNNNNNNCAUUCCUCAUUUCCCUUCGUACACAUUCAUUGGAUGAGAUAGCGCGCUUAUGAUGAAUAAGAACCUCGAUUUGGUGUCAUUUUUCCCCAACUCGGUGAGCCAUGACAUUGGAACGUGGUUAACCCAGACAUAUGCACUAGUUAUGUUGUAUGAUCUAGGUUGAAUUCCCGCAACUGUACAAGGCAUUUACACUAAGUGUACAAGGCCAAUGUACUAAAAGUACAAGGGUGUACAAGGGUGUCUAUCUUACUUUUUCCAAACGUAGGGAACAAUCCUCACACAUGUUGCUUGAUAACACACGCAUUACAUGCAAUUUAAUUGAUGUCUACCAUGUUCAUUCAUCCUAUUAGCUUCCCUAGUAAUGAUGAAUAUGAACCAAAAUUAGGGUAACAUUUUAUGUCAUUUUCCCUAGUCCAUGGUAAUGGAAACAUUGGUUACCCACCCAUAUUCACUUGAAAAUAUGUACCUACUAGGGAUUUCAUGACUGGACAAGGCAUUUACACUAAGUGUACAAAGCAAAUGUGCUAACUGUACAAGUGUGUACAAGGGUGCCUAUCUUGAAGGAUUUCAAAUGCUUUUGAAAAAAUUGCUUGCUCAUUUAUUUUUUCUAAGGGGGACAUUCCUCAUUUCCCUUCAUACACAUUCAUUGGAUGAGAUAGCGCGCUUAUGAUGAAUAGGAACCUCGAUUUGGUGUCAUUUUUCCCUAACUCGGUGAGCCAUGACAUUGGAACGUGGUUAACCCAGCCAUAUGCACUAGUUAUGUUGUAUGAUCUAGGUUGAAUUUCUGCAACUAUACAAGGCAUUUACACUAAGUGUACAAGGCCAAUGUACUAAAAGUAUAAGGGUGUACAAGGGUGUCUAUCUUACUUUUUCCAAACGUGGGGAACAAUCCUCACACAUGUUGCUUGAUAACACACGCAUUGCAUGCAAUUUAAUUGAUGUCUACCAUGUUCAUUCAUCCUAUUAGCUUCCCUAGUAAUGAUGAAUAUGAACCAAAAUUAGGGUAACAUUUUGUGUCAUUUUCCUUAGUCCAUGGUAAUGGAAACAUUGGUUACCCACCCAUAUUCACUUGAAAAUAUGUACCUAUUAGGGAUUUGGUGACUGGACAAGGCAUUUACACUAAGUGUACAAAGCAAAUGUGCUAACUGUACAAGUGUGUACAAGGGUGCCUAUCUUGAAGGAUUUCAAAUGCUUUUGAAAAAAUUGCUUGCUCAUUUAUUUUUUCCAAGGGGGACAUUCCUCAUUUCCCUUCGUACACAUUCAUUGGAUGAGAUAGCGCGCUUAUGAUGAAUAGGAACCUCGAUUUGGUGUCAUUUUUCUCCAACUCGGUGAGGCAUGACAUUGGAACGUGGUUAACCCAGCCAUAUGCACUAGUUAUGUUGUAUGAUCUAGGUUGAAUUUCUGCCACUGUACAAGGCAUUUACACUAAGUGUACAAGGCAAAUGUACUAAAAGUACAAGGGUGUACAAGGGUGUACAAGGGUGUCUAUCUUACUUUUUCCAAACGUGGGGAACAAUCCUCACACAUGUUGCUUGAUAACACACACAUUGCAUGCAAUUUAAUUGAUGUCUACCAUGUUCAUUCAUCCUAUUAGCUUCCCUAGUAAUGAUGAAUAUGAACCAAAAUUAGGGUAGUCUUUAGGCAUGUUGUGUGUUGGUAAUGGUUGAAACUGACCCGAGUAAAUCAAAUGUUGAGUGGAGACUUUAAAACAUGGGUCGAUAUAGUCAUACACAUCGUGUCUCAAUGUGCGGAUCACAGCACAUACAUGUGGACAUGGCAACCCAGACAUUUUCCAUGUUAGACAUGUACACUUAUGUUGCUGCAUAUCCACAACCAAAUAAACAUCUCCAGUAAAAACCUUGAACGUCCCACCCAAAUAGGGCAUCACAGUAAUCGGAGCAGAUAUCAUGAUAUUUGACAUUAGCUUUUCCUUUGUUUUGGGUCCAACCACGCUCUUCCACUUAUCUGUACCAUGCAUAUGGGUGUCCAACAUGGCUACAAGCUUAUCCAUGUGCAUCAUCAACAACGUAUAAAUUGUUUGGUGUCGUUCCUCUCUUAACCACGCAUUGAAGGACUCUGCAAUAUUAGUUGUCAUUUUAUCCCAACGUUUUUUAAGGAACUUUGACAUCGCCCAAUGCUCCGGACUAUUCUCCGCAACCCACCUUGCUAGGUCGCCAUUAAAAUGCACAAGUUUUUCAAACGCCUCAUUGUAGUCUAUAUCCAACCGAGCAUAUGCAAUGUUGUCUAAAAGCAACAAAGCAUCUUCUUUCCCUUUCUUUCCACUAAUGUUUUGCCUGUUGAAGAAGCUUGAAAAGUUCUCUUUCACAUGUCGAUAACAAUAAGCAUGAUUUUCUACCCCAAACAACUCCGAAACACUAGCAAUAUCCCUUGAUGUCUAUCUGAUAUAAUAAUUACUUCUCGACCAUCUAGGACCCCCUUCAAUUUCUCCAAGAACCAAUACCAAUCCUCAUAAUUUUCUGAACCAACCACACCCAAGGCUAGAGGGAACAUUCCAUCAUCUGCAUCAUAUGCAAUGGCAGACAAAAGAGCUCCUUUGUAUGGACCACUUAGGUGGCAAGAAUCAAUAGCCAAUACCGGUCGACACCCCAUGGUGAACCCUUGAAUUGAAAAUGCAUGGGCAAUGAACAAUUGCUUGAAGUGACCUUCAUGAGAAGUGUACUCGGCAAUAGUUCCAGGGUUAAUUUCCCUUAGCCUAUGGCAUAACCAAGGCAAAUACGCGUAGGACGCACGUGGAGAUCCAUAUACACGCUCUUUUGCCUUCUCUUUAAGAUGCCAUGCUUGGUUAUAAGUCAAUUGAACUUCAUGAUCACGUUCAAAAUCCUUGCAAAUUUGUCGAGGAAGGUAUUCCGGAGUUGUUCUAAACACGUCUUCAACAACAACAACACCUCUCUUGGAAGAAACCCGCACCUUAGAUGAACACUCAUCUUGAGCUAUAUGAUUAUGAUUAACUUGGUAAGUAUAAACUCGCAAUAUUUCAUUUCCUUCAACAGCAUGAGCUGUUAUCUUCCAAGGACAAUCCUCAACCGAACACUUUACUGACAUAUGAGUGGGUGAAUUUUUCUUGUACUUGUAUUGAAACCUUCCAGCUAAUGACAUUUGGUAUAUUGCAUUCUGAAACUCAUCUGCAUUCUUAAAUGUAUGUCCGGAACCUAAUAUUGCCUCACGAAACCGAUUCGAUUCCAAAGGGGUGUACUCACUAUCUGCACAAUGCGAUGCAAAACCUCUUGAUAACAUCAUAGUAUUAGGAUUUGCAUUGCAUGAUGCAUUAGACGAAGGAAACGUAGGAUGUGGACCUCUGCAUUUACAUUCAUAACCAAAAUUAGACUACAUAAUGUGUAAAAUUGGUAUUCAUUAAAUUUUAAAUAGACAUCCAAGUGAAAACGCAUUACCCAAGUGCCAACUGUGUAUUCGGUAUAUUUGCCUCUAUGGCUUCCACACCGGGUGACUCGACUAUGUACACAUUUGCAUAGUCAUCACUGUGGGAAACCACGUUAUCCAAGUCAUCCUCAUCUUCUAAAUCUUGGAUGACUCUAGGGUUAAACUUGAGGGUGUAGUGCAUCCUCCUCACAUGAAGGGAAAUGUCGAAUUUUUCUAAGACCUUCUGAGUGAAUUCUUCAAAUGUCAUUCCUUUAUAAAUGUGAAUACCUUUGCUUCUUCCACCAACAUAUUCCCAAAGGCCAUCAUUUUUUUGGACAAGUUUGCCUCCCACAGAAAUAUAACAGUAUAUUCUAUUUGUGGCAUCCAUCAACCUAUUGAAAUAAAGCACAAAUUUAUAUUGUUGAACAAACAAUAAUGCAUAUUCAAUGUGAUCUUAAAAGUUUUUUCAUCUCACAAUAUACUAUGUUCCCAUACGAAAAAGUUAUAUUUUAAAAAAUGUAUAUACAAAAAAUGUAACUUUAAAGGCUUAAAAAAUAAUUUUUGUUGCUCCUUUUGAUUAUUCUAACCAUUGUCAACGGUAAGAUUAUUUUAAGAUAGGCACUAAUAAACAAACGGUGAGUUGAACUAAGAUAUGAAGACCGAGCUUCUCUCUUCUCUUGGACUGAUAAAUACUACCUAACCUAAACAAAACUAAAAAUAAUAAUAAAAAUAAAAAACAAAAAUGAGAAAUGUAAAACUGAAAUGGAAAUUAAAAGAUUGAAAUUAAUAGAUUAAAAAAAUCAUUAAAUUAAAAACUAAGAAAGGCUAUAAAAGGAAAAAAAAAAAACAAAUCUCUAACUUAUUUUCCCUAUCAUUCCCCUUUACUUAUAUAUUCAUAGUUCACAUUUUUAUAAGCAAAAACCUCUCUCUCCAACUACUUUAGUGCUACCCAAUUUGACACUACUACUUACCUAUGCUAAUAAUCUAAUCGUGUCAAUACUUGGAACUUUAAGACAAAACAUCACAACAAUAUCUAGUAAAGUAGGAGGAUUUUGUGUCUGAUUCGACAUAAUACUGCAGAACAUAUAUAUAUACACCAAAAACAUUGGAAUUAUGGAACUAUAAGACAUUCAAUAGGAAAUAAUCCCCCACGUUUUAUUAAGCUCUGACCUAUACUUACACUAGGUAGAAAACAAAUUCUCAUUCUCACUCAAACCCUUAGACAAUUUCAGUUGGUACUACUAUAUCAGACAUGCCUACAAACUUAUUCAAAGAGAAUGGAGAUAUUUAAAUAUUAAUUAUAAAGCGUUGCUUUUCAAAAUAAUAUGAAGAGAUAAUAGCCUAAAAAAUGUAACAAAUACAGAAUUCUCUUCUAAACUAUCAUGUCCUACUUUAGAUGAUUCAUACAAAACCAUAAGCAAUAGUUUAACACAUUUAAGGUUUAAGGGUCAAAAAAACUAAUAGAUAAAAAGAGAUAAAUCUGUUACUUGUGCCUACAUCUCAAGCCAAUGCACCAUAAGAAAACUUUAGGGUUUUUAGGUUAUCCAUUUCCCCUUUCCAUUUUUCCUCUCAUGGUUUUCUAGCAACCAAUUAAACAAUUAUAAAUUAUUUUCAAGUAUAUAUGACAAUUUUUCACAAAUAUUUUUUUGAAUUUAAAAUAUACAAAUAGCAUGAAAAAAAAAUCUAAAAAAAAUUACAAAAAUAUAAUCAGAUCGAUUAAGCCAUGAAUCAUGAGUUGCAGGUAAAGUGCAUUUUCUGUAUUCUCAAGGAUUAAAGAAAAAAUUAUGGUUCAAAAUUUUUCCUUUCUUUUUCUCAUUAUUUUCUCAGCAUCCUAAUAAUAGUAGCAAACCAAGAAGUCAAUUAUUGAAUGGGCACAGUAACUUGAACUCUGGAGAUCAAGUUGAACACAGUUUAGAGAUUUGGACUAAGAAAAUUUAGGUCGAGAUUUAGGCAAUCUACUAACCUCAAAUAUGCAACAAGAGAGACCCAACUGAAAUCCAUACCUUAUUCAAAUUCUCGAGAGAGACGAAUGCGAGAAAAAAUUAAAGAGCCGCAGAGAUUGAGAUGCAAGCGAUGGAGGUGCUCGGGAGGAAGAGAAGAAAACGACUUCUAGGCUUGAAAUGCUGAAGAGAGACCAAAAUUUAGGCAAUCUACUAACCUCAAAUAUGCAACAAGAGAGACCCAACUGAAAUCCAUACCUUAUUCAAAUUUUCGAGAGAGACGAAUGCGAGAAAAAAUGAAAGAGCCGCAGAGAUUGAGAUGCAAGCGAUGGAAGUGCUCGGGAGGAAGAGAAGAAAACGGCUUCUAGGCUUGAAAUGCUGAAGAGAGACCAAAAUUAGGGCAAAAUUCCAAAAAGCCACAGAGAUUGAGAUGCAAGCGAUGGAGAAACUCGGGAGGAACAGAAAAAACGGCUUCUAAGCAGAUAAGAAAACGACUUCUAGGUAGAGAAGAAAACGGCUUCUAGGCAAAGAAGAAAUCGGCUUCUAGACAGAGAAGAAAACGGCUUCUAGGCAGAGAAGAAAACGACUUCUAGGCAGAGAAGAAAAUGGCUUAUAGGCUUGAAAUGCUGAAGAGAGAAAAUUAGGGCAAAAUUCCCAAGAGCCGCAGACGAAGAGAAGAAAACGGAGGCUUGAAAUCUGAAGAGACACCAAAAUUAGGGCAAAAUUCCUACCUGGAUUUUUUUUGUUUAUUAUUUUUUUUUUUCAUAAUCAGCAAAGGUUAUUUUUGGAAUUAAUAAAAGUGCAUAUCCUUCUUUUUAAUUUUGACACUUCCUAUGGGUUUUCAGCUUAAAUGGGUCGGUUAGAUUGACCAUUUGUUAAUUUUUGGGCCCAGCUGGGCCCAAAACACAAUUCUCCCUUAGAUUUUCAUGUUUGUCAGUGUGCCCCCACCAACCAAACAGGGUGAGACAAUCCUCCCUGUAAUAGUUAUGGGCCCAAGCCCCAUGUCUGUCUAAUAAUUGCAUUAGAAUGUGAAUCUCCAACAUCAGAUCCCUGGAAUCACCGGCGAGGGAUGUGGCUCAUGGUACACCACCCAUAGUGGAUGUGGCUCUACCUCUCCAACAAAAGAUUUGAAUAGAUUUGAACCGUAAAAAAUAUGUAUAUGAUGACAAAUAAAUGAGAUUUAAAAAUAUGUAUAAAAUACCACUUUAUGAAUAAUAUUUUUUCAAAAAAAUAUCGAAAAAGUACACUUUAAUAUUAAACUCAAAUCUUAAUAUAGAAGUUGUCACAAUUACCUUGUUUGGGAUAAAACUAAUCAAGAAGGCAAUAUUUGUGUAAUAGAGGUAAAAUGCCAAGUAACGCCAUGUUGGUUUUGUGUUGAAUAUGAAGUAACAUCAUAUUGGUUUUGUGUUGAAAUGUCCAGUCACUUGAUUUUCAAUAAUAUUGAAAUGUAAACUUUAGUAUCUUUUAACAUUUUUGAUAAGCCAAAUCGAAAACUAUAUAUAUGGUUGAUGGUAUAAUUUUUUUUUUUUUUUUUUUUUUUGGAGAAUUAUGCAAUCAUACUAUCUCAAAAAAGUUAGAUAUAUUUUUUAAAAACUUUUACUUUUGACUUUUAAAGUUUAUACAUUUUGAGGAUCGAAUUAUUCACUUCAAUUUUUCUUUUGUUUUUUUUCUUUUAAAGUUCAUACAUUUUGAGGAUCGAAUUAUUCACUUCAAUUUUUCUUCUGUUUUUUUCUUUUAAAGUUCAUACAUUUUGAGGAUGGAAUUAUUCACUUUAAUAGUUAAAAAUCAUUAGCAUGCCAAAAGGCACCAACUUUUUUUUUUUUGUGAAGUUUAUACAUUUUGAGGAUGGAAUUAUUCACUUCAUUUGUCAAAAAGCUCAUCAUCCAUCGUUAUUAAUUUUAUUUUUAUUUUUUAAAUAUUGACAUGUGGAAACCAACCAUGCCACAUGAUUUUUUUUUUCUUUUUUCUUUUCCUUUAUAAUAUCUUCACUUUUUUAUUUUUAAUAUGUUGGCUUCAUAAAAAUUUUUAAUUUCAUUUUUUCCACAAAUUUUCAUAUAUUUAUUUUAAUUAUUUAUGAACAUUUUAAAUAUAAAAUAAUAAAAAAUAAUUAAUGGGAACAAAUUUAAUAUAAAAAUAAACACAUAACAACACAUUUAGAAAUUUAAGACAUAAGAUUUUUUAUAUUCCUAAAAUUUUUUUUAUUUUAUAAGUCUUAUUACAUUGUCAUAUUAUUUUAUUGUUUGUAUUUUUUAAUAUUUUAAAAUUUUUAUAUGAAAAUCCGAUGAUUAUGGUUUUAAUUUUUUACUUGUAAAUUUAACUUUACUAAGUUUUUAACUUUAUAUAUAAUAUAUAUAUAUAUAUAUAUAUUAAAAUGUUUAAUAUUUUUAAUUAAAAAAGAUAAAAACCUGGUUGUGGUUUUAACUUUAAACAUUAUGCUUUGCUAAAAUUUAAAAUUAUUUAUUUAUAUAAAAUAAAAAUAAAAUAUAUUUUUCAUUUAAAAAUGUUUUUAAUAAUUUAUAUUAUUAUUUUUAAUUUUGUUAAAAAUUAAAAUUUUUGCAUACUAAAAUUACACAUCCAUCAACAUAACUUUUGGAAAAGAGAAUAUUACGGUUUUUUUAAGGAAAAAAAGUAUCACUCUUUUAUAAAAAAAUAAUAUUAAAAUAUAUUAAUAGUACCACUAUGAUAGAAAUGAUAUACUCUUUUUUUUCUAGAAAAAAAUGAUAUCACUCUUUUAUAAAAUAAGUAAUAUUGAAAUGUAUUAAAAGUAACAAUUUUAGUGGGAAUGAUAUAUAAUUCUUCUUUGGUUUAGGGUAAGAUAUGCAAAAAUUUUAAUUUUUAAUAAAAUUAAGAGAAAAUUAAUAUAAAUGACUAAAUACAAAUUCUUUAUGAAAAAUAUAUUUUAUUUUUUAUUUUACAUAAUAAAAAAUUAAAAAAUUUAACAAAUCAAAAUAUUAUAACCACAAUCAAGUUUUUAUCUUUUAUAAUUAAAAAUAUAAAACAUUUUAACAUACAAAAAAAAGUUAAAACCAUGACAAAUUUACAUAUCUAUAAAUAAAAAGUUAAAUUUGUUUAUUAUGUAUUUAUUUUUAUAUUCAUUUUUUCAUUAAUUAUUUAUUAUAUGUUAUUAUUCUUAUUUUAUAUUUAAAGUGUUCAUAAAUAAUUAAAAUAAAAAAAUGAAAUUAAAAAUAUUUUAUAAGAAUGUGUAACUAGAAUAUUAUAAAAAGUCAAAAGGUAAAAAUAAAGAAAGAUGAUAAAUAAAAAAAAACAAAAAUAAUAUUACAUGUUGAUAGGUCAUAUAUGAAAUUUUUUUUUAAAAAUUGAUAAACAUGAUUGAAAAAAAAAAAAGACAAAAAAAUUCUGUGGCGAUUGUCAUAUGUUAAUUUUUUUUAAAAAAGAAAAUAAUAAUAACGAGUUCUUUCAAUUGUCAUGUUAAUUUAAAAAUGAAAAAAAAAUGAAAAAAGAAAGAGGAAUGGUAGUUCACGGCUAAGAGAGAAAAGGUAAAAAACAAUAUUGAAAUUUUUUUCAUGUUACGCAUGUUUACCAAAUUUCUUUUUAAAAGUUGUUAAUGAACAUGGCGGGGAACAUGGGGGGCUAAGUCACUAUCAGCAUUCUGUUGUCAUUAUCUUGGUUUGAGGAGUGCCUUGCGAUGCAUGUACAUGUAAUUUUGUAUGUUAAAAAUAAUAUCUGAGGAGUGAGGACAAUGAUUUUAGAUUAAAAUCAAAAUUUGACAAAAUGUCAGUGGGGACUUGGGAAAAACAGUGCCCUGUGCUAUAAAAUCCAUGUUUCUUGCUGCUAUUUUUCACUCAGACGCACGCUUACAAGUCUGCUUCUCUUCCAUUCCUCACUCUGGCAUACAAAGAGACAUAGAAUUAGUUAGCAUUCAUGGGUGGUGGAGAUUUCACAGUAACAGUGAGCAGGAAGGAAGUAGUGGCAGCUGUACUGCCUGUGCAGGAGUAUUGGCUGCCACUAUCUAACCUGGACUUGCUUUUGCCUCCAGUAGAUGUGGGUGUGUUUUUCUGUUACAAGAAGCCACAUGAUUUAACAUUUGGGUCCAUGAUUGGCGUUCUGAAGGAGGCCUUGGCCCAAGCACUGGUGUCCUAUUAUCCAUUUGGAGGAGAAGUUUUGAGUAACUCAGCGGGUGAGCCCGAGCUCCUUUGCAACAAUCGUGGGGUUGAUUUCAUGGAAGCUUAUGCGGAUGUACAACUACAAAACCUCAACUUGUAUAACCCCGAUGAAAGCAUUGAAAGCAAGCUUGUCCCUAAGAAGAAACAUGGCGUUCUGUCAGUCCAGGUAACUCUCUCUCUUUCUCUAUGAUAUGCUAAUCCUAAUUAGUUGUAAUCAUGACAUGCUUAUUGUUAUGUAAAUGAACUAAUGACAGGUGACUGAGCUCAAAUGUGGCGGAGUUGUGGUGGCCUGUACAUUCGAUCAUAGGAUAGCAGACGCAUAUUCUGCCAAUAUGUUUCUAGUUUCAUGGGCUGAAAUGGCUCAGUCCAAACCAUUAUCAGUACUACCAUCUUUCCGGCGCUCUCUCCUCAACGCUCGACGUCCGGGCUCCUAUGAUCCUUCCCUUGACGACAUGUACGUCCCCAUGUCAACCUUACCUCCUCCCAAAGCUCCACAGUCUGGUGAUGAUCUUCUCAUAAACCGCCUUUACUUGUCACAGCCGAACAGCUCAGUCUACUCCAAUCACUAGCUACCAGCAAGAGUAGCUCCUGCAAGAGGACUAAACUAGAGUCUCUCAGUGCUUUUCUGUGGAAAAUGGGGGCCCAAAGUGCAGUCANNNNNNNNNNNNNNNNNNNNNNNNNNNNNNNNNNNNNNNNNNNNNNNNNNNNNNNNNNNNNNNNNNNNNNNNNNNNNNNNNNNNNNNNNNNNNNNNNNNNAGCAGCAAUGAUGGCCUCUUACUUCGGAAAUGUACUGUCCAUACCCUUUGGUAAGAAGACAAUAAAUGAACUGAAAGAGAAACCAUUGAGCUGGGUGGCAGAUGCAAUUCAUGAGUACCUGGAAGGAGCAGUAACAAAGGAGCAUUUCCUGGGGCUGAUAGAUUGGGUGGAGGCUCACCGUCCGGAGCCAGCUUUAGCGAAGAUAUACAGCAGUGGCAGUCGCGAUGGACCGGCAUUUGUGGUGUCAUCAGGGCAGAGAUUCCCAGGGUCAAGGGUGGAUUUCGGGUGGGGUAUGCCGGCUCUGGGGUCAUACCAUUUUCCAUGGGGUGGGGAAGCUGGGUACGUGAUGCCAAUGCCGAGUCCUGUCAGAGAUGGAGACUGGGUGGUGUACAUGCACCUCUCCGUGGGGCAGAUAGAGUGGAUUGAGACUGAGGCUGCUCACAUCUUUAGACCCUUAAGUUCUGAAUAUCUCAACUUGAGCAACUCAGAUUAGCUUACAUUUAUCACUUCCUAUUUGUUCACUGUCCCCCACAAUGUUUGUUAUUGUCUCCAUCUCUAUUUGCUGAUUGUCAUCCGCUUAAUGUUAAACAUUCCGUUUAAGAAGAAGCCCACCUGAUUUAGAAGCCCCGAUUUUUUGUGGCUUGUCUAUUCCAAUUUCCAGCCUCGUUAAUUUUCCUCCUCUAUACAAAAUUCUCUAUGAACAUAAAUAAUACAUUAAUUGUGGGAUUAGUUUUGACAAAUAGGAAGUAAUUGAAAUUUAUGGAGUUAAGUCCGACUAAUGAAAAAGACGUAACCCAAGUGGUAUUUUUAAUACAAAAAAAACAUUUUAUAAAUAUCUUAAUUUUUUUUAAAAAAUAAAUUGUUAUUAAUAAAAAAUUUACUAAAUCAUAUAGAAUAUAACUAUUUCCAAGUAAUAAAUCUUUUGUACGUUCUUAAAAAAUGAGACAGAUAUGAACCUAAUAAAGUACGAUUUUUUUUUUUAAUAAAUUAAACAGAAUUUUUUAAACAAAGUGAAAAAUUAAAAAUCAAAAAAUCAAAAUGGGAGCAGUCAAUUGGGAAAUAUUGUCCUUUUUCAGACUGCAAAAUGAGUGUAGGCUUCUGCAGUUGCUGCAUUCUAGUUGAUGUGUGAUAAAAGGUUUGUGCCCACGAACCAUUCGGCCACCCCAGGAAGGGAUGAUACCCUUUGGUGCAGAUCCAGACAGCUAUUUACAAAGGGUAGGUCAAAAAACUUAUCAAACCCAUGCCGAAUAGCCGUUUAGGAGGGAAGAAACAGAACCAAAAAUAAAAAUAAAAAAGGAGGAAGAAGAGAAAAGGGAGAAAAAGCAUUGAGCAUAUUAUCCACUUGUCUUCUUCCUAAACGGCUGUCUCUCUCCCUUUUCCAGUUGUGCCUCCCAGCUAACCAAAAAAAAAUAUCUCCCUGUCACCUCUGUAACUAGCCCACAAAAAUGUCCUUAUUGUCAUGUAGCCCCACUUCCUAUUAAGUUCUGUCUCCUUUGGCUGCCCAAGAACGGUUCCUUCUCAGGUGUCAAACAAAAUAAUAAAAAAUAAAAAAUAAACCCCUCCAUAUGGAGGGGGUUUACAAUCCUACAGUUAAAAAAUUUUAUGAAAAAACUCUAACAAAUAAAGUAAAUACUAUUAAAAUUUAUAAAAUUUAUUAAUUUUUAAUAAUAUAUAAAAUAAUAAAAUAUGUAUUUAUGACAUCACUGAUUCGACCAUGGAUAAUUUUUUCAAUUCAAUGACUGGUCUAAUUCUGAAAACAUUUGUAUAACCUUCUUGUAUUUGCCCCAUUUAGAUUAAAAAUUUGAGACAGUUCUUCUUACAAUCCUUCUCUUUUCUUAUAAUCAGAAUAGUAUUUUAACUCAAUCAACAAAGUAUGUAUGCAUAUAAAGUUAUUCCUAGAUGAAUUCUCUCAGUUAUUUCUUAAUUUUUCAUUAUCCACUUGUCCAUCUCACUCAACUAAUCCCUUCUGAUGCAUUGAAAAGCAUUAGGAAUGAGAAUGAGGUUGCUAAGCCAUUCUAUAGAUAUUUAUUUAUGCGAGUGGCUAGUAUAUCUUUCGUCCCUACUGACAAAAGAAAGUAACCCCACAACUACAAGUGUGAUUAGGGUAGCGACAGUGACUGUGUCUAUGUGUCACUGUGCUGUCUUCAUUGCAGAGAAAUGAUUUGAAAUUUAAUUUCUGGUUACACUGCCAUCUUUAGUUAAACACAUUACUUUCCCGCAGUAGAAGUUGCGCAGAGUUAAGGUUAUCUAAUUCUUCUGUGUUAGCGGUACUGGUCCUCUUCAAGUCCACUGAUGAUGAUUUAGAACAAGUAAACCAAGCCAAUGGGGCUUAGGUGGUAGCAACCCCGUUAGUCAUUAGGUUGGCUUACGCACCAAUUUUUAUGCUGGCAGAUUGAGAAUCAUCCCAUCUUUUCCAUAUGUCGGCGCUCCAGUUUUGCAGUCCAACAGGAAGUUGGUGGUAGGGCCACGGAUGUAUAAUGAAUGCAUGCACACGUUUUUUUUUUUCUUUCUUAGUGCUGUCAGCAUGCCUAAGGCCAUGGACAUUAUUUGAAACCUUUUCUCCACCUUGGGCCCACCACUAAGUGUGGUCACUUUGGCACAUGUUCCAAUGGACACUUGACUUUUUUUAUUUAUUGAUAUUUUGAUGACUUUCUAACUCCAGCUCCUCAAAUACCUUACAUAAUUCCACUUAUCAAAUAAUAUCAAAACUUUCAUUUUAAAAUAGUCUUUCUUAGUUACAAUUCUUAAAUUACUUCAGAUUUUCCAUUUUUAAACAAUUCUUCAAAUUUUCAAUUUCUAAAUUUAAUUUCAAAAUUUCAAUUUUCGUAAUUAUUUAUCUAAUCAUUAUUAUUAUUAUUUCAUUCAUUUAUUUAUUCACUUUCAUUUAUUUAAAAUCUCAUAUCCAAAUAACUCUUCAAAUUUCCAAUUUCUAAACUUAAUUUUCAAAUUCCAAAAUUCCAAUUUUCGCAAUUAUUUAUCCAAUCAUUAUUAUUUUCGUUAUUAUCAUUAUUACAUUCAUUUAUUUAUUCACUCAUUCAUUUAUUUAAAAUUUCAUCUCUAAAAAAUUCUUCAAAUUUCCAAUUUCUAAAUUUAAUUUCUAAAUUCCAAAAUUCCAAUUUUCGCAAUUAUUUAUCCAAUCAUUAUUAUUUUCGUUAUUAUUACUAUUCCAUUCAUUUAUUUAUUCACUUAUUCAUUUAUUUAAAAUUCCAUCUCAUUCUUCAAAUUUCCAAUUUCUAAAUUCAAUUUCCAAGUUCCAAAAUUCCAAUUUUCGCAAUUAUUUAUCCAAUCAUUAUUAUUUUCGUUAUUAUUAUUAUUAUUUCAUUAAUUUAUUUAUUCGCUCAUUCAUUUAUUUAAAAUUUCAUCUCUAAAUAAUUAUUCAAAUUUCUAAUUUCUAAAUUUAAUUUACAAAUUCCAAAAUUCCAAUUUUCGCAAUUAUUUAUCCAAUCAUUAUUAUUUUCGGUAUUAUUAUUAUUCUAUUCAUUUAUUUAUUCACUUGUUCAUUUAUUUAAAAUUCCAUCUCUAAAUAAUUCUUCAAAUUUCCAAUUUCUAAAUUUAAUUUCCAAGUUCCAAAAUUCCAAUUUUCGCAAUUAUUUAUUCAAUCAUUAUUAUUUUCGUUAUUAUUAUUAUUCCAUUCAUUUAUGUAUUUACUCAUUCAUUUAUUUAAAAUUCCAUCUCUAAAUAAUUCUUCAAAUUUCUAAUUUCUAAAUUUAAUUUCCAAGUUCCAAAAUUCCAAUCUUGGCAAUUAUUUAUCCAAUCAUUAUUAUUUUCGUUAUUAUUAUUAUUACAUUCAUUUAUUUAUUCACUCAUUCAUUUAUUUAAAAUUCCAUCUCAUUUUUCAAAUUUCCAAUUUCUAAAUUCAAUUUCCAAGUUCCAAAAAUUCCAAUUUUCGCAAUUAUUUAUCCAAUCAUUAUUAUUUUCAUUAUUAUUAUUACUACAUUCAUUUAUUUUUUCACUCAUUCAUUUAUUUAAAAUUCCAUCUCAAUAAUUCUUCAAAUUUCCAAUCUCUAAAUUCAAUUUUCAAUUUCUAAAAUUCCAAUUUUCGCAAUUAUUUAUCUAAUAAUUAUUAUUUAUGUUAUCAUUAUUAUUCUAUUUAUUUAUUUAUUCACUUAUUCAUUUAUUUAAAAUCCCAUCUCUAAAUAAUCCUUCAAAUUUCCAAUAUCUAAGUUCAAUUUCCAAUUUCCAAAAUUCUAACUUUCGCAAUUAUUUAUCCAAUCAUUAUUAUUUCGUUAUUAUCAUUAGUCCAUUCAUUUAUUUUAUUCACUUAUUCAUUUAUUUAAAAUUUCAUCUCUAAACAAUCCUCCAAAAUUCCAAUUUCCAAAUUUAAUUCCCAAUUUUCCAAAGUUCUAAUUUUCACAUUUGUUUAUUAUUAUUAUUAUUUAUUUAUUUUAAAAUUUCCAUUUUAAAAUUUAACUUCCUAAUUUCUAAUUCUUAAAUUUAAUUUUUAAAACUUCAAAUUUUCAAAUUUCAUUUUUCAGACUUUAAUCCUCAAAUAAUUUUCCAAGUUCCAAUUUUCAUGACUCCCAGUUUCAAAUUAUUUUUCUAAAAUUCCAAUUUUUCAAUUCAAUUCUUAAAACUUCAUUUUUCAAUUUAGUUUCAAAACUUGAUUUUAAAAAAUUUGUCUUUCAGGUGGUUUUAAAUCUUUUAAAUUCAUUUAUUUGAUCUGUUUAUUCGCCUAACUUAAUUAUUUUUAUUCGUUCAUCUUUCAUAUAGUUAUUAUUUAUUUAUUUUAUGUUAUUCGUUUAUUUAUUUAUUUUCCAUUAUUAUUAUUAUCAUUAUUUUCUUCUUUAUUUUUCUUUUCUUCAUUAAAAUCUUGAUUCACCAAAAUCUAAUUUUUAAUAAACAUGUUGCCAUUUUUUAUUCAGGUACGCAUCUUGUGAUUUUAUUUGGUUCUUAAUUAUUUUCUCGUUUUUCACUACUUUAAUAAGCAUGGAGACAAUUUUUAUAAUUCCAAAAUAAUGAAAUUUGUGAAACCAAUUCAUGCAAGAUAAAUUGGGCUUAGGUGGGGGCCCUACAUAUGAGAUUUCUUUUUUGAUUGUUAAUUGUUAUGCCUAAUGAAUAUUGCUUGAUUUUUUGUUCUGAUAUUUGGCAUGCAUGUGAUAUAUUUUGUAUUGGUUAUUGUGCCUUAACUCUAUUUCAUGAUAGCACUUUACUACCUGCUGCCAAGGUACGCUCUCGCUCCUACUUUGUUCAUUUAUUCAUUAUCAUGACUUGCUUAUGAUUUGUGAUCAUUUUGGUAUCUAUUGAUUUCUUUAUCAAUUGUCACACUUGUUUCAUUUUAUUAGUAGAGACCCGUUUUUAGGGAGUUAGAGGGGUGCUACGGUCUUUACCGUACCUUCCCAAUAAGUAAUCCGACUCUCGAGUCCAAAUUUGGUUUUUCACAAACCACAUUUUCCAAAUGAGGAGUUACACUUAGAGUUUUCUUUCUUAUUUUGUUUACCCCUUUAAAAAUAAAACAAAAAUAAGUGGCGACUCCAAGUCUUUUUCUAACAAUCAUAUUUUUCGUCAAAUAAGUAAAAAAACGAGUCGUGUCAUCGAGUGGGAAUGCAUCGAGCCAAAAUGCGGGGUCCAUAAGAAUUCAUCAAUCAUCAUAUAUGAUAUCUAUAACAUAAUAUAAGAUGUUAUAACAAUUUUAUAUGAAAGAAAAAUAUAUACUAUAUCAAAUUGUUUAAUCAAACAUAAAAAUAAAAUAAAAAAUUUUAAUUUAAUUUAUUGAAGAAAUGAAAGAUAUGUUAGGAUAGGAAGAAAAAUUUAAAAUUUAAUCUUAAUAAAAUUUAAAUUUGUUUAAAUAACUAAUAUAAGUGAGUGAUGAAAAUUUUUGUUUAAUAAUUAUAUAUAAUCUAAUAAUUAAGUGUUUAAAAAAAUAUAAUUUAAUUUAUUGAAGAAAUAAAAAAUAUGUUUAUAAAAGAAGAAAUGAUUAAUAAUAAAUAUUAAAUAGAAUUUAUUUACUUUCUCACAACAUAAUCAAAUAUAAUUUAAAAUACUUCAAAUUUAUUAUUUAAAAAAAAAAACUUAUUUUUGGGAAAGUUGCAAACAGAGCCUAACUGUCCUCCGUCUAGUUCUGAAUCCAAAAUUCGAAAAACGCUCCAUUGAUGAUCUCCUACCAAAAUCAGACUUAUACAUAUAAUAAAUAAACCAGACUCCAUGGUUGGGAUUGAUAAACAAUAUCGGUGGAUUAUGGGCGGCGAAAACCAAGUUUUUGAUUAGGCGCUGGUUAUGUUCCCGGAUGAGACAUCAGAUCGCUAGCAGAUUCAUUUAGCCUAAAUCUGCGUAAUGCCUUUCAAAACCUCUCUGUAUCUUCUCCGAAAGUCAGAUUCAUUUAACCAACCAGAAAAUAUUCUGUCAAUCCUCCCCCUGUCUGCUCCUCCUCGUACCGAAAAUCAUCUUUCUUUCUCCUCAAUCAUGCGCUUGCACCUCCCCCCUUGAACACGACCUCACUCUUCGUCUACAUACACGUGAAUGUUUCAUUUUCCUCUCCCCCUACAACUUUGGUAAUUCAUGUUUGAGAAAAAGAAAUGGCAUCCUCCUCAUAGACUGAUUCCACACUUUCCAAAAAGCACCACCUCUUCUCUCAAACCUUCCUAUCUCUCUUUUUCUUCUUUUUAUUUUUUCAAACGGGUCUGAAUAUCCUCUCCAAUCACAACCCCAAGUUUCAUUUCCUACGUUGACUCUCUUCCCAACGUGGACUGAACCUGCCCCUUGAAAAGGCUGUCUAUCUUCUUUCCCAGAAAAACCAAACUCUCCAUUGAUAAAUCUUCCUACAAAAUUCAAAGUUAAUAGAUUAAAUUAAAUAAUAAUAAAAAAAUGGGUUUUAGAAAAUGAGUAAAAAUUAUUGGAUUGACAAAAAAUGUAUAUUUUAUAUAAUUAUUAGAUUAAAUAAAAGUAUUUGAUGAAAUUAUUAGAUUAAAUUAAACAAAAGUAUUGUAAAAAAUUAUUAGAUUAUAUUCAAAGUGUUUUAAAAAAUUAUUAUAUUAAAAUAAAUAAAAGUAUUUUACAAAAUUAUUAGAUUGAAUAUAAGUGUUUUAUGAAAUGAUAAAAAAAAAAAAAAUACACAAAGUAAUAUACAAAAUGGCUAAAUAGAUAAUAAUAAAAAGGAAAGUCAUGCAAGCCAUGCAAAAAUGUGAGCCAUGAAGUCAUGCAACCAUGCAAGAUGUGCCUAAAAGGUGACCUAAGCAAGGCUGGUAAAACUAAGUGGGCUAGUCAUGCCUAAAUGGGCCAAGUGUACCUAAAUGGGCCUAGGGGCCUAAGUGGCUAAGGUGCCUAAGUGGACCUAAGGUGGUGCCUAAUGGGCCAAGUGUACCUAAAUGGGCCUAUGGUGCCUAAGGUGAUGCCUAAUGGGCCAAGUGUGCCUAAAUGGGCUUAGGGUGCCUAAAUGAGCCUAAGGUGGUGCCUAAUGGGCCUAGUGUGCCUAAAUGGGCCUAGAGUGCCUAAAUGGGCCUAGGGUGCCUAAGUAGACCUAAGUCUAAAUUAAGGCUGUCAAGAAUAACAAUGGGACUAGAUAAAUCCCUCAACCAAAGUUCCCAAGGUGGCUUAAAAAAAUAUAGGUUACACGAGUAGUAAUGGGCCACCAGGGAAUUGUUGUAAAAUACUGAACAAAUACAUAAUAAGACAUGUGCUAGGAAGACAAAAUGGAGGGUCUACAGUUAUAUAUCAAUACAAUGCAAUUCAUUAACAGUUAGCUCAUUUUCAAACAUGUUGCAUAGUAGGAUUAUGGCAUCAUUAGCGAUGACACUGGAACUAGCUAAAGUUCCUUUCUAUGGGGCUUUCCAUUUGUUUGGAAACUUUUUAUUCCCUAGAAGUAGCUUCACAAAACAAAAUAAAUGCAUUCAUGACUAUCAAACCACCCACGUCUCCCUCAAUUUGAACAAAAUAUUAAAUAAUUCAUAAAAUUCAAGGACAACAACUCAAUUGAACCUUGUGCUAUGUAAUUAUUAUAAUUAAAUUUUAGGAAGGAAGCUGCUUCCUCUUAAUAUACAUUCUUAUCUACAAACAAGGAAAGAUAUUGCUAUUUAAGCCAUCAUUUUUAGACUAUUCCUUACUUAUUUUUAAAGCAUCUUAUACCCGACAUCCUUACUGUUAAUAGACAUUCUUAUCUAUGUACAAGGAAAGAUAUUGCUAUAUAAGCCUUGAUUUUUAGGCUAUUCCUUAUUUUUAAAGCAUCAUAUACCUGACAUCCUUACUCUUAACAAGCAUUCUUAUCUACGUACAAGGAAAGAUAUUGCUAUUUAAGCCUUGAUUUUUAGACUAUUCUUUACUUAUUUUUAAAGCAUCAUAUACCUAACAUCCUUACUCUUAAUAUACAUUCUUAUCUAUGUACAAGGAAAGAUAUUGUUAUUUAAGCCUUGAUUGUGAGACUAUUCCUUAGUUAUUUUUAUAGCAUCAUAUAUCUAACAUCGUUACUCUUAAUAGACAUUCUUAUCUAUGUGCAAGGAAAAAUAUUGCUAUUUAAGCCUUGAUUUUCAAACUAUUCCUUACUUAUUUUUAAAGCAUCAUAUACCCGACAUCCAGAUUAAAAAAGCUCAAUGAGUUUUAGGAUUUAUGUCACCAUCAUGGAUUUUGCAAAGUUCCAGACGCCAAACCACCAGCCUGAGACUUCAUCGACAUAAAAUAAAACACCUGAAAUCAGAAACCAAUUUUUUAAGAGUUGAUACUUGAGAUGAUUGGAUAAAAAAAACGCAUUCAUGUGAAAAAUGAAAUGUAAUGUUGCACAAGUACCAUCCAACCAUUAUGGUCGACACCACACACCAGGUUUGUUGUUGAUUCUGCACUCCUCAAACUACACACACAAGUAUGAAUAUUCCAAAUGAAAAUUUUAGCUCAAUUAAAUUCAAAUUUUUAGUUUUUUCCUUUUUCCCAACAGCCAAACUGGAAAACCAAUUUUAGCCUUGGCCAUACCUUGUCAAGCAUCGUUAUUGGACUGGAGCUCUUCCAGCAAUGUUCUCUAUCAUGACCGCAACCAUUUAGAUCUUUGGAGGUUCCACUUCCUUGCAACAAAGGAUCAAUUGACUUCAAAUAGGGAACUCCAAGGCCUACACAACAAAAAUGGUCUAAAAGUUGUUGCAUAGGGCACAAAAAGCUAAAUCACUUCAAGAUUGACGUGUAGCCAAUGAAAGGACAAAGCAAAAUCAAACUUCUCGAUUUUUAUUCGACUUCGAAAUGUUAGGAUAAGCUUAUUCAACCUAUGAAGAUUUUUCUAUGUCCAUGUGAUACCCAUAUAAAGCCUACCUCAUACAGUCAAGCCAAACCUUUGUCAUCCACCCGGAACUUUAAACUGACUACAAAAAGGGAAAGUCCGAAAGCGAUAAGCCCAAGUUUACUGAGUCUUCACCAUGUAUUGGGCUAUUUUUUUUAAUUUUUUUUUUUUUAUGGGAAUUCUAUAAGCCCAAAUGUAAACAACGUUAAGGCCUUAGUAUGUUGGUGAAAAAUGGUAGAGAAAGAGGAAGAGGAAAAUAAGGUUGUUUUUUUGGCAUUGUUCUAGGGUUCAAGGGUGAAGGGUAUAAGUUCUUUCAUCAACCUUUUAGGAGAGUUCUUGUGGUAUGAUCUCUACCUAAUCUCUUUCUAUUUUUUGUUUUCUAGGGUGAUAGAUUCCCUCCUUAGACAUUGAUAUAUGUUUCCAUUGUUUAUCAAGGUGAAGAAAGUAGUGAGGAUUUAUUUGCAUUCAUAUUUUUAUUAAAGUGAAGGAAAUUUUUCCCGUGGUUUUUUACCUCGGUUAGGAGGGUUUUUCCAUGCUAUAUUUGGAGCAAUUUUGGUUGGAUGUUUUUAGAUUAUAAUUGCCUUUUCUUGUUAGGUUGCUGCUGUUGAGAGGUUGUUAACAUUAUAGGAAAUCUUUUAACUUGUGUAGGUGAAUACUUUAUAAUUCCUUUUUAUCCCAACGCAAAAUCCCUCCUCGAAUUGUUACCAGGUCGUAUUCAACUUCAAAGGAACACAACUUUGGUGGCGAUGAUGAGGAGCCUUUGGUUUGUCACUACCGAAUGAGAAACUCUAGUCCAAGUCUUUAAUGUUCUUCACGAACUACUAAAUCAUAUAAUUCAAAUCAUUAGACCAAAUAAAUAAUUAUUUUAGAAGAUGAAACUCAUAGCAAUUCAGAAGCAAUCUCGGGGUUGAAGUUGCAGGAUUUAAUUUCAAGUCCUUACUAAUCCUUAUACUAGUCUUAUGAUAGUAAGUAAGAUAUAGUAAUUAAGAUGAAUUAUGUUUGGCUAUUUGUGAUUUUAACUCUAAUUCAUCUAUCAGAUUUUGGAUAUUCCAACAUGUACAUUUGAUCACCGGAUAGCAGACGCAUAUUCUACCAAUAUGUUCCUAGUUUCAUGGGCUGAGAUGGCUCAGUCCAAGCCCUUAUCUGUAAUACCAUCUUUCCGGCGUUCUCUCCUCAACCCUCGACAUCCAGGCUCCUAUGCUCCGUCCCUUGACCACAUGUACGUUCCCAUCUCA